rnacentral:lncRNA from 1 species
UGAUUAAAGGGAAAUUCUUCCCUUUGAAAUGUAAUUAUUUCAUUUCAAAAUAAAUUUAGUUGUGGACUUUUGCAUUAUGCUUCUCUUGUGGUUAAAAUUUCACUCUAGAUCAAAAUAUACUGAGUUUGAUGUUCACUUUGUAAGUAGUGAGUGGAGAAAUAAAUUUACAAGGUCGACUCCAACAAAGCAUCUGGUGGCAAACAUAUUUAAAGAUCUAAGAAGUAAGCCUCUAAUGCUACCAUUAUUUAGGGGCCCUGUGCUUCAAGAAACAGAGGACCCUGCACUCGAACUUUGAAGCUGAAGGAGUUGGACAUCUCAGCAUCUGAGUCUGCAUACAAGUGGAACAGGAGAUGCUGACAUGACAUCCUACGUGGAACUUAUGCGACACAUAUAAUGAGUCCAGUUCGUUCCUAGUUCAUACGCUUACAUUGUAACCCGGUUCUGUGUUUCCAGUACCAUAAGUGAAUCAUCACUUCGUGCCAUUGUAUUGCUAAUAGCAACUUUGCCUUGAUUGAUUUUGCUGACAAUAUGUACUCUACGUUUGGAACUGAGGUGCUAUAACUUUUAAUCUGCAGUUAUUGUGAAGUAAAAGUCAGAGUUGUGGUGUACAAGCUGGUGGUGUUUGGUAAAUUUUAAUAGUUGUGGAGUGGAAGCUAUGGUGUUUGGUAAAUUUAAUACCUGUAGAGUGGAAAUUGAUGAAUAUUUGUAAUAAUUAAUUUUAAAUAAUAUUAAUUUUAAUUAUUAAUUAAUCAAAUUAGUUUUCAUAUUUUGAAUUAUUAUAUUAACAUAUGAUUGUGUUUAUUACUUUGACAAAUUAGAUUAAUAUUUAAUUAAUCAAAUUUAUUUUUCUAUACAAGUUGUAAUAAAUAUUUUUUAAAACAAAAUAAUUUAAAAUUGAAAAUAAAUAAAUUCUAAUUUUACACAUUGAUUGAAGAAAUAAAUUAUACUAAAUAUGUCUAAUAAAGAUCAUACAACAUAACAUUAUAAAAUUAAAAUGUAAUUAAUUACAAAAUUCUUAUAAACAUUUCUAUUGUCAUGCCUCCAUUAAACUUGCGGCAACGCCAUCUCUGAAGAUUAUUUUAUCUUGAGCUCUGUUAUCAACUGUAUCAUAACUUUUUUUAGGAGAUGCAAUAUAGCUUAUAUGUUCACUAUUAUUAUGAUUUAGCUUAUCCAUUAUUUCAUCAAAAUGAUCAUGAUUUUGUGAAUAUCCUCUGAUGUAAUUAUGUAAGGCCAUGGUAGUAAUAACUAUCUUCACCUGCUUCUUUAAUGUAUGGCUUGACAUAUUUUGUAAAAUCUUCCUUAUUUGUUUUAAACCCCAAAAGCACUCGUUAGAGUGAACAAUACUCUCAACAUUAAGAGAUUCAGAUGCCUCAUUACCCUCUAAAGGAAACUAGAUGAGGGAAACCAAACAAGGUCACUUGUAGCCACUGCAUUUGAAUAGUUAAUUUAGUUUUUUCUCCAAUUCUGAAUCAAUACCAUUUUUUUGAAUUCUAUUGAAUUGCAAAUUUUCCUUUAUUUUCAUUUCCUACCGGUCCUCACUUGCAUCAACUGUCCUUAACCGAUGAUUCCACCCUAAAUCUGUUUCCUAGUCAAUCUGUUUCUUCCACAAUUUCCAAUUAGUUCUAAGAGAAUCCUAUUUGUUUUUCAUUUGAGUUCUAUUAUAAUCCAAUCCAAUUUCUUUAGUGAAUUCCUUGAUGAAAUAUUUAUAUGCUUGGGAAGUAGCCCUACUAGCUGAGCUACUAGACCUAAUUUCGAAACCUAAUUUCGUACACUUACACCUAGAAUAAAGAAUAAUAUUUCUUUGUCAAACAACAAUACAUGAAAGAGAUUAAUGAAGAGCGAUACCCAAUUUUUUUUAAAAGCAAAUAACACUAAUUAAGGAUGAAUUAUGUGCAGCAAUAAUGAACUAUGCCUAACAUUACACACUUGUAACACCCAAGCCCAACUUUGAGAACAAAUCUAACCACAACUCUCCUAUGUACUUAAAUAUCUCUUUACAAUUAACAACAAUUCAAGUCUUAAAUACAAUAUUUAAAUAGCGGGAGACUUUAAAGAUUUUGCACAGUCAUCUACCAUCCUCAAUUUAAGUCUUCUCCUCACUCAUCACGAAUAAAUCUUGACUUUUGAAAACUGAAUCACAAUAAACUAUAGUGAGUACAAAACUCAAUAAGCAAACUGGUUUUUCAUAUCCCAAAAUACAUACAUACUUAUAUACUAUGUAAAUAGAUAAUAUGCCAUGAUAUUUUUAAAAAACUAUAAAAUGAAUUCAUCAAAAUCUCUUUAUGUUGCUUUCAAACUUUCACAUUUUCUUUCAAUAAAAUACAUAUCAUGCAUAAGGCAUUUUGCACAAUACUUGGCACUUUGCACUAUGCGUUGCACUUCGCGGCACUCUGACCCUCGAGAGGUGGCCCCUACACGGCUUCAAGUGGUGGCCCCCAACGGAAACUCUCAUAAAACUAAGUAUAAUAGCAAAAUUCAUGUACAAAUCAUAAAAUUACAAAAUGCAAUAUUAUUAAACAUACUUUUUAUAAAAGCUUUGCAUGUUCAUGCUUAUGCCAAUGAACUUUCACACACACAUAUGCCCAUGCAUAUAAUCAUGCUCAACACAUAACAACACAUCACAUAAACACAUGGGUAGAAACAUAUAAAUCAUAUCUAUACAUAUAAAAAGUAGGUUUUUCAAACAUGGAAAACAUAUACAUAUUAAUUUAUUGUGAUCCAUUUAGAAGUCUAGUUUACUUACCUCUUGGCAUCCACAUGUAACAAAUGCGUAUUCAUAUCAUCAACCUAAAAAUCCUUUAUAAAACUCUCAUUAGAUAUAAUCAAGUCCUAAUCAUAAUUCUAAUGUCCUCAAAUUUCUCAUUUUAAACAUAUCCUAAACUCAACCUCAAAUACUCUCAAUAUUCGAUCCCAAAACAGAACAACCCAUGUUCUCCGAUUUUUGAUAAUUUAUUAUCUUAUUGGAAAAGUCCCAAAUUUUCAAGAGCAUAUGAUAACAUACUAGAAAUUCAUUGAUUAAAAUUUCAUAACUUAAUUCUUUCAAAAUCUAUUAAAAAUAAUUUACGUUUCAGACAUCAUCAAUUCUGUCAAACAACUUUCUAUUUUAAACAUACUUGUUUUAAAAAUACAAAACAAUUUAUUGUUUUAUCAUAAAAUCAUGAAAAUUUCCAAAAUCACUCUAGACAUAUAUAAAAGUUGCUAAUCCAAGUUUCAUAAUUUUGGAAGAAAUCUAGCUAUGGUAAGAUAAAUUUGUAAUUCAUGUUCUUCAUUAAAAUUAGAAAUUUUCAGGUUUUCAAAUUUGAGUUUAAAAAUCGUAAUUAAUUGAAAUCUUAUCCGUUUAGCUUGAGACAAGUUCCAAACAUUCUUCUAGUUUAAGAUAUUCAAAAUCUAGAAUCAAAAUCAAUUUGUACAAAUGGCUAUGAUUUUCGAAAUAACACUCUAUCAGCAUAUUUUUUGUGAAAUCUUAAGUUCUACUUCUAUUACCACUAUCUAACCAUGCUUCUCUAUAACAAUUAACACACUGUCAGCAUAGUUUCUGUGAAAUUUACCUCCAAUUCUCUCUCGACAUAAUAUCCAAUUUAAAAGCCACUACUUUGAUCUCAUGUGUCGCUCAUGGCUAACGAAGAAGAAGACUUUCUUUUUCUUCUUCUCUUCUUCUUUUUCUUGCGUUCUUUUUUUUUAACUCUCUCUCCCUCUCUCUCUCUCUCUCUCUCUCUCACAUUAAUAGCAAAGGAAGACAUCUAUUGGGGUAUUACAUGUUUACCCCUUAAAAGAAUUUCGUCCUCGAAAUUCGCUUUUAGUUAUGCUCAAAAGAGUCUAAACCUCAAAAUCACUUAUGACCAAUACAUCCUUAUAAAGACAAAAAAGAAACAUAUCACCCUUUCGUUGCGCUACUCUGAUACCUCAAUUAUAUAUUUCUUAGAAACAAAAUCACAAAGCCUAAAGGUGUGGCAUAGACCUAAUUCUAUUAAUCCUUACAACAUCCUUCCCAAGCGAUGCAGGAUGUCACAAAUGUCCACACAUUCCUGAUUGGGAAUGCUCUAAUACCAUUUGUAACAUCUUGGCCUGAACUCUAAGGACAAAUUAAUCUAACCAUAACUCACCUAUGUACUUAAAUAUCUCUUUAUAAUCAACAACAAUUCAAGCCUCAAAUACAAUAUUUAAAUAGCGGGUGACUUUAAAAAUUUUGCCAAACCAUCUACCAUCCUUAAUUUAAGUCUUCUUCUCACUCAUCACAAAUAAAUCUUGACUUUUGGAAAUUGAAUCACAAUAAACUAUAAUGAAUACAAAACUUAAUAAGCAAACUAGUUUUUCAUAUACAUAUAUACUAAUAUAUAAUACAAAUAGAUGAUAUGCCAUGAUCAAUUCAAAACACUGUAAAACAAAUUCAUCAAAAUCUCUUUCUGUUGUUUUCAAACUUUCACAUUUUCUUUCAAAAAAAUACAUAUGAUGCAUGUGGUAAUUUAUGCAAUCUGUGGUAUAUUGGACUAUGCAUAGCACUUCGCGGCACUCUAUCCCUCGAGAGGUGGUGUAACACCUUAGCAAAUCCUACAUUGACAAAGCACAGAAGAGAUGUUGGGUUUAUAAGAGGUGUUUCAUGACACGAUUCAAAAGUGUAAGAGUGUAAGAGUGUCUAGUUAUAAUAUAACCCGGUGAGUCUGAGGUCGAACCACUGGGAAUUUUAAAAUCUAGUUGUCAAUUUGUUAAACAGAGAAAAUAAUUGUACGGAAAAUAAAUUAUUUGAAAACAAUUUAAAAAUAUGCUAAGGUUACGAGAUCCACUUUCAGUAUUCAAACUAUAAUUUUAAUACUCACUCAUUUAUAUUUUGCCUCACUUUUACUAGUUAAUUAUUAUAUCAUUUAAUUCUAUGUGUGUGGAUAAAUAUGGAAUAAAGUACCUAAUAUGCCACACUAUAUUAAUGUGUCGACAUUAUGUCAAAAUACCAUACAAAUCCAAAGAAAUUUAUAAAUUAAUAUGACAUAAAAAUAACUAGAAAAGAAUAAAAUAAACUUAAAAACUCAUUUGAGAAAAUAAUCAAUUUAAUAGUUUGAAAUAUUGAGCUUCUCCCUUCACCUCGGCUUAAUAAAAUUUGCCACUCAUAUUGAAAGAAAACACAACACUCUUUUUAUUUGAUAUACUUUUGAAAUAUAUUACAAAGAAAAUUGAUACAGACGGAAGCAAGAAAAGAAAAGAAACAAAGAAAGAAAGAAAUUCUUCAGCUAUACCCUUGGCUAUCACUCUUUCUCAGAACUCGGCUCCGCCCCCUAAUGGCUUGCAUCCCCUUGCUUUUUAUAGGCAAGGGAAGCAUCUUCUUUUAUUUUAUUUUAUUAAUAUUAAUAUUUAAUUUAAUUUUUAUAUUAUAAAUAUGUUAAUUGAAAUGUGUGAUGGUCAGGAGGCGUAAUGGCCUCCUGACCAUCACCAACAUGCUUGCCAAUCCUUUUUAUUUAUUUAUUUUAUUUAUUUUUAAUAACAUGUCAUCGAUUGAUGAAUUCUAAAUUGCUCCAGUUGUCCUUCUUUGUUCCCGCUUUUAACUCUAAUUCCAUCUUUAGUCCUGAAAAAUAUUUACAAGAUAAAAAGUAACAUAUGCAAAUUAAUUUAACAAAAAAUAUAUUUGGGGAGUAUUAAAAUAAUUUAGAAAUAAUGAGCGCAUUAAUCAACACAAUAAGUGAAAAAUUAAUAAUUUUAUCCUUAUUAAAUGUACACUUUUUAGUGUCAAUCACACCGCCGAACCAGCUUAUUGCUAGGCCCUAGCAAUUUAAGCGAUAAAAGUUUACUAAAAUUUCAAACUCAAAUUGAAAAUCUUUUUUUUUUGAAAAAUUGUGUUUACUUCUUUCAUCUGAUUAAUGACAACAAUCAAAUAAAAGUAUAAUCAUUAUCUUCAGCCUAAAUAAAAUCACACCCGCACAAAACAAGUAAGUAAAAUCACGUAAAAUGAUCAAUUAUCAGAGCUACAUUAAUCAAGCCACUUUUAAGAAUGAUACAUCAAAUCUCAAAACCUCACAAUUAAGAGAGACUCUCUCAAAAGAAAAUAUUACCCAAAUUAAGUUGUCACUCUAAAAAUGGUAGAUUUGAGAGAAUAAUAAAAUAAUAUCACACACUCUCACCAAGAUGAAAAAAUAAUGCCCACAACUUCGAAAUAAAAUAAUCUCAAGUCCAAGGAAUUACUAGCAAAAUUAAUUUUUAUUUUUAUGCAUCACCACAUGUUUUAAUCCAUAUUACCAGCUUUUACUUCAGACUACAGUUCCGAAAAAUCGAGAAGGACUUUUAUUAGGACGUAAUGUAGGCUAGGGUUAUGGCUAAUAAAAAAGGUAAUAGGGAAAAAAUAUAUGUUUAAAAAAUAGGAGACUUUUUAGAUAUUACAAGGUGUUUUUUUUUCUUGGAAUUGUUCUCUUUUUUUUUUAAUUUUUAUUUUUAUAUACAUAUCCUCUUUUUUUUUUUUUUCAUAACACCAUUAUUAGAGAUGCAUAAUCAUCCCUAUUUUCAAACAUAAUUGGGUGGUGGAAAACAUAAUAUAUAAGGGAUACUCCACAUUGGAGUGGGAUAGGAUAAUAGGUUAUCAAAAGAAAAGUUUUUUUUUUUUUUCAAAGGCUCAAACGGGUUAACUAUGGAUUCUUUAUAAUAUGGUUGGAUAGAAAAUGCUCAAAUAGAUCAAAGAUGGCCUUCUGUCAUCUUUUAGGGCUCUAAAUAAUCUUUCAUAUCCACUAGUUCAAUGGACUUUUAGAUGUGGCUACACAAACUCUCUUUUUUUUCACUUUUUUUUUAAAAAAUAAUAUUGAGAUCUUGUACAAUAAAUUGUGAAGCUGUAUAGGCAAACAAAGUUACUCUCUAAGGAUAAUAGGCUCAAAUACUCGAUUGGACUUUUCAUAACAUGUACAUUCAUCCAAAUAGCUUAAUCAAAUUUACUCAUCAAAUUUCUCAAUUUACGUUUCAACAUGCAAUGGGGAAAACAUAGUGUAACAUAACUCAAGGCCAAAGAUAAUACAAAUACCAAAAUUUGAAAAUCGUCAUGUUAUCCAAUGUUAAAAGAUCACACCGAAAAAGAAAUUUUUUUUUUUGGUUAAAGAAACACUAAAAAAAUUGGGACUGAUUGCAGAAACUUAAGGCAGAUGAUUAAGAUAAAAAAGAGAAAAAGACAGAAAAUAAAAGGUUAGAAAAUAAUUUUUUUUUAAGAACAAAAUACUAAAAGUAAGAAGAUGCAUUUCUAGGGACACUAUAUUCUAUAUUUUGCUGUUUUCGACUCAAAUUUUAUCCAAAGUUAGUCUUUACAACAAAAAUUAGUAAAAACAUCACCAGGACUAAGAUAUUCCACAAUUGUCAACUACUCCCUCCCCUUAACUUGAAGGAGACAUUGUCCUCAAUGUCUAAAGAAAUGAAUAGAGUUUAGAAGAUAUCACCUGGCCACUGGGGAAAUAUUUACAAAUGGAGAGUUAAAUCUAAUUUAUAAUUUUUACGAGAGUUACUGCCAUCGUCAUCAGUUGCCCAAUCCAACACCAAAGUCAUGGGAUCUAGCUCUGGUUUGUAAGCUUGCAAAAGAUCAAGUAACUCAUUAGCAGUAGCAGUACAAAUGAAGAGUUUUUUCGUUGAGGGUGGAAUGAAAUAAUUUUUAAUUGCAUGAUUAAGAAAUGUUAUUAAGCCAUCAUAAAAGUUAUUAACAUUUAACAAACCGAUGAAUUUUUUAUGGAUAUUUAAAUGGGUCCAAGAAACAAAUGUAAUUAGUGCCUCUAAAGUUGCAAGAUCUCGUGGCAAGAAAAUGAAAGCGUCAGCAUGAUUUAAUAUUUCAGAUAUUCUUUAUUGCAUACCUGAGACAACUAACUCUUCUCCAGUUGGUGGGUCUAGUAGACAUCUUAAAGGUUUUAAGGUUUUUGGAAUGAUGCCUAGCACUUGGCUUCCCUGAACGAAAGCAGCUUCAGAGACAAGCUUUGAUAACCCUCGGUCACCUCCUCUAUAUACAAGAUGUAGUUUCCUCUCUGUUAUAGCAGGACCAAGAUCUAUGGCCGCCUGAACGAACUUCUUAUACUUUCCAUAACGAAAUCUAGAAAGCACACAAAUGUUCUUUAGUUGACUGCUUGAACUUGCUGCCAUUAGAAAAAUUAUAAAAAGAAACAAUUUGUGAGUGCUUGAAAAGGAGCUCCUAUUUAAGGAUCUUGGUGACAGACAUAAUGAUAUACAUCUGUAAAUGGGGUGGUGUGUUUGUCAAAUGAUGCGUGAAGCUUUUAGCUUAAUAAUUCAAAGGCAAACAGUAAAAAGAAAAAGCAAACAGUGAUUAGAUAUAAAAAAGACACACAAUAAUAAUAAUAAUGCAAAAGAUAAAAGAACAGUAAAAUAAAAGGAUAUUUACUAGUAGUUGUGAUUGUGGCUUAUAUCUUCCUCUGGUUUUACGUCUAGUAACGUCUUGAACUUUCUCUAUGGGUUGAGGAUAGGCUUCCCAUCCAGUUUUCUUAUAAAAUGACAAACAAGGUCUUUUAGAGUCAGAUUCCCAAGACUAAAUUGUGCACUUUCUUUUUGGAACAGCUUCCACAAAUUUUGAAAUUCACAUUGAACAUAUCCGCUCGGAUGCGUCUCAAGAGAUCGUAAGAUAUCAUUCAACGAUUUACAGAAACCAUUCCUAAAGUUUUACAACGUGGUUUUCUAUAAGUAAGUCUUACACAGUUAGGACAUUUAGAGCCAAGUCGCUUAGCUCUUCUUUUCUUAGCAAAUAUACUUUUACCAAAACCAGACAUGUAGGAAAUGAAUGGAUAAGAAAACUCACCUGCCAGUCGGACCUUUACUUCAAUUAACCAGCAAAUGUUUGCAGGAAUCCCAUUGAUCAUUAACAAACGUAGUCGUUCACAACGAGUUUUGUAAAUCUUCGUAAGAGCAUUUUGAGGGAGAGAAGGAAAAUGUUGAUGCAAUUUUCAUUGUAUUUCUUCCAUGCUUGACAUUGAGGUUUCAGUUAUUGUAGGAAACUGAGAAUAUCAACUUAAAAUGUCACGGUGUACCGUUAUCCGCCAUUUAUAUGGGAGAGUGAAUAAAAACAAAACGAAUGAAAUCUGCAAAAUCAAAUCAAAAGUGAAGAAGAACAACAAAAUAAAACAAAAACCCAUAAGGAAUAUAACUCACCUUUGUCCUUUUAUUGAAUUUACCUCCAGUUCCAAUUGCAUAUUGUAAAUACCAUCCUCUAUUUCCUUGAGUUGUCUUUGUAGAUCUUUCACGUGGGAUACUAACUCUGGUGGUUGUAGAUCCCAAAUGGGAUAUGAUUUACAAAAUCUGACCAAUUUCCUCAAGUGAAAUUUUACAUGUAAAAGUUCUUUAAGAUGUUCGAAAAUGAUACUUCUCAUGGAAGUACUCAUGACAAGUAUAACAAUUUGGUGAGCUAAAGCACAACUGUCAAACAAUACACAAUUAAAAACAAUGCAAUGCACUACAUUCAAGACAUAAGGAAAAGGAAAAAAUCAAAGAAUUCAAACGAUAAAGUAACAGUAAAUCAAAUUCACAAAAAGUUGAAAUGAAAAGGCUUAAUUAAAAUUUGGUGGGUCACUCAAAUUGAUUUCGGUAUCUGCUUCACGUGGUUGGUAUUGCAGAUAUGGUUUCAAUCUUUGGCCAUUAACUUUAAAUGUAGCACCAUAAUUUGGAUUCUCAAUUUGUACGGCUCCAUAUGGAUACACAUUUUUUACAACAAAUGGACCAUUCCACUUUAACUUUAAUUUCCCAGGAAAUAAAUGAAGACGAGAAUUAUAACGCAACACUUUUUGACCAAUUUCAAAUGUUUUCUGAAAAAUUUUUUUGUUAUGAAAAAGUUUGGUUCUUGCCUUAAUAAUUCUAGAAUUCUCAUAUGCAUCAUUCCUUAAUUCCUUAGGUUCAUUUAAUUGCAAUUUAUACACAUUACCAUCAUCAUCAAGAUUUGAAUUAAGAGCUUUAAUGGCUCAAAAUGAUUUAUGUUCAAGUUCAACUGGUAAGUGGCAAGAUUUUUCAUUAACAAGCCGAUAAGGUGACAUUUCUAAAGAUAUUUUAAAAGCAGUACGAGAUGCCCAAAGUGCAUCAGGUAGUCAAAGAGACCAAUCUUUACGAUUUGGACUAACUGUCUUUUCUAAAAUUUGUUUUAUCUCCCUAUUUGAUAAUUCAACUUGACCACUUGUUUGAGGGUGAUAAGGGGUAGCAACUUUAUGUGUAAUUCCGUAUUUCUUCAUUAAGAACUCAAAUGACUUAUUACAAAAAUGCUUACCUCCAUCACUGAUAAUGUAUUCCAAAUCUGCUCAAAAGAUUUUCUUUUAAAAAACGGAUCACAAUCUUGUGAUCAUUGGGCCGACAAUGAAUCGCCUCGAUCCAUUUUGAAACAUAAUCAACAACAAUCAAAAUGUAAACAAAUCCAAAUGAUGAUGGAAAAUGGCCUAUAAAAUCAAUUCCCCAACAAUCAAAUAUUUCAAUGACAAGGAUGGGGUUUAAAGACACCAUGUUUCGCUUUGAAAUAAACUCCACCAUUUGUCAAUUCUUACACACUUUACAAAAUGCAUGUGAAUCUUUAAAUAAUGUAGGCUAAUAAAAUCCACACUGUAAUAUUUUUGCAGCUGUCUUUUUUGAAGAAAAAUAGCCACCGCAUGCUUGAGAAUGACAAAAUUUAAUGAUCUUACUUACCUCGUCGUCUGGUAUGCAUCUUCAAAAAAUUUGAUUAGAGUAGUACUUGAACAGUAUGGAUCAUCCCAGUAAAAGCUUCUCACUUCUGUUAAGAAUUUUUUCUUGUCUUGGGAACUCCAGCCACAUGGCAUUUCACAUGUUGAAAGAUACUUAACAAUAUUAGCCUACUAAGUCAUUUUGUUUAUAGAAAAUAAAAAUUCAUUAGGGAAAAAAUUAUUGAUGGGUAUUGUUUCAAUUGAAGACUCAUUCGUAAGUCUAGAAAGAUGAUCUGUAACAACAUUUUCAACACCCUUUUUGUCCUUAAUUGCCAAGUUAAAUUCUUGAAGUAGCAAAAUCCAUUGUAUCAACCUUGGUUUGGCAUCCUGUUUUGACAUUAAAUAUCUCAGAACAUCAUGAUCAGAAUAAACAAUUGUGGAUAAUACGAACGAAAUUUAUUCAAUGCAAAUAUUAUAACAAGUAGUUCUUUCUCAGUUGUAGUGUAAUUCAUUUGAUCACUAUUCAAAGUUCUACUUGCAUAAUAGAUGACAAAGGGUUUACCUUUCUUUUUUUGACGCAGAACAGCGCAAAUGGCAUAAUUACUAGCAUCACAUAUUAGCUUAAAAGGUAAAGACCAAUCAGGGGGUUGCAUUAUUGGGGCUGAUGUCAAAAGAGUAGUUAUUUUUUCAAAAACUUGUUGACAAUCUUUAGUCCAUUCAAAAGGUGUAUCUUUUAUUAGGAGGUUACAAAGUGGUCUAGAUAUGGCACUAAAGUCUUUUAUAAACCUCCUAUAAAAUCCUACGUGUCCUAAAAAGGAACAUGAAUGUGGUCUUUUCCUGGUCUUCUAAGGCUAUAGAGAUUUGAUAAUAGCCAGAUAGUCAUCAAGAAAGCAGUAGUGGGGAUGUCCAGCUACUCUUUCAAGAAUUUGGUCUAGAAUUGGAAUGGGAAAAUGAUAUUUUCUAGUGGCAUCAUUUAAUUUUCUAUAAUCAAUGCACAUGCGCCAACUAGAUGGAUUCGUGUUGGGAUUGAUUCACCUUUUUCAUUUUUUACAAUGGUUAUUCCAGAUUUCUUUGGCACUACUUGUGUUGGACUUAUCCAUUUAUUAUCAGAGAUAUGAUAGAUAAUUCAUACAUCUAGUAGUUUAAGGACUUCAUUCUUUACCACUUCUUUCAUAUGAGGGUUUAGUCUUUUUUGUGGUUGAUGGUUUGUUUUGGCAUUUUCCUCUAAGUGUAUUCGGUGUGUGCAAAUUAAAGGAUUAAUGCCUUUUAUGUCUUUUAAGGUCCAACCAAAUGCAGUUUUAUGCCUUUUUAGUACAUAUAACAACUUACCUUCUUGAUCAUGCAUGAGCUGGGAAGAAAUUGCCACCGGAUAUGUCUGUUGCUCUCCAAGAUAAGCAUACUUCAAUUCUUCUGGUAAGGGCUUUAAUUCGAGCUCUUGUGCUUCCUAUUUGUUUGGUUCUUCAGGUUGUAUCGUAUCUUCAAAGUUCGAUUGGCUAUCGUCACCUGUAGGUACCUGCAUAGAAUCAAGUGUAGAACAUAUGUUAGCAGUAUCACAAUUUAAUUCUUUACUUGAUUCAAAAGAACCAGCAAAAUAAUUUUCCACAGAGUUUGUAAAAUUCUCAUCCUGAAUGUGUUCCUCAAUGAUUGGCUCGAUGAGAUCAAUCUCCUCAUUCUCAUUGUCAUUAUCUUCUUGGUGGUGGGGUUGUUUACACAUGUUGGACACAUUGAGUUCCAAUGUCAUGUUGCCGAAAGAUAAAUUCAUUCCUCCAUUCUUGCAAUUAAUUAAAGUAUUAGUAGUAGCUAAAAAUGGUCGACCCAAUAUAACAGGAAUUUGUUUGCAUUCAUUAGCAAUUGGUUCCGUUUCCAAAACAAUAAAAUCCACAUGGUAUAUGAAUUUAUCAACUCAGACUAAUACAUCUUCAAUUAUUCCUCUUGGAACUUUAAUCGAUCUAUCAGCAAAUAAAAGAGUGAUAGAAGUUGGUUUUAACUUAUUGAGAUUGAGUUGUUGGUACAUUGAGUAAGGAAGCAAAUUAACACUAGCACCAAGAGCAAGUAGAGCAUGUCUAAUUUUAUGAUCCCCAAUAAUGCAAGAAAUAGUUGGACAACCAGGAUCCUUAUAUUUCAAAGCACUAUUGGUCGAGAGAAUGGAACUUACUUGUUUUACCAGAAAAGCUUUCUUUUGCACUUUAUGUUCCCUUUUCACCGUGCACAGAUUUUUCAGAAAUUUAGCAUAAGAAGGUAUUUGUUUAAUGGUGUCCAGCAAAGGAAUGUUGACCUUCACUUGUUUAAAAACUUCAUAAAUUUCUGGACUGUGGUUUGAUUUCUUUGGCUUGAUUAGUGCUUGAGGAAAUGGGGGUACAGGAAGAGAGUUGGUUAUUUCUUCAUGGGUUAAAGGUUUGACAGACUCUUCCCUAUUUUCUGAAAUUAAAUCUUUGCUAGUUUCACGAGGGUUCACAAUGUGUUUUUCGACCACUUUACUAUCACAAAUGGUUAUAACCGAUUUGACUUGACUCAUAUUUUGGUUUCCCGAAUUUCCCAUUUGAGGAUGUUGUUGACUCUUGGGGUUUGGUUCAGGUUGAGCAGGAAACUUUCCUUUUUCAUGCAUGGUUGGAGCAGAUGUAAGUUUGCAGAUAGUUUAUGUCAAAUUGGUUAAGGUUUGCAUCGUUUGGUUAUUGAUCAACACUUAUUUUUCAAUAAACGAAUGCAAUGUGUCUUCCAGAGUUUUUCUUGAUGGUGGGACAUAUGGUGGGUAACUCUGGGGGUUUUAGAAAAUUUGACAUGAAAGAACUAGUUGUGAAGGCUGUGCAUGAUUUUCAUUUCUCCAACUGAAAUUUGGGUGGUUUCUCCAACCAGAGUUGUAAGUUUGGGAGUAUGGAUUUAGAUUUGGCCUUUUGAAAUUGUCAACGACAUUUACUUGUUCAUGCAAACUUUCUCUCAGAGCUGGCAAAGUUGGAUAGUCCUGCGUAGAAUGGUCAGUAGAAUCGUAAACAUAACAUGAAAUAUUUUGAACAGACUUUACAUUAUCAUUCUUUUUCAACUCUAAUGCUUCGACUUUUCUAGCUUAGGAUGCAAAUUUGGCUUGAAAAUCAUGGUCUUCCCUAAGGUUGUGUAUGCCUCCAUCAGAUGAAGAUGACUGUGGUUUAUUUGAUGACUUAUAAGAACCAACUGUAUUAUAGUGUUGUGCAUUCUCUGCUAUAUAGUCAAGAUAGUCUAAUGCAUCUUCAAGACUUUUAUCCCUAAACUCACCAUUACACAUCAUUUCAACGACUUGUCUAUCUUGAGAUGUUAAUCCCUCGUAAAAAUAAGACAUUAAUCUCCAUGUUUCAAAACCGUGGUGUGGGCAAAUGUUAAGUAGUUCUUUAAACCUAUCCCAACAUUGGUGGAGAGUUUCUCCUGGUUUUUGAGUGAAUAUAGUGAUUUGUCUUUUGAAAGAAUUUGUUAUGUGGGGUGGGAAGAAGUUUUUCAAAAAUUGUACUUGCAUUUCAUCCCAAGUUCUGAUGGAUCAUGACCUAAAAUUUGUAGCCAAAUUUUAGUUUUAUCUUUUAGUAAGAAAGGAAAAAACUUAAGCCUGAUUAUAUUCAUGCUACAAUUUUGAUCAGUACAUGUGUUACAGACUUCCUCAAAUGCCCUUAAAUGCAAACAUGGAUUUUCAGACUCAAAACUAUGAAAAGUAUGAAGAAGUUGAAUGAUAUCAGGUUUGAAAUUAAAACGUGAUGCAUCAGGAGGGAAAACUAUGCAUGAUGGUGACCUUGUUCUAAUGGGAUGCAUGAAGUCUCUAAGGGUCCUAGGUUGUUCAUGAAGAUUUUGCAAGGCUUGGUCAUUUUCGUGCUCUGAAAAAAUUUCAGCUCCUAUGUUAGCCAUAUCUAAGGGUGAUGAAGGUGAUCUCCUAAUUAAUCUGCCACUAUUUCUACGAGACCAACGACGCAUGCAAUGGUAAUGAUGUGUGCUAAACCAAUGAUGCAUAAAACGAUAAAUGAAAAUUGUAGAAAAUAAAAAUAAACUAGAAAUUAAGUUAGCAAAAAUACGAAAUAAAAAUAAACAAAUUGAAAAUAAAUAAAUUAGGCGGUGAAACCAGCCAUAAACAAAGAAAUUGAAAGAAACAGUUUAGGCGAUAUUUUAAAACCAGCCAUAUAAUAAAACAUAAAAUUAAAUAAAUUAAUGUACAAGAAUAAAUAAACUGAAAUUAAAAUGAUAGGCAGUAGAACCGACUAUAUAAAUAAAUUAACAAACUGAAAUUAAAAUUCUAGGCUAUAGAACCGACCAUUUAAAAUAAAUGUGGAGAGUAAAUUGUAAAAGUUUAAAGAAAUAAAUUCUAUUUAGGGACUGAUUUGCAAAGGUUUUUGGGCUAAAAUGAAGUUUGUCAUAAAUUUAUAGAUAAUGUUAAAGUUUGAAAAGAGGAGGGGCGCUAACUGAAGUUUUUCAAAAAGAGAAUAAAAUAGAAUUACGGAAAGAUAGAAACGACAAAAAAAAAAUUAAAAUAAAAUAAAGUAAAGAUAAGCUAACACCAAAUUUAGAAAACUACGCGAUAACGGCACCAAAAUUUUGACACGACUUAAAAGUGUAUUACUCACAAGUAUAAGAUUGUCUAGUUAUAAUAUAACCCGGUGAGUUUGGCGUCUAACCACAAGGAAUUUUUAAAUUUAGUUGUCAAUUUGUUAAACAAGGAAAAUAAUUGUGGGGAAAAUAAAUUAGUUGAAAACAAUUUAAAAAUAUACUAAGGUUACGGGAUCCACUCUCAGUAUUCAAACUAUAAUUUUAAUACUCUCUCAUUUAUAUUUUGCCUCAGUUUUACUAGUUAAUUAUUAUAUCAUUUAAUUCUAUGUGUAUGAAUAAAUAUGGAAUAAAGUACCUAAUGUGUCACACUAUAUUAAUGUGUCGACAUUAUGUCAAAAUAACAUACAAAUCUAAAGGAAUUUAUAAAUUAACAUGACAUAAAAAUAACUAGAAAAGAAUAAAAUAAACUUAAAAACUCAUUUGAGAAAAUAAUAAAUUUAAUAGUUUGAAACAUUGAGCUUCACCCUUCACUUCAACUUAAUAAAAUUAGCCACUCAUAUUGAAAGAAAACACAACACUCUUUUUAUUUGAUAUACUUUUGAAAUAUGUUACAAAGAAAAUUGAUACAGACGGAAACAAGAAAAGAAAAGAAAGAAAGAAAGAAAGAAAGAAAGAAAGAAAGAAAGAAAGAAAGAAAGAAAGAAAUUCUUCAGCUACACUUUUGGCUGUCACUCUCUCUCAGAACUCGGCUCUGCCCCCAAUGGCUUGCAUCCCCUUGUUUUUUAUAGGCAAGGGAAGCAUAUUCUUUUCUUUUCUUUUCUUUUCUUUUAUUAAUAUUAAUAUUUUAUUUUAUUUUUAUAUUAUAUAUAUUUUAUUUAUACAUAUAUGUUUAUUUUUAUAUUAAUAUUAAUAGUUUAUUCCAAUCUUUAUUUUAUUUUAUUAUUUUUAAUAACAUCUCCUCGAUUGAUGAAUUCUAAAUUGCUCCAGCUGUCCUUUUUUGUUCUCGCUUUUAACUCCAAUUCCAUCUUUAUUCCUGAAAAAUAUUUACAAGAUAAAAAUUAAUAUAUUGCAAAUUAAUUUAACAUAAAAUAUAUUUGGGGAGUAUUAAAGUAAUUUAGAAAUAAUUAGUGCAUUAAUCGAUACAAUAAGUGAAAAACUAAUAAUUUUAUCCUUAUUAAAUGUACACUUUUUAGUGUCAAUCAUUUUACAUCCUAAUUAGCAAGACAAGUUUUUGGGGUGUAUGGGCGCCCCAGAAAAAAAAAACCGUGUGGGUCUUGUUAAGGCCCAAAGCUGACAAUAUCUUGUCAGAUCUGGGUUGGGACAGAACAGAUGGUAUCAGAGCGGGUCUGCGUGUCUUCUUGAAUGAUGGUAGGCAAACGGCAAACCUUAGCGAGAAUGUUGAGUUCCUAAGGGAGGUGUAUGUAACACCCUAAGCAAAUCCCACAUUGACCAAACAUAAAAGAGAUGCUGUGUUUACAAGGGGUGAUCUACACCCUAAUUGGCAAGACGCGUUUUGGGGUGUAUGGUUGCCCUAGAAACAAAACCACGUGGGCCUUAAAGUAGAAAUAUCUUGCCAGGUCGGGGCUAGAUCAUGUAACAGCCCAAUUCUCUUAAGGGUAGUUUAGUAUUUUUAAUUUAUUAAUAUUUUUGUACCUUAUUAUAAAAAGAAUAAGAUGUUUUGCCUCUACUAUUGAUAAGAGAGAGAGAGAGAGAGAGAGAGAGAGAGAGAGAGAGAGAGAGAGAUUGGUUAAAAAAAAGAACAAAAGAAGAAGAAGAGAAAAAAAGAGAAAAGGAAAGGAGAAGAAGAAAGUCUUUUCCUUCAUAUAGUUAUGAGCAAUAAAUGAGAUCAAAGUAGUGUCUUUUGAAUUGGAUUUGUGCCGAGAGAGAAUUGGAGAUAAAUUUCAAUUCUUGAUCCUUGUUAAUUGCUAUAGAAAAGCAUGAUUAGAUAGUGGUAAGAGAAGUAGAACUUAAGAUUUUACAGAAAAUAUGUUGAUGGUAUGUUAUUUUGAAAAUCAUAGUAAUUUAUACAAAUUGAUUUUGAUUCUGGAUUUUGGAUAUGUUAAACUAUAUAUCUUCGAGAAUGUUUUGGAACUUGUUUCAAGCUAAUCGGAUAAGAUUUCAAUUAAUUACGAUUUUUUAAACUCUAGUUUGAAAACCUUGAAAUUUCUAAUUUCAGCGAAGAACAUGAAUUACAAAAUUAUUUUACCAUAACUAGACUUCUUCAAAAAUUAUGAAACUUGGAUCAACGAUUUUUAUAUAUGUCUAGUGUGAUUUUGGAAAUUUUCAUGAUUUUAUGAUAAAACAAUAAAUUGUUUGAUAGAAUUGAUGAUGUUUGAAACAUAAAUUAUUUUCAAUAUUUUUUGAAAGAAUUAAGCUAUGAAAUUUUAAUCAAUGAAUUUCUAGUAUGUCAGCAUAUGCUCUUGAAAAUUUGGGAUUUCUCCAAUAAGGUAAUAAUUUAUUAAAAAUCGGAGAACAUGGGCUGUUUUAUUUUGAGAUCAAAUAUUGAGAGUGUUUGAGGUUGACUUUAGAAGAUGUUUAAAAUGAGUAAUUUGAGGAUGUUGGAAUUAUGAUUAGGACUUGAUUAUAUCUUAUGAGAGUUAUAUUAAUGAUUUUUAGUUCGAUGAUAUCAAUACGCAUUUGUUACAUGUGGAUGCCAAGAGGUAAGUAAACUAGACUUCUAAAUAGAUCACAAUAAACAAUACGUAUAUGUUUGACAUGUUUGAAAAACCUAUUUUUGAUAUGUACGGAUAUGAUUUAUAUGUUUCUGCCAUGUGUUUAUGUGAUGUGUUGUUAUGUGUUGAGCGUGAUUAUAUACAUGGGCAUAUGUAUGUGUGAAAGUUCAUUAGCAUAAGCAUGAUGAAUAUGCAAAGCUUUUAUAAAAGUAUGUUCAGUACUAUUGCAUUCUAUAAGUCUAUGAUUUGUACAUGAACUUUGCUAUUAUAUUAAUGGUGCGUUUACUUCUUGGAUUAGGGAAUCAAAAUCCGAAAUUGGAAUCAUUGACAACGUUUUCUCCACAAAUAGAGUCGGGAAUCGAAAUCGAAAUUGUGGGGCCCACCACAAUGUAAAUGAGGAAUGGGAGACUCAUUCCCAAGGAAGAGGGUGGGAAUCAGUCUCCCAGUCCCGGGGCUAACCAUUUUGCCCUCCCUCAAAAUAAAAAAUGCCGCUUUGUCCUCAUUUAUAAUUAAUCAAUAUAUUGUUAUAAUUUAUUUAUUUUUUAUAAUAAUUAUUAAUAUAAUUAUUAUAAUUAAUUAAUAUAAUUAAUAUAAUUAUUACUAUUAAUUAAUAUAUUUUAUUAUAAUUAAUUAAUAUACUAUUAUUAUAAUUAUUAAUAUAAUUAAUUCAUGUAUUAUUAUUAAUUAAUUAAUAUAAUUAUUACUACUAAUUAAUAUAUUAUUGUUAAUAAUAUAUUAAUAAUUAUAAUUUUUGAAUAAAUAAUCACCAUAAUUAAUAUAUUAUUAUAAUUAAAUAAUUAAUAUUAUUAGUUCAUAUAUUUUUAUAAUAAUUAUUAAUAUAAUUAUUAUACUUAAUUAGCAUAUUAUUAUAAUUAAUUAAUUAAAAUUUUUUAUAAUAUAUUAAUAUAUUAUUGACAAUAAUUGUUAAUAAUAAUUUUUGAAUAAAUAAUCACUAUAAUUAAAAUAUGAAAUAAUAAUUAUGACAAUAAUUUAUUAAGUACUUUUUAGUAAUUUGUUACAAUUUAAUUCAUUUUGAUUCCGAUUCCAAGACAAAAUAAACACAUUAAUGGCAAUCCAACUCAUUCUGAUUUCGAUUCUUAUAGUUCAAGUAAACAACUUAUUUUCUAUUCCUUAUUCCUAUUUCAUCCCAUUCUUAUUCAUAUUCAUUUCGAUUCCUGCCCAUUUCAAUUUUAAUUUUGCAAAUGCACCAUAAGUUUCAUGAUAGUUUGCAUUGGGGCCACCUCUUAAAGCUGUAUAGGGGGCCACCUGUCAUGACCCAACUCAGACCUAGUAUGAUAUUGUCCGCUUUAGGCUUUAACAAGGCCUGCACGAUUUUGUUUCUAAGGUGCCAGUACACCACAAAACACGUCUUGCCAAUUAGGAUGUGGAUCGUCUCUUAUAAAUCCAACAUCUCUCCCGUGCUUUGUCAAUGUGGGGUUUGUGAAAUACUAACUAGGCAACCCAGGAGGGGGGGGGGUGAAUUGGGAUAUUAAAAGUUAUUUAAUCCUAAAACAAAACUCAAUGCAAAUCCAAAACAAAUUUAAAGCAAUAACAAAUAAAUCAAUCACAAUAUAAAAAGAUAAGGGAAGAGAGAGCAAACACAAUGAUUUUUACGUGGUUCGGCAAUCCCCGCCUACGUCCACGCCUCCAAGCUCACCGGGCUUGAGGAUUUCACUAAGCUAGCCUCCCAAGGCUUUAAACGCUUACAAUUGACUUCCAAGGUGUCAAUGGACCUUUACAACAAGAGAUUAUCCCCAAUCUCUUAACCCAAGUGUAUCCAACACUUACAAUUACUCAAAGUAAAAGAUUACAAGUUGUUCUUCUCUCACACAAUAUUUAAGAUUACAAAUCAAUGCCCAAUGUGUGAAUAGAUGAAGAGAGAAUGUGUUUUUAAAGCUCUAUGAAGAUUGUAUUCUCGGAUAUAGGCUCAAUGGUCGUGUUGUGAUCAACCUCCUUUGAUUUUGAAUGAGCUUAUUUAUAUCUGGAGCUGAAAAACUAACCGUUACAAACUGUCAGUCCGAAAACGAUUCGCCGUUAAUGAUUAACGGUUAACCGUUUAGGUUGGUUAAAAGUUACCAUUGAGCCAAAAUUCAAAUAAACGGUGUGUCGUUAAGGGUUACCCUCUCACCGUUAGUUUCUAGAGACUAGCAAUAUGAACAUCAGUUAUCCGUUUAAAGUAAACGGUUAAGGAUUUGCAUGAAGUGACUCCUCUGGAUAUUAUCGGUUGACCGUUUGUAAUAAACGGUUCACCGUUUGUUUCCAGUAACCUGCAAAACAAUUUAGCCUUAUCCGGUUUUGUUAAUCAAUUCCAGAGGAGGACAACCUUCAAUUCUGGAUGUUAUCGGUUAACCGUUUAAAUAAACGGUUCACCGUUAAGUUCAAGUAGCCUUCCCAUCUUUUGUGUUUUUCCAUUUUUCACAAACAGUUAGAGCUUUAGGCAAUAUGUUGCUAUCUGGAUGUUAUCGGUUAACCGUUUAAAUAAACGGUUCACCGUUAAGUUCUAGUAGCCUUCCCAUAUUUUGUGUUUUUUCGUUUUUCAUAAACGGUUAGAGCUUUAGGCAAUAUGUUGCUCUCUGGAUGUUAUCGGUUGACCAUUUAAAUAAACGGUACACCAUUUAUAUCCAGAAUUACAUUUUAAACCAUAUUUUACAGAGAAUCUUUUUCUAAUUUGAAAGUCCAUCUUUUAUGAAAAAUGAAUGGAAUGAUUAUUAAUGCUUUCGUUUAUUAAGGAAUAGGUCCAAUAUUUUUAUCAAAAAACCAUUUAAAAUUUGUUAUCGUCAAAAUCAAUAUUAUUAACAUAUUCAUGUUAACAAUCUCCCCCUUUUUGAUGAUGACAAAUUUCAAUCAAUGUUUAACUCCCCCUUAAUAUGUGCUCCCCCUAAAUGUAUGGCCAAAUUAAGAAAUGUUCAAUAAAAGGAUUUUUGCUCAAGAAAACAUUUUUAAAUUCAUUCUUAAUCUCCCCAUUUUAAAUCCAUUUUAAAUACCAUAAUUAUCUCCCCCUUCAUCAUCAAAAAGAAAAGAGAGAAUAGGAAAAACGUAAAUCCGUUAAAGAAAUUAUCCGGUGUUGGCAAGUGAAAAUUUUGGCAGAGUUUCCCCUUAAAAAGGAGCAAAACCACUAAUACAAAAUGAGAUUAAAACACUUCCAAAAUAGAUUAACACCAACUUCAUCUUUCAACAAACCAACAACUCCAUGAACAAACAAACCAACACUUCAAUAUCCAAUAAACCACAAAUUGCAUCAACCAAUCACCAAGUCAUCCAAUCAGCAAGAACAUCACAAACAUAUGUCAUCAAAAUUCAGAAAGAACAUAUAGAGGGAACAAUGUAUAUAAAAAUAUAAAUGCAAACAACCAAAAUGUAUGUGCGAAAACAGAACUCAGAAACUAUGGUGGUGGAGAAGAUGUGCUCCUCGGAUCAUAGCCGAAAUAGCGGAGAAGAGUGCGCUGUCCAGCGAUAAGCUCAAGCUGCUGGAAGGUCUGAAAUUCAGAACGUAGCUACUGGUGGUCACGGGAAAUAGUGUCCAACCGAUCAAGAAUCAGCUGCUGGCGCUCUGAAAUCGGGUGAACAUCAACAAUCAAUUGCUGCACAAUGUCUGAAGCAGGGGGCUGAACUGGAGUUGGAGGCGGCAUAGAGGCAGAUUGUUGCUCAGGAACAGCAGAUGGCUGCUUAGGAAUAGCAGAUGGCUCAGGAGCAGGAGGCGGCUCGGAAGAGGAGGGAAUGACAGCAUCCAUCGCACGCUCCUCAGAGUCAGAGUCAGUUGGAGGCCGAAGGACAAAACGGUGACGCGGAGGAUGAGUAUGAGCUCCUAAUCUAAAGUCCGGAAGCUGAUCGAGAGGAUAGAUAUCAUUGAGCAUCCGAUCGUCCUCUGGAGCAAUCAAGGUAUCCCGGUUUUUGGAGUUGCUUGUCUUUAUCCACUCUCCAUUCUUCCUAGAAAAACCAAUACUAGUCAUGGCCUUGGGACCAAUCCGUCUAGUCUCCAUAUAUCCAGUAUCAAGAAGAGGCACCUCAAAGCGUCGCAGUAUCUUAGUAAUGAUACUGCCAUAAGGAAGCAAGCGGUGAUUGACCGUGGGAAUACUCAACAUAUGCCGCACAAUAACAUACCCGAGGUUAAUGGGACAGUCUGUAAGUAGGCUAUCUAGUAGGCCAACGUCCAACCUCGUAACCUCAUCCGAGUGACCCUUUCUAGGUGUCACUAUGUGCUGUAAAAUAGUGUGAAGAAUGCAAACUUGGAGGGGUAAAAGUUGAGACAAAAAAGGAAGCAAACAAAUCUCUUCAGACAAGUCUCGACGACGACAUAUAUUGCGGAUGCCAUCAGUAUGACAAAAACUGUCAAAGAAAAGAGCUUUCCUAGAGGUGUAUAUAUCAUGCCUCUCACUAGAGAUACCAAGAAAGUCAGCUAGGUCCGCAUCAUUAAACUCUAUUGACACGACCGACUUGAGUAAUUAUCCUAUUUGGGCAAGUAUCAGAGAUUUCCAUGUUUGAAUAAAAGACUCGUACUAAAUUUGGAUAAACUCGGUCAUCAAGGUUAAUGGCAGGCUCCCAAGGCUGAAGCAUAUCCCGAAUGCUUCUACCAUAUACAACUAAGUUACGGAAAUCAUCAAUGUUAAUAAAGAAUGAGUCAAGUACCUUUCGACCGUUGAAGCGAUCUUCGAACCACUUGGCCAAGGAAGGUGUAGGGAAGUGAAUGCGUGCAAAUUCAGAGACUUCCCGUGGUGGUAUAGGAUUCCUUGGAGGCACAAAUUUACGCCUGAGAUUUCUCCGAGGGGGUUCAGCCAUGGAGAAACACAAUGGAGUGUGGAAAAUGCAGGAGAGAUGUGAUGAGAAGAAAAAGAAUCGAUGAUUGGCUUAUGAAUGAAUAGAGGAUGUGAGUUGGAUGCUUAAUUUGGUUGAAGAAGGGGAAGAAUCAGAUUAAAAACGAAGAAACUCGACCCGCGAUAGUUAGGGUUUCAAUUUGGGAUUUUUAAAUUUUGGGCUUGAUUUGAAGUUUUGAAUCGGUGAAAUUGUUCUAAAGGUGAUAAGAAAUGAUGUUGGAGGUUUGAUUUGGCAAGAAAAGAAAGAAAAAUAAGGGUUUGAAGGUAGAGAAACCUUCGGCUGUGCAACAAUGGCCGAAACAGUGAAAGGUUAACUGGAGAAGGAGAAGAAAAGACCUUUGAACAGUUUUUAUAAUCGCGAAAACGGUUAACCGUUUAUUGAAACGGUUAAGGGGUAACUUCCAGAAGCUAAAGAAUAGGCAACGGUGAAAGCUUAAGCGCUUAACAGCUAAGGAGCAACUGUUAGAGGACUCUCUGUUUUCAAAUGAUUCACCGAUUGUAGCAAACGGUGAAAGAGCAAACGGAUAGACACAUAAUCUCGUUUCUGGAAUUAAACGGUGAACCGUUUAUUGGAAACGGUUAACCGUUUAUUUUUAUCAGUAAUUUCGCACAUUUGAUUUAAUUUUUGGCCAGCAAAUUAUAUUCCAAGAUUAUUUAAUUGAUCUGAAAAUAUUUUAUGAGCCAUUUUAAUGGAUGAUUCAUGAACAUGUUUUCAACCAAUUAAUUCAUAUAAUCAAGAAUUAUCAAGGCAAAUUCAUCAUUUGACUAUCAAGCUCAAGCAUUUCACAAAUAUUAGAUCACAACUAAGUCAAUCAAUUCAGUACACUCAAUAACAUGAAUCGAGACGUUAAUGCAAAAAUUUCAUCAUCCCAAGUUCAUGCCGAAUUUUUUAAAAUUGUUCUUCGCAAAGUGGUUUUGUGGAAAUAUCGGCAAGUUGUUUUUCCGUAGAAAUAAACUCUAAUGCAAUAUCUCCCUUUUGAACAUGAUCUCUCAAGAAAUGAUGUCUUAUUUCUAUAUGCUUGGUUCAAGAGUGUUGAAUGAGAUUCUUUGAAAGAUUUAUAGCACUAGUAUUAUCACACUUAAUAGGAAUUUGUUCAAGAUUAAUGCCAUAAUCUCUAAGAGUUUGUUUCAUCCAAAGUGCUUGUGCACAACAACUUCCAGCAGCUAUAUAUUCGGCCUCGGUAGUUGAAAGUGUGACCGAAUUUUGUUUCUUGCUAAACAAUGAAAUAAGAGAGUGUCCUAGAAUAUAGCAAGUACCACUAGUGCUCUUCCUAUCCACUUUAUAACCGGCAAAGUCCGCAUCCGAAUAACAUGUUAAAUCUAUAUGAGUUCCUCUAGGAUACAAAAGGCCAAUAUCUAUGGUUCCACUCAAAUAACGGAAAAUUCUUUUAACAGCAAGCAAAUGGGAUUCCUUGGGACAUGACUGAAAUCUUGCACACAAACAUACACUAAACAUGAUAUCGGGUCUAUUUGCAGUCAAAUAAAGUAGGGAUCCAUCUCGAUACAUUUUGACAUCCACUUCUUUGCCUUUUUCAUCUUUGUCCAGCUUGGUUGUUAUGCUUAUUGGUGUAUUCUUGGUCUUUGAGUUAUCAAUGCCGAAUUGUUUGAGUAGAUCUUUUACGUAAUUGAGUAGAUUUAUGAAAAUUCCUUCCUCGUUUUGUUUGAUUUGAAGUUCAAGGAAGUACUUCAACUCUCCCAUCAUACUCAUCUCAAAUUCUUUGCUCAUACACGAUGAAAAUUCUUUACACAAUAACUCAUUAGUAGAACAAAAAAUAAUAUUAUCAACAUAAAUUUAAACAAUAAGUAUGUCUUAGUUCUUGUGCUUAACAAAUAGAGUAGUAUCCGCUUUAGCCAUAGAAAAAUCAUUUUCUAGCAAGAAAUUUUUAAGUCUAUUAUACCAUGCUCUAGGUGCUUGUUUUAAUCCAUACAAGGCUUUAAGCAACUUAUAAACAUGAUUUGGAAAUUUUUCAUUUUCAAAACCAAGGAGUUGUUUUAGAAACACUUCUUCCAUGAUAUAUCCAUUUAAGAAAGCACUUUUCACAUUCAUUUGAAACAAGAUGAAAUCUCUAUGACAUGCAAAUGCCAACAACAUUCUAAUUGAUUCUAGUCUAGCAACGGGUGCAAAAGUUUCAUCAAAAUCAAUUCCUUCUUCUUGGUUGUAACCUUGAGCCACUAAUCUAGCUUUAUUUCUUACAACCACACCGGAUUCAUCCAUCUUAUUUCUAAAGAUCCAUUUUGUACCUAUGACGGAUUGAUGUUCCGGUUUAGGAACUAAUUCCCACACAUUGUUUCUUUCAAAUUGAUUUAACUCCUCUUGCAUUGCCAUAAUUCAAGAUUCAUCAUUUUCCGCAUCCGCAAAGGAUUUGGGUUCAAUUUGAAAAAUGUAUGCAUUAUGCUCACAAGUAUUUCUAAGUGAUGAUCUAGUUGUAACACCUCGUAAGGGAUCACCUAAAAUUAUAUCUAUAGGAUGAGAAGAGACAUACCUCCACUCCUUGAGGAGUGUUUGGGAAAUACCUUCUUGUUGCUCCAUCUCCGUAUUUGUUUGCUCUUCUUGUCUAUCCUCUUGAUUUUCUUGUGAUGCAUUUUCUUGAAUCUCUUUCGAUGAUUCUUCUUGUAAAUCUCCAUCUGCAUCAUCAUUAGCAACUCCUUUCUCCGUAGAGCAGGGGUUAGACUCAUCAAACGUAACAUGCAUGGAUUCUUCCACAACUAAAGUUCUUUUAUUAUAAACUCUAUAAGCUUUACUUGAGUUUGAAUACCCAAGAAAGAUGCCAACAUCAGAUUUUGGAUCAAAUUUACCAAGAUUAUCUUUUGUGUUUAAAAUAAAACAUUUGCAUCCAAAAACUUUGAAAUAACCAAUGUUGGGUUUUCUAUCUUUCCAAAGCUCAUAGGGAGUUUUGUUGAGAUGAGGUCUAAUCAAUACUCGAUUUAAAACAUAGCAAGCGGUGCUGACGGCUUCGACCUAAAAAUAUUUAGGUAAAGCAUUUUCAUUUAACAUGGUACUAGCCAUUUCUUGAAUAGACCUAUUCUUUCUCUCAACAACUCUAUUUUGUUGUGGAGUCCUAGGUGAUGAAAAUUGAUGCUCAAUGUAAAAUUAUUGCAAAAGUUCUCAAAUGCAUGAUUUUCAAAUUCUCCUCCAUGAUCACUCCUAAUGCAUAUAAUAUCAUGCUCUUUUUCAUUUUGUAAUUUCUUAUAAAGCACUUUAGAAGCAUCAAGUGCAUCAUCCUUAUUGGCUAAGAAUAAUACCCAUGUAUAUCUAGAAAAAUCAUCCACUAUCACAAAUGCAUAAUACUUGCCAUUUAGACUAGCAUAUAUAGAUGGCCCAAAUAGAUCUAUGUGAAGGAGUUGAAGUGGUUUUGAAGUAGAGAUAUGGUUUUUAUUUUUGAAAGAGGUUUUGAUUUGUUUUCCAAAUUGACAAGCUUCACAAAUCUUAUUCUUUUGAAAACCAAUUUUCGGAAGACCUUUAACUAAAUCAUUUUUUGAAAUUUUCGAAAUCAAAUCCAUACUUGCAUGUCCUAAUCUUCUAUGCCAUAGCCAACUAUCAUCAUGUAAUGCGGAAAAAACAUUUAUCAAGAGUAGAUGCACAUUCUAUGUCAAUGAUAUAAACAUUACCACAUCUAUUACCAACAAACAAGAUUUUGCUAUCACAUGAGUUCUCAAUAACACAACUAAAUUUGUCAAAGAUAACUUUAUAACCUUUGUCACAUAAUUGACUAAUGCUAAUUAAGUUGUGUUUCAAGUUCUCAACCAAACAUACAUUCUCAAUUAGAGUUGAGGAGACUUUACCAACAUUUCCAAUUUCAAGAAUUUUUCCUUUUGAGUUGUCUCCAAAAGAUAUAUCUCCACUAUUUUCAAUUUUGGUGAAGUUUGAGAACCAUGCAUAGUUUCCGGUCAUGUACCUUGAACAACUGCUGUCCAAGUACCAUUUAUUUUUCUUCUUCUUUAAGCCCUACAAAGAAAAUCUCAAGUUUUAGGUACCCAAAACUUUUUGGGUCCUUGAGAGUUAGCAAUGGUUCCUUUUGGAACCCAAAUACAUUUGACACCAUAAUAUACAUUCCUUUUCACGGGACAUCCAUAUUUCAUGUGACCAUUUUGAUUACAAUAAUGACAGACAAUCUUAUGAUCAUUUGUGGAGGUAGCUUUAACAAAAUAAUUCUUAUAAUACUUUUGCUUCAAGUUAGGCUUGUAACCAAGUCCUCCUUUAUCAAAAACACAUUUUUGUGAAUUAAGCAUAUUAUCCAACAUCUUUUGACCAUUUGUAAAUUUCAAAACAAUUUCAUUCAAAUCAUUGCUCUUUUUCUUGAGCAUUUCAUUUUCAUUUUUCAAAUCAUCUAUGUGUGAUUCUAAAUGCUCAUGUGAGGUACUAUGCUUCUCAUUUGAUAAUGCAAGUUUAUCAUGCAAUGUUUUGUUCUCUACUUCUAGGCAUGCAAUUUUUGCAUUUAAAGAUUCAUUUUCAUUUUUAACUUUUGUCAUUUCCUUUUUAAGACAUACAUUCUUUUUACCAAUCUUUAUCAACUCAUUAUGCAAUUCUUCAAAAGCAUCAUACAAUUCAUCAUAGGUGGGAUCACUUACCUCAUUGAGAUUAUCAUCCUUUCCUAUUGCCAUAAGCGCUAGGUUUGAUUCCUCUUACAAUCCUUCUUCAUCACUUGAAUCUUCCUCGCUAUCAUCCCAUGUUGCAACCAUGGCUUUCUUCUUGAGUUUGAUGAUAAGUGGACACUCCGAUCUUAUAUGGCCAGGCUUCUUGCACUUACAGCAUGUGAUCACCUCUUUCUUCUCCCUUUGGUUCUUAAAGUUUCUGAAUUUUCUUUGCUCUCCAAUUUUCUUGAAAAACUUUCUGAACCUCUUUGCUAGCAUGGCUAACUCUUCAUCAUCCGGUUCACUACCUCCAUCACUCUCAUAUUUUGAAUCUUUGCGAGCGAUGCUUUUCUUCUUCUCCUCGUCUCUUUUUUUUACUGCCAAGUCUUCUUCAUAUGAAAUGAGAGAACCAAUUAAAUCAUCAAGAGGUAAAGUAUUUAAGUUUUUAGCCUCUUCAAUGGCAGUUCUUUUAGGUCUCCAUUCUUUUGGAAGUGACCUAAUGAUUUUCUUAACUUUCUCACUAUUUGAGAAGGUCUUCCCUAAGGCACCUAGAGUGUUCACUAUGUCCGUGAAUCUAGUAUACAUAGAAUACACAUUUUCAUUUUGUUCCAUUUGGAACAGCUCAUAUUGACGAGUGUAUCUACUGAUUUUAAACUCUUUAACUUGAUUUGUCCCUUUAUAGACAACUUCAAGUUUAUUCUAUAUUUCUCUUGCACUUUCACAACUAGAUACUCUAUGAAAUUCUUACUUAUCAAGGGCACAAAACAAAGCAUUCAUAGCCUUGGAGUUUAGAGAUAUCUUUCUCUUUUUUAACUCACUCCAUUGACUCGAUGGUUUAGGAAUAUCAUCUCCUACUUCAUUUUUAAACGUAGGCAUGAAUGGACCAUCAUAAACAACUUCUCAAAUUUCAUAAUCUAAGGCUUGCAAAUAGAUUCUCAUUCUAGUUUUCCAAUAAGCAUAGUCAUUACCAUAAAAAAAUGGUGGUCUAGUUGUAGAUUGCCCUUCUCUAAAGGUUGAGUCAUUUAGGGAUGCCAUGGAUCUUUUACUCUUAGACGAUUAAGUCCUAACAAGAGAACAAGGCUCUGAUACCAAUUGAAAUACUAACUAGGCAACCCAAGAGGGGGGGUGAAUUGAGAUAUUAAAAAUUAUUUAAUCCUAAACCAAAACUCAAUGCAAAUCCAAAACAAAUUUAAAGUAAUAACAAAUAAAUCAAUCACAAUAUAAAAAGAUAAAGAAAGAGAGAGCAAACACAAUGUUUUUACGUGGUUUGGCAAUCCCCGCCUACGUCCACGCCUCCAAGCUCACCGAGCUUGAGGAUUUCACUAAGCUAGCCUCCCAAGGCUUUAAACGCUUACAAUUGACUUCCAAGGUGUCAAUGGACCUUUACAACAAGAGAUUAUCCCCAAUCUCUUAACCCAAGUGUAUCCCAACACUUACAAUCACUCAAAGUAAAAGAUUACAAGUUGUUCUUCUCUCACACAAUAUUUAAGAUUACAAAUCAAUGCCCAAUGUGUGAAUAAAUGAAGAGAGAAUGUGUUUUUAAAGCUCUAUGAAGAUUGUAUUCUCGGAUAUAGGCUCAAUGGUUGUGUUGUGAUUAACCUCCUUUGAUUUUGAAUGAGCUUAUUUAUAUCUGGAGAUGAAAAACUAACCGUUACAAACUGUCGGUCCGAAAACGGUUCGCCGUUAAUGAUUAACGGUUAACUGUUUAGGUUGGUCAAAAGUUACCGUUGGGCCAAAAUUCAAAUAAAUGGUAUGCCGUUAAGGGUUACCCUCUCACCGUUAGUUUCCAGAGACCUACAAUAUGAACAUCAGUUAUCUGUUUAAAGUAAACGGUUAAGGAUUUGCAUGAAGUGACUCCUCUGGAUAUUAUCGGUUGACCGUUUGUAAUAAACGGUUCGCCGUUUGUUUCCAGUAACCUGCAAAAUAAUUUAGCCUUAUCCAGUUUUGUUAAUCAGUGCCAGAGGAGGACAACCUUCAAUUCUGGAUGUUAUCGGUUAACCGUUUAAAUAAACGGUUCACUGUUAAGUUCCAGUAGCCUUCCCAUCUUUUGUGUUUUUCCGUUUUUUAUAAACGGUUAGAGCUUUAGGUAAUAUGUUGCUCUAUGGAUGUUAUCGGUUAACCGUUUAAAUAAACGGUCCACCGUUAAGUUCCUGUAGCCUUCCCAUCUUUUGUGUUUUUCAUUUUUCAUAAACGGUUAGAGCAUUAGGCAAUAUGUUGCUCUCUGGAUGUUAUCGGUUCACCGUUUAAAUAAACGGUUCACCGUUUAUAUCCAGAAUUACAUUUUAAACCAGAUUUUGUAAAGAAUCUUUUUCUAAUUUGAAAGUCCAUAUUUUAUGAAAAAUGAAUGGAAUGAUUAUUAAGGCUUUCGUUUAUUAAGGAAUAGCUCUAAUAUUUUUAUCAAAAAACCAUUUAAAAUUUGUUAUCAUCAAAAUUAAUAUUAUUAACAUAUUCAUGUUAACAGUUUGCUUAGGGUGCUACAUACACCCUUCCUUAGGGACUCAGAGUCCUCACUGAGGUUUGCCACACCAUCGUUCAAUAUGACACAAGGACUCGCUCUGAUACCAUCUAUUGCGACCCAGUCUAGACCUGGCAAGAUAUUGUCUGCUUUGGGCUAUACAGUUUUGUUUCUGAGGUGCCUAUGCACCAUAAAACGUGUCUUGCCAAUUAGGGUGUGGAUCACCCCUUAUAAACCCAGCAUCUCUCCCGUGCUUUGUUGAUGUGAGAUUUGCCUAGGGUGUUACACAGUACCCUAUUUCAAAAUGAGUUGUUAGUUUAAUAAACUUGUGGGUUCCUCUAAUUACAUACCUUGUUUCGAAGAAAUUACAAUAUUCUCAAUAGUUUAAUUUUUCUUUAGUUACCUUUAAGUGAAUCCUUUAAAAUUUAUGUGAAGCUGAAAUGAUUUGUUCAAAAACAUGUAUUGUUGGAAUAUGUAGCAGUUGGUUACUUGUCUGUUGCUGCCUUUGACAAUUUUUAUUAGAGGAAUUUCAUCAAACAGAUCGUGCAUGUCUACGAAAAGUAACUAAAAAAUAAAAAAUGCAAUAAAAACAGUGACUAAAAGCAAAUAAAUCACGCAUGACCCAACAUCUAUUAAUUUAUUCUAAGUAAAAGCCCCAACACAUUGUGAACAAAGGAAGAAAAUGAAAAAUUACAUGUAACAGAGUAAAGAAAAACUCAAAAAAAUAAACAAUGCAUAAAGGAAAAUGUCGCCGUUCUUGGAUAUUUUAAACACAAAGAUAGAAGAAUAGACGUGUAUGAAAAUGGCUGGUGUUAGAAUCGUGUCGAUGAAAAUUACGGAUGUUGGAAUCACAUCAAUGAGAACCGCCAGUGUUGGAAUCGUGCUAAUGGGAACAACAUUUAGAGUUUGUUUUAUGGAAAAAUUGAUUUGAAAUUAAGUUUAAAAAUGAGGAGAAUAAAAUUGAAAUUAAAUAAUAUGUAAGGGUAAUUUAGUAAUUUAAUAUACAGGUGGGAAAAAAUCUACUGAGGUGUCAAAGUCCAGCUACAAGGUGUUACUAUUGAAAAUGAGGGGAUGAUAUAUGGAAAAAAGAAGCUUCAUUUUAAAUUAAUGAACAAAAUUAUUCUUUCACAAAGUAUUAAAAACAAUAAAAUACUAUUACAUAGCUCGGAAAGUUUGUAUUAAGUUAUAGAAUUAGGUGUCUCUUAUAUAUAUGUCUUCCCAUGAAUAAAAGCAUGUGUAUUAAGUUAUGAAAUUGUGGAUUAUUAUACCAGUCUAAUGGCUCUUUCCCUUUCAACAUUAUUGUACGUAUUUUGCAAGGAAACAUCCUCUAUCUUUCUUUCAAUUAAUGUCCAAUUAAGACUUCCGCGUGCCCAAUUAAUGUCAAUCACUCAAUUGUUUUUGAACGUGUACAGGAUAACAACUUAAAGACUUUAGAGGGCCAGCGUUAAUUCAAAGUCAAAACUAGGUUAUUACCCUACAUGAUUCUUGAUAGUGAGGUGAAAAAAAGGUUGAAAAGGAUUCGGAUUUAAUCUUGAGUUUAGUUUUUAUUGAGCACUGAAUUAAUAAUUAAUAUUUAUUUUGUAUUUUUAUUUAUUUAUCUUACUUAACAACCAUUUACUUAAAUCCUUGUCCGGUUGAAGGAUACUAGAUAAAUGAUUUUUAAAACUUUAGUUAUUUUUGUGUAUAAAACAAAAACUUUAAAUUAUUUAGUUUCAAAAGAGAGAAAAAAAAUCUAGACUUUGACCUGCUUGGGAAUAAAUUAUAUUUGUUAUUUAAAAAAAAAUCAUACUAUGAGAAAGAGAAAAUAUAAGUGGGGUUAAUUCUAUUUGUAUGUCCUUAAAUAUAAUUGUAUAGAAGAGGGAUUUUAUAAUAUUAAUGAAGGGGUGCCAAUACUCCAACCUUUUCUCAAUUUUUUUUUUAAUUUUUAUUCAUCUACCCAAUGGCUGAAUUUAUUUUCAUUAUUAUGUAGGUGUGGUGUUACUAGAAAUCAAAGAAUAGGAUCCUCUCCUGAUCUGAGCCCUACUGAGAUUUUAAAGAUCUUCUGUCAUGUGUCAUUUAGUGGUAGUGUAGGGAUAAGAUUUAACUUCUUUUACUUUUUUAUUUAUUAACUACCAAUCAACAAUUGAAUUAUUUGCUCAGGACAUAAUCAGAUCAAGAGAGAAUCUUGAUCCAGAAAUCAAAUGCUGCCUUUUUUUUUUUCCCCUCCUCUCCUCACUUGUGGUGGAAUAAGGAGAAUUGAACCAAACCAAUAUCCUAAUUACUAACAGAUUUGAGACAAAAUUAACAUUUUAAAAUAUUGCAAACUGGUAAAAAGUCAAACUUUUAUUUGCUACAUAAAUAUAAUCUACUUUACAUAUUAAUAUCAAAUUCGUUAGGUUAAAUUCUAGGUUCAAAUCCUAGCAGCGAAAUUAAUUUCUUUAUAGCUGGCAAACAUAUAUGCACUUUUUUUUCUUAAUUUACGCAGAAGUUUGAGUUAAACUAGUAAAGGAAUUAUUUUCUAAUUAACUUCUUCUUUUUGAUUUUGGAAAAAAAAAAUUGAAAGAAAGAUAGGAAGCUGAAAUUGAAGCCGAAUCAACUGGAGCUGCAUCAAGCAUCUUUUGAAAUUCUUCUUCUUCUUCUUUUUUUUAAAAUUUUUUAAAUGUUAUUGAGGGCAAAUAAAGUCUAUAUGCUUAAUAUUGAACAUAAUUUUUAACAAAUAAAAACUAACACUGACAUUGUGCGAAAUAAAUUGUUUAUAGCUUAACUGGCCCAUUUAGGAUAGCUGCGCCGCCAAACAGGGCUUUGAUUUUAUUGCUAUAAGUAUGCAUUAGAUAUUUUUAAUAGAUUUUCUUGGGUGGGCUGAAUGGUUAAAUAAAUUAAUUUAAAUGAUUUAAAUAAGAUUUUUUUUAUAUUUUAAAAAUUUAUAUAUUAAAAUUUAAUAUAUAAAUAUAUAAAAUAAUAAAGUGUUUAGAAUAAUUUUUAGAGCGCAAACAGUCUUACUCAUUUUAUUUCAUUUUAUUGUUAAUCAAGACUUAAAAGAGUCACUAAACUAAAUCUCCAUUUUCCAAAUCUUUAGGAAGAACGAGAAAAGGUAGCAAAUGCAAGCGAUCCACUGUUCAUCAAUAUUAUCUGGUGUUGUUGCAGAUCAUUUUGUUAUUCUGGUCCAUCAAAGCAUCAAAACAAUUUGCUUGUAAAAAUGAUUGUGGAAAUGUGCAGAUCAUAUUCCCCUUUGGAAUUGGAGAAGUGUGCCACUUUGGUAAGAGUUAUCAAGUAAUAUUCACUCUUCUGGCUCUCCCAAAGCUUUUCAUCCUAGUAUCAAGACGGAAUAUCGUACCGUUACUCCGAAACUAAAACUAGAGUCAACAUUCCUGUAAUUUCUUUGCACACAGUGCUAUACUGCUAUUGCCACAAGCAAUAAUAUUGCUAGAAGAGUCAAUCUAUCUGGUGGUCCUUUCACCUUUCCCUAGGGGCUCAGUAAUUUACAGCUCAAUUUGUUUUAGGUUCAAAAUUGAUGAACCCGCACUUAAUAACUGUACAAAUUGAUAACUUCUUGAUUUAUGAGGACAUAGAAAUUUUGGAACACUAAAUGCAUUUUUCUAAAUUAUGAGAGCUAUUACUGGUUAGGCAUUUCUAUUGUUUGAAGGACAAACCUGUUAGGAACCAGAUCUAGAUUCCUCAUGCUUUGGUCAAACCAUUGUGUAAUUGUGGGACUGGCAAUUCCUUUUCUUUUGUCCCAGUGUCAGUGGUCAUCAAUGAAGAAAAAAUUAUGAAGCUUGUUCGCAGCCUGCUGAAUCUUAGGUUGAAAUAGAGUUGCCUUCUACAUUACUGGAAAAUCUGAUUUUUGUAACUUAAUGAUAUUCUAGUAGUCUGCCUAGAGACCAAUGCAUACUGAUUAAACAACUGGUUUAAAUCAUUAGGGCAUGAUCAGCCCGUUAUCUGGCACUCUUAAACACAAUAGGCAGGGAGGCUUUGGGCAAAUCAUAUUCAAUGAUUAGAAAUGUUCAAAAAUUUCAAGAUAACAAAUACGCAAGCGUUUCAAUUGGACAUAAGUAUUUGGGUUUCUAGUUCUAAUAGAAGUUUCUCAAAGCUAUAUUCUAGUCACUUUACUAUUCUGAAUCAGAAUCAGAACCAGAAUCAGCGGAUGUUUUUCAUUGUAAACUUUUAAUAGAUCUCUUACUUAUUAUGAUUUUAAUCCAAUGAUUGAACUGGAUAAGAGAAAAGGGCUAUGGUCAAUAGGUUCAAUUGGGCUCCAAAUGGCAAUCAACUCAUGACAUUGCAUGAAAUAUACAGCAUGCUUCUUUUGAAAUAUUAUAUAUUCAAAAAUUUAGUGCAUAUAUGCUUAUAUUUGUAUAUUUACAAUGCAAUGCAUAUUAAUAUCAAGGAGGCAGAAAUUGAACAUAUACAUUCAUAAUGCAAUUUUUGAUAAUGGUACGGAUUUUCUUUUCUGGGUAAUAACAUUCAGGGAAAAGAAAAAUAAAUACAAGGUUAAGACAAUCUAAGACAUGAAGCCAGUGAAGCAUGGCUUAGGACAUGGUCAAGUUGUAAAAACUAUGGCUAGGACUAUCUAAUACAUGAACUUGUACUGCAAACAAAUUUAACUGUGGAUGUCAUUGCUUAGGAAUUGGAACUUCAAACAAUGUUCUAAAAACAAUUCUUUCUCCACUAGUUUUUCUCACCCUUUUAAUAUCGAAAGGCAUGGAAAUGGUAUAAAGAUGAUUCUGUUUGUGGUAAGAUUCCUUUCAGGCUAAUUACUAUUUGUGACGUGGGGUGCAGGAAUAUCUAGAAGAAUAUGUUGGAUCUUCUACUAGAAGAGCAAUUUUAUAUCAAGUAAGAACUCUUGUUUUCUAGAUGAUCAUAUAAUUUUAACAAACCUGCUUCCCUUGAAUUUGGAGUAAGAUGCUGUUAGUCUUUAUAUCUCUGGACUUUUCAGCUUGGGUCUGUUCAAAAUUGAGCAUCCAAUAAAUCAAGGCUGACAAAGUUAUCUAAGUCAAGUGAAAUGGUCAAUUAUUCAGUUUUUGGUCUGUUGCCUACAAAAUUAAGUUUUAGUUUUGCUUGCUAUCUGGCUUUUGGUAUGUAGCGUCAAGAGGCUGUAGUUAGAUAACCAAGUAUUUGGUUGACUAUUUCGAGAUUUUUCUUUUUCAAGGUUUGCUUUUUCAUUGGCACCCUCGAUGGAAUCGAUAUCAGUUGAGUGAUUCAGUUGGGCCUGACAAUCUUAGGCUUUCUUUUGGUAAUGGAUAUUUAUUUUAAGAUAAUCAUUGUAGUUUCCUUAACUCGUUACAACAUUGACAAUAUUUAAAGUUCUUAUUUUAUAUAUACCUAUUUUCAAGGAAAAUGCCGAUAGCUUGACCUCAAAUAUGUUACUCACAGGAAAAUGUAAAAGGUAUAUCAGUAACUGGGAUGCAGUCUAAUUAUGGUUUUGAUGGUCAAAUCCACGCCUGCUGGAUGCAUAAAAUGACACAAAAGACAUUCAAACCAUUCGUUCAGCUGGAUUUCUUGUGUCACUGAUUCAUGGCAGGUACAUGAGCAACCAUAAUGCACAUGAACAUAGCUGUAUAAUUGUGUCUAAAUUUAUAUUAGUAAAGUGACAUGCUUUAUGAUUUUAUUAUUUUAAGAUACUUGUAAAGGAAUAUGCAUAGGGCAUACAGGAAUGACAAUUGUUACAAAAUUAAACUUCAUUUUUCAAAUGUCAUUUAGAUGAGUUGAAGUCUGCAAAAUGUUUCUUUAAUAUCAUCAAACUGUUUCACGAAUUAAUAAACUAUAUAAUGUCAAUUAUCAUAAAAGAAAACAAUAUGCUUAUAUAUUCUUGGAUUCUGUAGAUAUAAUGUUAUGAGAUAGGCUCCAAAUACUGAUGGGAAAUUAAAACUGGGUUCUUCGUGAAAAAUAAAAAUAAAAUAAAAUAAAUUGGGAAAAAUUACCUGAAAUGGAAGUCCGUGCUGUGCUUUAUAGUAAAUUGUCAAAGUUUGCAAUCAACCUACAUUUAAUAAGGAGAUGACAGGAUUUGGCAAGAAUUUGGUAUUUUCGGAGUGAAGAGUAUUAGUUUUGUGUCAAUGCUUUUCUUAAUCUCAGACGAUCAAGAGAAUCGUUAUUUCAUUCAUGCACAGACCAGCACAAAGAGAAAACAAAUGUAUACACAUGCAAACUUGAAAAUAGGUUAAUAUACAUCGAACUUAGAAGGUCGUGCAGGAGCCUGGUCAAUAUUUUGGGCAUUUCUAGUAGUGAUACAUGGAUAACUGAAUGUUACAUAACUGAAUUUGAGCAAAAAUGCUAAUUCGCUCCACUGAAUGUAUAGGCAUGAUAUCAUUGCACAAAUCUGUUAUGCAAGGAGACUAGCAGAGAAGCUGAGCCCUGUUGCUAGAAUGAUAGAUCUUCCUGGAGGACAUCUUGUAAGUCAUGAGAGGACAGAAGAGGUAUUUCCUUUGCCCAACAGAUCAGACAAAUAUGCAAGUAGUCCAAUUGGUUGUGUGAGACAUUUACAAUUAAUGAAUUAUUAAAUGGAGUACAGUUGUGCAAACUAAUUGGGAAAGUUUUCUUAUCAAAGUCAGUAAAAAAUUGUCAUAAUCGAAUUUGAUUGAGACAAAAGGGUCCUUACAUUUGUAUUAUGGACAAAAAUCUUCCAAAUAUUGAGGAUUGACCUUGAGUGACUCAAGAUUUUUGAACAACUGGGAUUGAAUUAGAUCUUCACGCGUAAAAUAAUGUUAUGAAUUUAUUGGUAGAAAGAUGUCACAAUGCUUCUUGAAGUUUUACUUUCCUAAAUUACUAAUAUUUGUUUAAUUUUACUUGGCUACAAAUUAAGCAUAUAGACGUUAAACUCUUUCUUGAAAUUUCAGGUCAAUCAAACUCUCAUCGACUUGAUCAAGGCAUCUGAAAAGAAGAUAAGCCCACAAGAUUUGACUAAUCUGCCCCAGACAAGUUCUGGUAAGCACGCCACAAUCAAGAUAGUCUUUCUCUUUUCCAUGUUAUGUGUGGGCAAUAAUGUUAGAGCAUACUUACCUAACAUGGGUUGAAGCUUUUCAUACUGAGUUGUCUAUGAAGAUAAACUCGUGGUUAAUCCAUAGAGUUCCCAUUUUUCCAAUAAUAUGUUCAUGGAUUUGGAAACCUAAGAGUUCCAGAAGGACACAUGAUAACUACUUAAGAGAGCUCAAAUCAACACUGAAACUUUUUCCAGACACAAAAAUCAUCAGUGGUCAACUGAUUUUCAGCUAGGUUAUCUUCCUCUCUGUCUGGUCAGGAUUGAGAGGGAGACAAUUAGCAAUUUUGAUAUUUCUACUUCAGAACUCAGUUUUCAGUCUUUGACAUUUUCUGCUGAUAUUUUCAGUUCUUUGUCAGGGGAUUUGGCGAAAGGGAUGUCAUUUGUAAGAACAAGUUGGGGACCAAGAAGCUAUGUUUCAGGCCCACUAGAGAAGCUACGUCUUUAUCUAUUAUACCUCUGUGGUCUCUUCAUGUUAGCAUUUGAGUAUGCUAGAAGGCUUCUACAGAGUCUGUUGAUUUUCUAAAUAGAUCAUGCUAUUUAUUUUGUUCAACUAAAUCCAUACCUUAUUGGUUGAUGUGGAAACAAAUUGUCACAAAUCUGUAAGAAUAAAAAUAAGCUCCCUCUAAUCUCCCAAAAAUCAGGAACUAACACAAGCAAAUCGCAACGAACAGGAAUCGAUUGCUAGGAACUGGAACCUUCACGAGCAAAUCUCCUUCACGAACGGAUCGUCACAAGUUUAUGCCAUUGAUGAUCGGAUGAUAAUCACGUAUCUGGAAAAUCCCCUCAAUUCACGAAGCAAGAACCCAUUGCCUUUUUUCCUUUUCUCUAACUCUCUUUUGAUGUUGCUUUGAUUCUUGUGAUUAUUAUUUUACGUGCUAUCACUCACCCUUGUAGUAUUUAUAUAGUACAAUAAGUGUAGUUUAAUUCAAAUCAACUUACUAGAGUUAUUUAAUAAGCUACAUCUUAUGUGAUUAGGAUUAAAAUAAAAUACUAAUUUUAUCUCAUAAGAAUCCUAGACAAACUCUAAGUUUAUCUUAUCACUUACGUUUGAUUAAUCCAUCCCAUCAUGGACGUUAAAUCUAACAUCUCCCACUCGCACGUGAUGGGAUGAUUGAGUAAUCAUAGCAACGAGAGUAGAGUUUUGGGCAUAAAGCCACAACCGCAGUAUCAUACGGGCAAAUGCAACGUGUGACCCAUGAACAACAUAAAUUGGAGCUUGUGGAGCAAAAAAAAUGUCAAUUGCACUUUUUGCAAGAGGUUUAAAUAACUUAUUCAUUAUAUUUCCUAGAUUUCAUUAUCCUUUACAUCGGUACAAACAUAUUUAAUCCCUCAACAAAAAUUAUGUUUGACGUUGGGAACUCUAUGCAUUCACAAUUGUAUUCAUCCUUAGGCAGAUUAUAUAACUGGUAGACCAGUGAAUGCAUAAGUUAGAUGUAAGGAGAAUAAAUCUUCGCACUCUACUUAUAUCUUUUACUUCUAGGCUGGCUGGUUUCUUAGACAUGUUUCAUAGACUGAAUAACAUUAUAGUCGUAGAAAAAACAUGCUAAAGUAGCUAUCACCAAUCUUUCCUUUUAAGAUAUAGUCGAUGGUAACUAAGGAAACUGUUGACGUCUUUCUUAUACCUCGAAGGAACUUAUACAAUGAGGAAUUAGGGAUUCAUUCACUCAUUUUCCUUUUGGUCACAAAAGCACGUAUGGUAUGAAUCACGCGUUACAGUGAAUUCUCUUUGUAUAAGAGCAUAUGUCUAGCUAUCCACUGUACAAAUCUUAAAUUAGUCGCUUAUUCGAGUGCCUAAUUUGAGUCUCAAUAAGCUUGCCUUCAUAAGGCACCAAAUGAACUCAUAUCUGGCUUAAUCAGGUUCUUUAUCUUGACCCAGUCAAGUCGACAUUUUCAAGAUAUAAGCUUCAUGAGAACAUAUCCAGUACUUUCUCUUAAUAUUGUGUCUCAUCCCAGCUUGCUUUCAUUAACAACUGAAGUGACCGCUUGUGUAAGAAAGCCGGUCAUAACCUGACAACAUAUCUUUUAAUAAUCAUAUAUAUAUGUGUAAUCAUGCCAAUUAGUAUCUUAUGAGAAUAAAUCAAAAUAAUUUUAUUGCAUAAAGAAUUUAUUAAGUAUAACUUUUAUAAUAUGCACAAUCUUAAUGAUUGCGUAUGUGCGAUAAAAACAUCUCGUGUCCUGGCUUUAGUUAAUGGAUCUACAACCAUGAAGUGUGUAGAUAUGUGUUGCAUCAACACUUCCUUUUUCACCACAAUAUCUUUCACAAAAUUGUACCUUGUCUCUAUGUGUUUAGACUUGCUGUGGUAUUUUGCAUCCUUGGUAAAAGAUAUGGCUACUUGGUUAUCACAAUAUAUGGUUACUGGCCGAGGAUGACUAGUAACAAUCUCAAGAUCAUUUAAGAAGCGCCUAAGCCAAACAACCUCUUGUAUUGUGACUGAACAUGCUACAUAUUCUGCUUCCAUAGUCGACAGAGCCGUGCAUGUUUGCUUCUUGCUACUCUACGAGAUCGCACCACGACUAAGUAGAAAUACGUAUCUUGAGGUUGAUUUGCACUCAUCAAGAUCGCCUCCCCAAUCGGCGUCUGUGUAUCCAAUUUAGCGUAAAUCACCUCCUUGAUGACAUAAAGAAUAGUCGGCAGUGCUUUUUAGAUAUGCUAAAAUCCUUUUGACAACAUUCCACUGUUUGCGCCCAUGAUUUGAUUGGUAUAUGCUUACCAACCCCAUAGCAUAACAAAUAUAUGGCCUUGUACACAUCAUAGCGUACAUGAUACUUCCAACAGCAUUAGAGUAUGAAACUCGUGUCAUUUCAUUUCGUUCAUUUGAAGUCUUUGGGCACAUUUCAAGGCUAAGAGUUUGUCCUUUAGAGAUGGGAGUAUCCAUAAGUUUACACUUAUCCAUUUAAAAUUUUUCAAGAAUUCUUCUAAUAUAAAACUCUUGUGACAGAGCUAGAAGUUUUCUAGAACGAUCCCUAUGGAUUUUAACUCCCAAGAUAUAAGAUGCUUCACCAAUAUCUUUCAUUUCAAAGUUUAAAAAUAACCAUUCCUUGAUGGUUUGAACAAACUCUAUAUUAUUUCCAGCCAACAAUCUAUCAUCCACAUAUAACGAUAAGAUGACGAAGUUACCCCCUAACCUUUUAACAUAUACACAAUGAUCUUCUUCAGUCAUUGAGAAUCCAUAAGUCAUCACAGAUUCAUGAAACCUAAGAUACCAUUGCUUGGAGGAUUGUUUUAACCCAUAUAUAGACUUUUUGAGCUUGCAAACUUUGUGCUCUUGAUCAUUGGUUAUAUAACCAUCUGGUUGUUCCAUAUAAAUUUCCUCCUCUAGCUCUCUAUUCAGAAAAACUGUUUUAACAUCCAUUUGAUGUAAUUCAAGAUUCAUAUGUGCAAUGAUGGCUAAAAUUAAUCUUAUAGAGGCAAACCUUACCACUGGGGAAAACGCUUCCUCAUAGUCUAUACCCUCUUGUUGUUUAUAUCCUUUCACUAACAAGCAUGCCUUGUAUCUUUCAAUUGUGUUAUUUGCCUUUCGUUUAACAUGUAAAACCCAUUUGUUUCCAAUGGCCUUACGGUAGGGCGGUAGAUCAACCAAGUUCCAGACGUGGUUUGAUCUCAUUGACUUUAUUUCUUCAUCUAUUGCUUUAAUCCACAAUUCCUUAGCUGAUGAUGUGAUAGCCUCACUAUAAGUUCUUGGCUCAUCACCAUCAUGUGAAGCAACCAUAAACACCUCCCCCUUAAUCUCAAAAUGAUGACGUGGGAUGGUUGUACGAUUACUUCUUCAAAUUGAGUUGUCAAGUGGAGUAAACUCAUUUUGUGGUUGACUCCCAUUAGAAUCAGAAUUCCCAGACAUAUAUAAGUUUCUCUCAAUUUGUAAAUCAGAAGUGUCAUUCAUCUCUGAAUCAUUCAACUCAUAUAGAUAAACGUCUUUGUCGACCUCUGAAAUGCUAAGGAAUUCAUUUUCCAAAAAUGUGACAUCUCGUGAUUUUAUCUUAGUUAUAGUUCUAUCAUCAUGUUCACCUAUGAACACAUACCCUUUAGAGUGUUUUUGGUAUCUUAUAAAGAUACAUGUCUUUCCUCUCGGACCUAAUUUCCCAUGUUUAUGAGAUGGGUUAUGAACAUACGUUGCAGACCCCCAGUGACGCAAAUGAGUAAGAUUAGGUUUUCUAUGUGUCCAUAGCUCAUAUGGAGUGGAACUUACUGACUUACUCAGAACUCGAUUAAGUACAAAAGUGGUAGUCAACAAAGCAUCCCCUCAGUAAGAAACUGGAACUAGCACGAGUAGAUUGUAACAAAUAGGAAUCGAUUGCUAGGAACUGGAACCUUCACGACCAAAUCUCCUUUACGAGCGGAUCAUCAUGAGUUAGGAACUGGAACCUUCAUGAGCAAAUCUCCUUCACGAACGGAUCGUCACGAGUUUAUGUCACUGACGAUCGGAGAAUAAUCACGUAUUUGGAAAAUCCCCUCAAUUCACGAAGCAAGAACCCACUGCCUUUUUCCCUUUUCUCUCACUCUCUUUUGAUGUUGCUCUGAUUCUUGUGAUUAUUAUUUUAUGUGCUAUCACUCACCCAUGUAGUGUUUAUAUAGUAUAAUAAGUGUAGUUUUAUUCAAAUCAACUUGCUAGAGUUAUUUGAUAAGUUACAUCUUAUGUGAUUAGGAUUAAGAUAAAAUACUAAUUUUAUCUCAUAAGAAUCCUAGACAAAUUCUAAGUUUAUCUUAUCACUUACGUUAGAUUAAUCUGUCUUAUCAUGGGCGUUAAAUCUAACAGUGUCUAAAACCGGUUAGAGUGCGAGCCUCUCCCACUUAAGCCAGCAUGUAGUGAACCCUCUUUUUUACUAGUAAUUUUCAGUUUGCUUCCCAAUCUUUCUUCUAGAACAAAGACAACUAGCUAGAAAACAAUACAUAAUAUCCUCACUGUUUCUAUCCCUUCUUUUUGCAGGGUUUCACUAAUUUGUCACGCUAAUGGCGCGGCUCUUUGCAUUUAAGCAGUUUGCUUACAGGAUUCUUGAGUAAAUCUACUAAAAGUUAUACAAAAGAUCAUAAAUAAACCGGAAUCUGCUUUGGGAGAGAUCAGAACAACCGAUACAACAAAGCAUAUUAAUCAUAUGCAUAUGGAAGGGAAAGAAUAAACUGGAGAUAGCCUUUGUUUUUUCACUAUCAAAAAAUUAUGCUAACUGAUACCACUAUAUCUAUCUCUCUCGCAGCACAAACAAAAUGAAAAUAACUCGCAAGGAGGGGAAUACUGUUUUUUGUAUCUAAGGCAGUAAAUAUUGCUGCUUAUAUUAGAGUAACAGCAAGAGCUCAAGAUUUUAUUAAUAUUAUUAUUAUUUUCAACACUUGUCAGUUAUAUAUUAUCAAAGAUUAGAAACUCGACUUACAACAGCAAGGGAAGAUGUUAGUAAAAUAGUGGAAUUUGAGCUAGAUUGCAGUACAGGCUGUGAUCUAAAUGUUAAAAGCCAACAAAGAAAUGGCUAUUAAGGACAAGAUUGGUUGACAUUUGAUGUGGCUUCUAAAAUAAUCGACUUCAGCUUUUCUGGAUACAUUAUUAUUUAUGAGAUAAUGAAUGUAACAUCAAACCACUUUUAAAAGAUUUUAUCAAUCACUUAAGAGAGUCUUUGGUGUAGUGGUUGGUUUGUUGUUUUGAUAAAGUUGAGGACAUGUUUAUGGUUUUAUGAGGACUCAAAAUAUUUUUUUUCCCCAUAAAUGUGAAAAUAGUAGGAUUUGAUUUCCAAUUUGAAUUUCUCACAGCCAAAUUCACGGAUGAAAGUCGAACAUUAAAUCUCAUUUAACACCAUCUGUCAAUUUGGUUUGGGAUUGUUAUUUCAAAAUGACUAUAGGUUCAAANNNNNNNNNNNNNNNNNNNNNNNNNNNNNNNNNNNNNNNNNNNNNNNNNNNNNNNNNNNNNNNNNNNNNNNNNNNNNNNNNNNNNNNNNNNNNNNNNNNNNNNNNNNNNNNNNNNNNNNNNNNNNNNNNNNNNNNNNNNNNNNNNNNNNNNNNNNNNNNNNNNNNNNNNNNNNNNNNNNNNNNNNNNNNNNNNNNNNNNNNNNNNNNNNNNNNNNNNNNNNNNNNNNNNNNNNNNNNNNNNNNNNNNNNNNNNNNNNNNNNNNNNNNNNNNNNNNNNNNNNNNNNNNNNNNNNNNNNNNNNNNNNNNNNNNNNNNNNNNNNNNNNNNNNNNNNNNNNNNNNNNNNNNNNNNNNNNNNNNNNNNNNNNNNNNNNNNNNNNNNNNNNNNNNNNNNNNNNNNNNNNNNNNNNNNNNNNNNNNNNNNNNNNNNNNNNNNNNNNNNNNNNNNNNNNNNNNNNNNNNNNNNNNNNNNNNNNNNNNNNNNNNNNNNNNNNNNNNNNNNNNNNNNNNNNNNNNNNNNNNNNNNNNNNNNNNNNNNNNNNNNNNNNNNNNNNNNNNNNNNNNNNNNNNNNNNNNNNNNNNNNNNNNNNNNNNNNNNNNNNNNNNNNNNNNNNNNNNNNNNNNNNNNNNNNNNNNNNNNNNNNNNNNNNNNNNNNNNNNNNNNNNNNNNNNNNNNNNNNNNNNNNNNNNNNNNNNNNNNNNNNNNNNNNNNNNNNNNNNNNNNNNNNNNNNNNNNNNNNNNNNNNNNNNNNNNNNNNNNNNNNNNNNNNNNNNNNNNNNNNNNNNNNNNNNNNNNNNNNNNNNNNNNNNNNNNNNNNNNNNNNNNNNNNNNNNNNNNNNNNNNNNNNNNNNNNNNNNNNNNNNNNNNNNNNNNNNNNNNNNNNNNNNNNNNNNNNNNNNNNNNNNNNNNNNNNNNNNNNNNNNNNNNNNNNNNNNNNNNNNNNNNNNNNNNNNNNNNNNNNNNNNNNNNNNNNNNNNNNNNNNNNNNNNNNNNNNNNNNNNNNNNNNNNNNNNNNNNNNNNNNNNNNNNNNNNNNNNNNNNNNNNNNNNNNNNNNNNNNNNNNNNNNNNNNNNNNNNNNNNNNNNNNNNNNNNNNNNNNNNNNNNNNNNNNNNNNNNNNUCGAUUAGAAUCCGCUUCUACAUAGUAAUAAUUAUUUGUGCAUUACAAAAGUAUAUGUUAUGUUAGAUUAAAUGAACUUGCUUCCACAUAAUACAAUUACACAAUAAGAGAAAAUUAUUAAACAGAAUGUAAACAUUUAGAGAUUUUUAAGAUGACUUUGCAUAUUUCUAACAAUGGUACAUAGAUAAUAGAUAUAUUGGAUUUGACAUGCUCCAUUAGUAAAUUAUUAAUACAGUGUAUAUUUUACCUCUAUAUCUUUGUAAUAAAGAUAACUCAAUUAAAAAAAUAAUUUUUGUAAUUAUACCUCUAUUAAAUUAUAAUCCCCUCACGGCAACAAAUUAAUAUGGUCUCAAUAUUACAAAUAUAGAGAGGUUUCGCUGUAAUAUUUUUUAAAUGUAAGGGGAAAAAAGAGUAAUAAUAAAAGUUGAGCUAGUUUGUUUUGAAAUAUAUAUAUAUGUUUUAAGAAAACAGCUUAAAACAAUAAAAAGGUGUUUCUCACCUCAAGAAAUAAGUUUUUUAGAAAUAGCUAAACCGAAUGUUCUAUAAUUUUUGAAAAUAGAAAACAGAAACUGUGGUAACAUUUAUAUUAUAUAAAAUAGGUCAUUAUUCUUUCAAAAUCCAUAGUGAUCCUGCACACACCGUAAUGUAAGUUGAUACUUGAUCAUCAUCACUUUUCACCUUCACAUGAUCAAUUCUAGAAACCCUAAAAAAUAAACACUUGUAAUUAUUAAACAAAACAACAAAAAGAACAAGAAGAAGAAACGAAAAAUGUAAAGAACGUACCUGGAUUUGCUUGGGGGCUACAGAAGUUAGCUUUUGCUGUGAUUGGGAAGGCGAGUGAAUGAAUGAUUGAUUGAUUGAUGAAAGCAAAAAGCAAAGCAAAAAGAUCGAAAUGGAAAUUGUAAGUUGAAAUGUUUUUCUAAAGAGAGAUUCUAAAAUAACUAAUUGCGUUGGUGCCAGGUAAUAUUCCAAAUUAACCAAUCAAAGAUUCGAAAUGAAUGAUGCCAAUGCAGUUACCAAAUAUACCCCUUAGGAACAUCCCAAUAUGAUCCUCUAGUAUGCCGAUGCAGAAGCAAACAAACAAGUUACCUUGCCUCUCUAGUCUUUACUUACAAGUCUCUCAAUGGAUGACUCGACUUUCUGAUGAACAUAAUUUAUAUAUAUAUUUUAUUUUUUAUUAUAUAUUUAUUAGUUAUUUUUAUUUUUUAUUUUUAAUUAAUUAAUUUUUUUAUUGAAUAGAAAAUUAAUUUGAGAUUAUGAACAAAAAGUGCAUAAAAAAUCUAUAAGAGGAAAGAAUUGAAGAAUUAAAGAUUAUGUUCCAAAGCUUCCGCAUGGGCUUAAGAUAAUUAAAGAAAGAUUUUAUUUAGCAAUUUGGAAUGCAUGUGCCGGGCAUUAAAGGAAGAAAUCAUUAAUUGGCCUUUUGCUUUGGAAGUCAAACGUGUGGCUAGCUUUCCAAUUUUAAAAGGAAAUAAUAUACAAAGGAUUUGGCGUGUGCGAGUGAAUAUGGGCUUAAAGGAGGCGGUUUCCUAGCAAUUAUAAUUGGAGAAGAAUUCGGUCAACUAGCAUUAUAAAAGGGGGGAGCCGCCAAAGAGGAGGAAGAAGCAGAGUAUUCGGCAGAGGAGAGAAGAAAAAUAGCAGCAGCAGUUUAAUUCUUUAUGGCUGGAUUUUUUUUAUUUGUUACUCUCAAUUUAAGUAUGUCUAGUUAAUUCUUUUCAAAAACAAAAGUAUGUCUAGUUAAUUUUUUUAUACUGAGAUUAAGGAUGAAGCCUUAUUCAAUGAAAUAAUUAUCUUUUUAUUUAAUUAAUUCCCUACAUGCGUGCUUUGAUGAUUAUGGUUUUUGUUUCACAUAAUUAGUUGAAUGUUAUUAAAAUCUUUUCAGCAAUUCUGUCAUGCACUAUUGAUUGUUAAGAUUAAUAUUCAAUUAAAUCUAUGCUUGAAUUUAUAAAGUUUGUACAUGAUUAUCUUUAAUUCUGUCUUUCAUUAAAGAGUUGGAUUAUUGGCUCACCUCUAACUUUCUUUUUAAACCCCUUUUCUCUACAUAUUCUUUUUAAUUCCUAAAAUAACCCUAAUUUGUUGUACUUUCUUAAUAAACCCCUGCAUUGAUACUUUAAAAAAAAAAUUGUUAGGCGCUCUCUCUCACCCUUCUCUCAUUCCAAACCACUUUCAAUCUCUUCUUAAUUAUAGCAUUUAUGAAUUUAUGAUUUUUAUCGAUAUUUGUUUUAUUUUUCCUAGUAGGUAAUAACCUUAGUAGAUACAUAAAGACAUGUGUGCGAAUCUUUAAAAAAAAAAUGGCCCAAGUAAACGAACUUCACAAAAUUAUCUUUCCUACAAAAACUCUGUUUAUAUUUAGAUCAAAUUCUCAUUCUAUGACAAAUCAUUGUUUUUUCAAAUUUUAUAGAUUUAAUGAGUUUAUAAUGGAGAAAAAAUAAGAAAACAUAGGUGGGUUUAAUUAGAUAAGUGUUAUUUUUAAUAUAAUUUAAAUAUAAAGGACAUAUUUGUAAAUAAAGAACAAGAGGGGUUUCAUAAGAGAUAUAGAGGGGUGCCAAUAGCGUCACUCUUCAUUAAAUUGUUUAUACAGAGUGCUUAUGAAAAAUUUAACUCUUUAUUAUUCAAUAUAUUUACAUGUGAUUCUUAGAUAUCAUACUAUUAAGUAGAAAAAGAACUUACAUUAAAUUUAAUUAUUUAGGCUUAAUUGUUGUAUCCAUGAGAUGACAUAGAUUGAUUUCGAGUUGUCACUUUAAAAUUGGAGAUUAAUUAAUAUUUAGAUAAUUUCUAAUUGAAUAGUGGUGGAUUCUGAAACCUUGGUAAUUUUUGUCUUAUUGAAUUCUCCUUUACUUUAAUUGUUUUCUUAGUUUAAUUAGUUUAAUUUCUCUUAAAAAUUCAAAUUGCUCAACUAGGUUAGGAUUAAUAUUAAAUUUAGAUUUAAAUUAGACUUUUCAAUUUAUAACAAUCCAUGUGGGUUCGACCUCAUUACCACUAUUCUAUUUCUAGAUUCGUGCGCUUGCGAGUAUAUUAAAAAUUUUCACAACACUUCCUACCAAAUACUUCAGUCCAUACGUCAAUUUGUCUUUGAGAAAUACCUUUUUAACUUGGAAAUAUAUUUCAUAUUGAUAAGAAAUAUGUAAUAUCAUUUUACUCAAUAUUUUUACUUAUAAAUUUUCAUUUUACUUACCAAUAAUACAUUAAUCUAUCAGUUUUAUGCUAAAUCUAUUUAUUUUACUUUUUAUUUAUAUGUUAUUAUGUUUCAUUUCUAAAAUUUAUAUUUUAUAUUGCACUUAAUGUUGAUUUAUUAGUUUUACGUUGUAUUUGUAGGUUUUAUUUUAGUUAUUAGUGAUACAUUAAUUUAUCAAUUUUAUAUUAGUUUACUUUUUUUAUCCUUCAUUUACAAAUCUUAUGUUUUAUUUCCAAAGUUUAUCUUUUAUUUUAUAGUUUACGAUAAUUUACUAGUUUUUAUACUAUAUUUACUAACAUUCCUUUUAUUUACCAACAAUACAUCAAUUUACUAUAUUUAUGUUCAUUUACUAAUUUUACCUUUUAUUUACAAGUUUUAUGUUCCAUUCCCAAAAUUUAUGCUUUAGUGUCCACUUAAAUUGAUUUACUAGCUUUAUACUAUAUUUGUAAGUUUUUGUUUUCUUUACCAAUAAUACAUUAAUCUACUAAUUUUGUAUUAAUUUACUUAUUUCAUCUUUCAUUUAUAUUUUAUUUCUGAAUUUUAUGUAUAUUGAUUUAAAAAUUUUAUGUUAAAUUUACGAGUUUUAUGUUUUAUUUAUAUAAUUUAUAUUUAAUUACAAUAUCGAUAGUAUGACUUUAAUCACAACAUUAUAAAAUGACCUGAUAAGAAAAUAACUAAUAUCAUCUUUCUCAAAAUUUUUACUUAUAAAUUUUGGAUUUACGAUAAGCUUUAAAUGUUAAAAAUCUUUUUUAAAAAGUUACUUAAAAAUCUAUAUAUUAUCUAAAAGAGUUUAGAGUUGUACUAAAAUGUGAAAACUCAGCUCGUGCUGGUUCAACUCAAAAUGAAAAAAUAUAUAUGUGUGUGUGUGUAUGAUGGGAGCUGCUCCACCUUCUGAUGCAUCACAAUGGGAAUUCAGCUGGUUUUAAUUCUCUCUCUUGGCUACUUAUGCUUCUUUAAUUUAACAUUUUGAUAUGUAUUUAUUAUGCUAGAGUUUCAACUAAGUAUCCAUUUACUGGGAUUUUCCACUUUUGAAAAAUGUUAAUUUUGCCUUAUUUAUUCAAUAUUAUUAUCUUCCUCUGUGAAAUUCGCAAAAAUUUUAUGCUUUAGUUGGUUAUUCAAUGGGGGUUUGUUCCAUUUUGUUCUUAUACUGUUUGUAUAUAUGAGAGGUUUGGUUUCUGAAGAUGGGUUUCAGUCAAUUGUCUUCAAAGCUUUAUUUCCUAAAAGAGGAAAAAAAAUACCAAAAUGUUUAAUUCUACUGUUACAUGUUUGUGUUCUUAGGUUCUGCUAUGCUUUGUAUAUUUCUUAAUGCUAGAAAGAUGUGUGCUCUUCUAAUAUGAUUGUUUAGGAUGAAUAUGAGUUGGUUAUCGAGUUGCAAUAUAUCAAAUAAAUUGAAGACAACUUGCUUCAUAGGUUUUGAUUCUAUUAAUUGUUUUUAUUUCAAGUAUGACACGAUUGCAUGGGUGUUUGAUGAGGCUAAUAGUGACUUCUUAGGGUUGAUGCUAUAGGUUUCUUUUAUUGUUGUCUAGUAUCGAAACUUGAAAACAAAAUUUAAAGAUAAUGCUUAUGAUAUGAACACAAAUGUUUGUAACAGUAGCUUGAACAAAAUGGAAGGAAAUCUGUUGACUGGAAUGAUUCAUGAAGCUAAAUCGGUUUUUUUGUUGCUAUUUUUAAGGACUAUGACCACUUCUUCAUGCUAUUUUUCUGCACUUAUUUAUUAUGCUCAAAUGUAGCAGAUUUUUCUGCACUUUAGUUUUCAUUAUGUUGUAUAAAUAGAUGAUUUUGUUGCUCAAUAAAAUAUAACUCAGCAGUCUACAAACUAGCCUUCUCUCAUUAUCUUUAUAUCCAACAUAAUGGUAUCAGAGCUAUAAUCUUUAGGGACCUGUGAGAUUGAGAAAGUUUCAACACAAUUCCUAAACAAUUAUCACCUAUCUUCCCAAAAACAAAAAACCUUUCCAGAAUGAAUUUAGAAAGUCCAUUAACUGCAAUUGCACCUCCAGUGUUUGAUGGAAAAAAUUACCAAGCGUGUGCUGUUAGAAUGGAGGCUUAUCUUGAUGCUAAUGAUCUGUGGGAAGCUGUUGAACAAAUAUAUGAAGUUCCACCCCAGCCAGACAAUCCAACUCUUGCACAAAUCAGAAAUCAAAAAGAGAUGAAGUAAAGAAAAUCAAAAGCAAAAGCAACCUUGUUUGCAGCAGUCCCAUCCACCAUUUUUUCCAGAAUAAUGACGCUCAAAACAGCCAAGGAAAUUUGAGAUUUUUUGAAGCAAGAAUACGAAGGAAAUGAAAGGGUCAAAGGGAUGCAAGUGCUGAAUUUGAUCCUAGAAUUAGAGAUGAAAAAGAUGAAAGAAUCAGAAACAAUUCAGGAAUAUUCUGACAGACUUUUUAAGAUUCAACAAGGUAAGACUCCUUGGCACUGAUUUUUCUGAUUCUAAAGUUGUUUAAAAAAUCCUAGUCACAGUUCCUGAAAAGUUUGAGGCUACAAUUUCAUCUUUGGAAAACUCAAGAGAUAUGUCAAGUAUUACCUUGACAGAAUUGUUGAAUGCACUGCAGGCACUGGAGCAAAGAAGGCUUAUGAGACAAGAAGGAUCUCUGGAGGGUGCUUUUCAAGCCAAAUCACAAAACAACAAAGGUGGCAAAAAUAAGAAAAAACAGAACAAAGACAACAAGCUUGGAGGUUCUGCAAGCAGUAACAAAAAUAGCCAAAGUAGUAACACUCAAGUCUUUCCACCUUGCCCUUACUGCAAAAAAACCAAUCAUCCACAAAAUAAGUGUUGGUGGAGAGUAGAUGUAAAAUGUCACAAGUGUGGUCAGUUAGGGCACGUGGAAAGGAUAUGCAAGACUCAACAACAACAAAGAGAAGCCAAGGCUAUUGAGGAUCAACCCCAAGAGGAACAGCUGUUUGUGGUAUCGUGCUUUGCCACCAACAGCUCCACAGAGAGUUGGCUUAUAAAUAGUGGUUGUACAAACCACAUGACUUAUGAUCCAGAGCUCUUCAGAGAGCUUGACGCGCCUAGUAUUUCCAAAGUCAGAAUUGGAAAUAGGCCACACAUUGCAGUAAAAGGCAAAGGAACAAUAGCGAUUGAAGGCCAUACAGGUCUGAAAUUGAUUCAUGAUGUUUUAUAUGUUCCUGAAAUUAAUCAAAAUCUUUUGAGUGUUACUCAGUUGUUAGAAAAAGGCUAUAAGGUGUUGUUUGAAGACAAGAACUGUGUGAUCAAAGAUGCAAAAGACAGAGAAGUAUUCAAAGUUCAAAUGAAAGGCAAAAGCUUUGCCUUGGAUUUGAUGAAAGAAGAGCAGGCUUAUGUACACAGAGAACAUAGCAAUACAUUGAUUUGGCACAAGAGGUUAGGGCAUUUUCAUCAUAUUACUCUACUCUACAUGAAAAAGAACAAUCUAGUCAAAGGCUUGCCUGAAUUAGAGGAGAAGUCUCCUAGAUGUGCUGCCUGUCAGUAUGGAAAGCAAACCAGGAUUCUGUUUCAACAAAAUAAGGCCUGGAGGGCUAUACAGAGGUUGCAAUUAAUACACACAGAUGUGGGAGGACCAAUAAAAACACCAUCUUUGAAUAAUAGUAAGUAUUAUAUUGUUUUCAUUGAUGAUUACUCAAGAAUGUGCUGGAUUUAUUUUAUGAAGCUUAAAUCUAAGGUUGCUGACAUCAUUGUGACGUUUAAAGCUUGUGUUGAAACUCAAAGCAGAUGCAAGAUGCAGGUGAUUAGGUCCGAUAAUGGAACAGAAUAUAUCUUUGAAAAAUUUAACAAGUUUUGUGAAGAUUCAGGCAUUGAACAUUAACUGACAGCACCUUACACUCCUCAGUAAAAUGGUGUUGUGGAGAGGAAAAACCAGACAAUAAUGGAGAUGGCAAGAUGCUUACUUCAUGACAAAGGGCUACCGAAGAAAUUUUGGUCUAAGGCCGUAAACACUGCAGUUUUUUUAUUGAACAGAUUGCCAACAAAAGCUUUACAGAAAAAACUCCAUUUGAAGCAUGGUAUGGCUACAAACUAAAGCUGCUUAAUCUGAAGAUAUUUGGUUGUCUAUGUUUCUCUUACAUCCCUCAAGUUAAGAGAGACAAAUUAGACAAAAGAGCAGAACCUGGAAUUUUUGUAGGCUCUAGCUCAACCUCAAAAGCCUAUAGGAUUUACUUACUGCAAAACAACAAAGUAAUCGUCAGUAGGGAUGUUCAAUUCUUUGAGUUAGAUAAUUAGAGUUGGGAGAAUGACAAGAAGCUUAAGGUCGAGGAAGAGAAUAAUGAUACGGACGAUGAAAAUGUUAGAGAAACCAGAUCACUCUUUGACAUCUAUCAGAGGUGUAAUAUUGUUGUAAUGGAGCCUGUAUGAUAUGAAGAAGCUAUAAAUGAUCAGAAGUGGAUAGUUGCAAUGAAGGAUGAGCUAAAGAUAAUUGAAAAGAAUCAGACAUGGGAGUUGGUAGACAGACCUGAACACAAGAAAGCUAUAUGAGUCAAGUGGGUUUAUAGGACCAAGCUCAAUCCUGAUGGUUCUAUAAACAAGCACAAGGCAAGACUGAUUUUUAAGGGAUAUGCCCAGAUGUUUAGGGUAGAUUUUUCUGAAACUUUUGCCAUUGUUGCCAGGUUGGAUACCAUAAGGAUGUUGCUAGCUCUUGCUGUACAGCAAGGUUGGGUUAUACACCAAAUGGAUGUCAAAUCAGCCUUUUUGAAUGGAUACUUGGAGGAAGAAAUUUUUGUGGAGCAACCUAAAGGGUUUGCUUUUCCAGGACAAGAUGAGAAGGUAUAUCGACUGAAGAAAACCCUGUAUGAUUUAAAAUAGGCACCAAGGUCCUGAUAUAGCAAAAUUGACACACACUUAGCAAACUUAGGCUUCGAAAAAAGUAUGAGUAAAUCUACUUUAUAUAUCAAGAAGGCUGAUAAUGAAAUACUUGUGGUAUCUCUGUAUGUUGAUGAUCUACUUGUUACAGGAAGUAGCAAGGAGUUGAUUGACAAGUUUAAAGAAGAAAUGAAAGAUGUCUUUGAAAUGACAGACCUUGGUAUGCAGGUACAUCAAAAGGAAAAUGAAAUAUUUCUAUGCCAGCAAAAAUAUGAAAAGGAAGUUCUCAAGAAAUUUAACAUGGAAGAGUGCAAGCCAAUUGCAACUCCAAUGAAUCAAAAGGAGAAGUUUUGCAAAGAAGAUGGAGCUGAAAAGGUGGAUGAAAGAUUGUACAGGAGCCUAAUAGGCUGCCUAAUGUAUUUAACUAAACCAGACUAGAUAUCAUGCAUGCAGUGAAAUUCAUUUUCAGGCAGCAAAAAGAAUUCUUAGAUAUGUUAAGGGCACAAUUGAUUACGGAAUAAGGUUUAAUCAAGUUAAAAACUUCAAUCUUCAUGGAUAUUCUAAUAGUGAUUGGGCUAGAUGUGUUGAUGACAUGAGAAGCACCUCAGGUUACUGUUUUAGCUUUGGUUUUGGAAUAUUUUCAUGGUAUUCUAAGAAGCAAGAAGUUGUAGCUCAUUCUAUAGCAGAAGCAGAAUAUGUAGCUACUGCUGUGAAUCAAGCUCUUUGGAUCAGGAAACUUAUGACAGAUUUGCAUAUGGAACAACAAGAAGGCACACAAAUAUUUGUGGACAACCAAGCUGCAAUUUCAAUUGCUAAUAAUCCAAUGUUCCAUGGCAAAACAAAACACUUUAAGAUAAAACUUUAUUUUCUAAGAGAGGUACAAAGAGAAGGAGAAGUGCAGUUGAUCUACUGCAAAAUAGAAAAUAAAAGUGCUGACAUCUUAACAAAAGCACUUCCAAAGAUUAGAUAUGAAUUCUUGAGGCAAACGUUUGGUGUAUGCAGCUCCAGAGUCAAGGAGGAGAAUAUUGACUGGAAUGACUCAUGAAGCUAAAUUAGUUUUUUUGUUGCUAUUUUUUUAGGACUAUGACCACUUCUUCAUGUUAUUUUCCUGCGCUUAGUUAUUAUGCUCAAAUGUAGCAGAUUUUUCUGCACUUUAGUUUUCAUUGUGUUGUAUAAAUAGAUGAUUUUGUUGCUCAAAAAAAUAUAACUCAACAGUCUACAAACUAGCCUUCUCUCAUUAUCUUUAUAUCCAACAAAAUCGAUAAGAAUAGGUUAAUUCUUGGAAAUCUAGACCUCCAAAAUAGUAUUGGUUAUUUGAGAAACCAAUAAACUCCCAAAAGACAACUUACAACUCGCGAGAACAGUAAUACUCAAGACACUCUUUUAUUCAAUAACAUCAAGUUUUAAAUAAAACUUUAGUUCAAAACAAGCAUAAAAAUAGCAAGCAUUAAGCAUGUUCUCCAUCAUGCUCCAUGAAUCCACAAAAUAAGGAACCAACUAACAACUUAAUUUUGACUUAUUAAAAACCAACUACUGUCAAAAUAUAAAGUAAAUAAUUAAAAGAAAAUUAUAAUGGAAAGAUUGUAACAUUUUUUCUAAUUUUUUGUUAUUAUGCUUACUCUAAUGGAUGGGUGGUGGCUCAUAUUGUUAAAUUUUGGAUUGGACAAUUUACUGGCAUGUGAACUAAUUUGUAAUUUAGUUAUAAGUUGUGUGAACAAUAAAAAAACAAAGGGUAAAGUCAGUGGUAAUAUUAUCAGAAUAUUGGAAUUGUUCUAAAAGAUUUUGAAUAAACUGGCAACGAGGAAACUAUAAUAUUGGAACUUGAGUGGGUGAAUUGUUCUCAGUUUUGUUUGUUGAGGAACACAACAGAGCAUCAGUAAUUCCUCCGUUGUUUACGAUUGAUCUAUUUCUUUUUUUCCCUUUACGGUGUAGUGCUCUUUGUCCACCUUUCAGAAGCUUUUUUAGAGGAACUGUACCUGAAAUGUUUUGUUGUUUCUUAGAAAAGGGUUUUUCCCAUGCAGUGACUUUGAAGUGGAUUAUGAGUCUAAUGAGAAUGCAUCAAUUGUGUAUGCGGCAUUAGCUGUUGAUAAGGAGGUGAUGCAUCAUGAUCCUAAGAUCAUACCUUGCUCCUUUAACUUUGUUGCUUCUUCAAUAAAUUCUUACUUGGAUUCAAUUUCCCAAUGCAGUUGCAACCAGACAAAGUGAAAAGGCAGAUAUCUGUCGUUAAUGGGAAACUUUUAGUGUAAGUUUCUGUUCUUUGAUCAUUCAUGGUUAGAAGACUCAUUACAUAACUGAUUUUUCAUUCUUGUCCAAUAUUCAUUCAAUUUGCACCUACUAGUUUAUCCUAUGAGACAAUAUUCAUUUGGAAAUUUUGUGUGGCCUGUUUAAUAAUCAUUUUUUUUUAUGAAACUACGUCUUGAAUAUGAUUCAGCCCGCUCCAAUCUGAUGAAUCGUGAUCCUUCUCCUUCUUUGGAUGUGUGCUUUAAAGAAUUACUUCGUGAAGAGCAACGUCUUGCAACACAAACUAUUCUCCAGUAAAAUAAAAUGCAUGAUAAUGCAAUUGCUUAUGCUGCAGCUCAUGGGAAAAGCAAAAGGAGAGACAUGCGACAAGUUCAAUACUUUAGCUGUAAGGAAUACAGACAUAUUGCUGUUAAUUAUGCAAAGAAAUUUUGCAACUAUUGUAAGAAGCCUAGGCAUAUUAUCAAAGAAUGUCCUAUUCGUCCCCAAAAUCGUUAAGCUAGUUAGGUCGUUGUUGCUAGUUAGGCCGCUGUUGCUAAUCAGGCUAUUGAUGGUUCAACAACUGUUGAUAAAUUAGUUCUUACUCUAGAAAUGGUUAAGUAGAUGAUAAAAGCCUUUUCAGCCUUAAGGCUUCAAGGUAAACACACUAUACCAUCUUUCUUUUGGCUUGUUGAUUUUGGCUCAUCCAAUCAUAUGACUAAUUCCAGCGACACUCUUAGCAAUGUUCAAAAAUAUUAUGGAAACAUUCAUAUUGCUAAUGGUAGUAAGCUACCUAUUCAUGCUAUUGGGGACAUUAAUUUUUCCAUUAAAGAUGUUCUUGUAUCUCCCUAGCUUUCUACUAAUCUUAUUUCAGUAGGAAAAUUGGUUGAUAAUAAUUGUGAUGUUCGAUUUUCCCGUGAUAGUUGUAUUGUGCAGGAUCAGUUGUCGGGGAAGAUACUAGCGAAGGGGCCUAAAGUUGGACACUUGUUUCCUUUGCACUUUUCUGUUUCUAAUUUCGUUUCUUUGGUUAGUAUUGCUGUAAACCAAAAGAGUGAAAUAUGGCACAAAUGUUUAGGCCAUCCUAAUUCUGUUGUCCUGUCUCAUUUAAUAAAUUCAGGUUUAUCGGGCAAUAAAGAUCAGUUUCCUCUCAAUUUUCUUUUGAUUGCUCUGCUUGUAAAUUAGGAAAAAGCAAGUCUUUUUCUUUUCCUUCUCAUGGUAGUUGUGCAGAAAAUUGUUUUGAUAAUUCAUAGUGACGUGUGGGGCAUUACUCCUGUUAUAUCUCAUGCCAAUUAUAAGUACUUUGUCACAUUCAUUGACGAUUACAAUAAGUAUACUUGGAUUUAUUUUCUUCGUUCUAAAUCUGAGGUAUUUUCUGUCUUCAAAACAUUUGUAGCCUAUAUUGAGACUCAAUUUUCUUCAAAUAUUAAAGUGCUCAGAUCAGAUUCUGGUGGCGAAUAUAUGUCCCAUGAGUUUCAUGAUUUUCUUCAGCAAAAGGGAAUUGUUUCCCAACGCUCAUGUCCUUAUACACCUCAGCAAAAUGGUGUUACUGAACGUAAGAACCGUCAUUUAUUAGAUGUUGUUCGAACUUUAUUACUUGAAUCUUUUGUUCCAUCUAAAUUCUGGGUUGAAGCCUUAAGUACACCAGUUUAUCUAAUUAAUCGCUUGCCUUCAAGCGUCUUGAACUUUGAAUCUCCCUAUUAUCAUCUUUAUCAUAAGCAUCCCAACUAUCUUGACAUGCAUACUUUUGGCUGUGUUUGUUUUGUUCAUGUGCCACCUCAUGAAAGUUGUAAGCUUUCUGCUCAAUCUGUUAAAUGUGCUUUUAUGGGCUAUAGUGCUUCACACAAAGGUUAUGUUUGCUACGAUCCAUGUUCUAACAGAUUUCGUAUUUCUCGUCAUGUUAUUUUCUUUGAAAAUCAAUUCUUCUUUUUUAUACAUGUUGAGUCUUCACUAAAGUCACUUGUUCUUCCUAGUUUUGAUGAGGUAAAUACUACUAUUGAGAGAUUCAAGCCUGGAUUUGUUUAUACACGACAACGCCCAACUUUCCAGCCUCCUGAGCUUGAUCCGACAUCUAAGCCUGUUCAAGCUAUUUCUUCCAUGGACAAUCAGCCCUCAAACACUAUUGUUCGCCGCUCUUCCAGAAUCAUUCGACCACCUAAUCGGUAUGGAUUUCACACAUCUCUUCAUACUACUUUGACCAGUGUUUCUAUUCCUUUAUGUUAUUCAGAAGUUGCGAAAUAUGAUUGUUGGUGAGGCUAUGGAAGAAGAACUUCAAGCUCUUGAGGACAAUCACACAUGGGAUAUUGUUCAUUGUCGGACUAAUGUUAAACCUAUUGGUUGUAAAUGGGUCUACUCAAUCAAGCUUCGUUCAGAUGGUUCUCUAGAUCGCUAUAAGGCACGACUAGUUGCCCUUGGUAACAAACAUGAGUAUGGGGUCAAUUAUGAAGAGACUUUUGCUUCGGUUGCCAAAAUGACUACAGUUCGUACAAUUAUUUCAAUUGCUGCCUCAUAAGGUUGGCCACUUCAUCAAAUGGAUGUUAAAAACGCUUUUCUUCAUGGUGAUCUCAAAGAGGAGAUUUACAUGGUUCUACCACAUGACUUGCCUUCCUCCUCUUCUUUAGAUGUCUGUAAGUUGAAGCGAUCGUCUAUGGGUUGAAGCAAGCUCCCUGGGCUUGGUUUGAUAAAUUCCAAUCCACCUUGCUUCAAUUCUCAUUUAAGCAAAGCCAAUAUGACUCAUCAUUGUUUCUUUGCAAGACAUCUACUGGUAUUGUUCUUCUCCUAGUUUAUGUUGAUGAUAUUGUUAUUACUGGGACAGAUUCUGCCUUAAUUGCUCGGUUGCAACAACAUCUUCAAGCCUAAUUUCAUAUGAAGGAUCUUGGUCCUCUUACUUAUUUCUUGGGUUUGGAAGUUCAUUAUGAUUCUUCAGGGAUUUCUUUGAAUUAACAUAAAUACACACAAGAUUUGCUUAAAUUAGCUGGUCUUCAUAAUGCCUCUCCUGUGGAUACUUUGCUAGAAGUCAACACAAAGUAUAGUAGUGAGGAAGGUAAACUCAUUUAUAAUCCUACUAUCUAUCGAUAAUUGGUAGGAAGCUUGAAUUAUUUGACUAUUACGAGGCCGAAUAUUUCCUUUGUUGUCCAGCAAGUAAGUCAAUUCAUGCAACAUCCCGUCAUUUACAUUUAGCUGUUGUUCAUCGUAUCCUUCGAUACCUUCGCAGGACUCCUAGCCGUAGAUUGUUCUCUCCGGCCUGUUCUCCUCCUCAUCUUGUUGCCUAUAGUGAUGCUGAUUGGGCUGGCUGUCCGGACACUCGACGAUCUGUCACAGGCUGGUGUAUGUUUCUUGGGAAUUUCUUGAUUUCUUGGAAGAGUAAGAAGCAAGAUCGUGUUUCUAAAUCUUCAACUGAAUAUGAAUACCGUGCUAUGUCUGCUGCUUGUUCAAAGAUUGUUUGACUUCGUGGACUUCUAGCCGAGCUUGGUUUCUCUCAAUCUAAUCCCACUCCACUCUAUGCUGAUAACACUAGUGCUAUUCAUAUUGCUGCAAACCCGGUUUUCCAUGAGCGUACUAAGCAUAUAUAUUGAGGUGGAUUGUCAUUAUAUUCGUGAAGCUUUGGACACUCGUAUUAUUUCUCUUCCUCAUAUUUCCACUACUCUCCAGAGAGCCGAUGUAUUUACCAAGGCUAUGACACGAAAGCGUCAUCAAUUUCUUGUGAGUAAAUUGAUGCUCCUUGAUCGAUCAGCAUCAAUUUGAGGGGGGAUGACAGCAUAUAUGAAGGUAUAAAUUAUGUAUCCUGGCUGUAUAUAUAUUGUAAUUAGGAGGAUCUGUAAUUUCCUUAUUUAGAUAGAUCUAAUUACUAGAAAUUAGCCUCGAUUUGGUUGAUGUAAUAGCUGAAAAUCAGCCUUGUAAAUCUCUACAGUUUCUAUAUAAUGAGAGGAAUUCUCACAAGGAGAGAUAUUCAAUCCAAUUGAUAAAAAGAAUGCUCGGUUAUGUAAGAAAAUGAAAACAAUUUAUAGUUGCAAUACACUCAUCAAUAAUCUCAGGAAUCUCUGAUGAUUGAAUUACAAUUUUUUAAAAUCCAUUCUAGAAUUCAAGCAUACCUGUUCAUGCAAGAUACUCGAUGCUCUGGAUCCGAAACUUCAUCGGCCUUUGCAUCUAAGGGAUCAUUAACCUUACAAGUCACAGAACCCAAAUGGUCCACAAUAUUGACAGAGCGUUGAUGGCAUAAUCUUUCAAUGUUUCCACCACUCUGCAUAAAUGUGAAGAUGGUUUAUUUUCUCAAUAGAAAAUUGAAAUUAUCAGCUGUAAUUAGAGCAACUCACAUUUGUUUUUGGUCAUCACUGGUGUACCAUAGUUCAAGAUAUUCGGCCUCUGAGUAUAACAUUGUUCUCAGUUUUUUCAAAUCCUGAAAGUAAAGUCGCUUGAGUUAAAAAAAGACCAAAGUAAAUAUUUCCAUAAGAACUCAAAUCUAUUGCAAAUUGGUGCUUUUGUAUUUCCAUAAAUGGCUAUCUACCCCAAGGCUUGUUGAAAACUGAGUAUAAUUUGGAAAUUGACACACGAUCCACCGUUUGAAUCAUAUAAACAAGUAUCGCAUGAUUAAACAAGAAUUGGCUUUGAAGACAUAUGUCCCUAUUUGCCAAAAUCAUUUAUUUUUCUCUUUCUCUUUUCUUAAAAGUGAAUGCUGAAGUGGGUGCAACUUUUAGUAAUAGCUAUUAGUAGCAAAAACAAAGAUUGCACGCUGUAAAACAACUGUAAUAGGGAGACUGGUAUAGGCAUCUAAUCCAACAGAUUAAAACAAAAUAGAGAAACAGUAGUACCUUGAGACUAUCAGAGAACAGCAAGCUCUGCGGCCUUUUCUUAAAAGUGAUUGAUUAUGAUGAAACAUUUAACCUUGUAAUUAAGCCUGCUCCGGUUUGCUUUGUGUUUGGCAUUAUUACAAGACGGUAUUUGCGACAACUUGAUGUGAGCAAUGCCUUUUUACACGGGCAUCUAUCAAAGGAGGUAUUUAUGUCUCAGCUACCUGGUUUUAUUGAUCCCACAUAUCCUACUCAUGUUUGCAAACUUGAAAAGGAACUCUCUGCCCUUAAGCAAGCCCACGUUCUUGGAACAACACUGAGCUUCGAAACUUUCUUCUAUUGACGGGGAUUUUUCACUUGUAUCUAAUCUCAUGCUGGUGUGCAUGAGAUUAUCUUUGUGGGUAAAUAAACUUUCAUCCGUCGCCACAAUGUAGGGGCAUAUUAAAGAUACUCUCAAAGUCACGGUGUAAUUGUGCAAUCUUUUUAUCAUUUGUAUAUUUGACUUUCAUAACUUUAAACUAUAAUUGUGCACUUACUAUAAUUAACUAGCUUUAGUUGUGUAUAUAUUGAAAUCAUAUCAAUAGAAACAGUAAGCUGCGUUGUUAUUUCCUUUCUCUAUAUUAUUUAUUGUAUAAACCUAACAACUUUCAGCCCUUUUUUUCCCCAAAUCUGACACUUUUUUUUUUAUAAAUUUUAUUUACCCACACCUGUGUCGUUUGUCUCACUUUUUCUUUUUAUUUUCACUUAUUUCGUUACCCAGGCCACACUUUCAUAAACUUUGUCCCGGCCCCGCACUCUACUUUUGUUAGUUUUAUCAAAUGAGCAGCAUUAGCAGCACCAUGUAAUUAUACCCCCUUCUGGUAUAUCAGGGAAGCCGAAUAACAAAUACAUCCGCAAAAUAUCUACCAAAGAUAUUUCAACAAGCUGGUCGAGCACUGGACAGGGAAUUCAUCCGCAAUUUCUAUUUGUAUGAAUUGACGAUCUGUCCGGUGUCCCCUUGCCUACUCAUCAUACAUAUAAAAAUUGAAAUUAGGCUAUUUAGGAUUAAAGAUAACAGGGAAUGGAAAUAUGGAAUCGUUAAUUGUUAUACCCAUGACCCAUCUAAUUUGCAAAUGGUUCUUUCUCUUUCAAUAUUGUUUUCAACUGAUUUUGGGGUAGGAAAAUCCAAAAUCAAUCUUCAACAAUGAAUUUAUAUUUUUGGGGGAGAUGGGGUACCUCACUAGUUUAUUGUGUGCGGUGCGGUGUAUCUGAAAUGCGGGGGAGGUGAGAAGGGGAGAGAGAGUGGUAACAAUGGUGGAAGGCCAGAAAUAAGUGAGGUGUCCCUCAAAAUGAGCUUCACGCUUGCAAAACAGUAAAAUAGAGGUUAGAGGUGAAGCCGGGGUACCCCGGCGUUCACACUCCGACGCUCAAGUUAGCAAACUCAAGCUUUAAUGGUAAAGAGAGCUGGCCAGCCCUCUGUAAAUUUAGGGUUUAAGGUUGAAGAAAACCUAUUUUUUGGAGUGUGAGUGUUAAUGGUGAGUGAGAGCAUGAUGGAGAAUGAAACCUAGGCACCUUUAUAUAUGGAGUACCUCAGCUGCCACGUGGCAUACCCUUUUUGGCUAACGUCCUUUUACCUCUUUAUAAUUGUUUUUGGGCCGUUAUUUGCAUGUUCGCGGCGUAUCUCAUCUUUUGGAAACGUAGCGCGCGCUGGAGAGUGGUCCAGGGUACCUCUGCAGUAGCUGUCGGGUAGGCAGCUAGGGACCACUGUCCUUGGGACAGUGUCCUUCACUUUUGGCAGAGGUAGCAGGCGGCUGUCCCUCCUUUUAGCACGUCGCUUUUGAUUCCUAAUUCUGACUAAAUCAAAUGAUAUCUUUUAGGAGGCGGAGACGUUUCUCAUGGCGGGUAUUUUCGGUGGAUUCUCUUGCAUCCGCUUUGCCGGGUACCUUGAAUUACAUGGGGUACCCCCUAUUACGCGGGGUACCCCUAUCUGUAUGGGGUACCUCUAUUUGUAUGGAGUACCUCAUAUCAUAUGGGGUACCUCUAUUUGUGUGGGAUACCUCUAAUUGUGCAGGGUACCUCUAUUUAUACGGGGUACCUCAAGUCAUGCCGAGCACCUCGGAUUAUGCAGGGUACUUCGGAUUGCACUGAAGUUAUUUCAUUCUUCGACACAUGGCGUUCUACUAUCUUUCUUAUUUUUACCCCAAACAACAUCCCCCUAGUUUCUUUUGGCGAGAAGUAUUGGAGGCAAAAGAAACUUACAUAAAAAGUAUGAGCGACACGUGGCGAUAUGACGUUUAGCUCGAUGGACAGCUGAAUAGAGGACGCCUCUAGGGGUACCCUUAAGCUUGGAUAUCCCCUGAGCUAUCUGUUACUUCAUGGCGGGAUAACCCAAUUUUAUCAAACAUAUGGCGAUUCCUUCAAAUAUGCUUGCUGCUUAUCUCAGGCUCUCUUAGUGUAUUUGAGGAGUGACUUUCUGGCGUGGGGUACCUUGGACGUACCCUUAAUUAGUGUAUGGCGAUUUUUAGAAAAAUGCUUACCACAAAUCUUCACAAAACUUGUGGCGAUUCUUUUUGAGAGAUGAUGGAAAACCUCAUGAUCCACCAUUCACUCUACAUCAAAUAUGCAAGACAAAUAGUAAUAAAGGUGGGCUGCUCGCCUACCCUUAUGCAAGAUGGUCAAAAAUCUCAUGAUCUGCCAUUCGCGUAGAAUCAAAUAGACAACAUAGAUUGAGAUAAAGGUGGCUGCUCGCCUACCCUUAUGCGAGAUGGUCGAAAAGCUCAUGAUCCACCAUUCGUAUGGAAUCAAAUAGACAAUAUAGAUUGAGAUAAAGGCGGCUGCUCGCCUACCCUUAUGCGAUAUGGUCGAAAACCUCAUGAUCCACCAGUCGUUGGAAUUAAAUAAACAAUAUAGAUUGAGAUAAAGGUGGCUGCUCGCCUACCCUUAUGCGAUAUCGUCGAAAACCUCAUGAUCCACCAUUCGCUGGAAUCAAAUAGACAACAUAGAUUGAGAUGAAGGUGGCUGCUCGCCUAUCCUUAUGCGAGAUGGUCGAAAACCUCAUGAUCCACCAUUCGCAUGGAAUCAAAUAGACAAUAUAGAUUGAGAUAAAGGUGGCUGCUCACCUACCCUUAUGCGAGAUGGUCGAAAACCUCAUGAUCCACCAUUCGCUGGAAUCAAAUAGACAACAUAGAUUGAGAUGAAAGUGGCUGCUCGCCUACCCUUAUGCGAGAUGGUCGAAAACCUCAUGAUCCACCAUUCGCAUGGAAUCAAAUAGACAAUAUAGAUUGAGAUAAAGGUGGCUGCUCACCUACCCUUAUGCGAGAUGGUCGAAAACCUCAUGAUCCACCAUUCGCUGGAAUCAAAUAGACAACAUAGAUUGAGAUGAAAGUGGCUGCUCGCCUACCCUUAUGCGAAAUGAUUGAAACCUCAUGAUCGACCAUUCGCUCAGAAUCAAAUAUGGUGAACAAAUAAUGAUAAAGGCGGCUCUGAUGUUGAGUAGAUUAUUAUAAUUGGCGAUAGGUAGGGUACCUCGGGUACCCUGGAGUAAGGUGAUCCCUGGAUACCCUCUUGCAUCAUAAUAAACAAUACUUUUACUAGUAGUAUGACUUUUCUUUGUUAGAUUAGUGGCCCAAAUCGAGACUGAAACCGAGUCUUCAACCGAGGUACCCCGUUUUUCAUCUUUGGGUAUUCGAGGAUCCAAAGGUGCCUCCAAUUCACAUUUGAGCUUAAUUUGUUCCCCGUGGGGUAUCCCCGCAUAACUCUAGAGUAACUAGUUAUGGGAUACCCUACCACCGAGGCCUCGAUGGUGGCUCUUGCUGCUCUGGUGGUGGCGAUCUUGGAGGUUGGGGUACCCGUGAGAUACCCUAAGUGUUAAACACUCGUCCCCGCGGGGCAACCCGUGGAGGGCUCCGCAUUUGGGGUACCCCUGGUAUUGGGGCUUCCGUCCUCUUCAGCUUCUUCUUAUUCUUUGUGACCUCGACCUUAUCUUCUUGGCGCUUCAAAUGACAUUUCUCAUCCAUGUCCACUUGCUGCAAUGCCCGGGAACGGGCUUAAUCUGGUCCCCGUGGGGUACCCCGCAUAACUCUAGAGUAACUAGUUAUGGGGUACCCUACCACUGAGGCCUCGGUGGUGGCUCUUGCUGCUCUGGUGGUGGCGAUCUUGGAGGUUCGGGUACCCGUGAGAUACUCUGAGUGUUAAACACUCGUCCCCGCGGGGCAACCCAUGGAGGGCUCCGCAUUCGGGGUACCCUUGGUAUUGGGGCUUCCGUCCUCUUCGGCUUCUCCUUAUUCUUUGUGACCUCGACCUUAUCUUCUUGGAGCUUCCAAUGACAUUUCUCAUCCAUCUCCACUUGCUGCAACUCCUGGGAAUGGGCUUAAUCUGGUCCCCGUGGGGUACCCCGCAUAACUCUAGAGUAACUAGUUAUGGGGUACCCUACCACCGAGGCCUUGGUGGUGGCUCUUGCUGCUCUGGUGGUGGCGAUCUUGGAGGUUUGGGUACCCGUGAGAUGCUCUGAGUGUUAAACACUCGUCCCCACGGGGCAACCCGUGGAGGGUUCCGCAUCUGGGGUACCCUCGGUGUACCCGAUGAUGUCGCCGCCAUUUGAGAAGCCCUUUUGGCGUUUAACUUCUCACGGAGAUCCUCGUGGGUACGCUUUGCACGCCUCGUACCCUGGCUACUGCAGGAAUUGCAAGAGGCGGUAGAACGCUCGUCGCGGGAGCCCAUGGUUUGAAACUUAGAACGGGUACCCGAUGGCCUAGGCUUUGGCUUGCUGGCCUCGGGUACCCCUCUUCUGACCAUAGCUUGGUCGUCCGUUUGAGGUGGUGGAGCUUCUAGCGUCACUGGUGGAAGUGAACUUUUGGGUGCCCGAGAUCCGACCGCCCUAAGUAUUGCGUGAGUAAGAUCCUCAAAACGCUUGUGCGAAAUAGGUUCUUCUUCUUGGCGAACACCCGUCGACUGCUUGACACCCUUGCCCUUACUGAUGCGGGCUACCCUUCUCGCGGGAUCACUGCCUUCACUGCUGCUGUCCUCUCUCAUCCUUGUAGGAUCCCCCAUUAAACCUUCGGGAGGUACGUCGGGUGCCAUGUAUUGGAGUACACACAACAACUAGUUUGGUAACCGUGGAGGAGGCUUUUUGUGCGUUUCCCCACAGACGGCGCCAAUUGUUUUCAACUGAUUUUGGGGUAGGAAAAUCCAAAAUCAAUCUUCAACAAUGAAUUUAUAUUUUUGGGGGAGAUGGGGUACCUCACUAGUUUAUUGUGUGCGGUGCGGUGUAUCUGAAAUGCGGGGGAGGUGAGAAGGGGAGAGAGAGUGGUAACAAUGGUGGAAGGCCAGAAACAAGUGAGGUGUCCCUCAAAAUGAGCUUCACGCCUGCAAAACAGUGAAAUAGAGGUUAGAGGUGAAGCCGGGGUACCCCGGCGUUCACACUCCGACGCUCAAGUUAGCAAACUCAAGCUUUAAUGGUAAAGAGAGCUGGCCAGCCCUCUGUAAAUUUAGGGUUUAAGGUUGAAGAAAACCUAUUUUUUGGAGUGUGAGUGUUAAUGGUGAGUGAGAGCAUAAUGGAGAAUGAAACCUAGGCACCUUUAUAUAUGGAGUACCUCAGCUGCCACGUGGUAUACCCUUUUUGGCUAACGUCCUUUUACCUCUUUAUAAUUGUUUUUGGGCCGUUAUUUGCAUGUUCGCGGCGUAUCUCAUCUUUUGGAAACGUGGCGCGCGCUGGAGAGUGGUCCAGGGUACCUCUGCAGUAGCUGUCGGGUAGGCAGCUAGGGACCACUGUCCUUGGGACAGUGUCCUUCACUUUUGGCAGAGGUAGCAGGCGGCUGUCCCUCCUUUUAGCACGUCGCUUUUGAUUCCUAAUUCUGAAUAAAUCAAAUGAUAUCUUUUAGGAGGCGGAGACGUUUCUCAUGGCGGGUAUUUUCGGUAGAUUCUCUUGCAUCCGCUUUGCCGGGUACCUUGAAUUACAUGGGGUACCCCCUAUUACGCGGGGUACCCCUAUCUGUAUGGGGUACCUCUAUUUGUAUAGAGUACCUCAUAUCAUAUGGGGUACCUCUAUUUGUGUGGGAUACCUCUAAUUGUGCAGGGUACCUCUAUUUAUACGGGGUACCUCAAGUCAUGCCGAGCACCUCGGAUUAUGCAGGGUACUUCGGAUUGCACUGAAGUUAUUUCAUUCUUCGACACAUGGCGUUCUACUAUCUUUCUUAUUUUUACCCCAAACAAAUAUUAUUGUACGUAUUUGCAAGGAAACCUCCUCUAUCUUUCUUGCAAUUAAGCCUUUUGCGUAUCCAAUUGCUGUCAACUGUUUUUGAACGUGUGGAAAAAAACAACUUGAAGACUUAAGAGAGGGCCAGCGUUAAUUCAAAAUCAAGACCAACUUAUUAGCUUGCAGGACUCCUGAUGGUGAGAAAAAAGAGGGUUGACAGAUGCUGGGUAUAAGGUCUAUAAAACUUUAAUUAUUUCAUAAAAUUGAUUUAAUUUUUAUUCCUUAUCACGUUGGGGAUUGCCCCCCAAUGGCCCAUUUUAUUUUCAUGUUUAUGUAGGUCUGUAAUGUUAUUGGAAAUCAACUAUUGCCUCUUUUUUCUCGCUUAUUGAGGACUAUGGAGAAUUAAACAAAACUGACCCAAAAAAUAUAUAAUGAAUAUUUAUUAUAAGAUUUUAGACAAAUUAAUUUUUGAACCGAUUGAAACUUCCAAAAACCCAAAUUUCGAAUUUGUUAUAUAAAUAUAAUCUACUUUAAGUAUCAUUAUCAAAUCCUCCUCUAUAGCACAUGAGCAAAUUUGCAACCUUUCUAGCUUAAAAUCUAGGUUUCAAAUUCUGGCAGCGGAGUUAAUUUUUGUUAUAUAAUUUAGAUCAUAGAUAAUUUUAAAAAUAUAACGAGUAAUUGUGUAAUUCAAUCAAAUCUUAGAGACUAAAGGAAUAUUUACCAAAGAUUAAAAUAUAUAUAUAUAUAUAUAUAUAUAUAUAUAUAUAUAUAUAUAUAUAUAUAUAUAUAUAUAUAUAUUUUAAAGCUACAUUUUGUUUCAUCCAAAUGAAGCUACUGAAUCUAUAUUUUAUUCCAAUAAGACUAUGGCUUCAUUUCAUGUCUUAAUUAAAUUAUAUAAUGAUGAAAUAUUAUAUUCUGAACUUAACUGAAUCCAAUAUCAUUUCACCAAUCCGUCAUAUGAGAUGAAGGGAAAAAAAAUCUGUUGAAAUUAAUUUUAAAUUAAAGUUGAAGAAUGGUGAUGUGAUGCAUACACAUACAUGACUCUGAAUUUGUUAAAUUGAAGAUGUACUCAUCGUCUUGUCGAUGUGACCAAAUACUGGAAUGCGAGAAUGGUCUUUGGACUUUGGAGAAGACUUGAGAGGGCCCAGAGUAAUUAAAAGUCAAGAUUGGCAAUCUGAAGUUAAUCUCUGGCUUUAAAAUGCAGGACUCUCUUGUCGGUGGGAAAAGUUUCUGAAUUAAUAUAGGAGCUAAUACAUGCACUUUCCGAACUAAAGAAAACUGAGUUUAAGCGGCGAAUGGCUGUGCAUCUUUGUCUGGUGUUGUUGCAGAUUAUUGUUUUGCAUCUCAGGCCGAUCAAAGCCUCAGAAAGACUCCCCUGUCCAACUGAAUGUGGAAAUGUCAGCAUCAGCUACCCCUUCGGAAUCGGAGAAGGGUGCUACUUUGACAAGGGUUACGAAGUUAUCUGCGAUCACUCUUCUGGCUCUCCCAAAGCUUUUCUUCCUGGCGUCAACAGGCUAGAAUUAUUGGAUACUCUUUCUUAUGAUUCAAGGCCCGCGGUUAGAGUCAACGUUCCUACAAUUUCUUUAAACAGCAGUAGUAAGCGAACAAGCAAUAUUCUUAAAGGCGUCAACUUAUCAGGUACCCCUUUCGCCUUUUCGUCUGACAAUAAAUUCGCCGCCAUAGGCUGCAACAUGAGAUAUCACCAAGGGAACGGUUCAUCUGUGUUUGAUGCGUGUCUGUCGAUUUGUACUUGUGAUCCUACUCUCUACCCUGCUUGCUAUGAUUUCCUAUGCCCCCUUCCUCGAAAUAUUACUCAUCUUUUGAAUGUAAAUACAUCAUACUUGUUUUCUCAAAGUAUUCCUCAAAAGUGUCAGUCUGUUUUCCUGGUUGAUGAACAUUGGGUCAACAGCAAGUACCUUGAAGAUCCUCAUGAUUUGGAAGAUCAACGAGAAGUUCCUGCAGUGUUGAAGUGGGGAGAAAAGAUAGGCAGUUGUUUUGAAGGGAAUAACUCAUAUUCUAUUUUUUGUAAUUCGGAUAAAAAAGGUUGUUUAACACAAUUAAGCUCAGGCCAUUUAUGUCUUUGCUCUUCUGGCUACGACCUAGAGAAAGGAUACUGCUCAGGUACAGAUUGGAUUAUGAGUUAAAGAGUAAUUUUAUUUUUUUCAAAGAAAAUAUCCGGACGACAAGAAGAAAAGGGAAAAUUCUUGGUGCUCCACGAGCAUUAUGAAUAGAUGCUAUUUCCGUAUAAAUAUUAGCAAUAAGCGUGAAUGAGAAACGGAAAAUGCUAUUGGAGCGCCUAGACUUUAGUAGCAAGAGUUAAAUGUCAAAUGAUGUAACAUUCCUCUAUUGGAUGGUAAGAUGAUCAGAAAAGUGUUGUAAAAUUUAUCAUCCAAUAGAUGAUUGAAAUUACUGAUUUUUAAAAUAUCCAUCGGAUUACUUGCAAACGAGUAAAGUCUUCCAAUUACUGUAACUGUCUAUGUAAACAGAAAAUUAAAGACAAAAAUGGUGGAGUUUAUUUUAUUUAUUAUUUUCUGGACAGGCGACUUGAUCUGUAAUAUCUCGAGCGGCUACAAUUGCUCCAAUUGUCCUGACGGUUAUAAUCGUCUCUCAUAUGGUUGCAUUAAAGUUUUCAACAAAUCUCGGGUUAAAUUCAUUAUUAUAGGUAUGCAUGUCGAUCCUUUAUUUUACAUCAUAACAAAUUAAUAAUGUUUUUUAACAUAUAUUUCAAAUGAAAAUACUAACUGUUCAUUCGUUCGUUUGAUGAUAUCUUUCAUUAUUGUCCUCGAGAGCCACAGGCUGCGGUGGUGGGCUUGCGUUAUUCUUUCUACUCAUUGGAAUAUGGUGGUUGUACAAGUUUGUAAAAAGAAGAAGGGAAAUCAAGUUUAAGCGUAAGUUCUUUAAAAAAAAUGGUGGUUUAUUAUUGCAACAAGAAUUGUCUUCCAAUGAAGGUAACAUUGAGAAAAUGAAGUUAUUUACUUCAAAUGAUUUGGAGAAGGCCACCGACAACUACAAUGCCAAUCGAAUCCUUGGUCAAGGAGGCCAAGGCAUUGUAUACAAAGGAAUGUUAGCAGAUGGAGGAAUUGUGGCUGUAAAAAAAUCUAAAAUAUUGGAUGAGAGUAAUCUCGAGCAAUUCAUCAAUGAGGUAGUAAUUUUGUCUCAAAUUAAUCACAGAAAUGUUGUUAAGUUGUUGGGAUGUUGCUUGGAGACAGAAGUUCCUCUUUUGGUGUAUGAAUUUAUUCCCAAUGGAAGCCUCGAUCAAUACAUACACUACCAAUCUGAAGAGUUUCCAAUCACAUGGGAAAUGCGUUUACGCAUUGCUGUUGAAGUUUCAGGUGCUCUAUCUUAUCUGCAUUCAGCAGCAUCUAUUCCUAUUUAUCAUCGAGACAUCAAGUCUGCAAACAUACUUUUGGACGAUAAAUAUCAAGCUAAAGUUUCAGAUUUUGGGGCUUCUAGAUCUAUCACAAUUGAUCAAACUCACUUGACCACUCAAGUACAAGGAAGUUUUGGAUAUCUAGAUCCAGAAUACUUUCGGUCAAGUCAUUUUACUGAGAAAAGUGAUGUUUAUAGUUUUGGAGUAGUUCUUGUUGAGCUUCUAACUGGACAAAAACCUAUCCGUUCAACUGAAGCUGAAGAAGAUAAAAGUUUAGCAAGAUAUUUUAACCAAGCAAUGAAAGAGAACUGUUUGUUUGAAGUCCUUGAUGAUCGAGUUCUCAAGGAAGCUGAGAAAGUAGAAAUUAUUACUGUUGCUACACUCGCAAAAAGAUGCUUGAACUUGAAUGGGAAGAAAAGACCUACGAUGAAAGAAGUGGCAUUUGAAUUACGGGGUAUAAGAGAAUCGAUUGGAGCUUCCAUUUUGCAGCAAAAUUGUGAAGAGACUGAUUUUGUGGAUGGUGACAUUACUGGACAUGAUUUCGAAAGAGAUUCAUCUUCUAGUGGGUCAACUUUAAAUAGUGUCUCAGUUUCUGUGGAUGCCGACCCUUUAAUUUCAAACAAAUGGUGACAGAGAAGAAUGGCCUUGAAACUGUUUGUAUUUCAUAAAUAAGAUUGUUAGACUUUUCCGAUAUUAUCAUUCUUGAAUCGUUGCGCACCAUCAUUUGUAGUUAAACACUUCCAAGUCAUUUCAAACAAAUUUUCCACUUUUUCAUUGAAUGCGCGGAGGGGGCGCAAAUGGAGGAGAUGAAGGAAAAAUCUGUUGAAAUUAAUUUCGUAGUUGAAGUUUAUAAAUGCAAGAUGAUAUGAUCUCUCAGUCUAUUAAAUACUGAUGUGCAAGAACUUUAGCACUAUGUGACCUAAUAUCUCAAGUAAAUAGGAGAGAACAACUUGAGCACUUAAGAGGGCCAACGUUAAAUAAACUCCAGAGUGGCAUGUUGUAAUUGUUGGCUUAUUGUUAUGCAGAACUUUCCCGGUAGUGAAAUAAAAUCGAGAGGAAGAUGGGAGGAAAUAAAGAUCAAUGCGCUUUCUUGUAUUUCAUGGGUUAAAAAUCUUUUUAUCUGAUUACAAACUGAUAGAUAAAAUACCCUUAUAUCAUUUGUGAUUGAAUCUCUUAGGUCAAAUAUAUAAAGUUAGAACAAUCCUCAACUCAUUAGUUAGAUUUUGAGUAUGGGUUAAACCCAUGAACUUUUAUAUUUUACUAGAGAUAAACUCACCCACGAUUAUGCCCGCACUACCUCCCACAGUACCUUACCACUAGACGCCCUUCACAUGGAGGCUUGGGUACCACUUGAAAAGUCAUUCGAAAGAAAAGUCUGUUUAAAAUUACGUUCCAAUUCUGUAUUGUCAACUCUCCAAGUUAUAAAUUGAUAUUCAACUCUUAUGUUAUAAAAAAAGUAAUGCUGGAGCAUUCCAACUUGAGUACCAAUGGAUGUGGCAUUCAUUCAGUGGAUAGUAGAAUAUUUAUUUUAUCAACUAUAAAAUUUAUUAUUCAAUAGAUAAAUGAUAUAUGAUAGUUGGGACUCAAAUUGGGACUUAAUUGGUGGGUCACAAUCAUUAUUGGUUAAAAACGAUAUACAAAGAUAGCUAUCGUAAGAGGUAAAUCAAAAACUCUUUCUCUCUGCUAAGACCCUUUCUGCCACCAGCUGAAAUUCAAACACUAGUUUUGAUCCAUCAACGUGCCUGAAUUACACAGCCACCACAUUUUCAAACAUCUAAACUUUCAAAUCUAAACUUUCAAAUCUAUUUUUCAACUCCGUUUUUCCAACCACUGCAGUCUCGAACCAACCGGAACUCCACGCUGCUACUUGUAGCUGCCACGUCGCCAAUUUCCCAUUACCACAGCCAAUAAAAUAAAAUAAAAUAUAUAUAUAUAUAUACGGAGGAGAGAACAACUUGUAGACUUGAGAGGGCCAGGGUUAAUUAAAAGUCAAGUUGACUUGCAGGACUUUCAUUGUAUUGGGAUAAAAGCUAAAAGGAACCUAGAAGGAAUUUAAUUAAAGAUCAACGCAUGCAAUUGCUCCGUUAAAUCUUCAUUCUUCCGAGUAAAAAUAUUGAGAAUGGUUGUUCAUCAUUAUCUGGUGUUGCUGCAAUUGCUGAUUUUGCUAGUAUGGCCAAUCAAAGCAUCAAAAGAUUUAUGCCAAUAUGAUUGUGGCAAUGUCACUAUCAUUUACCCCUUCGGAAUCGGAGACGGUUGCUACUUUGAUAAGAGUUUUGAAGUAUUCUGCGAUUACUCCUCUCGCUCCCCAAAAGCUUUUCUUGCGAGCAUCAACAACCUGCAAGUAUUGGACAGUCAUGUUUAUACUGUUUAUGAUUCAUCUACUUCUUUUUAUGUAUACAUGAUUAGGGUAUACAUUCCUGUAAUUUCUUUGAAGAUCAGUAACCUGACAAGCAGUGAUAAAGGGGUCAGUCUAUCAGGUAGCCCUUUUACAUUUUCCCGGUCGCGCAAUAGAUUCACUGCCAUAGGUUGCAACAACUAUUCUACGAUUAUUAAGCGACAGAAUGAUUCAUCCGUUUUUGGUGGGUGCCUUUCGAUUAUCACUUGUGAUCCUGCUCUUAACCCUGGUUGCUACGAUUUCCUAUGCGCCUUUCCUCAAAAUAUUACUGAGGUUUUCAAUGCACAAAUAUCUAAUUUUUAUUCUAAAAGUAUUCCUCAGGAAUGUCACUCUGUUUCCAUUGUUGAAGAUUAUUGGAUCACCUCAGGGUACCUGAAGAAUCCUCACGUUUUGAAAGAUCAUGAACAAGUUCCUGCACUGUUGGAGUGGCUUGAGUAUAAAGGAUAUUGUUAUGAAGAAUAUAAUUCGAAAACUACUUGUAACAAGGACAAUAGAUGUUUAAUACAAUUAAGCUCAGGCUACCUUUGCCUUUGCUUUAGGGAAACAAGCUUUGACCGACACCACCAUGGAUAUUGCUCAGGUACAAUUUCGAAUACUAAUUAAAUUAAUUUCAUAUAUGAAGUGUAUACUACAUUUCCUUGAACCAACUACGUAUCUAACACAAAAUUAGUGAAAGUAAUUGCAGAAUUCGCAUAUGUAAAAAAUGAAAGAUUUAUAUAUAGCCAUAAUUUAUUUUGAUAUUCUAUUUCAUCUUUUGGGUUUGUUUAGGUUUCUUGUUCUAUAAUAUCACAAGCCCCUACAAUUACUCCUCAGGAUGUCCCAAAGGUUACUUUUCAGAUCCCAACUCAAGUAUCUGCGCCCAAAAUCGUAGGACAAGUUCAUAUGAACUUCUUCAAAUUAUGCACAAAAAUUCUCAUGUCAAAUUCAUUAUUAUAGGUAUGCAUUGGAAUUUGCAGAUUUUGUCGACAGAAUUAACUGAUUUUUAAUUACCGUAUAUAUAUGGGCUCACAAACGCAAAAACGUUCUGCACCUGAAAUUUGCAAUAGCAUAUACAUUUAUGAUCUCCUACUCUUAACAGACUAAACAGUUCCUUGCCAUAAAUCGCCGAACGCGUAUUAAAUAUUCUUGUCCUGGAGCGUUGCAGGUUGCAAUAGUGGGCUUGGAAUGUUGUUCCUACUAAUCGGAAUAUGGUGGUUGUGCAAGUUCGUUAAAAGAAGAAGAGAAACCAAGCUCAAACAGAAGUUCUUUAAAAGAAAUGGUGGUUUAUUAUUGCAACAACAAUCGUCAUCAAAUGAAGGUAAUACCGAGAAAACAAAAUUGUUUACUUCAAUGGAAUUGGAAAUGGCUACUGACAACUUCAAUACCAAUCGAAUCCUUGCAUUCAACUACUUGUAUUCCAAUUUAUCAUCGAGACAUCAAGUCUGCAAAUAUACUUUUGGAUGAUAAAUUUCGAGCAAAAGUUUCGGACUUUGGGGCGUCUAGAUCUGUCACGAUUGAUCAAACUCACUUGACCACACGAGUACAAGGAACUUUUGGAUAUCUAGAUCCAGAGUACUUUGGGUCAAGUCAAUUUACAGAGAAAAGUGAUGUUUAUAGUUUUGGAGUUGUCCUUGUUGAGCUUUUAACUGGACAAAAACCUAUCCUUUCAACCGACGCGGAAGAAGAUAAAAGUUUAGCAGGGUAUUUUCUCCGAGCAAUGAAAGAGAACCAUUUGUUUGAUGUGCUUGAUGCUCAAGUUCUUAAGGAAGCCAAGGAAGAAGAGAUUAUUACCGUUGCUAUGCUUGCAAAAAGAUGCUUGAACUUGAAUGGGAGGAAGAGACCUACUAUGAAAGAAGUAACAUUUGAAUUAGGGGGGAUUAGAGCUCAAAAGUGUGAAGACAUUCAUCUUGUGGGUGGAAAUUUUGAAACUGGUUCAUCUUCAACUGGAGCAUUUUAAAUACUGUUGCUUUUUCUGUAGAUGCUAAUCCUUUGCUUUCAAACAAGUGGUGAUUAAAGGGAAAAAUUUUCCUUUAAAAUCUAAGUAUUUCAUUUCAUAAAUAAAUUAAGCUGUGGAUUUUUGCAUUAUGCUUCUCUUAUGGUUAAAAUUUUUCAUCUCUAGAAUAAAAUAUACAGAGUUUAAUGUUCGGUUUGUAAGCGGAGAAAUAAAUUUAGAAGGUAGAUUCCAACAAAGCAUCUGUGGCAAACAUAUUUAAAUGUCUAAGAAGCAAGCUUCUAAUGCUACCAAUAUUUAGGGGCCCUGUGCUUGAAGAAACAGAACUUUGAAGCUGACAGAGUGAGGCAUCUCAGCAUCUGAAUCUGCAUACAAGUGGAACAGGAGAUGCUGACAUGACAUCCUAGGUGGAACUUAUGUGACACAUACAAUGUAUCCAGUUCGUUCCUAAUUCAUACGCUUACAUUGUAACCCCGUUCUGUGUGUUUCGAGUACCAUUGGUGAACCAUCACUUCGUGCCAUUGUAUUGCUAAUAGCACCUUUGCCUUGAUUGAUUUUGCUGACAAUGUAUAGGUUGUGUUUGAAAGUGAAGUACUAUAACUUUUAUGUUACGUUUACUUCCCGGAUUAGGGAAUCGGAAUCAUUAACAACGUUUACCUCGCAAAAUAGAUUUAGGAAUUGGAAUCGGAUUCGUGAGACCCACCACAAUUUGGGAAUGAGCAAUGGGAGACUCACUCCUAGGGGAGGUGGGAAUGAGUCUCCCAUUUUCGGGAUUGACUGUUUUACCCUCCCCCAAAAUUAAAAAUGUUUAUAUUGUCCUCAUUUAUAAUUAAUUAAUAUAUUAUUAUAAUUAAUUAAUAUAUUGUUAACAAUAAUUAUUAAUAAUUUUAGUAUUUAAUAAAUAAUGACAAUAAUUAAUAUAUUAUUAUUAUAAUUAAUUAAUUAUUAUAAUUGUUACUAUUAAUUAAUAUAUUAAUAUAUUAUUAACAACAAUUAUUAAUAAUUUAAUUUUUGAUAAAUAAUCACAAUAAUUAAUAUACUUUUAUUAUAAUUAAUUAAUUAGUAUACUAUUAUAAUAAUUACUAAUAUAAUUAUUUUAAUUAAUUCAUAUAUAUUAUUAAUUUAUUUAUAUAACUAUUACUAUUAAUUAAUAUGUUAGUAUAUUAUUAACAAUGAUAUAUUAAUAAUUAUAGUUUUGAAUAAAUAAUUACAAUAAUUAAUAUAUUUUUAUAAUAAUAGUUAAUAUAAUUAUUAUAAUUAGUUAAAAAAAUUACAAUUAAUUAAUAUAUUAAUAUAUUCUUGACAAUAAUUAAUAAUAAUAAUAAUAAUUUUUGAAUAAAUAAUCACUAUAAUUAAAAAAUAAAAUAAUAAUUAUGACAAUAAUUCAUUAAGUACUUUUUAGUAAUUUGUUACAAUCUAACUCAUUCUGAUUCCAAUUCCAAGAUAAAAUAAACACAUCAGUGGGAUUCUAGUCCAUUCUUAUUCUGAUUCAUGUAGGUCAACUAAACAAUUUAUUCUAAUUUUUAUUCCUCAUUUUGAUUCCAGCCCAUUCCAAUUACUAACAAGUAAACGCAGCAUUAAGAUACAUAUGUUGUGGAGUAAAAGUCAUAGUUGUGGGAUAAAAGCUGCUAGUGUUUAGCAAAUUUUAAUAGUUGUAGAGUAGAAGCUGAUGGUGUUUGGUAAAUUUUAAUAGUUGUAUAGUGAAAGUUGAUGAAUAUUUGUAAUAAUUAAUUUUAAAUAACAUUAUUUUUAAUUAUUAAUUAGUCAAAUUAUUUUUCAUAUUUUGAAUUAUCAUGUUAACUUAUGAUUAUGUUUAUUACUUUGACAAAUCAAAUUAAUAUUUAAUUAAUCAAAGUUAUUUUUCUUCACAAGUUGUAAUAAAUAUUUUUUAAAACAAAAUAAUUUAAAAAUUGAAAAUAAAUAAAUUCUAAUUUUACACAAUGAUUGAAGAAAUAAAUUAUACCAAAUAUGUCUAAUAAAGAUCAUACAACAUAACAUUAUCUAUACAACUUAAAAGUGAUUUUUAACCCGCAAGUAUAAGAGUGUCUUGUUGUAUUAUAGCUCGGUGAGUCCAAGGUCGAUUUACAGAGAAAAUAUUUAAUUUGUUUAUUUUAUUUUAUCUAAAAAUGAAAAUAAAAUUUAAAUAUAAACAACUUAAUUUAAAUCAAAUUAUGAAAUUGAAUUAGUUAGGGUUAUGGAUCCACUCUUAGUAGUAAAUAAAAUUUAAUAAAUUCUUUUUACUAUUUUUUUAGAUUUAUUACCCAAAAGAUUAAUUAUAUAAAUUAUUAUUAUUUUCCUAUUAAUUUUAUUAUGGAUUAAGUAUUUAUUGUGCCAAAAUUUAUUUUUUCUACAAUAAAUCAAAAUACCAUUUUAUCAUACCUUAUAUUAAGAUAUUAAGAAUUUAUUGUGCCAAACUCCCUUUUUUGUCUACAAUAAAUCAAAAUUUCAAAAUAUAAAAUAUGUAUAAAAUUAAAUAGAAAAUAAUUUAAUUUAUUAAAUUAAAAAUAAAUUUUGAUUAAAUUAUAUUUAUUUCCUAAGAGUUUCACCUUACCCUAACUAUUAUUAUUUAGUUAAGUAUAAUUGAAAUAAAAGUAAUUACUAAAAUUAAAUUGAACAUAAUUAAAAUGAAUAAAAAACUAAAAUUGAAAAUAAAACUAAAUUUAUUUAUAAAAAUAAUUAAGCAAAAUAUUAAAAACACACCUGAAAAACAAGAUUACAAGGAGAUUGAGAGAAAUUGAGAAGACGAGAGAUGAUAAAAAACAUAAAAAAUGAGGCUCUAUUUAUAAAAAAAUAAAUUCAUGAUCCAGUGUCUUGCGGUCCAUCAUAAGCUUUAUGCAUGCGCUCUUCACAACCAUUAGAUCAAAGAUCCAACAGCUGCUCAAACUUCAAAAGUCAACAUCACACAUAGCAUCAUGUGAAACGUCCGAUUCGGUCAAAGAACGGUUGAGAUUUGGCGGGUUAAUGAGUUGAUCUGAUUGACCCGAAUACAAAGGUUCGGAUCCUACAAUUUACUUCACCAACCAUUGCCACGUGGCACAAUCGCAGCCAUUGAAUCAUGAACGGUUAAGAUUUAGUUAAAAUUGCUAGUUAUGUCAUGCACUCAUAUAUAUUGUAAGCUCAUUUUAUCAUCCAAUCAGUGCUCAGUCAACUGAAAACGUCAACCUUUUUUUACAACAGCUCAAUUUUAAGCCGAUGUGGACCAAUCUUAAGGUUUUCGAAUCUCCGAAAUCCAAAUUUGACAUCCGUUUAUCUGUUUGGAGCCUCAAACUACGUGAAAUUAAUAUUUUACCUAAUAAACACACAAAAAUAUACAAAAUUAAAUAUAAUUAAGACAUAAUUAAUAAUUCCUAAUAUAUUGGAUAAACACAAAUAUAAAUUAUAAUAUAAACACAAAAUAACAUUUUUAUCGCUUGAUAAUUAAACAACUUUUAAUACUAAUCAAUUAUAAAAUUAAAAUGUAACUAAUUAUAAAAUUCUUAUAAACAUUUCCAUUGUCAUGCCUCCAUUAAACUUGCAACAAUGCCAUCUCUCAAGAUUAUUAUAUUUUGAGCUAUGUUAUCAGUUGUGUUAUAACUUUCUUUAGGAGACGCAAUCUUGCUUAUAUGUUCGCUCUUAGUAUGACUUGGUUCAUCCAUUGUUUCAUAAAAAUGAUCAUGAUUUUGUGAAUAUCUUCUUAUGUAAUUAUGUAAGGCCAUGGUAGUAAUAACACUCGCUUCUUGAAUGUAUCGCUUGGCAUAUUUCGUAAAAUCUUCCACGUGUUCUUUCAAACCCCAAAAGUACCCAUUAGAGUUAGCAGUACUCUAAACACUAAGAGAUUCAGAUGCCUCAUUACUCUCGAAAGGAAAACCAAAUGAGGGAAGCCAAACAUGCUCACUCAUAACCACUGUGUUUGAACAUUAAAUUUAGGUUUUUCUCUAACUCUGGAUCAAUAACAUUUUUUCGAAAUCUACUCAAUUGCAAAUUUUCCUUUAUUUUCUUUUCCCACCAGUCUUCACUUGCAUCAACUAUCCAGGGGCAAAGCUAUGAGGGGGCUAACCCGGGUUGUAGCCAGGGUUAGUAUCUUGAAAGAAAAAAGUUAAUUAUAAAUUUAUUUAAAAAAAACUUAUAGUAAAAUAUAAAAUAUAACGAAUAAUUAUUGUCAAUAUCUAUUUUCUCUAAAUCGAAAAACUCACCUUCCUUGACUAAUUAAUCCAAUUAUCCAAAAUCUAAAUUCCCCAAGACUCAAUUGUUCAAGUCAUUAACUUGCUGCUUUAUGAGUGACAACCAGCCUCUACCGCACCCACAUAAUCAUACUGUCUUUGAAUUAGUUAUUAGCUUAUACUUUUGUCAAAUUUUUUGAUAAAAUAAUUAAUAAUUCUCUAAUAUAUUAUUAUCGCAGACAAUAUCAAUUCAGAUACGAUAAUACAUGAGCUUUCUUUUUUGAAGAAUCACAAGACAAAACUUCUUUGACAGUGUUUUUUUAUUUACAAUGUACCUUUACAGUUUUAUUAUUAGUUUUUUGCUUGUCUAGUGUAUUUUAAUAAUUUCAUUUGUAUAGAAUAAAUUUUUUUGAGAAAUAAAAUUGAAUUAAAAAAAAAAUCUAGCCCACCCCAAAAAAUAUUGCUAGCUUCGCCACUGCAACUAUCCAUAACUUAUGAUUCCACCCUAGACUAGCUUCCUAGCUAAUCAAAUUCUUCCACAGUUUCCAAUCAGUUCUAAUAGAAUCCCAUUUUUUUUUCAUCUGAAUUCUAUUGUAAUCCAAUCCAGUUUCUUUAGUGGAUUCCUUAAUUAAAUUUUCAUAUCCUUUGGAAGUCACAUGAGUCCUAGGACGAUGUUUGGCAUCCACUGCCUUAAUACAUAACUCACAAAAUACAUUUGAAGUCUAGGAGUUCCAGGUCGCCUUACUAGUUGAGCUAUUAGACAUAAUUGCGUACACUUAAACCUAGAAAAUAGAAUAAUAUUUCGUCAUCAAACAACAAUAUAGGAAAGAGAUUAAUUAAGAGCAAUACCCAAUUUUCUUUUUAAAACAAAUAACAUUAAUUAAGGAUGAAUUAUGUCUAGCAACAAGGAUGAAUUAUGUCUAACAUUACAUAUCCUGUUUCAAAAUGAGUUGUUAGAUUAAUAAACCUGGGGUUUCCUCUAAUUACAUACCCUGUUUCGAAGAAAUUAAAAUAAUUUUUCUCAAUAGUUUAAUUUUUUUUAGUUACCUUUAAGUGAAUCCUUUAAAAUUUAUGAGAAGCUGAAAUGAUUUGUUCAAAAACAUGUAUUGUUGGAAUAUAUAGGAAUUGGUUACUUGUUUGUUGCUGCCUUUAAUGAUUUUUAUUAGGGAAAUUUCAUCAAACAAGGAUUGUGCAUGUCUAUAAAAAGCAACUAAAAAAAAUUAAAAAUGCAAUAAAAAUAGUGACUUCAAAGCAAAUAAAUCACACGUGACCAAUCACCUAUUAAUUUAUUCUAAGCAAAAGCUCCGGUACAUUUUGAACAAAAAGGAAGAAAAUAAAAAAUUACAUGUAACAAAGUAAAGGAAAACUCAAAAAAUGAACAACGGGUAAAGGAAAAUGCACAUUUCUUAGAUAUUUUAAAAACAAAGAUAGAAGAACAUAUUUGUAUGAAAAUGACUGGUGUUAGAAUCGCGUCAAUGAGAAUUACCAAUGUUGGAAUUGUAUCGAUGAGAACUGUCGAUGUUGGAAUCAUGCUAAUAAGAACAAUGUUUAGAGUUUGUUUUAUGGAAAAAUCAAUUUGAGUUUAAGUUUAAAAAUGAGGAGGAUAAAAUCAAAAUUAAAUAAUAUGUAACGGUAAUUUAGUAAUUUAAUAUACAGCUAAGAAAAAAUUUUGCUGAGCUGCUAAAGCCCGACUCCAAAGUGUUACUACUGAAAAUGAGGGGAUGAUAUAUGGAAAAAAGAAGCUUCAUUUUAAAUUAAUGAACAAAAACAAUUUAAAGAUUUAAGAGAUCUAAUUUGUCGUUUUAUUUCACUAAAAUGUAUUGAUAGAUAAAAUUAGCCAUUAGGUGUGUCUUAUCCUAAAAUUAAUCUUUCACGAAGUCCUUAGAAACAAUAAAAUACUAUUACAUAGCCCGGAAAGCGUUUGUAUUAAGUUAUAGAAUUAGGUGUCUCUUACACAUAUGUCUUCCCAUGAAUAAAAGCGUUCGUAUUAAGUUAUGAAAUGGUGGAUUAUUAUGCCAAACAAACGGCUCUUUCCCAUUCAAAUUUAUUAAGUUAUGAAAUGGUGGAUUAUUAUACCAAACAAACGGCUCUAUCCCUUUCAAAAUUAUUGGACGUAUUUUUCAAGGAAACCUCCUCUAUCUUUCUUCCAAUUAAUGUCCAGUUAAGACUUCCGUGUGUCCAAUUAAUGUCAAUCGUUUUUGAAUGUGUACAGGAUAACAACUUGAAGACGUGAGAGGGCCAGCGUUAAUUCAAAGUCAAGACUAGGCUAUUACCCUGCAGGAUUCUUGAUAGUAAGGUGAAAAAAAAAAGGGUUGAAAGAGAUUAGGAUUUAACACUGAGUUUAGUUUUUAUUGACCACUAAGUUAAUUAUUAAAAUUUAUUUUGUGCUUUUUCUUUCGUUUAUCUUACAUAACAAUUAUUUAUUGAGAUUCUUGUCCAAUUGAAAGAUAUUAGAUAAAAGGUUAUUAAAACUUUAGUUAUUUUUGUGUAUAAAACAAAAACUUUGGAUUGUUUAGUUUCAAAAGAAAAAAAAUCGAGACUUUGAGCUGGUUUGGAACAAAUUAUAUUUGAAAUUGAAAAGAAGAAAAAAAAACCAUACAACGAGAAAGAGAAAAUAUAAAUGGGGUUAAUUCUAAUAAUAUGUCCUUAAAUAUAAUUGUAUAUAAUAGGGGUUUUAUAAGAUUAAUGAAGAGGUGCCAAUAAUCCAACAUUUUCACAAUUUUUUUUUUAAUUUUUAUUCAUCACCCCGAUGGCCCAAUUUAUUUUCGUUAUUAUGUAGGUGUGGUGUUACUAGAAAUCAAAUGCUGCCUUUUUUUCUUUUUUCUUUUCUUUUCCUCUCCUCUCCUCACUUAUAGUGGAAUAUGGAGAAUUAAACAAAACCAAUUCCUAAUCAACGUUAACAUACGUUAUAUAAUAUAUUACACAUUACAACUAUUUGUAUUUGAACUAAACUAAAAAAUCCAAACUCGAAACAAAAAUUGGGCUGCCGUUUGCUGGAUUUUGUAUGGAACUUAGAGGAGAAACUUGGUGAUGAAGUGUGUGGAGGUGCAAAGCCAACAAUCAGUAGGAGGUAGCAUCAGAUCUGGUCGCGGUCCUCGCAGAACAGUAGAUCGGCUGGCGGUUGGCAUCGGCGGUGAUUGUGGCGAGCCUGUGUUGGCUGCGGCUGUGUGUAUGUGUGUGUGUGUUUCUACUUGUGUUGAGUGUUGACUUGAGGGUGGGGCAGUGACCCAUGAGGCGUGAAGGAGGGGAGCAGAGGCUGGAGUGCGCUGUGUGGUCUCUUGUCGAGGUUUGAGGGGGAGGUAGUGAGGCGUGAGGGAGGGGAGUGAGGCUGCUGGGUACGGCUGGGUGCGCUGAGUGUGUAGUCUACUGGUUUUGUGCCUCCAUCUCUACUCGUUUUGUGUGUCGUAUACGUGUGUGGUGCGUGAGGCUAUGUAGUGUGUGGUCUGUGCUCUGCGGCGUCACUGGUGCUUGACUGCUUGUUGUUGGAUGCAUGUGUGCUGUAUCAGUAUGGGUUGUUCACUUUCUUCUUUAAGCCAACCCAUUCAGGUUAUCGGAUUGGAUCAGAUUUCACCCGAUCCGAUCACGAUCCGAUCGGGUUGGCAACAUUUGAUCCGAUCGGAUAUUAUGGUCAAUCCGAUCCAAUCUGAACCCAAUUUUUUUCGGAUCAAAUCGGGUCGGAUCAGUUAUUUUGCCCACCCCUAUUGCCCAGUGUCCCCCCUUGCCUCCUCACCAUACAAAUAACAAUUGAAAAUUAGGCCAAUUAAAUUAAAGGCAAGACGGGAUGGAAAUAUGGAAUCGUUAAUUAUUAUACCCAUGACCCCUCUAAUUAAUGGUUAUUUCCCUUUCGAUAUUAUUGUACGUGUUUGCAAGGAAAACUCAUCUAUCUUCCUUCCAAUUAAGACUAUUGUAUGUCCAAUUAAUGUAAAUUUUUUUUGAACGUGUAGAGUAUAACAUGACAAUGCAGAGACAUUUAAAGUUGAUUGAUAGAAGGAACAAAAUUUCCUAAAUAAUGAAGUUAAUUGAAAAAAUUUUAAAUUAACAAAACUAGAGUUUUAGAUCUUUUUAUAUAAUAACUUUAACUAUAAUAAAAUUCUCCUAAUCUAAAUAAAAAAUCCAAAAUAAACAGUGCUCAAAUAUGUUAUUUAGGAAAAAAAAGAUAAAAAUUUUAGAAGAAAUAAGAAAAAAUAGAAGAAUAUCUUAAAAACGAAAAAUGACAAGGAAAGAAACAAAUUUUUAGGCUCAAGUAAGGCCCAAAAUGGCAUAAGCUUUAUUAGCUUGAUUUGUCUUCUCGUAAACUUUAAAACAAUAUAUUAUACACUCAAAACGGAUACAUGUAGCCUAAGUUACGCCCUUUGGAAAGUACCAUUCUCAUCCCACACACCCAUCAUACAUUAGUCCCUCUCACUUGGAAAAGAACUCUCCAUCGAGUUUGACUCGUACAACGCCUCAUCAUCUAAAUGAUAUUUAAACAGAUAAGCCAUAUUGAAUGUGUAAAAGAUCUUUUAGUUGUCCGGUAGUGCGAGAACAUAAGCAUUAUUAUUAAUCUUCCUUGCCACACGAAAUGGUCCAUACUUGAUGUGGACAUGCAUCACUUUCCUGUGUCGACGCCUGUUCGCACCGAACUUGUACAUAGCAUUUGUAACCUCCAAAUGAGCUCGUACCUUGGCGUGAAUCUAUAGAGCCCUUUAUUUUCUACCACAUUAUUCACUAUUUUUUAUACGAACCCCAUCAAGCACUAACACGACCCUAAUCAAUUUAGUUCCCAAGAUCGAAUCUAAACCAGGAAUUGAAUAGAACCUCAACCCAAUGCUUAAUGAAAGCACGAACCUUGGUAUGUGAAGACGCCACAAUCAGCUAUGGAUGGUCUGAUUGAUAAGUCAAGAGUUUGAACGCCACGGAAAUCCGAUAAGUUCAAAGAGUUUGUAAAGAACCAAAAAGAAUUAACUCUCUCACCAAUUGCAUCAAAAUUUAUCUCUGUUUAUUGGAUAUGAAUACAUUAUAUAGGGCUGGUUACAAGAAUUUUUGGAAAUAAAUCAUAAGCCAAAAAUCAAAUCUGAAUAUGAAUCUAAACAAAUAGGAAAGAAUAUAAAUCAAAUCAGAAUCCUAAUCUAAGUAAAUAGGAAAGAAUAUAAAUCAAAUCAGGAUCCUAAUUGGCUUAAAUGUCUUACAUCAAUUAAAAUGGAAACUAGUCGAUUAAAAUAGAAAUAAUUGAUUUGUUUCCUUAAUAGCCUCCUCAAGAAACAAGAAAGUAUCUGAAAAAAAAAAAAUAUAUUUUCCCGCCAUAAUGUGCAAGCCAACUCCUUAUUUCAUGGAAAUAAUUAUUUGGAAACUUCAAGAGCCUAAAUCAUGCAUUUAUCAUGUGCGAUUCCUUCAACGGACCUCCACGAAUUUGAUUGAGCCCAAGUUGCUUGAAUCAAUCCAUUACGCGCUUCUUUGAAUUUCUUUGCUCGAGCUCUUGUAACAGGUCCGACGGGAACUUGAGUAGGAUCUGAAUAUGCCUCAUCCCAUGUGCUUGUGAUAGUUUUAUCCUUAAUCUCAUCAUUCCCCUCCUUUUGAAGAGGAUUUGUCCUCAAAUCAUCACCAACAUCAAAAGAACUCAAAUCAGAAACAUUAAAAGUAGCACUUAGAUUGUACUCACCGGGCAAAUCCAGUUUCUAGGCAUUUUCAUUGAUCCGUUCCAAAACUUGGAAUGGGCCAUCCCCUCAAGGUAAUGACAUAGAUUUCCUCCGUUCAAGAAAUCGUUCUUUGUGCAUGUGUAACCACACCUAAUUGUCGGGUUCAAAGACUAGUUUAUGUCGCCCUUUGUUAGCUUGUUUAGCAUAUUGCUCAGUUCUCCGCUCAAUGUUGAACUUCGCCUUCUCAUGUAUUUGUUUAACAAUUUCAGCCUUUUUCUUGCCAUCUAAGUUAACACGAUCAGAAAUAGGUAAUAGAGUUAAAUCCAAUGGGGUUAAAUGAUUAAAACCAUAAACAAUUUCAAAUGGUGAAUACUUAGUAGAAGAAUGAACGGAACGAUUAUAAGCAAACUCAACAUGUGGUAAACAAUCUUCCCAAGUUUUGAUGUUCUUUUUAAUGAUAGCUCGUAACAGAGUAGAUAAAGUUCUAUUCACAACUUCUGUUUGACCAUCAGUUUGAGGAUGACAAGUAGUUGAAAACAACAACUAAGUUCCUAACUUAGCCCAUAAUGUUUUCCAAAAGUAACUUAAAAACUUAACAUCCCUAUCAGAAACAAUUGUCCUAAGCAUACCAUGCAACCUUACAAUCUCCCUAAAGAAUAGGUCAGCGACAUUAUAAGCACCAUCCGUUUUGUGACAUGGAAUAAAAUGUGUCAUAUUUGAAAAUCUAUCUACAAUCACAAAAAUUGAGUCUUUCCCUUGUUUAGACCUAGGUAAACCUAGUACAAAAUCCAUCGAAACAUCAGUCCAAGGUGCACUAGGUAUUGGCAAAGGGGUGUAUAAGCCAUAAGGUUGCACUUUUAAUUUGGCUUGCCUAUAAGUGACACAUUUACCACAAAGUUUUUCAACAUCUCGUUUUAUAUGUGGCCAAUAGAAGUGUUCCUAUAAAACUGCUAGAGUCUUUACAACUCCAAAAUGCCUUAUUAACCCUCCUCCAUGGGAUUCUCUCACUAACAAAUCUCUCAAAGAACAGUUAGGCACACAUAGUUUAUUCUCCUGAAAUAAAUAGUCAUCAUGCCUAAAGUAUUUACUGACUGUGGUCUUUUCACAAGCUUGGUAUUCAACAUUAAAAUCAUGGUCAUUGGCAUACAAUUCCUUAAUAUGUUCAAAACUAAGUAGUUUAGCAUUAAGUGUUGAGAUUAAGACAUAUCUGUUGGAAAGCACAUAUGCAACAACGUUUUUUUUACCUUGCUUGUAACGAAUGACAUAUGGAAAUGUCUCUAUGAAUUUUACCCAUCGAACAUGCCUCUUGUUCAGCUUGUGUUGGCCUUUAAGGUGUUUUGAGGACUUAUGAUCGGUGUGAAUCAUGAACUCCUUAGGCUAUAACUAGUGCUGCGACAUUUCUAAUGCUCGAACCAACGCAUACAACUCCUUAUCAUAAGUAGGGUAGUUUAAGUUUGCCCCACUCAGGUUUCCACUAACGUAAGCAAUUGGUCGUCCCUCUUACAUUAGGACUGCGAAUACCAAUCCUGAGGCAUCACAUUCAAUUUCAAAUGUUUUAUUAAAGUUAGGCAAAGACAAUAAUAGAGCAUUUGUUAGCUUUUGCUUGAUCAUUUGAAAUGUCUCCUCUUGUGCUUCUCCCCACUUGAAUCCAACAUUUUUUUUAUUACUUUAGUAAGCAAUGCGACUAAUGUGCUAAAGUCUUUCACAAAUCAUUGGUAGAAACUAGCGAGCACAUGAAAGCUUCUCACAUUACUUACACUUAUGGGACUCGACCACUCUUGGAUUGCACAUACCUUUUCCUCAUCAACCUGUAUACCAUGUGCACUGACAAUAAAUUCUAGAAACACACAUUUAUUUUCUAAGCAUAUCUAAAAUAGAUUUCAAAUGUAUUACGUGAUCGUUUAUGUUUUUGCUAUAAAUGAGGAUAUCAUCAAAAUAAACAACAACAAACUUGUCAAUAAAAGAUCGCAAGACAUGAUUCAUAAGUCUCAUAAAAGUGCUCGGGCCAUUAGUUAGACCAAAAGGCAUGACUAACCAUUCAUAUAAACCAUAUUUUGUUUUAAAGGCAGUUUUCUAUUUAUCUUCUUCUUUCAUUCUAAUAUGAUGAUAUCCACUUUUUAAAUCAAUUUUGGAAAAUACACAAGACCCAUGUAAUUCAUCAAGCAUAUCAUCUAACCUAGUAAUGAGAUGUCCAUACUUUACCGUUGUGUUGUUGAUGGCUCGACAAUCAACACACAUCCUCCACAUCUCAUCCUUAUUAGGAACUAAUAAAACGGGAACUGCACAUGGACUCACACUUUCUUUCAUGUACCCUUUUUUCCAUCAAUUCAUUAACCUGCCUUCGAAGUUCAUUGGUCUCCUCCAAGUUGCUCUUAUAGGCUGGUCUAUUUGGAAUGGCUGUACCGGGCAUAAAAUCAAUCUGAUGCUUAAUCCCUCAGAUUGGAAGUAAACGAUGUGGUGCUUCCUCAGGAAAGAUAUCCUCAUACUCCUACAAAAGAGAAGUAAUAGAACUAGGCAAGGUAUGGUCAAAUUCGUUAGUGCUUAAAAAUGUCCCUUUGUAUAAAAGUACAAUAAUCGGCUGAUGUAAAAACAAUGUUUUUUUAAUCUCAUUGGCUCUCGCGUAGAAAUUCUUUUGUUUUCCAUAUGAUUUUUGCUUAAUGGGCACAUUUUUCUUUGGUUUUUCUCUCACAUUUUACUCUACCUCUUUUUUAAUUUCACUAUCUUUUUCUCUCAUUUUCUUUUGCUCACUUUCUCUCUGUAAGCUCACUUGGUCUCUAUAAACCUACUUUGGUGUCAAUGGAACAAGAGUGAUGUUGCAUUAAUUAAAUACAAAUGAAUAUUUAUUGGUGAAGCCAUCAUGCUUCACACGCCUGUCGAAUUGCCAAGGCCACCCAAGUAAUAAGUGUCUAGCCUGCAUUGGCACUAUAUCACAAAGCACCUUAUCUUUAUACUUCCCAGUCCAAAAGUCACUAGUACCUACUUGUUCACUUUCACCUCACCAUUGUCAUUUAACCACUAUAAUUUAUAUGAUUGUGGGUGUUUAAGUGUCAGAAGCCCUAACUUCUCUACCAUGAUAGUACUAGCAACAUUAGUACAACUUCCUCCAUCAAUAAUCAUACUACAUACUUUGUCUUGAACAUAGCACCUAGUUCCCGUUGCACUGCUUUGUCUUCCUUUACUUGUACACUCAAACCUCUCCUCACUACUAAAGUCAAUUCCCUAAGGGCUAUUGUUGUGAAAAUUUUAAUAUAUUCGCAAGUGCACGAAUCUAGAAAUAGAAUAGUGGUAACGAGGUCGAUCCCACAGAGAAUGUUAUAAAUUAAAAAGUCUAAUUUAAAUCUAAAAUUAAUAUUAAUCCUAACAUAGUUGAGCAAAUUGAGUUUUAAAAGAAAUUAAACUAAUUAAACUAAGAAAACAAUUAAAGUAAAUGAGAUUUCAAUAAGACAAAAAUUACAAAGGUUUCAGAAUCCAGAUAAUUAUUUCAUUGAAUAAGGUUUCAUCCUUAACCUCAGUAUAAAAAAAUUAGCUAGACAUACUUGAAUUGGGAGCAACAAAAAAAAUAAAAUCAGCCAUGGGAAAAGUAAAUUGCUGCAGCUCUUCCUUUUCCUCUCUGCCGAAUCGCAUUUGCUUCCUUUUUCUUCCUCUAGCGGCUACCCUUCUCCAAAAGCCAAAAGCUUGCUUUUAUAUUUCUCUUUAAAAUGAGCCCCACCGACCUUGUUAUUUCUUAAGCCAAAAGGCUUGGUCUUUUAAUUUUCUUUGCUCUCACUCACGUGCUCACCAAUUAAGCUUGCACUAGGAUUCCUUUUUCCACUUAUGAAAGCCAAGUGUGGGUCCCUUUAAGUUGCUUUCCAUGCAUUACAAUGCCAUGCACAUCCAGCUCACUUGAAAAAUUGAAAUUUUUUUUGAGUGCAAAUUACUCUUGGCUUCACAUGCUAUAAACUCUUAAUUGUGUCACGACUUUGAUUGAUGCUUUCCCAAACUUGUUAUUCUUUAUGCACUUUUCAUUCUUAAUCUCCAAUUAAUUCCCUAUUCAAUAAAACAAUUCAAUAAAUUAAAAAUAACAAAUAAAAAUAACUAGCAAUUAUAUAGUUAAGGGUAAAAUAUGUAUAUAACUUAUGCUCAUCAGCUAUAUACUCUUCGUCUUUAACGUCCUCUAAUGGUGGCAUCUCAUUUUCUUCCGUUUCAUCUUCAGUUACAAUCUUACUAUUGUCUCACAACACUAUAACUCUCUUAUUCACACAUUCACUUGCGAUAUGCCCCUUGUCUUGACAUUUAAAACAAUUAAUGUCACAAUUCCUAAUAGUAAGAGGCACGGUGUUACCUUGUGAAUUGUGCUUGGAGGGCUCAGAUCUUAGCUUAGGUGCAAUAGAUGCUUGUAGCCUCUUGUCUCGUUUCACACAUAGCUGAGCUUCCAAUGAGUGGAACUCAAGCUUGGGGCUGCACGGGCGUUACCCCUCCUCUUGAGUUGCUGCUCAAUCUUGAUGGCUUUGUGUACAAUUUCAUCAAUUUUCACAUAAUGUUGCAACUUAACCUUAUCUGCUCUAUCAUCCUCCACAUUUGCUCUAAUCAUGACAAUCUCCAUUUCAUUAUAAUAAUCCUUCAUGCUUCAGCUACCAUGUGUAAGACUUUGUAAUUUUUUGUACAAGUCUCAAUAAUAGUGGUUAGGUACAAAACGUCUUCUCAUCAAUGAUUUCAUUUCAUCCCAUAUCUCAACUGGACGUUCUCUAUUUUGCCUCCUACUUAUAACAAGCUUAUCCCACUAAGUAAUAACAUAGUAAGAAAACUCAAUCACAACCAAUUUUACCUUUUUUUCCUCUGAAUAAUUAUGGCAAUCAAAUAUGAACUCUUUUUUCUUCUUCCAUUCAAGGUAUGCUUCUGGGUCAGAUUUUCUUUGAAAAGAUGGGAUCUUCAUCAUUAUGCCACUCAAUCCAUCAUCUCUAUUCAUAACUCUCCUACCUCGUCCAUUUCUCCUAUAGCUACCCACUGGGUCAUUCCAUUCAUCAUACUUAUCCCUAUAAUAGUCAUCAAUCUUUCCUCUAGCUGGAGAUCUUUCUCUUCUACGUGCUUGGGGAACAUAUUGUGGCUGCCCCGCACAUGUGUUCUCAACUUGAUCCAAACACUCAUGUAUGAGCUCUAAUUCAGCUCUCAUCAUCCUUCUUAUCAAAUGAUGGGAACCUCGUGUGUUCUCCACUUGGUUGCCCUGCACAUGUGUUCUCCACUUGGUUGCCCUGCACGUAUGUUCUCUACUUGGUGCCUAGGCUUUAAUACUAAAUGAUAGGAACCCAGUCAAGAACUAACGCGGCCUUAAUCAAUUUAGUCUCCAAGAUCGAAUCUAAACCAGGAUUGAAUGGAACCUCGACCCAAUGCUUAAUGAAAGCACGAACCUUGGUAUGUGAAGACGCCACAAUCAGAUGGAUGGUCUGAUUGAUAAGUCAAGAGUUUGAACACCACAGAAAUCCGAUAAGUUCAAAGAGUUUGUAAAGAAUCAAAGAGAAUUAACUCUCUCACCAAUUGCAUCAAAACUUAUCUUUAUUUAUUGGAUAUGAGUACAUUAUAUAGGGUUGGUUACAAGAAUUUUUGAAAAUAAAUCCUAAACCAAAAAUCAAAUCUGAAUCUGAAUCUAAACAAAUAGGAAAAAAUCUAAAUCAAAUCAGAUUCCUAAUCUAAGCGAAUAGGAAAGAAUUUAAAUCAAAUCAUAAUCAUAAUCUAAGUAAAUAGGAAAAUAUCUAAAUCAAAUCAGGAUCCUAAUUGGCUUAAAUGUCUUACAUUAAUUAAAAUAGAAACUAGAUUAUUAACAUAGAUAUAACUGAUUUGUUUCCCUAAUAGCCUCCUCAAGAAAACGGGAAAGUAUCUGAAAAAAAGGAAAAUAAUAUAUUUUCCUGCCAUAAUGUGCAAGCCAACUCCCUAUUUCAUGGAAGUGAUUAUUUGGAACUUUUAAGAGCUUGAAUCAUGCAUUUAUCAUGUGCGAUUCCUUCAACGGACCUCCACGAAUUUGAUUGAGCCCAAGUUACUUGAAUCAAUCUAUUAAGCGCUUCUUUGAAUUUCUUUGCUUGAGCUCUUGUAACGGGUCCGCCGGAACUUGAGUAGGAUCUGAAUAUGCCUCAUCCCAUGUGCUUAUGAUAGUUUUAUCCUUAAUCUCAUCAAUUUUACUCCCUCCAACUACUAUGGGCAUGAUAGCCAUAUCAUAAACAUGGCGUGGGGAACAAGUGUAGACAAUCUCAUAAAAGGUCUUAGCGCCAUGUUAUUGCAAGCAAACUUGACUUGAGGCAAGAUAGCUUCCCAAUUCUGUUGCUUGUCACUAUAAACACAGCACAACAUAUUGAGCAGAGUGCGAUUGACCGCCUCUAUUUGACCAUUUGUUUGCAAAUGAAAAGCACUACUAAACUGUACUGAACUUAUCCUAUAGAUGAUGCCAAAACUUGUUGAUAAACUUCACAUCCAUGUCAGAAGUAAUAGUCUUUAGCAUACCAUGCAAACUUACUACUUCUUCAGAGAACAAAUGUGCAACUGAAGCAGCAUCUUCAGUAUUCUUACAAGCAAUAAAAUGCACAAUCUCUGAAAACAUGUUGAUCACAACCUAUCAAUAUGUUCCCUUUAAAACUUUGAGGCAUAUAUAACUAAUUAGAUUUGAACAGAUAUCCAUCUUGAAUAAGGAAAUCUUUUGCAUUUUGAUGAUUAAUGCACCGAUCUUAAAUAUGCGCAAAGUCUUCAUCCUUAGCGUACAACUCCCUCAAGCAUUCAAAACCAGUAACUUCAAUGAAGAGAACAGUAAAGUUGCUUGCCUACUAAGUGCAUCUGCUAUCUUAUUCUAUUGCCCAGAUUUAUACUUCACAAUAAAAGUGAACUUUUACGUAUAGCUCACCCAUCUUGCAUGCAUCUUGCUCAGAUGUUGCUGGUGUUAAAGUACUUGAUUGCUUGAUGGUCACUAUAAGGUACGAACUCUUUGUAAAUCAAGUAAUGUUCUUAUGACUUCAACACUUUGAGGAUUGCAUAAAAUUAUUAGUCGUAAGUAAACCAUUUCUGUCAUGUUUUAUUUAACUUCUCACUCAUAUACAUAAGUGGUCAUCUCUCUUGAGAAAGAACAACCCCAAUACCAUUACCAUAAGCAUCACAUUCAACCUCAAACAACUUGAUGAAGUUUGGUAAGGCUAACAUAGGAGUAGUAAAAAAAUUCUCUUUUAAUAAAGGAAAACUUGCACUCCGCAAUAAGUGGGGCUAUGGUACUAAACUACAAAUAAAUAUCUUAUAAAACAUCGUCAACCCAUGAAAACUCCUAACUUCACCCACUGUCUUCGGCAUAGGCUAUUCUUUAAUGGCUUGUAUCCUCGACUCAAUAGCUCAAAUCAUAUCUACAUCAGUUAUAAAACCAAAAAUUCCACAUUACUCUACAGAAAGCUACAUCUUUAGAUUAAUGUAAAGUUUAUUUUUUUGCAACAUCUUCAUAAUCAUUCUUAAAUGUUCUAGGUGUGCCACCACAUCAACAGAAUAAACUAAGAUACUUUCAAAAUUCACUACAAUAAAUUUACAGGAAAAAGGCUUAAAACUUAAUUUAUUUAGUGCAUAAAAGUGCUUGACACAUUAGACAAUUGGAAUGGCAUAAAAAAACCACUCAUACAACCCUUUGUUUAUUUUAAAUGUUGUCUUCCACUCACCAUCAGGCCUAAUUCUGAUAUUGUGAUAUCCAUUACGCAAAUAUAUCUUUGAGAAAACUCGAGCAUCAUUUAGUUGGUCUAAUAACUCUUGAAACGUAGAAUAAGAAAUCGAUACUUCACUAUAAUAUGGUUAAUUAGCCUACUGUCUGUACAUAUAUGCCAACUCUCAUCCUUUUUCGGUACCAACAAAGUUAGUAUAGUACAUGAACUCAUGCUCUCAUGAAUGAAACCUUUCCCUAACAAUUCAUCAACCUGCCCUUGUAAGAUCACAUGCUCGUGAGGGCUCAUACGAUAAUGGGGCAAGUUAGGUAAAAUUGCACCAUAUCUCAUAAAGAUGGCAGCUUGUCUAACAACUUUAGUGAUCUAAUAUCAACAAACUCAAUUAAUAAUGGCCGUACUUUUUUCAAAAACAAUCUCAACCUUUAAUCCUUCUUUUUUCUUUAGCUUCUAGCAAUCAUCGCAAUCAUCCUCUUGAUGAUUUUUAACAACCUUAGUAUUCCUCUUUUUGUUCGUUAAAGGCAUCAACGAACCUUUUUGUUAUUCCACCAAAACUCAUACACAUUAUCCUCUCUUCUAUAUUGUAUCAACAUCAAAUUGCUAAAGUCUGCCAAAUAAUAUAUGGCACGCAUCCAUAUUCUUUACAUUACAUAACACAUCACUCUUAUAAAUCUUCCUAAUGGAAAAAAGAACACGACAUACCUUUAUUACUUGCAUUUCUGUCUUUUUAUUUAUCAAUCGUAUUCUGUCAGAUACUGGAUUUUUUUGGUUAAAAGUCCUAUCAUGUCAAAUAGCACCUUUGAAAAUAUGUUCUCGCUACUGCCACUAUUAAUUAUAAUGUUGCACACUUUGUCAUUGAUAAUGCCACAUGUUUUAAAAAUCUUAUUGCGCUGAUUAUCCUCUUUAAAUUUCAAUGCUAAUAAAAUCUUCUAUAUAAUACAAUUUAGUCUCUCCUUCAUUUGCUUCCAACUUUAAAGCUUCUUCGUCAUCCCCAUUCUCAACGUCGUUCAACUCUGUCUUGCUGACUUUAGCCUUUACUAAAUUCAAAUUUUUAAGAUGAUUGUCACUUGAUCGAUGGCCUGGUUCCCUACACUUCAAACACUUGUUCAGCAUAGGCUUCACUAUAAGUGAUUGUAUCUACUAUCUCAUCUUAUAUCUCUUGUUUUAAUCUACCAAUAUAUUUCGUAACUAUUCAAAAUUCUGGCUCAUCCAUAUUAUUUUUAGUGUGUAGACGAUAAAAUUCCUUUAUGUAUUCAUUGACACUGUGAUUUCCUUACCUGCAGUUUUGAUAUUUAAAAUACAGUUGCUACCAGUAAUCUACUGGCAAGAAAUACUCUCUCAUCAUCCUCUGCAUUCUAGGCCACAAUUUGAUUUUUUUUUUUUGCAACUUUUCUUUAGUUUUGUAUGUAUUGCCAUCAUGUAGAAGCUGCGAAAGCUUAACUCACUUCUCUUGAGGAAUCUCUAUAUACUCGAAAAAAUUAUCCACUUGUGAUAUCCAGUCUAAAAAUUUUUCAACAUGCAUCCCACAAAAAAAAAUCCAGAAUAUUAACAUUAAUCUUGUAAUCUGAACUCUUUUUGCGCCCCUAUCAUCCUCCACAUAUUCUUCUUCUUCUUAAUCGUUUCUUAGCUCCUUACGCACGCGUAUUGGUUUUCAUCACGCAGGGCCUAAAUUUUGAGGUACUACUUCACCAUUGAUGCCUUGAGGUUUUAUUUCAUGACCGAUCGCUUGAGGUAUCUCCAUGUAGUUGUAAUCUUCAGGUUGUACACCACGAUUGACUCUUUGAAGUUCUUCCUCGUGAUUAAAUUUUUGAUGUUGACCUCUCUUUCUGUUUUUGUUCAAGCAAAACUUAAGACUCAUGAUUGUCUCGCUCUAUCGCCACCAAUCUCGAGUUAUAAGCUUCCUUAAUUGCUUUCAAGGUUGCUUCUCUAGCUGCCCGUCUGACAGCCUUCACAGUCCUUGCCUGCAUCCCUUUGUUAACAUGUAUGUGUCUAUAAUGAUGAUUUUGAUGAUAACAAAUAAGAUUAAGAAUGAUUAAGUUUUUAAAAACUCAAAUUAUUUUUCAUACAUUUUAAAUAAAUCAUUAUUUUCAUAUAAUAAAGGUUUUAUAUUCAAAGGUAAAGUGAUUUCAUGAAAUUGGUUGUUUUUCAAGUUCAUGGUCUAAUUGAAAAUUUUUUUAGAACUUUGAAAUCAACAAGUAUUGCUUAAAAUUCUAGAAAUGGACUUGUUUGAAAAGUAUCAGAAAGUUUUGGGCCAUAGUAUAAGUACAGAAAGUUUUGGGGCAAAAAUAUAAUUUUAAAAAAUAGUUUCAUUGUAGUAGUCACUAUAGCAAACAGCUAACCGACAAAAAAAAAAGAAUUGAAGAUUAGCCUCUGGACACUAACGGCAAACCGACUUCUUGAAAACGGUAAACCGACAUCUUCUUUGCAAGUCAAUGGACGAUAACGGCGAUCCGACAUUUCAAUAACGGUGAUCCAACAAUUUGAAAUUCUGUUCAAUGGUAACUUGCUCAAGUUAAAACGGAAAUCUGACUUCUAUAUAACGGCGAUCCGACUUAGAGUAAAUUAUCUGUAACGGCUAUUUUUUAGCUCAAACUAUAAAAAAGCUCACUUACACACAAACAAUGGGGAUUCCACCUAUCAUUGAGCAAACUAUUGAGCAUACAAUUUUCAUUGAGCUUUAAAUUCUUGUAUUCAUCUCAAUUAUUCACAUAUUAGGAUUUCAUUUGUAAUCAAACACAUUGUGUGAGAAAGAUUUAUUUGUAAUCCUUUUUGUAAAAUCAAGUUGAGAGGUUGUAAGUGUUGGGAUACACUUGGGUUAAGAGAUUAGGGAUAAUCUCUUAUUGUAAAGGUCUAUUGGUAUCUUGGAAGUCAAUUGUAAGAAGUUGUUGAAGCCUUGGAGGCUUACUUAGUGAAAUCUUCAAGCCCGAUAAGCUUGGAGGCGUGGAUGUAGGCACGAUUGGCGGAACCACAUAAAAAUCAUGUGUUUGCUCUCUCUUACCCUAUCUCCUUAUUUUUUAUUGCACGUUAAUUUUUUUAUUUCAAAUUUGAUUGCCUUGUUUAAAUUGCAUUUAGUUUCUUAGUUGCUUAAAUUUUUUAGAAACUCAAUUCACCCUCCCUUUUGGGUUAAUUAGUAUUUCAUCAUUGAUUGUCGUCUUCGGGACAAUUGCUCCUAUGAUUGUGUGGUCGUACCAUAAUGAUAAGCGAACUUGCUUUGAUACUAUUUAACAAUGCGAAAAUGUUUAAAUUUGAUGGAUAGAAGAAACAAAAGUUUCUAAAUAAUGAAGUUUAUAAAAAUGUCUGAAAUUAAUAAAACUAGGGUUUUGGGCCCCUUUAUAUAAUAAUCAUAAAUAUUUUGAAUUUACCAAAAUAGGUAAAUCUAAAAAAUUAUUUUAUAAUAAAAUUCUCAUAAUCUGAAUAAACAAAUGGUGCCUAAAUCUAAGAUCUUAAAAAAAGAUAAAAAAUCAUAAAAGAAAUAAAAAAAUAAGAAAAUAUCUUAAAACCAAAAAAACGACAAGGAAAGAAAUGGAUUUUUACGCUCAAACACUGCCCAAAACUAUGCAACAAUUCUAGUUUUGAUUCGUCUCGUCACAAGCUUCAAAAUAGUAUAUAAUAGGCCUAAAAUAGACACACAUAACCUAAGUUAUACCUUUCGAAAAGUAUCGCAUUCGUCUUGCGCAUCCAUCCUACAUCAUAACAACUUGAAGACUUAGGAGGGCUAGCUUAAUUCAAAAUCAAGACUAGCUUAUUAACUUGCAGGAUUUUUAAUUGUCAGGGAAAAAAUUGUUGAAAGAUGCUGGUUAUAAAGUUUAUAAAACUUUAAUUAUUUCAUAAAAUUGUUUUAUUGUUUAUUCAUCAUCACGUUUGGAUUAUCCCCAAUGGCCAAUUUUAUUUUCAUUUUUGUAUAGGUCAAAUAAAUGUUACUAGAAAUUGAUUAUUACCACUUUUUUCUCAUUUAUUGAGGACUAUGAAGAAUUAGACAAAACUCAUAAAUGACCUAAAAUAUAUAAUGAAUAUUUAGAUAUUUUUUCAUAUCCAUACGAUAUCUUGGAGUACGACAUAGUCUCCAAAAAUAGCCAAACAUUUCACAUCUAUCACAAGUGCUUUCUUGAAUAUUAUGUUGGGGCAGGUGUUUCGUCGUCAUUUUUUUCUUUUUCUAUGGUUAUUAUACCCAGCACGAGGUUGACAAUAAUUUUUUUCAAGACCUCAAUCUUAAUAAUAGCCAUGACCACAACCAUGACUACAUCUACGGGCAUGGUUAUACCCAUUUUCAUUAUGAUCACAUAGAGAACAUUUGCUCCAAGACCUUGUUUUGUACCAAUAUGAUGAACUUAAUAAUUCACUAUUCUUUUCUACAAAAAGAAGGCAUGCAAUCAAGUACCGACAGAUAGGGGUGGGCGUUCGGGUCGGGUGAACCAAACCAAACCAAUUUCGGGUUUUGGUUCGGUUCGGGUCGAACCUAAAACUCGAACAGAUUGAAAGAGUGAAACAGAACAGAUUUGCUAUUUGGUUCGGGUUAGCCCGAACCAAAUAGCAAAAUUGUUCGGUUUCAUAUUAAAAAAAUAAAAAAUAUAUAUAACUAUCCCAUGAAUCUCGAAAUGCCCAAAUCGCCCCCACUGCUCGCAAAUCCCUAACCUCUCUUAACUCUCACCACUCUCCCAAGUCCUCGACGAGCAUGCCGCGAGCCCCUCGCGCACGAGAGGGAAAAAAACAUAGAAAAAGAUAAAGGAAAAAAAUUAAACACACUGCUUUGCUCGCAGGACCCUGUUCAGCUACAAUAAAGAUCAUGCCUCUACUUAUACCCGUAAGUUUUUCCAACAAUUGGUUAUGUGCAUACUUAAUCCCCAAAUAAACUCUUAUGAUCUUACCAAACUUCCUAGCUGGUUAAUAACGCCACUUACCUGCAUACAUUAAAAAAAAAGAAUCAUUAAAGUUUUUACGCAUUAAAAUGAAAAAUAGAAGUUUACUUCACAAGUUUAUAAUUUGUAUACAAAUUUCUAUCUGUAAAAUGAAAACCAAUGUCAAAAUAAUAACAUACAAUAUCAAUUAGGGGUGGGCACGGGUCGGGUUGAUAGUCAACCCGACCCAACCCGCAUAUAGAACGGGUUGAAAAAAUUCAACCCAACCCAACCCAUUACAUUUUUCAACCCAACCCGCAGAGUUGCGGGUUGGGUUGAUUGGGUUGGGCUUUUGAAAAAGCCCAUUUUUAUGAUCUAAAUAAAAAUAAAAAAUUAAUUAAAAAAAUUAAAAAAAUACAAAUACUAAAAUUCUUACAACAAAUCCAAUAUUUCAAAAUUUAGCAAUCAAAUUAUUAGUACAUAACUAAUGAAAAAAAGUACAUAAAUUUAAAAUCUUGUUUAAUACAAAACAUUAAAGUCCAAAGAGUGAAAUUUUAUAAGUCUUCCAUACAUAGGAAGAGAGUUUCCCGAAACCAUUGCUCAACACCAACCAAUAGGAGUGUAGUGAAGAUCAGUCCAAUGACAUCAAAAUCUAGAUCAAUCCAAAUUAAUGACAUCAAAAAAUUAUUAACUCCUGGAUUACUGGAUGAAUUUGCUUCCAUCUACAAGGAAAAAAUUCCAGGCCAUGAAUAUUUUUUUUAUCCUAUUAAUAAUUAAAAAAUAAUAAAAAAAAUAACAAAUAGUGGUCACAACAAGCUUAAAGCUCUUUUAUUAAUACAUUUAACCAUGUUUUGUCAGUUUUAAUACUACAAUAAAUAAAUAUGAUUAAAAUAAUUUUAUGAAAAAAAAAUCCAUCGGAGAUAGAAUACAUAUGUGAAUUUGAGAGCAUGACUAGUUAAUAGUAAUACUGAAUAUAUUUCUGCAGAACAAUGCCCAGGAGAUGUUUGUCGAAAAGCCUUUUCCCUAAGAUUGUAAUAAUAACAAUUAUUUUAUUUAUGUUAAUCCGAUUGUUGAUUAAGCUUGACACCAUCAUAACAACCAAAAAUUGACCAACUUUUAUCAAUAAAAAAAUAUUAUAAAGCACCAAAUCAUGAAAUCAAAUGACCAACUUGUUUCAAAAUAAUAAUAAAUUAGUAAAAUAGAAAGAAGAAAGAACCUAAGCUUGUGACGAAUCUGACGAUGUGUAGUUUGAGCAGCUUUUCAAGAAACGUUGAGUUGUGAUGUUGUUGUGUUCUAUGCGCGAGCAGAUGAACAGCUGAUCUUUAAACAAGGGAAUUUGAGUUUAGGGUUCAGAGAAGUUGUUAAAUACAUUUUUAUAUAUACGGGUUGACGGGUCGGGUUGGGUUAAAAAUUUGCAACCCAACCCAACCCGCAAAAAUUCAUACGGGUUGGGCGGGUUGGUGCCCACCCCUAAUAUCAAUUGGAAUAGAACAUGCCAUUCCACAGAAUGCACUACUUCUAGAAAUAAUAGAUGUAUUUACUCCAGUCAAACUUCAUGAACAAUCAAAAUCAUACUUUCAGGGUGGCUGAUUACAUGGACUUUCUCACAUAGUUAUUGGUCUUAUUCGUGUUUUGGUGCAUUAAUAUGCUAGUAGUGCUACACAUUCUAAAUUUUUUAUCUCAAAAAACUACUUCAAAUGAUAUAACAUUCAUCAGUUUGUUGGUGAGACAAAAUAGUCAAUUCACUUAAAUCUUAUAAAAAAUUAUCAACCAUUCAAUAAACGACAUAUUAUUUUACGAUGAAAUUUGAGAUAAAAAAUUAGAGAUAUCUAUCAUUAGUCUUAAUAUGCAACAUUGCCAAAGUCUUUGUCUUGAUCAUAACAAACAAGUUAAUUUUGCAUAUAAGGUUGAUUGGUCAAAAUAGUGACCCUAUAAAAAUAAUUUGUUGUUUGAAGUAUUUUAUAGAAUAAAUAAAAAAAAAAUUAUUCCAUGGCGUUAGCCUACCAUCAAUUGUCAGCAGUUAUUUGUCAACUCCACCGCCCUCCAGCAGCAAACAAUUUUGUGUCCCACCAGCAAAUAUCGCCUGAUUUCGAGUCCCACCGGUAAAUGCUGCUGGAUUUUGAGGCUUCCAUAUCCUCGGUCGUCGGCAUUGCAGUAUCCAAGGGUUCAUCUUCGACAUCGUAGGCUCACAGCUCUCUACUUGAUGUUGAUGGUAAUCGGUAAGCAUGUUCUUUUUUUUUUCUUUGUUUCACUAAAUCAAUAAAAUACUGUUAUUACAAGAUUAAUUUUAAAAAAUAUAUGUUUAAUUGCACGUUGUAGCAAUGGAGCUGAUUAUGAGUGAUGAUGCCAGUAGAGCAAACUUGUAUAUUUUGAAGCAAGCUAGCUACCAAAUAAAAAGAUGAAAGAUGGACAAGAAAAAGGAAUCAAAUUUAGUGGAGUAUGAUCAAAUUUCCGUGCAUCAAUUAAUUAAUUUUUUAUGCUCUGCUGUUUAGAAAAAAGGUUUUGGAUUUAUUUGUUGGGGCUUUCUUGUUUUGUCUAUAAUUUGCGUUGUAGUCUCGUUAAAAAAUGUUUAUUUUUAGUUUUUGUAACAAAUUAUGGUUGGAUAGUGCUAAUGCUUGAUUCGCUGUAAUCAGGGGCAUAUUUUACCAAUUGAUUUAAGCUAUUAUGAAUUUUUUGACCCGAAAUUACAACCCCAAACCAUAAUUGGACCCGAAAUAUGAAACUGAACCUGAAUCAAAAUAUGAAACCGAAACCGAACCAAAAUAUGAAACCGAACCAAACCGAACCGAAUUUGAAAUUGAACCAUACCGAACCGAAAUAAUCUUUCAAACCGUUUGGGUUGAAUUCUCAAACCCGAACGGGUUACAACUCGAACUGAAAACCGUAAAAACUGAAUCUCCGACCCCUACCGACAGGCUCUAUAUUGUUGUUGUAGAACCAUAUUGGAAGCAUGAAAUUUUAUAAAUAUUUUUUUUUCAACAUUCCCCAUCAGUAAUAUUUUCCCCCACACAGUUUUAAUUAUUAAGUAAUUUUGUACAAUGCAGAAUUAUAUGUUGGAUCAUAAACUUGAUCCAUACAACUUUGAAACCCAAAUGAUUCUUUAUCUAGUUCAUGGAAGCUUCUUUAGGUAGUUAAGAUUUGUGGUGUUAAAUGUGGUAAUAUGGUAAGUAGAAUUUGUGUUGUCGAGUAUGUUGUUAGGUUUGGUGUGUGGUUAUGAUUUGUGUGGUAGUUAUGUCAAUAUAUGGUUGUGAUUAAAUUGUAACAAGUAUAAAUAUAUGCUCUCUCAGUUGGUUUAAGUAACAAGAAGUAGUAAAGCUUAUUAAUUCUAAAAGAGGCGUAAUUAAGGAGUUGUAUUGAGUUCAUAAGAAAAAGAGUGUUUUGAGUGUUUGAUUAUUCAAAUUCUCCAAUAUUAUAUUUAUGAACUAACUUAAAAUUCACUAAAAGCAUUUGAAAGAAUUACUGACCUUAAAUGACCAUGUUUCUCAUCAAGCUACUUCAAAUGACAUAUGUGUCCUAUAUAGGAAGAUGUCUUGUUUUGAGUGGUAGAUAGAGAUGGAGACAUAGAUAAAUCAUGGUCUUCUCUUGAUCUUGAAGGGAUGAGUCAUUUUUAUUUUUCAUUGUAUCACUAAGCGUCAAGAUGAAUUUCAGCAACAUCAAGCAUUUUUGGAAAAUAAAGUAUAUAUGCUUAACAUUGAAUAUAUUUUUAUAAAUAAAAGCUAACACAAAUGUUGUGCCAAAGAAUCUGUUUAUAUGUUAACUAGACCCAUUUAGGACAGCAGCGUUGCCGACCGGGGCUUUGAUUUGAUUGCUAUAAGUAUAUACUAAAUACUUUUAAUAGAACUUUCGGUUGGGAUGAAUGGUUGAGUAAAAUAAUUCAAAUGAUUUAAGUAAGGAUUUUUUUUAAUAUUUUAAAGAGUGCACAUGUUAAAAUUUAAUAGAUUAGUAUACAAAAUAAUAGAAGAUGGAACUAUCAUACUCUUACUCCGAAACUGCAAUUAGAGUCAAAAUUCUUGUAAUUUCUUUAUGCAACACUAUAUUUCAACAAGCAAUAAUAGAGCAAUAAUAUAGUUAUAAAUUCUUGUACAAAUAUUUUUAUGUACAAAUUGAUUUGGCAUGAUUUAAUUGGUUGGAUUAAAUAUCUCUUAGUUCAAAUGAUUUGUUUUUAUUAUUUUCUAUUUUCACUUAACCAAUGAGUUAAUGUCAAAUUAAUUUAUGCAAAAUAAAUUUGUAUAAAAGUUUUUGCAUGUAUCAUCACUCACAAUAAUAUUACUAGAGGAGUCGAGCUAUAACUUUUCCCUGGGGGCAUAAUAAGUUUACAGCCAUAUGUUGUGACAAUUACACAAUUACCCUAGAGAUUUUUAAUGAUUCAACUGUGCCUAUGUUUGCACGUUAUUUUAUUUUUUAAAAUAUUUUGUGGAAACUACUUCGAAAAAUGAUAUUUUCACGCAUUUAAAAAAUAAUAAUUUAUUACUAUAUUAUUUAGAAUUUAAAAAAAAGUAAUAAAAUUUGAGUUUAUAAGACUUAAAAUGUAUUCAAGUGAACAUUAAAAAAAAUCUAAGUUCAAUAAAAUUUUUUGAACUAAGUCCCCCCCUCAUUUUAGUUUUUGGGUCCUCUGAUUGUUACGAUUUCUUGUGCUCUAUUCCUCCAAAUAUUAGUAAGAUUUUAAAUGCAAAAUAUGAAUAUUCAACUAAAAUUUAGAGUGUAAAUAAUUCCACCCAAAAUUUGAUUAUCUGACAAAUUGUAUGAAUUUCUAUGAGGAAUCCGUUGGCAUUUCACAGAAGCCCAAUAAAAAAUACAUCCGCAAAAUAUCCAUCAAAGAUAUUUCAACAAGCUAGUCAAGUACUGGGACAGGAAAUGGCUCUGUUCCUCAUAAUGAAUUGACGUCCUGUCCAGUGUCCCUCCUUGGCUUCUCAUCACAGAAAUGAAAAUUGAAAUUAGGCCAAUUAGAUUAAAGGCAAGACGGAAUGGAAAUAUGGAACCGUUAAUUAUUAUACCCAUGACCCCUCUAAUUAAAGGCGCUUUCCCUUUCAAUAUUAUUGUACGUAUUUGCAAGGAAACCUCCUCUCUCUUUCUUCCAAUUAAGACUUCUUCUGUCCAUAACAUGUGCGGCCUCGCGCAUUAGAUUAUUUUUCUAACUUUAUACAAGUAAAGUAUCUCUUUUAUACAAGUAAAGUAAAUCUCUUAUUCCUUGCAAAAAAAAAAAAAGUUUUUUUUUUUUGAGUCUUAAUUACGAGAUAUCUUGGGGAGGGCCCCAACUAUGGGAGGCACCUUUAAACCCGUACCACAACUCAGAUUAGAAGUCCCCGCUCGAACCGGAAGACACAGGUUCUCCCAACAAAAGUGCCUUCCUUGCAACGCGAACUGGGAAGCAAAUGUUGGGAAAAUAUGCUCUUUAAAAGCAUAUGUGUUUAUUUAAUUGUAAUAAACUAUUUUUCUGAUUAAUAAAAUAAAUGAGAUAUUUUAUUCAAAUAUCUUAAUUGCAUUAAUACUUGUAUUAAAGUCCAUUUAAUCAUAUUAUAUGUAUUUAUGUGAUCACCAUGUGGAUUCACAGAAGACAUAAAUACAAGUUAUCUUAUGAUUAAAUAAAUUUAGUUCGCAGUUGAUAAAUAAAGUUGGGCACUUUAUUUAGGUAUAGACUGUAAUAAAUUCAUUGAAUGAUUUGUCUUAAUCAUGUAUGAAUUUAUUGAUGUAGUACGACUACAUUGAACAGGAUCACAUAUGAGAUUUAAUUAACUUUGUAAUAACUGUCAGACUUAUUAAAUCUCAUAGGCGUUGAUUUUACUGUAAUCUUAAUCUUGAGUUAAUUAUGAUUUCAUGAUUGUAAUUGUUAUUCCAUUUGAGUUACCAAUGGGCACGACACAUCCUUGUGGUCAAGAUUACCCGGUAUCUUGGUGGGAGCAAUUAUGAGUAUUGGAGUUAUGGAUUAACAAUAUAGAAUUUGUACAACACAUCUCUUGAUGGGUUUUCGGCACUUGAUCAUAGAAUUCUCUGGCCAGAGUGUGUCAACAUAUUUAGUAUGUUGAAAAUGAUCAUUAGAGAAAACCAGUAAAGAUCAAGGAAUAAGAUGUUAUUAAAUUGAUUGGACAGUUGAGAUAUCAAUUUAAUUAACGAUGUGGUACAAAGGAUUGUGCAGUAAAGAAAUCAAUGUGGCUUGGGAUGAAUUAUUAUUCGAGCAUACAAUUAUGGAAGUCAGUUCCAAUCUUUUAGUGGAGUAGAUUUGGAAUUAAAUAAUUGGGCUAGUUUAAUUACAAGCCUAAUUAUUGUAGCCACUAUUGUAUGUUCCCAAAUGAUCCUCGGGUUAGCUCAUUUAAUUGACUGCACCACUACUGGACUAAUAAGUAAGAUAACUAGCUAUUUGGGUCAAAAGCCUAAAUACAUCAUUUAGUGGGAGGCUCCAUUUAAUUAACUUUUGUAUAAGGGGCCUUAUGUUAUUUUACAAGGUGGGUCCCCUAUUGAAAAAGCAAAUUACGUGAGUUUUGUUUUUUGAUAUUUGGAGCCUAGGGUUUUCACUAAAGGGUGAUAUAAAAAAGACUUAUUUUUCUCUAAAGAAUAAAAUAGAAGCCACUUUAUACAGAUCAGAGAAUAAGAUUUUUCUCUCCAUUGUUGAGAGAAAAAUUUUCUCGUGCUAGUUACUUUGGUAGUGAUAAAGGCGCCCACACGUCAAGUGCAGAUCGAACCUGAGUCAUAACCUGGAAGAUCAUUGGUGACAGUUCGUGAUCUAGCAAGCGUGGUGGUGACGGAUCGUGAUCUAACAGGAGUGGUGGUGGCGGAUCGUGAUCUAGGAGCCUAAAUCAUUUCAACGGAAAAAGCCAAAUCGGAUUUUCAAGGUACGAUUUCUAGAAUACAAAUUCUUAUAUAUUAUAUGAGAGCGAUUUUCAAAAGGUUUUAUAAAAAUUUAAAAACCUGAUUUUUCCCCAACAGCAAAUCCAGUCAAGCCACUUAAAGGGGACUCCAUUGUUAGUGGAGCCAACACUUUGUUGGUUAAAGUAUCUCUCUUAUUGUACAAAUAUAAUUUGAUUCGACGUGGCGCACUGGUCGCACUAGAUGAGUGCUCUAACUUUGUUCAAGUAAAACUGUCUCCCUUAUCGUGCAAACAUAAUUUGUCGUGGUUCGGCACCAAAAUGGCAAAAUUUGUCACUCUAUUUCCUGAAAUUUUAAAAUCCGCAACUAUUGGGCUGUGUGGCGGGCUCGCCAAGGUCACAACCCAACCUUUAUCAUGGGCCCUUUCCAAACCUAACUUGCACUCUCCAUAUUCUUCCUCUAUUAAAUAAAACUGAAUAUGACGCAUAUUAACAGAUUCUCACCAUUCACGUAUUUUAUAAUGAAUCUCGCACUAAUUCUAAGUUUUCAUUUUUGUCCUACAAAGAAGAAACUUUGGAGUCUUAAUGUCUGCCUUUUUUUUUUCUUAUCUCGAGGAAAAAAAAAUCUAUAUAAACCUAUCAAAUUAUCCAUUAAACCUAUUUAUUAAAUAAAUCACCAAUUAAAAUUUAAAUAUUUAAAUUUUCAUCUAAAUUUACGUAUUUUAUUUCAUCAAUAAAUGAAAUUAUGGACUUUUGCCUCUAGUGUCUUAUAUGGUUACAAUUUUUGACUCUAAAACCAAGCAUACAGAGUUUGAUGUUCAUUUUAUAAGGGAUAAAGUAGUCAAUGGAGAAAUGGAAAUGGUAAAGCUUAUUUAAGUAGAGCUUUUAUUAGUAGUUUUUUUAUAAAUAGAACUUUUACUAAAAAAAUUUAGUUGUUUGGUUGUUAAUAAGAGCUUUUAUUAAAUAUUUUUAAAAUUACUUUAAUAGACAAGUUUUUUAAAGUUAUAUUAUGAAAAGAAUAAAAUAAAAUUUCAAAUAAAUAGAAGAUAUUUUAGAUUUUUUAACAUUUAAAAAAAGUUUUUCAAUCUCUAUUACCAAAAGCCCAAAAUUUAAGCUUUUACUAGUAGAGGCAAAAUAACUUAUUUAAGUUUCAAAAAUCCUAGUAGAAAAACAACCAAACAAUAACAAAAAUUAUAAUAAGAACUUAUGAGAUUAAAUAAACACUUAUACCCAUUAAAUAAGUCAUAUCAAACAAACAUGUAUACCAACAAAGCAUGAUAAGAUGGCAAACACAUAUAUUAAGUCCUUAGCAAUUGAAAGUUUCAAAGAUCUCACAAGCAAUCUCGUAAUCCUACCAACGAUCGCGCGCUUGAGGGGGUUGAAAUUGAAGAAACACAGGACCUGUAUUACCACUUAGAAGCAGACAGAGUUUUACAUCUCAGGACUCAGCAUCUGAGGAGCUGAUGACAUGAAAAUAAAAUCCAUCCUUUAUGUACGGAACUCUGUAACGCAUGCAAUGACAGGUAACUACGAUUUCUUCUCAUUUUAUUCUCUCAGUCGAUCCGCGCUCUUCUAUUUCAUGUCUUAUUUUAAUUAGAAGGCGUAACGCCCCAUGGGUGCUGCUCAGUUGGCUAUGAAUAUGCUUUGUGCCAGCAGUCACUCAAGUUCAAGUUAAAAUAAGAGAGUAAGAUUGGUGAUUAAUGCUUAUUGAGGUUCCUCGUCCCUAUUCAAAUCUCUAUUUAAAGCCAAAGAGUAAAUACCCAACUCCCAUGUAUGCCAGUGAGGAGUAGCACUUACAUCGUCUAUUAAAGAACAGAGCAAAUACGACCAACCAGUGGAAAGUCUACCAAUGAGGAUGAUGUUAAUGGAAUUCUGAGAAUAGAGGCAAAUGGGUUAAUGAAGACAGACUCUGAAUGUAAGUUUAUAUGUUUCAUAUGUAAGCAAAACGGCAUAAGACGCAUGGGCUUAUUUAGAUGUUUAUUAUUAUUAUUAUUAUUAUUUUAUUGCAGAUACUGUUUCAUAAAUACAUCUUACUUGAAUGUACAUUUAGCUAGUUGUGAAGAGUACUCGGUAAGAAGGGAUAUUUUUCAAAGCUUUUUCACUUGGAAGACACAUCAAGACUUGAUUAUAAUGAGAUUGAGCUACUGGAUUCGUAUGAGUUUACAGGAUAAAGCUUUAUUUCAUGUUAAAAAAAUUAAACAUAAAAUUGACUUAAAACUUGAAGCAUUUCAAGCUUGCGAUGCAUGAUCUAUUAAUUUUGUUUCAUAUUUACAUGUUAUAUACACUCAUUCCACAAUGAACUUGAUACCAUGUUUGGCUAUACAUAUAUCGUGUGUGUUUUUCAGAGUUUGCAACAAAUUCUAGGUUAAAAUUUAAUUGAUUUUAAAUUUCGAUUUUAUUUUAGAAUUAACUACAACAGUUACAAGCUUUUAAUUCAAAUGUUUAAGGCAGUCAUUACAACUCCUUAAUCCAAUUUAUUAGGACCAAAGUGUCCGUCUCACUGUUUAUAAAUUGGAUGCUCCUUUCAUUUAAAAAAUAUAACCAUUGCACAAAAACAGUGCAUAGAGUUUUCCUUCCUCUCCUUUUGACAUUUAUUCGUGUCCAAGAUUCAACCAUGCUGAAAGUUUGCUGAGGAACUAUUCAGAUGUGUACUGAAAUUGUUUCGUUCCGAUUGUAUCCUGAGAAAUAGUUGCUAUUCAAACCUACAGUUCCUGAUAGUAGGUGGCAAAUCUAUUUUAAGAAAACUAUCUAGUGCAAGCCUCGUGUUAUUUCUAUGACUUUAUCUUGUUUACAGUUUCUGUUUAGUUAUUGUAUUUGCUGCAAUCUAAUUUUACUGUUCAGCUAUAAUGUUGGUUGUUGUUUACAAUUUUGUUGCACUUAUAAAAUAUAAAGUUGCAUAUGUUUCUAAUAGACAUAUGUUCGUUAGUUAACUUUUUAUGCUUUCAGUAAUUAGAUACGUUCACAACACCGAUGAAUAUAUGACAUAUCAAGAGCUAUGGAUCAGUUGGGAACAAAUACAAUUAGCUAUGGUAAAAGGAAAGAAAAUAAUCACUUAAUUUUAGGAUAUUUGGUCUGCUAGCCAUUAGAGUCAAUCUUGUAGCCGUAAAUGACUAGUCAUUGUGAUUCACUUUCCGUUGUGGUGUUUAAAUUUCCAUCCAAUGUUAUGGUGGCUGAUCUGCUGCCAAGCUUGGUUAUAACCUUAUCAAUUUACCUAUAUUAAACAGUUUUGCAUCUUCUAUAAUUUUUCCCUUUAAUGUGUUUAUAUUUUGUUGUUGUUUUUACAUUCUUUUUUCUUGCUAAGCAAUCAAUCUACAGCCUCAGUUGCUUUUUAUGUGUGGUGACAGGUUCUUGAGAACAUGAGGGGUUGUACAAGGUUUUUCUGGCGUUGAACCUAAUGUUCUUCAUUGGAAUUUAUUUGGGAAUAGGGAUUUCUCUUUGACAUCGGCAUAGGAGCUUGUUCGUAGGUCUAGAUCUAGGAGUGAGUUUAUUUUUCCUUUUUUUGAUAGUGAAAUAUUCCUUCUUGAAUUUUUUUUCCUGUUGUGAUUAUUACAUGGUUUUUGGUCAGGAAUGAUUCCUUGUGCCCGAGUUGUUUCCGUAUUAUUUCUUGGUGUUUCUAUGUUGGGUGGUUGAGACGGUUAUGCAUUUAUUUUUUGAUUGCGCCCAAAGGUUAGACAGGUUUAACAGUUUUUUUUUUUUUUUUUGUACAAUGAGUUUGCAGUACCUGUAUCUUUUAUCUGCUCAUGCUUUAAUUUGCCUUUUGGUGAUGAUGCACGUAUUCUUUGCGGCGUUUUUGGGUUCUUCUUCCAAGCUUAUCCUAUGGUAUGUUUGGAAGGCUUAAAAUGCUUUUAGGUUUGAUUCCGUUGCUUUUGUUGUAAAUGUUGUUUGUAGGGUGGUUUCUGACCUUAAGCUCUGUAGUUUUGUUUUCGAUUUUAAACCAUCGUAGUUAAAAGGGUGUCUUUGAUACUCAACUUCGGAGGGUUCGUGGAUUAUCCUCCUCCCUAUAGGCUAAAUCGUUUGGUUUCAUAGUUGAGGCUGCUGGCUGAGGUGGUGAAGCUUAAUAUGAAUAGUUGCUCUUGGGGCAAUCCUAGUUUGCAUUUCAUGGGCAGUGUUUGCGUGAUCAUCAAGGUGUGGUUCUGGUUGCUAGCUUUUGGCUAUUUUCUUGGGCACCAGCCUAUUCUUUCUGCUGAGCUAAUGGCUGUUUGCGAGGGCUUGGAUCUUGCUACUAAGCCUGUUUAUUCUGUUCUUGAGGUGGAAUUCGAUCUUGAGACAGUGGUUUCAUGGAUUACUUUUUGGCCAAGUCCGUACUUUAUCUUCUAAUCCUUCAGUCUCUAUUAGACAUGUUUGUAGGCAGGCUACUUCUGCUACUAAUUUCAUGGGCACUUGGGCUUGUUCUCAUUAGACUCAUUAGCAGCUUUUGAGUUAUUGCGAUCUUUCAACUAGUUUGAUUAGCAUUCUUCAUUUGGAUGCUCAUGAGACUCUGCAUGUUAGGAGAUGACGUUUCUCUUUUGAGUUCUUUGCUUGUUUCCUGUGGGCUUUUUGCUUUUGUUUUGUAUUGUGCUUUUUAUUGGAGGUUUUAAGGUCAUGUACUCCUUUUGUUCAUCUUCUUAUAAUUUAUAUUAUAGGUAGAGGUUCGGUCUAAACCCCCACUUUCUUGGUAAUCUUAAAAACAAAAGCCAUUAUUACUUGGCGAACAUAUUCUCAAAAAAGCUAAAGAAAAUUCAUGUGUAUAAGAUAAAUAAAUAAUUACCAUCCCUUUAGCUAAAAAAUUAAAAAAAAAAAUUACCAUCCCCUUAGCUAAAAAAUUAAAAAAAAAAACGAAGAAAGAUGCUAGUACCUCCGCUCUAUGUGAUUAGGUUUUUCAAAGGGAUGAAUGAGAUUAUUAUUGUUUGACACUUAAUUAUAUAUAGUACCACAUACUAGUUUCAAUUUUCAAUUAUAAUUCCUCUAAGAACUAUUUUUGAAAAUGGAGAUAAAAGUAAAACCUCUUUAUAUUUAUAUUCUAUAAAGAAAUAACUUUUUUUUAGUCAUGAAAAAUUAUGGUUCCAAUUUAAGGCAAUUAUAAAUAAGAAUAAACUCCAUAUUAUAAUAAGGUAUAUUUUUCUAGAUUGUGUCUUAAAGAACUUGUCUCUACAUAGUAGUAAUUAUUUAUAUAUUACGAAAAUAUAUGUUAUGUUACAUUAAAGGAACUUACUUCCACAUAAUACAAUUAGACAAUAAGAAAAAAAUUAUUAAAGAGAAUACAAACAUUUAGAGAUUUUUGAGAUGACUUUGCAUAUUCCUAACAGUAGUACAUAGAUAAUGGAUAUAUUGGAUUUGACGUGCUCCAUUAGUAAAUUAUUAAUAUAAUGCAUACUUUAUCACUUUUUUCUUGCAUUAAAGAUAAUUAAGUCAAAAUAAUAAUUUUUGUAACUAUCCCUCUAUUAAGUUAUAACACCCUCAUAGUAAUAAAUUUGUAUGGUCGUAACAUGAGGUUUUACUGUCUUAUUUUUUAAAUGGUGUUUUAAGAAUGAAAAACUAUAUUUGGGAUUUUUUCUUUUUAUUUAUUUAUUUAAAGAAAAUAUGCAAUUUAGCUUCAAAAGAAAAAUAAUAAUAAAAGUGGUAAUAGAUUGUUUUUGAAAAAUAAUUUUUAAAAAAUAGUUGAACAAUAAAAACAUGUUUCUCACUUCAAGAAGUAAAUAGUAUUAUAAUUUUUGAAAAUAGAAAAGAGAAAUUGUCGUAACACUUAUAUUUCAUAAAAUAGGCUGUUAUUCCUUCAAAAUCCUUAUUGAUCCUACAAACAGGGUAAUGGAAGUUGAUACUUGAUAUUCAAGUUAAUGAUUUUUCUAUGUAAAGUUGAUAAUCACAUAUUCAUAUCACUUUCACUUUAACAUGAUCAAUUUUAAAAACCCUUCAAAAUAAAUAUAUGUUAUUAAAAUAACUAAUGGCAUAGGUGCCAAAGUAAUAUUCAAAAUUAACCAAUCAAAAUGAAUGAUGUCAAUGCAAUUAAGAAAUAUACCCUUAGGAAUAUCCCAAUAUGCUCAUUGUCAUCAGGACCUAUCUCAAGGACGUGGCAACCUUUUGUGAUGGCGCUAAGUCUUCACUUAGCCAAUCACUCAACAAUGUCUAGUGGAAACAAAUAAAGUAACAAGCACGCAAAGAUCCACAAUAGAGGUUUACAUAAGAGACUAAUUCCACCAACAACAAUGAACUAAAACAACAAGGAUUAAAGUACACAAAAAUACACACUUAUUGCUUUUUACAUAGGUCCCAGCACUGAAUUUUCUAUUUCUGCAAAUAAGAAAAGAUAACAAAUAGCUUAGGGUUUUGUAUGCUCAAUGACACCACUCUCUUUACCAAAAUCCAAGAUCCGCAAAACAUGCAUUACCUUUACUGUAUAUGUAAGUUUUCAAAUGACACCUCUAUUUGAUAAGGCUAGGUGGCACGCUGCCCUUGUGCCAUCUCAAUUCUUUCUCCUAAUGUUUAGGCACCACUAAGCAUGUUAUGAGGAGGCACAUCUCCACUCCCCCUUGAAUAAAAUAAUUGCUGCCCACUUAGCCUAGAAGCAAGGAUGUUAUAGAUUGUAACCAUUGCUGCCCACCUUUCUUGAUGAGUAACCGUCACAGCCCACUUCUGUUGCCCCCAUUUUCCAGGCAUGUUAUCCAAUUCCAUGCUCUCUCAUUAGUUACACCCACAACUACCUACUUCAUGCUUGAUUUUUAGGUCUCAUUUUUAUUUGUAGCCAAUGAUAACUCUAUGAAAUGAGAGUUAUCAUGGCACUUUUAGACUUAAAUCAAUACUACUUAGAGAGUAAAUUAUGUGUUUCUAUUGCAUUUUUGUUACAUUUUGCAUAAAUAAUCAUUUUAGUCAACCUUAAUAAGUUUUGCUCGAUUUAAAGUAAUUUGUGCUUAAAUUGUGUGCAUAAUUAUAGGUUUCCAGAAGCUUGUAAUUCAUGGAAGGAAUGCUAUGCAAUAGGCUUGCAAAAAUAAGGAAAGAACAUGGCUACAAAAGAGUUUAAACAAAUUUGGAACAGUGCAGUUGCUGUAGAUAUUGUUGUAGCAACCAUUGUUGUAGCCGUUGCUGUAGCAAUCCUGGAACAACGACAGAGAAAAUUCUGCUCAGGAUAACUGUAGAAUUGCGAUCUGCAGUUUCCUAAUCUGACUUAUGCGCGACUUAGGCUUGCGUUUACCUUAAUUUUCAACUAUAAAAGAAGUACACAUCAUAAGAGAGAGAUUGAAGGCUACACAAGAGAAAAAAUUGCAGAGAUCAAUUGAGAGCUCAAUCCUUCUUAUCUUUCUCUUAUUUUCAUGUUUUCUAUUUAUUCAUGGGGAUGUGUUUCAUGGCUAAAACUUUGUUCUUUAUUUUUCUUUUGUAAAUCAUGAACUAAUUUAUUUGUAGUUGAGUGAUAAACAAUCUUAAUGGUUUAUUGACUGGAAAUAUGUGUUGCUGCAUGUUUGCUGUAGCAGUUUGUUUUGAUAGUAUUUAUUUUAUUCAUUAUUUCAAUUGAUCACUCAUUUAAUGAUACUAGCUAAUGAAGAGCCGCAAAAGGGCCUAUCUUAGUGGAACAUAUCAGAACAAUACUUGAUCUUAAAUUGAGUUUCCCGGAUUUAGUUUUAACUUGAGUCCCAAAAGGGCCAUGCUUGAUUUAAGAUUAGUAAUGAACUAGACAUAGGGAUUCGCCUUGUAGGGUAAAUAGAACUUAAGCGUGUAAUGUUAUAUCUUAUGUUGUCAUAACAAUUGAUCACUAUUAGGUUGCAUAUAGAUAUAAGAUAUCCAACAUGCGACGGCUGAUGAUGCAUAAGGAUUAUGCCCAGUGCUGGAGCAAAUACUGCAGCAACCGAUCCAACCAUUAGAAAAUAAUCAAGACCAUUAGGAGAGUUUAUUCACUCAACUACUAUAUAUUCCCAUUAGUUUUAUCCUUGAGCUUGACGUGAUAGUUUACUUUGUUGCAUUUAUUUAUUGCGUUUUUAUUUUAAUUAGUACAUUAGUUUCAUUAAUUGUUUAUUUUAUUUGAACACAAAAUCUGCACUGUUAAGAUUGCUGUAGCAAAUCUGAUAACAUCAAUCCAUGUGGAGACGAUCUUGAAUACUCAUCCCUUUAUUACUUGUUGUGUACACUUGCACAUUGACACCAAUAGCAUUAGUAUUUAUACACCAACAGCCAACAUGCUCUACAUUCAAUUGUCAUUGUUCGCACACAGAGUGCAUGCCAACGCCUCUAAUCUUUGUAGAGUUUGGCCCCUGUGCAUUCCUCAUUGUGAUGCACGUUUAUGUGCUACGCCUACAUACAUUUGCACUAUUGUAAUGCAUCGUCCUAUGCGUCCUUUGAGCCCUAUACAAUCCAAGCCCCCGCACCAUAUGCGUCCUACAUUCGUGGCCUACACGUCCACACACUUAUGAGAUGUUGCGUGCAUUGUCCAUGGCGUCAAACUUGAUAUAAAGUUGAAGAGCAUGUCCUCAUCUAAUUUUUUUUUAUGUACAACAUUAAUGAACUGAAUUCCUUGAUGUAAUCCCUCAUUAAUCUAGUCUGCUUUAGCUUAUUCUUCAAUAUUUCCCUCGUGAGUUAGCUAGCAUUUCUUCGUAAGAACUGGCCCUUUAGUUCUUAUUUGAAUUUGUCCUAUGUUUGUAUUGCGGAUCAAUGCACUUCAGCAUCCUCUUAAAGUCUGCUCCAUAUCCCACAAAAAAAUCUCUAACUCUUUGGCAUUCUGAGUCCCAUUAUAAGCCUUAGGUUUAGGCACCUUAACUUUCAAAGGCCCAUCCUCCGCACGAGAAGUGUUGUUUGCUGCCCGUUUCAACAACCUAACUUUUUUUUCAAGAUCCUUAAUGUCAUAUUUUACCACCUCUGCUAAUGCAGCAACAUCCUCAUCAUCUUAUUCAGCUUGUCCAAAAACUCAUUCACAAACUCUAUGCAAGUAGUUUCACACUCGCUAUCUCGAUGCAGUUGAUUUCUUUGUUCUCAACCAAACUCUCUAAGUCAAGUUGUAAAAUACCCAUAAUUGCCUCUAAGUGUAUUGGCUUGUCCUUUGUUCAUGGCCUCGUCAUAUUGGUUUCCAUUGUUGUUAAUUUCUCUAAAAAUGUACAACUUUGCUAUUGCACCGUAGCUUCCAUGAAACCACGCAAUCAGGUGUCUGCAAACUGAUUGUAAUUGAAGCUUGCAAUCAAUUGCCACAUACAACCAGUUCUAAUAUGCUCUGUAACUGAAUUAUGCAAACCCAACUAUGCAUUCUAAUACUAGUUUCUUCUCAAAAUGAAGCAACCUUUGCUCUGAUACCAGUUGUCACCAAGGUUUAUCUUAAGGAUGUGGCAACCCCGCGUGAUGAUGUUAAGUCUCCGCUUAACUAGUCACUCAACAAUCCUAGUGAAAGCAAAUAAAGCAACAAGCAUGCAAAAACCCAUAAUGGAGGUUUUAUAUGAAAGAUUGAUUCCACCAACAAAAGGGAACAAAAAUAGUGAGGAUUAAAGUUCACAAAAAUGCAUACUAUUUGCUUUUUACGAAGGUCCCAACCCCCAAAUUUUUUAUUUUCACAAAUAAGAAAAGAUUACAAAUAGCUCAAGGGUUUUGUAUGCUCAACAACACCACUUUCUCUACCAAGACCUAAGAUCACCAAAACAUACAUUCUCAUCACUAUAUCUACUAGUUUGCAAAUGAUACCCCUGUCUGCUAAGGCAAGGUGGGGUGCGACCCUCGCACCACCUUAAUUCUUCUCCUAAGUUUAGGCACCAUUAAACAUGUUGUGAGGAAGCACAUCUCUAUUCCCUCUCGAAUAAAGCAACCAUUACCCGCUUAGCUUAGCAGUAAGGAUGUUAUAGAGUGUAACCAGCAUUGCCCACCUUUCUUGAUGAGAAACCACCACUGCCUACUUGUUUUGCCCUUAUUCUCUAGGCAUGUGAUCCAAGGACAUGUUCUCCCAUUAGUUGCACCUACAACUACCCACUUCAUGCUUGAUUUUAGGUCCCACUUUUGAAGAAUUUGUAGCUAACAUGCUCUGCAUUCAGCCACCACUGUCCCAGCACAGCAAGCAUGCGAACGCCUUUCAUCUUCUUGUAGUUUAGCCCCAGUGUAUGCCCUACGGUACUGCGUGUUUGUGCGCUACACUCGCAUGCAUUUACGCUACUGCCUUGCACCAUCCUACAUUCUACCCACAUGGCCGGUGUGCGUGCCAUAUGUUCUGCAUGCCUCAUCUAUCCUCUGUCUGCAUGCCCUAUGCAUAGCUCAUUUGCAUCAUCAUAUCUCAUAAGUAUCAUCUUUAUCUCAAUAUUUGUAUCUUUGUAAUCAUCAUACUGCAUUCAUAUGCCCCCAAAAGGUAAAAGUGCCCAAACACACGGCCCAAAACCUCUAUGUGUUUCAGGCGAGCCCCAAAGGCCUCUCAUCUCAUAUCAUUUGUAUCACUGUAUCUGGAGGGGAAGGGUACUGUCCAAUGAUUUUGCAAAUAACCUUUUAUACACAUGUACAUAAACAUAUAAUCACAUAUGAAAUUUCAUUUCCUUUUUAUUUAACAUAUCUCAAAUCCACUCAAUUUUAUUAUCAUGCAUUUACUCAAAAACGCUAAUAAAAUCAUUAAUCAAACUCAUUUUUAAUAAUAAUAAAUAUCAGCACGUAGAUAAAAAUCUAUUUUCUAGGAAAUCAUCAAAUCGAAGCAUCAAAUACUUAUUAUCAAAACAUGUUGUACUGCAUCGUAAAAUCAAAAUAUACUAUGAAAAUAGGUUUUGGAUAUUCCACUCACAGUAACGAUGUCCAAACUCGGUAUCAACAACGUUCACGGGUCCUCCUAAUCAAGUAAACGACAUAAUUAUUAUUUGUAACAUGAAAUACGGUUAACAAUACAAAAUAAAGCUCGAAAUGAAACUCCCUGAUACAUAAAAUUUUAAAAUUACCCUUAUAUCAAAAAAUUACCAAAAUGCCCCUAACAUCGAAAUUUACCGAAUUUCUGUCGGAACCAUAAUUUAUCGAAUUAUCCUCAAAAUCCUAAAUUACCUGAUUGCUCUUAAUUCAAAUCACAAAAUUAACCACAAGUUUUGCAUACACGGAAUUACCCUUAGAAUGUGAAAUUACUAAAAUGCCCUCAACAACAUAAAUUAGGGAAUUACGCCUGAAAUCUUAAAUUACCUCAUUGUCCUAGUCUGGAAUUACCAAAUCAUCCACCAAUUUCAGAAAAUUAUGAAUUAAUCCCCAGAUUUUGUAAAAUUAUCGAAUUGCCCAUGCCGGUCAACGGUGACCGAAGUUCAGUCAACGGCGACGGGAAGUUUACUACCAAUUAAGCUAAUGCGGGACCCGUGUUGAAAUAAAAAUCCGACUACACAGCCAUUAAAUCGUGUUCGAAUUGUCUCAAUUUUAUGUCAUGACAAAUUUAAAAUAAUCCAAACACGAUUUAUUUAAUAAACGUAUAACAUUUAACAGUCACUACUCAUAAUGUCGGAUAAUCAUGUUGUAUCAACUUCAUCGUAAUAAUUCGGAACAAGUCCAACAAAUUUAAAAUUAAUGUCGAAGGGAAAAAAUUAAAUAAUACACUUAAUUAAGAAAAUUAAAGUGCAUAUGUUAAAAUCCUCCCCACUUAUAAAAAUUUGGUCCUCGAAAUUUACACAUAUGAUGAGAACAGAUGAGGGUAUUGGGCUCGCAUUAAGUCUUCACGUUCCCAAGUAUCCUCUUCCCUUGUGUGAUUCCUCCACAUCACUUUUACUAAAGGAAUGGCUUUAGAACGCAACACUUAGUGUUUCCGUUCAAGUAUCUCCACAUGCUCCUUUUAGUACGUCAAGUCUUCCUUCAACUCAAUUAGUUGUCUCGAUAACACAUGAUUGAGAUCAUAUAUGUACUUUCAAAGCAUCGAGACAUGAAACACAUUGUGGAUUAUGGAUAACUCAGUUGGUAGAGCUAAUCAGUACGCCAAUGGACCAAUACACUCUACGAUCUCAUAUGGUCCAAUGUAACGUGGGCUUAGCUUUCCGCACUUCCCAAAUCGAAGUACUCAUUUCUAAGGAGGUAUCCGUAUGAAAACCUUAUCACCCACUUCGAAUUCAAGUUCCCUCCUACGCUUAUCUGCAUCGCUCUUUUGUCUGUUUUGGGCUACCUUUAAUCUAUCCCGAAUAAGUUGUAUAUUCUCAUUAGUAUUCUAAACCAAUUCGGGGCCAAAAAGCUUCCGCUCGCCAACCUCAUCCCAACAUACCGAAGUUCUACAUUUCCUACUAUACAAAGCCUCAUAAGGUGCCAUCUCGAUGCUAGCUUGAUAAUUGUUAUUAUAAGAAAACUCUAUCAAAGGUAAAUAAAUGUUCUAACUACCCUAAAACUCCAAAACACAAGUUCGCAACAUACCUUCCAAUGUCUGAAUAGUACGCUCUAACUGUCCAUCAGUCUGAGGAUUAAAACAUAUACUAAAAUUCAACUUUGUGCUUAAAGCCUUUUGCAACCUAGUACAAAACUUAAAAGUGAACUGGGAAUCUCUAUCUGAAACAAUAGACACAGGUGCUUCGUGAAGUCGAACAAUCUCAGCCACAUAAAUACUCUCCAACUUAUCCAUCGAAUAAGUGGUCUUGAAAGGUAAAAAGUGAGCAGAUUUCGUGAGUCGGUCAACAACCACCUAAACAUUAUCAUGUCCACUCUGGAAAUAUGGAAGUCCCGCCAUAAAAUCUAUCGUGAUAUGCUCCCACUUCCACUCAAAAAUAGGAAGCGGCUGAGAAGGAAGAGAAACAAAAGCAAAAAGGUAGUCGCACAAAUUGAGAAGACAAAAAGGGAGCAGCCGCGAAAAUUGGAGAGAAAAACGGGGAGAGAAGGAAGAAAAAGAACGAAGCAGCCAUAAGAGAUUUAGAGGGAUGAGGGAAUUAAUUCUUGAGUUUUUCUUUUCCUCUUCUCAAUUCUCUUACUUGAAUGUUUCCAAUUAAAUUCAUGGAUUCUCUUUAUAUUCCCAUGAACUAAUUUAUUUUGCUAGCGCUACGACGUAACCUAACUAUGAAGAUAAUAAGACCUAGAUGAGAUUUAUGUAUUUUUGCUCUGUGUAAUGUAUGUCAUGAAUUGAACGAAAGACAGAGAUGUGCCAACGUGAUUCAUGCAGUUUUUCUAAGAGUUUCCAUAGAGCUUAAUGAAUCUUUGCAUAUUUAAAUUCACAUAGAGAUAUAGUGGGUUAAUAUGUGAAGGUAUUUUUGAUAUUACUCGAAAGAGGAUAUUGAAUAGACUAGGGAAAUUCACUGUAACCAUGGACAAUAAAUUUUAAUAGCAUAGAUGGAGGAUUAAAUUGGAUUAGUUAUGGUGAAAUCAGAUGUCCUAAUGUCUUAAUCUCUUGGUCAUUUCUAUUACUACCUGCAUCUUUUUUAAUUUUUAGUUAUUUUCUUUUAUUUUAAUUUUUAAUCUAAAUUCGCUUAUUCGAUUAUUCAAAUAAUUUAGAGUUAAAAUAAUUUCGGUAGCUAAUAGGAUAUACGAUCUCUAUGGGACGAUACUCUACUCUUCAUUAUAUUAUUUGUGCCGACUAGUACACUUGCUAAUUUAUGCAUCAAGUUUUUGGCACUGUUGCCGAGGAUUAUUUGGAUUAGUAUCGAUACCAACUAACCUUAGUUUAAUUUGAAUUUGAAUUUUAUUUUUUUUGUUUAAUUUUAUGAGAUGUUUAAAAAGCUUUGAUUUAUUGCCUUUUGAUCCAGAGAUUGAACAUACGUGCAGAAGGCUUAAUAGAGAAAGGAGAUAAGCUUUACAGGAGCUACAACUAGUCAUGACUGAGAAGCAUUACACAUAAAUGAGGAUGCGAGACCUUUAAGAGAUUAUGUUGUGCCUAUAAUUAAUGGUGCUCGCUCAAGCAUUGCACGCCCUGCCAUUCAAGCCAAUAAUUUUGAAAUUAAGCCAGCUAUAAUCUAGAUGAUUUAGACGUCAGUACAAUUUACUGAGAUGCCGAAUGAUGAUCCAAAUGCUCAUAUUGCAAAUUUAUUGGAAAUUUGUGACACAUUUAAGCAAAAUGGUGUUUCAGAAAAUGCUAUCAGGCUAAGGCUUUUCCUGUUCUCACUAAGGGAUAAAGCAAAACAAUGGUUAAACUCACUCCCUGCUGGAAUAAUCACUACAUGGGAUGGUUUAGCGCAUAAGUUUUUAGCAAAGUACUUUCCUCCAACAAAAACAGCCAAGUUGAGAAAUGACAUCACAACAUUUGCUCAAUUCGAGAUGGAAUCAUAUAUGAAGCAUGGGAGAGAUACAAAGACCUACUAAGAAAAUGCCCAUAUCACGGUCUACUAGUUUGGCUUCAGGUACAUACAUUUUACAAUGGUUUGGGAUCCAAUACCAGAACAAUGAUUGAUGUUGUAGCAGGAGGAACAUUAAUGGGAAAAACACUAGAAGCAGCUUAUGAAUUAUUGGAGGAGAUGGCCUCUAAUAAUUACCAGUGGUCUUUAGAGCGACUAAUAUCAAAGGGAGCUAUAGGAGUCCAUAAUAUUGAUGUGGUCACCGCUUUAUACGCACAGAUAAUUGCAAUUCGUAACAAGUUGGACAAUCUGAAUAUUCAAACUCAACCGCAAGUAUGUGAAUUAUGUGGAGGGAAUCAUACUAGCGUCAAUUGCCAAGUUAGAAGUCCUUUUGCACCAUCAUCUACUAAACAAGCUCAUUAUGUGUCAAACUUUUAGAGGCAACAAAAUAACCCAUAUUCUAAUACCUACAAUCCAAGCUAGAGAAACCAUCCAAAUCUAUCAUGGAACAACACCCAAAAUGCAUUGGCACCACUUCCAGGGUUCCAACCACAAGAAAAAAAGUCAAACUUAGAAGAUGCUCUUACCCAGCUUACAACAAAUAUGUCUCAAUUCAUGACCAAAACAAAGACAACUUUUCAGAAUCAAGCUGCAUCAAUUCGGAACCUCAAGGUACAAGUGGGUCAAAUUGCAAACUUACUAUCCAGUAGACAACAAGGCUCUCUGCCACGCAACACCGAGACAAAUCCAAGGGAGCAAGUUAAUGCAAUUGUACUUUGGAGUGGUAAACAACUUGAUGAGCCGCAAAAAGAAGCAAAGAAAGUUAAUGAAGGACAAGCUAAAAACACCACCAAGGUUUCAAAGGCAAUAAAUUUAGAAAUACCACAACCUAAACCAGCAGCACAAGUCAAGGCCUAUGUUCCUCCAAUCUCUUUUCCUCAGCGUCUCAGGAAAAAUAACAUAGAUAAGCAAUUUUUAAAAUUUCUUGAUGUGUUUAAGAAAUUGCAUAUUAACAUUCCUUUUGCAGAUGCUUUGGAACAAAUACUACUUUAUGUCAAAUUUAUGAAGGAAAUAUUGUCCAACAAAAGGAAAUUUAAGGAGCAUGAAACUAUAAUGUUGACUGAGGAUUGCACUGCCAUCUUGCAAAAUAAAUUGCCACCAAAGCUGAAAGAUCCAAGGAGUUUUAAUAUUCCAUGCACUAUUGGAAAUACUUAUUUUGAAAAAGCUUUGUGUGAUUUAGGUGCAAGCAUUAAUUUGAUGCCUUUUUCUGUUUUCAAGAAAUUAGGUUUGGGUGAACCUAAGGCAACAACUGUUACCCUCCAAUUAGCAGAUAAAUCUAUAAAGUACCCAAGAGAAAUAGUUGAGGACGGGCUUGUGAAAGUUGAUAAGUUUAUAUUCCCUGUAGAUUUUAUUGUCUUGGAUAUGACUGAAGAUAUAGAGUUACCUCUUAUUCUAGGCCGACCAUUCUUAGCUACAAGAAGAGUUUUGAUUGAUGUUCAGGAAGGGAAAUUGAUUUUGAGAGUUCAAAAUGAGCAAGCCAUUUUUAAUGUGUACACACCUAUCAAGUAUCCAACUGAACUCAAAGAAUGUUUCCAAGAAAGUACCCAAGAGACAUAGUUGAGGACGCGCUUGUGAAAGUUGAUAAGUUUAUAUUCCCUGCAGAUUUUAUUGUCUUGGAUAUGGCUGAAGAUAUAGAGUUACCUCUUAUUCUAGGCCGACCAUUCUUAGCUACAAGAAGAGCUUUGAUUGAUGUUCAGGAAGGGAAAUUGAUUUUAAGAGUUCAAAAUGAGCAAGCCAUUUUUAAUGUGUACACACCUAUCAAGUAUCCAACUGAACUCAAAGAAUGUUUCCAAGAAAGUACCCAAGAGACAUAGUUGAGGACGCGCUUGUGAAAGUUGAUAAGUUUAUAUUCCCUGCAGAUUUUAUUGUCUUGGAUAUGGCUGAAGAUAUAGAGUUACCUCUUAUUCUAGGCCGACCAUUCUUAGCUACAAGAAGAGCUUUGAUUGAUGUUCAGGAAGGGAAAUUGAUUUUAAGAGUUCAAAAUGAGCAAGCCAUUUUUAAUGUGUACACACCUAUCAAGUAUCCAACUGAACUCAAAAAAUGUUUCCAAGAAGACACCAUGGAUAGAAAAAUAGCCAAACAAUUUAAGGAUAAGCAUCUAUCUAACCCUCCUGACAUUUAUACAAUACGUAAGCAGUCUAUUAAUGAAUAUCCAUCUCCUCAUUUUCGUGGGAAGAGAUCUAAUUGCAAGCAACUUGGGCGAGAUCCAUCCAGAUCAUCUCUUUCCAUCCAUGAGCCUCCUUGAACGAUCUCUCCAAAGAUAGUCAAGCUAAUGACUAUAAAUUAAGCACUUCUUGGGAGGCAACCCAAGCUUUCUAAACCUUAUUAUUGUCAUUUUUGUCUUUUCUUAUUUUUUUUGUCUUUUCUUAUUUCUUAUGUCUUUUCUUAUUUCUUAUGUCUUUUCUUUUACUUAUUUUAUUUUGUUUUGUUCUAGGUUUUUGCAUAAGUUUGGGGGUGGGAAUAUUUGCUUUCAAUUUUUUCUUAAAAAAAAAAAGAAAAAAAAUCUAAAAAAAUUAAAUUUUUUUUUAUGCCUUUGAUGAGUAUAUUGUUGAAAAUGAAUAUGGUUCUUAGAAAGGGAUGAAUAUUGUCUUAAUUUAUACUUGAUUCUUGUGUUAUUUUCGUCUUGAUUAUGAUUCUUUAAAUAUUUUGCGCACUUAUAUCAAUUUUUUUAGAAUUUCGACUUAAGAUUUGAGAUUGAUACAGCCUGAGUUGAGAAUUUUAGAUUGAGUAAAUGAUUGUUUGCCUCGAUUCUACAUUACUUAAGUACCCAGGCAUCAUAGUCAGAAAUAACUACCUAUAACCCUUAAGAGUGAAGCUAUCAUUGAGUAAUUUGGGCCUAUGUACCACCGAUAUGUAGAGGAUAAUCUACCAUGAGAAGAAGACUACCUUAAGGGGUAGAGUGAAAGCUCCUGACUACGAAAAAUCAAAAGAAAAUGCAAAUUAUGCUUGUGAAAAAAAAAGAGAGAGAUCAAGAUGAUGAGGUUAGUUUGACCUACUCUGUUUACUAUUCAAUACAAGGGCUAUUGAUAAUGAAGAUUUUGAGAAUGAGUUUUGAUUGAAUUGAUUCACACACAACACAGGAAUCCAAUAUGAGAUGAGGCUGACCAUUGAAUUAAAGUUAGAAGUUUGCCAAUACUUUUAAUUUUCUUUGAGAUGUAUACUUUAUGCAAUCUUUGAGGCAUUUUUAAUGAUGUUUGUGGGUAUCAUCGCUGAAAACCCUCACGAGACUAUAACUUGUCCACUAGGGCCGCCUAGGGGUUUACAGGCUUGUUGUAUACGUUAAAUGCAAUCGCGAUCACCUGGGAAAGUUGUUUAGUUAGGAUUUUCUUUUCAUAGUUUUUAUUUUAAUUUUUGCUCGAGGACUAGCAAAAUGUUAAGUUUGGGGGUAUUUGAUGUGCCAAUCAUUUUCAUAUUAUUUUAAUGCUUCCAUAACUUAAUUUUAUGUUAAAUUAUAUUUUAUUUCAUUAAUUUUUAUCUUAAUUUUUAUAUUUUGUCAUUGUAGGAAUAUUGGGAAUAUUCAUGAGAAAGGAAGCUUAAAGAGGAAACAAAUUGGAGCUUAAUGGAAAUAAUUGCAGAUUGUGAGAGAAAAGAGGAAAGAAUAAUGCUUAAAGAAUAAUUAUUAGAUUUAUUACCAAAUAAUUUUAGAAAUUUAUUGGCUAUUUGUACAAGUCACGUGGAUGAUUACAUAAAGCAUUGGCAUUUGUCAAGUGGGCUCACAUAAGCAUGGGCUUAAAAGGGUGGCUAGGUUUGUUUUGUUUUAAAAUCCUUUUGAUUUAAGGAUUUGGGGACUGAGCAAUAAUAUAAAAAGGAGGAGAAACAAAAGCAAGAGGGUAGCCGCACAAAUUGAGAAGACAAAAAGGGAGCAGCCGCGAAAAUUGGAGAGAAAAACCGAGAGAGAAGGAAGAAAAAGAACGAAGCAACCAUAAGAGAUUCAGGGGGAGGCUGGAAUUAAUUCUUGAGUUUUUCUUUUCCUCUUCUCAAUUGUCUUGCUUGAAUGUUCCCAAUUAAAUUAAUGGAUUCUCUUUAUAUUCCCAUGAACUAAUUUAUUUUUCUAAGGCUACGACGUAGCCUAACUAUGAAGAUUUAAUUCCAUAAAUCUAUGUUAUUUUUAGUUUAUUAUUCCAUCGGUGAGUGUUCAUUAUUGUGUUUAAUGCUUUUAAAUAUCUGGCUAAUAUUUAAAUGAUUUGAGGAUACAUAAUGAGACCGGGAGAAGAUUUAUAUAUUUUUGCUCUAUGUAAUGUAUGCCAUGAAUUGAACGAAAGACAGAGAUGUGCCAACGUGAUUCAUGAAGUUUUUCUAAGAGUUUUCAUAGAGCUUAAUGAAUCUUUGCAUAUUUAAAUUCACCUAGAGAUAUAGUGGGUUAAUAUAUAAAGGUAUUUUUUAUAUUGCUCGAGAAAGGAUAUUGAAUAGACUAGGGAAAUUCACUGUCAACAUGGAUAAUAAAUUUUAAUAGCAUAGAUGGAGGAUUAAAUUGGAUUAGUUAUUGUGAAAUUAGAUGUCCUAGUGUUUUAAUCUCUUGGUGAUUUCUAUUACUGUCGCAUCUUUAUUUAAUUUUUAGUUAUUUUAUUUUAUUUUAAUUUUUAGUCUAAAUUUACUUAUUCGAUUGUUCAAAUAAAUUAGGGUUAGAAUAAUUUCGAUAGCUAAUAGGAUAUAUAAUCUCUGUAGGACAAUACUCUACUCUUCAUUAUAUUACUUGUACUGACUAGUACACUUGCUAAUUUACGCAUCAAGUUUUUGGUUAUUAGCUUUCAACUUAACUCCUAAAGAUCUCAGCUCGAUCAACAAAGUCAUAUAUAUCACUCAUAAAUGAGCUAUAGAGCUGGAGGACUUCCUACUUAACGCAUCAACUACCACAUUUGCUUUGCCCAGAUGAUAAUCAAUAGUGCAAUCGUAGUCCAUAAUCAGCUCGAUCCAUCUCCUCUGUCUCAAAUGUAACUCUUUCUAAGUAAAUAAAUACUUCAGGCUCUUAUAAUCGAUGAAAAUCCGACGCGUUGCCCCGUAUAAAUAGUACCUUCAUGUCUUGAGUGCAAACACCACUGCUACUAGCUCUAAAUCAUGAGUUGGAUAGUUUUGCUCAUGCUUCUUAAGUUUUCUAGAAGCAUAGGCCACUACUUUCCCAUGUUGCAUUAGCACACAUCCCAAUCCUUGUCUAAAGGCAUCACUGCAUACCACAAAUCCUUCAUUACCCAAUGGAAGUGUAAGAACUAGGGCUGAAGUAAGACAUGUCUUAAGUUCUUGAAAACUCUUUUCACAGUCAUCAUCCCAUUGGAACUUAACAUUCUUUCUGGUUAAUCGUAUCAAAGGAAUAACAAUCUUGGAAAAUCCCUCCACAAAUCUACGAUAGUAGCCAGCUACUUCGAGGAAACUCUGAAUCUCUGUGACAUUUAUAGGUCGUUCCCAAUUUACAACUGCUUUGAUCUUUUGAGGAUCGACAUAAAUUCAUUCAGCUAAUAUCAUAUGGCCCAGAAAUACUAGUUUAUCCAACCAGAACUCACACUUGUUGAACUUGGCAUACAACUGCUUUUGCCUUAAAGUCUGUAAAACAGUUCGCAAAUAUUCUGCAUGUUCCUCCUGGUUCCGAGAAUACACCAAAAUAUCAUCAAUGAACACAAUCAUAAACCGAUAUAGAUAAGGGUGAAAUACUUUAUUCAUAAAAUCCAUAAAAGCUGCUGGAGCAUUAGUCAACGCAAAUGGCAUCACCAAGAACUCAUAAUGUCCAUAACAGGUUCUGAAUGUUGUUUUAAGAACAUUGACCUCUUUAAUUCUAAGCUGAUGAUAUCCUGAGUGUAAAUCAAUCUUAGAAAAUACUUUCACUCCAUGAAGUUGAUCAAACAAGUCAUCAAUAUAUGGAAGUGGAUACUUAUUGCGUAUUGUAACUUUGUUUAAUUAUCUGUAGUCAAUGCAGAGUCUAAAAGCACCAUUCUUUUUCUUAACAAACAAAACCGGAGCACCCACGGAGACACAUUAGGUCUAAUAAAUCACUUAUCCACCAAUUCUUGCAGUUGAAACUUAAGUUCCUUUAGUUCAACUAGAGCCAUCCUGUACGGUGCUAUAGAUAUAAGAGUUGUUCCAGGGACUAAAUCAAUAGAAAACUCAACCUCCCUAUUAGGUGGCAUCCUUGGAAGUUCAUCUGGAAACUGUUGGACUACUAGAAUAUCCUCCAAUCUCAACUCCCGAACUUUAGUGUCUAUCACGUGCGAUAUAAGCUGAGCAACCUUUUCUUAGUAACCGUCUAGCACCAAUGGCUAAUAUGACAUAUGACGGUAAAACUCUACACUCACCACAAAAUUUCACCUCAGUUUUCCCUGACUUUUCUAAACAUAACUUCCUUUUUGAAACAAUCCAUAGUAUCAUAAUGAGAUGCAAGUCAAACCAUGCCCAAAAUGUUAAUGAAAUCUCGAAUGUCUAAAAUAAUCAAAUUCGCCCUAAAUUCUUGCUCACCCAAUUUAAUCAUACAAUCUUAAUACACACUCUCGGCAAGCAUUGACCCCCUAUAGGUGUAUUAACAACUAAACCAUAAUCCAGUGGUUCAUGCUCUCUCUCUCAAAUGCAUAGCAAAAACAUGAGAAACAAAAGAAUGCGUGGAUCCAGGAUCAAUAAGAAUAUAAGCCUAAGUAAUUGCAACAUGUCAUUGAUAUUGAUGUUCUACUAUUUGCCACCAAUGAUAAGCUUUAUCCUCAAGUAGAAAAGUGGCAAAGGAAAGUCCAUCCUCCUCUGAGCAACUCAUCAUAUUAAAAAUACGUUCUAACUUGACAAACCACGACUCUGCCUCAGGUGGAUCUCCAAAACCAUUAAAACUCUUUGCCCCUAAAUUUUGUACACGCUCGAUAGUGUAUACAUGACCGGCAUACAGAUGAGUCUGAUUAUGUACCAUUGUAGUCACAAUCUCAGCUAGUUUAUCAAUUGACUGCUCAAGGUUGGGUACAUUUCCUGGUGCCUGUUGUGCAACCUCGUGCGUUGAAGACUCAACUACUCUCUCGUUUACAGCAUUAUUUUCCGCCGCAGGUACAUCUCCUGGAGUCAACCCAUCUACUGAUUUAGUACAGCUACAACCACCCCUAUUGCUACAACGAAUCAUGAUAGUGCUCACAAAAUAUCAAUUACGACUUUGACAACAGCAAAACUUAUUCUAAUCACAACAACAAAGUCUACAUAAUCUAAAACUGUGCUCUGAUACCAACUGAAACGACCCGCCCCGAGUCCCCAGGACGAGUCUAUCUAACUCGCCUAACCAAAUUAAUAAUAAUUCUAAUGUCUAAGAAUUCUACCAAAAUUUCGGCAAAGUCUCCUAUAUAAUUAUGACAUCCCCAAACUGCAAUUUAUAAAAUUAACACUCCAAAAAAUGAUACAAUAUUCAAUCAACCUCCACAACUAACUUCCUCAAUCAAAUACCAGUAUCCUUCAAACAUAUAAUGUCAAGAAUAUAAUAAUUUGUCCUUAAUCACAAAUAAAUAAUAAAUUAUAUAAUUCAAAAUAUCUCAACAAAACAUCUAGGAUUAACACCAUCACGUGGCCAUAGUUUCAAAUCUAACUAUUGUUGCUGGGUCGACUGAUGCAUCUGCAAAUCUCCUGUGGCGGGAAAAAUAUAAUAAAAAUGGGGUGAGUAUAAAACUCAAUGAGUGGAUAGUAGUUUUUGAAAAAUAAUUUUUUUUAAAAUGAUUUAAUCUUUCCCAAAUCAAUUUCAUUAAAAUAUCAUAAGAACUUAAAUUAACAUAUUUAAUUAAAAUCAUGCACUGAAAUAACAAUAUUACAUAAAUCUGCAUAACAUCAAUGAAAUCAUAACAUUCAUAAUAUCAAAUACUAAAUACCAAAAACUAUCACCAAACAAGAACCCAAGGGAAUAAACCCAUCAUAUCCGGACCUCGACGGACGGACAAUCAAGGAACUAUCAUGCCUUGGAGCUACAACGGAUAGACGUGGAAAUGCCAUUUCAUAUCUCAUAUAUCUCAUCAUAUAUGUGCAUGUAUAAUCUGGUCCCCAAAGGAUAAGGUGCCCAAGUAUACGGCCCAAAACCUCUAUGUGUACUCAAACGGGCCCCAAAGGCUUCUCAUCUCAUCUGUAUCAUCAUAUCCCAUCUAUAUCAUCUGUAUCUCAAUAUCCGUAUCUUUGUAAUCAUUAUACUGGAGGCAUAUACCCCCAAAAGGCAAAAGCGCCCAAGCACACGGCCCAAAGCCUCUAUGUAUAUUCAGACGGGCCCCAAAGACCCAUCAUCUCAUAUCAUUUGUAUCAUUGUAUCUAGAGGGAAAGGGUAUUGUCCAAUAAUUUUGCAAACAACCUUUUAUACACAUGUACAUAAACAUAUAAUCACAUCUGAAAUCUCAUUUCCUUUUUAUUUAACAUAUCUCAAAUCCACUCAAUUCUAUUAUCAUGCAUUUACUCAAAAACGAUAAUAAAAUCAUUAAUCAAACUCAUUUUUAAUAAUAAUAAAUAUCAUCACGUAAAUAAAAAUCCAUUUUCUAGGAAAUCAUCAAAUCGAAGCAUCAAAUACUUAUUAUCAAAACAUGUUGUAUUGUAUCGUAAAAUUAGAAUAUACUAUGAAAAUAGGUUUUGUAUAUUUCACUCACAGUGACGAUGUUCAGACUCGGUAUCAACAACGUCCGUGGGUUGAUUCUCAUUCACGGGUUGUUGGUGAAUUACUCAAUUGCUAUUGAUGCCAAUGUGCAAGUGUACACAACAAGUAAUAAAGUGAUGAAUAUUCUAGAUCAUCUCCACAGAGACUGAUGUUACUAGAAAUGCUACAGCAAUCACAAUAGUGCAAUCUACCUUUAUUUCAUGAUGAACCUAGUUAAAGUUGAUUACUACCGAAAUUAAAAAUUGUAAAGAAAUAAAUCAAAUAAUUGCAUUAAUGAAAUAAAUUAGAUAAAUUGCGUAAAAAAAUGAAAUGAGAAUGAGGUAGUUGAAUGAUCAAACUCUCUUCAUGGGUUGACUGCUUUUCAUCAAAUUAGCACAAGUUGCUACAACAAUUCCUACAGCACUGGGCAUAAUUAUUUUGCAUCCUCAGCUGUCGCGUGUUGGACUUCUCAUACCCUUAAGUAUCUUAACAAUGACCAGUUACUAUUCUACCUACGGCAUGGCAUUAUGAACAUCUAUUCUCUCCACCCUACAAGAUGAGUGUCUAUGUCUAGUUCUUCACAAAUCUUAACUUCAAGUAUAGCCCUUAUGGGAUUCAAGAUAAACUUAAUCCAGGAAACUCAAAUUAAGAUCAAGUAUUACUCUAAUAAUAUCCACUAAGACAGGCCUUUUGCGACUCUAUCUUAACUUGAACCAUUAAAUGGGUGAUCAACCGAAAUAACAGUUAUAAUAAUAGCUACUAGAGUAAAAUGCUACAACAAUUAUAUAGCAACUCAUAAGAAUAGUCAAAAACCCAUUGAGAUUGUUUGUCACUCAACUACAAGCAAGUUUAGUUCAUACUUUGAAAAAGAAAAACACAUAGCAAACUAUUGGUCACGAAAUACAUCGGUUCAAUCAAAGAGUAACGAAAAGAACAAUGAAGAUUGAAUCCAAAUAACUAUGCUGGAUUCUUCACUGAUACAGCUUGGUUCUCUUGAAUUCAUAUUGUUUUCUUCUUUUCCUCUUGAUUUUUCCAAUGUUAAUUCCUUUCCGCCGUUUUAUGUGAUGCGCGCCCCUUUUUAUAACUGAAACUUAGGGUAAACAAAAGCCUAGGGCGAGCAUGAGUCAAAUUAGAAAACUGUAGAUUGCAAUUCUGCAGAUAUCCCGUGCUAAGUUUUCUCUGUCGUUGUUCCAGGAUUGCUACAGCAAUGGUUGCUCCAGCAACAGCUAUAACACUGCACUGAUCUAGGUUUUGUUUCCCUUAUUUUUUGGUCAUAUUCUUCCUCCUUUUUGCCAACCUAUUGCAUCAGCAUCCCUUCCAUGAAUUAUAAACUUCUGAAAACCUACAAUUAUGCACAUGUUUUGAGCACAAAUUACUUUAAAUCAAGCAAAACUUAUUAAGACUAAACUAAAAUGAAUGUUUAUGCAAAACGUAACAAAAAUGUAAUAAAAACACAUCAUUACUUUCUAAGUGAUCUUGAUUUAAGUCUAGAAUUGCCAUAAUAACUCUCAUUUCAUGAAGUUAUCACGGGUCCUCCUAAUCAAGUAAACGACAUAAUUAUUAUCUGUAACAUGAAAUACAUCUAACAAUACAAAAUAAAGCUUGAAAGGAAACUCUCAGAUACAUAAAUUUCAAAAUUACCCUUAUAUCCAAAAAUUACCAAAAUCCCCCUGACAUCGAAAUUUACUGAAUUGCUAUCGGAACCAUAAUUUAUCAAAUUAUCCUCCAAAUCCUAAAUUACCUAAUUGCUCUCAAUUCAAAUCACAAAAUUAACCACAAGUUCUGGAUUUAUGAAAUUACCCUUAGAAUGCAAAAUUACUAAAAUGCCCUCAACAACAUAAAUUAGCGAAUUUCCCCCGAAAUCUUAAAUUACCUCACUGCCCUAGUCUGAAAUUACCAAAUCAUCCACCAAUUUCAGAAAUUACGAAAUAAUCCCAGAGUUUGCAAAAUUACCAAAUUGCCCAUGCCGGUCAACGAUACCGAAGUUCAGUCAACGGCGACGAGAAGCUCAGGUCUGAUAGUUCUUACCUCGAUCAGUCCAAUGGUGCCAAUGAUGACCCCCCAGGCGUAGCGACAAUGGCGGAUCGAACUUCCCAAACCGCAAGAUUUCUGACAGUUGUUCGCAGCCAAAACGGCAGUUAUAGAUGGCGGGGUUGGUUGGAAAACGACGAGGGUGAGCUGAGGAUCAAGAUCUAAGUGGUGAUGCGGCCUAAAUUCGGCGAAAUCAACUGCGACAAAAGCGAGUUGAGUCGCGGUCCUUGAAGCUUCGAUCACCCGUGUUCUGGCUGUUUUUCGGCGACGAUGACAGCGGGGAUAUGACCGGCAUCGCUCAAACUUCAGAUCGAUACCAAACUUGACUGGAACGGUGGCCGAAAACAAGAGUUGGAGUCGGGUCGGCUUCGCUAGUCAGGUUGGGUCAAAUGGGUCAAUUUCUCUUUCUCUCACGCGCCCCCUCUCUUUCCAUUUUUGGAAACCAACUCCCCUCUUUCUAUUUAUAGAAACUAGCUUCCAUUUUUUUUUAAAGCUUACUACCAAUUAAGCUAAUGCGAGACCCGUGUUGAAAUAAAAAUCCAACGACACAGCCAUUGAAUUGUGUUCGAAUUGUCUCAAUUUUAUGUCGUGACAAAUUUAAAAUAAUCCAAACAUGAUUUAUUUAAGAAAUGCAUAACAUUUAACAAUCACCACUCAUAAUGUCAGAUAAUCGUGUUGUAUCAACUUCACCGUAAUAAUUUGGAACAAGUCCGACAAAUUUAAAAUUAAUGUCGAAGGGAAAAAAUUAAAUAAUACACUUAAUUAGGAAAAUUAAAGUGCAUAUGUUACAGUUUUAUUAUUAAUUAUUGACUUAUUAUUUUUUGCAAUUUAUUGUGACACAUAAAAAAUCAUAUUAUUGAAAUUCCCAAUUGAAUAUAUAAAGUGAGUAAGUAUAACGUUACUCUUUCCAUAAUUGAUAAGGAUGGCAAAAAGACUAGACCAUGUUCUUGUCUGAUUGACCUAACUUUAAUUUUUAGGGUUUUUAAUUGAAUUUAAAGGGUCAAGGAUCAAGUUUCGACCGGAUUACAUUCAAGUCUGGGUUAGGACUUUAUAAAAAAUCCUAACUCAACCUUUGACCCUUAAAUUAAUUUUCAAAAUUAAAAAAAUAAUACUUAAAAAUUAGAACACAUACACUACAAAUGUGGUCAAAACUCACUCCUCAAACUGAUAGUAUUUUGUAUUCGAUUUAUUUACUUGCUAAUUUGGUUAGAUUUUUACAUGUUGGAUUUUCAAUAAAGCUAAAUAAAAAGUUAAUUUAUUAAAUGCCUUACAACCAAAUUUAUCAUAAAAUGGAACAAUAAUAGUACAAUAUAAUUAAUAAAGAAUGAAGAGUUGGAGUCCUACUAAAGUAUCUAAAAAUUAAAAGGUUAUUGCAAAGUGUGGAUAAAGCUCGAGCCUGAACUUGACUUGAAAAAGGCCGACCCUAGUCCAACCCUUACUUUUGAGGAUCAAACUUUUGAAAGUUAAGACCCUUUAUUUUUAAUUAUAAGGGCAAGGCUAGGGGUUGGCCAAGCCUGAGCUCAACUAGAUCAAUUGCCAAACUUAUUGAUAAGAAAAUAAUUAAUAGAGUUGUGAUAUUUGACCCCCUCGUUGUACCUCACCAGCCCCCACUAAUUACUUUUAUACUAAUAUUUAUUUUAUCUUUGUAUGAAAUGAUUUAAAAGAGUAAAUAGCUUUUAAGUGCACCCACAUGAUAAUUUCCAUUAAUAUAUAAUUUAACUAAUUUAUUUUCUUAAACCUUAAUUUUUUUAAACUUUUUAAUUCUUUCUUAAAUAUUGUAUACUUUACUUUUGGAAGAAAUUAAUUUAUAGCACGCAAUAGAAGAUGAUGAAGAAAUAUUAAUUUUUUUAUGGUUAUGGUAAUGAUGGAUAAAUCUUUAAAAAGAGAGAGAGAGAUUAUAGUGAUUUUGAGAUUUUUUUUUCUUUUUGAAAUAGAUUUUAUAAGUUUCAGUGCUUGGAAAAAAGAUAAAAAAUCGUAAUAAAGCUAAGUUCGCGAUUCAAUGAGGUAUGUUGAUAUAUAAAGUUUAGUUUAAAAUUUUUAAUAGCGUUAACUGAAAGGGGUUGGUAAAAUAUAAUAAGUGGGUCAAAUCUACCACCCUAAUUAGUAUCAUUUUACUCGAAAGUUUUACUUAUAAAUUUUGGAUUUUGACCAGCUUUAAAUCUAUAAAAAAAAUUCAGAAAAAGUUACUUUAAAAAAUCUAUACAUUAUCCCAAAAGUUGUACCCAAAAAAAAUAAAUAAAAAUCGGCCCGUUCUGGUUAAAUUCAAAAUGAAAAAACCCGGCCCGUUUCCCUACUUAAGACCCUCCUAGCAGUUUUAAAAAAAAUUUCCCAGCGAAGAAUAGAAGUGAUAGCAGCUGCUCUGUCUUGCGACCCAUCGCAAUGGGAAUUUAGCUGGUUUUAAUUCUCUCUCUUAGCUGUUUCUGUUUCUUUAAUUUAACAUUGUGAUAUAUAUUUAUUAUGCUAGAGGUUCAACUAAGUCUCCAUUUACUGGGACUUUUCUCAUCUUGGGAAAUGUUAAUUUUGCCUUAUUUAUUCAAUAUUGUUAUCUUCCUCUGUCAAUAAAUUUUAUGCUUCGGUUGGUUAUUCAAUGUGGGUUUGUUCCAUUUUGUUCUUACGCUGUUUGUAUAAAUAUUAAAGGUUUGUUUUUUAAAAUGGCUUUCAGUCAAUUGCCUUCAAAGCUUUAUUUCCUAAAAGAGGAAAGAAAAAUAUACCAAAAUGUUUAAUUUCUACUGCUAUAUGUUUGCGUUUUUAGCUUCUGCUAUGCUUUGUAUUGUGUUGUUUGUGUUGGUAUUAAUGCUAGAAAGAUGUUUUCUUCUCAAAUCUGAUUGCUUAGAAUGAAUAUGAGGUGGUUAUUGAGUUGCAAUAUAUCGAAUAAAUUGAAGACGUCUGCUUCAUAGGUUUUGAUUCUAUUAAUUGUUUUCAUUUCAAGCAUGACACAAUUGCAUGGGUGUUCGAGGAGGCUAACGAUGAUUUCUUAGGGUUGAAGCUAUAACUUUCUUUUAUUAUUGUCUAGUAUCAAAACUUGAAAACAAAGUUUAAAGAUAAUACUUAUGAUACAAACACAAAUGAUUGGAAAGGUAACUUGAACAAAAUAGAAGGAAAUCAAUAAGAAUAGGUUAAUUCGAGGAACUCUAGACCUUCAAAAUAAUAUUGGUUAUUUGAGAAACCAAUAAACUCACAAAAUUUAAUUUACAAGUUGCGAAAAUAAUAGCACUCAAGACACUCUUUUAUUGAACAACAUCAAGCUUUAAAUAGAGCUUUACUUCAAAGCUACAAGUAUAAAAAUAAGCAAGCAUUAAGCUUGUUCUCCAUCAUUCUCCAUGAAUCCACAAAAUAAGGAACCAACUAACAACUUGAUUUUGACUUAUUAAAAACCAGCGACACUUAAAAUAUAAAGUAAAUAAUUAAAACCAAUAUUAAAAUGGAAAGAUUGUAAAAUGUUAUAGUGUUUACUUUAAUCAAUGGGCCGUGGCGCAUAUUGUUAAAUUGUGGAUCGGAUAGUUUACUGGACACGCGAACUAAUUUGUAAUUUAGUUAUAAGUUGUGUGAACCAUAAAAAAAUAAAGUCAGUGGUACUAUUAUCAGAAUGUUGGAUAGUUCUGAAAGAUUUUUGAAUAAGCUGGCAUUGAGGAUAAUAUACUAUUGGAAGUUGAGGAACAGGACAGAGCAUCUGUAAUUCCUCUGUUAUUUACGAGUUAUCUAUUUUUAUCCCAUGACAGUGUAGUGCUCUUUCUCCCCCUUUCAGAAAGUUUUUAGAGGAACUGUACCUGAAAUGUUUUGUUGUUUCUUAGAAAAUGGUUUUUCCCAUGCAGUGACUUUGAAGUGGAUUACGAGUCCAAUGAGAAUGCAUCAAUUGUGUAUGCAGCAUUAGCUAUUGAUAAGGAGGUGAUCCACCACGAUCCUAUUCCCAAGAUCAUACUUUGCUCCUUUAACUUUAUUGCUUGUUCAAUAAAUUCCUACUUGAAUUCAAUUUCCAAGUGCAGUUGCAACCAGACAAAUUGAAAAGGCAGAUAUCUGUGAUUAAUGGGAAACUUUUAGUGUAAGUUUCUAUUCUUUGGUCAUUCUUGUAACUGAUUUUUCAUUCUUGUCCAAUAUUUAUUCAAUUUGCAUCUAUCAGUUUAUCCUAUGAGACAAUAUUCAUUUGGAACUUUUGUGUGGCUCGUUCAAUAAUCAUUUUUCCCCUUUUCCUGAAAAAUUUUCAAAUAUGUUACUUCAGAAGAGUUCUUCCUCUAAGAUACCAUUGUUCUUUAGUAUAUCAACUUUUCUUGGACAUUUUGUUUAUUUUCUCAUCUGAUUCAGGCACUUUGAGGCAGUUGAGGCAGGGUUUCUUCGUGCAUCAUUUUCUGCUUUUGUAGAUGUGCUUACACUUGCGACAAAAACAAUCGAACAGUUUGGUCAUGGAACGGAAUUGUAACAUCAUACUAUCUUUGGCAGUUGGAGAAUCAUUCAUAGUAGGAACUGUAUUACUUUAAUUCGCCAUCUUGUUUCGGAUUAGUUGACGUGUUUGUAACAAGAGAAUCUAUAGUGUUCGUUUUAUAAUGUAAACCUUCAAAUUAUCGGAAAGCUGAAAUCUUCAAAGCUGUGAAUUAUAAUUUUUUUUUUUCAAUCAUUGGGUUUUAGCAAGAGGUUGCAGCUGUAAAUGUUACAAUCCUCCCUUAGACCUUUUCAAUAAAGUUAUUGGCAAGCUAUCUCCAACUCUUUCAGUUUGGGCCUAACUAGAUUGCCAGACCUCACUUCUAGGGCUUUUCUGUUUACCCUCAAAACAGUUCAAUCUGAUAUUGAUUUCGUAAAGUGAAUAGAAUGAAGAAUUCAUUAGUGCUAAUAUUCUUCCAGCCAUUGAUGCAAUUCUUUACCAUUGUGUGACGCAGGAGGUACCUACUUGGCUACCAAGUGGCCCUCAGCUUAACGUGCCUCGAUAGCCUUCAAGCUUUUAGAAUUCAUCUAGCUGGUGGAAUCCUAUCAGGCGUCUCUCUAUAAGUUCGAAAAUCAAGAUUUUUCUAUAGCAAGCGUCAAGGGAUUUCUUGUCACCCAAAAGGAACCCAGAAAAGAUAAAAUCGUAGACAGCACUGUUUCACAUGCUGGAAUUCUCGGGAGGGUGCUUAUCAUGUGCUUGUGGCUAUAAAUAUGCUCGAAAAAAAUUGGAAAUUGAUGCUGCAAUCCCUCUGCCUGAAGCCUCAAAGAAAAAAAAAAUGCAUUUUUAUAGCAUUGCUAAGAUGAAAGAUUACAGACUUAGCAACGCUGACAUUGAGCAACAAUUUUCUGCAUACACUUUAUCUUGGGCAGAAUCACCAAAAGUCGAUGCAUCUUUAAAUUUAGAAUAAAAGCAGAUUCGACUUGUAUUAUAAGAAAUUCAAAUGGGGUGUCACGGCUGCUUCCAUCUCUAGGAAAACUUGCUUAGAAAAAAUGCUGAAUGCUUUGGCAAUUCUUGAUGGCAUCAAAAUGGCAGUUGACUCUGGACUGCACCCACCACUAACUUGAAUCUGACUAUUUUAAUGCAGUGAAAUCAAUCUUAAAGAAGAGACUUCGGAUGGAUGAUCAAAGGAAUGCUCGGUUAUGUAAGAAAAGGAAAACAAUUUAUAGUUGCAAUACACUCAUCAAUAAUCUCAGGAACCUCUGAUGAUUGAAUUACAAGCAUACCUGUUCAUGCAAGAUAUUCGAUGCUCUGCAUCCGAAACUUCGUCGACCUUUGCAUCUAAGAGAUCAUUAACCUUACAAGUCACAGAACCCAAAUGGUCCACAGUAUUCACAACAGCUUUGCUGGCAUGAUCUUUCAAUGUUUCCACCACUUUGCGUAAAUGUGAAGAUGGUUUGUUUUCUCAAUAGAAAAUUGAAAUUAUCAGCAGUAAUUAGAGCAACUUACAUUUGUUUUUGGUCAUCACUGGUGUUUGUGGGAUAUUCUUCAACGAAGACCAACACUAAUGAGCAGACAUCUGGUAGCAGGGCUCCUCGAACAUGUAUAUCUGGUAAGAAUCUGGUAUCCGGGGGAGCAGGAGCAGGAAUAUCCGGCUCGUCCACGAGUACGCCAUCCACAAGGCCAAUCUUCGGCUGGAAGCAUAAAGCCAUUCCUACUGCAUUCCUGCUAAGGGCUGAGUAGAGGAGACCCGGUCAACGACAGUUGGUGAGACAUGCUCUCCAGUCCGAUAAUCAAGGCACAAAGGCCACGCAACCAUCCACGACUACGGAAAUGGGGCAUCCACUUACGAGAGGUGGGGAGAUAACAACCGCGAAUGGAGGGAAGGCUUGAGUUCAGAGGUGGCCUAUAAAAAGGUAGCCAACGAAGGUAAAAGGGUUAGCAUUUUUGAGAUUAUAACUGAGAAAAGAGAGCUCUAAAGAACGGGUACUAGAGAAAAGCCAUAAGAUUCGUGGCAAACAUUCCCAGAACCUUCAUAUCUGACUUGAGCAUCGGAGGGUUUACGCCGGGGAAACAACCGGCGUACUCUGACCUGCUUCUGUGUACGCAGGAACUUUCGGAGAAGAAGCCUUAUGAGGAGAGAACCUGAUCUGGUAGAGUUGGUCGAGCAGAGGUCCUAGUCUUGGUAGAAAAGGCAACCAGAAUCUCGCAUCAACAUUUUGGCGCCGUCUGUGGGGAGCUGAUCAAAAAGCUUCUAUUGAUAGUAAGAAGAGGAGUAAAGCAAGUGGAAAAAACAAUGGAGGCAGGAGGAAGUAGUGCGCAAAGGGGUGAUUUGCGGCUUAAUGAUUCCGUGACGUUGAGGGAGAUAGCCAGUGAAGCACGGGAAAAAGCCAUGUCUGACCGGAUGGAACGGAUGGAAAAGCAGAUGGAGACCCUGACAACCAUCCUACAUGAGCUGCGGAGUGAACGAAGGGGAACCCAGGAGGAAAGGGUGAGAAAUGGUGGAGUGGCACCAGGUCACGAUAGUAUAAGGAGAAGUCAAACCACCAGGAGAUUUGGUGGUGAGAGAGGUAACCUAUCUCUGCAGGGAGAAAUUCACAGAGAGGAAGAGCAAUCCCCAGCAAGAUAGAUUUUUGAUGAGGAUGAUGGGGUGGCAAAUGCAGAGGAAACAGAGCUCAGGCAACACUUACAUGAUGUAGAGCAAGAGCAGGAUCAAGUUGCAGCACGUGACCCUGGUCGUGUAGUGCAGCUGGAGGAGGAAGUGCGCAGAUUGGCGUAGGCAAUUGAUGACAUGCAAGGAAAGAGCAGAGCUCCUGGUUGGAGGAUAAUGCUGGACGGAGAAUCAUCGCUCGCAGCAGAGAUCAUGAGGGCAAUCAUUCCAAGAGAUUUCCGCCUCCCAGACCUUAGAUAUUCGGGACGAACUGACCCGCUGGUACACAUAGAGCGCUUCAACGAUAUAACCGGGGUACAAGGAUUAUCUCAAGCCCAAAGGUGCAGGGUGUUCCCACUAUCCCUAGAGGGACGUGCACGCGAGUGGUACAGGAAACUGCUUCAGGGGAGCAUUAAAACCUUAGAGCAGAUGUGCCAGGAAUUUACAGAGCAGUUUCGUGAGGCAAUGGCACCAGAAGAUGACAUGAUGGAGUUGAAAAGCAUGAAGCAAGGGGAGCAAGAAACCCUUUAGGAAUUCAUCAAAAGGUUUCAUUGUGUUGUCCUCGAUUUGGGAGCCUUCAACCAUCCUCAGGCACAAAGGGGAUUGAAAGAGGGAGUGAAGAUAGGAAGGCUGUGGUACAACUUGAGAAGCCCAACUAUUCAGACGUAUGCAGCUGCAUACGAGCAGGCUAAAAGAGACAUAGAGAUCGAGGAAGAAAAGGCAGCUCGGAUUAAGACAGACCAGCUGGAAGGGUUGGGAAAGAAAGAGAAGAGAGCAUUACCAAGAAAUGGGCCGAUCAGGAGGAAGGACCACCAGACCGCAGGUAGUGGUGCAGGAGGUCGGAUAACCGCUUACUAGCCUUAUCAAAGGCCACCAUAGUAUCAGCGCAGCAGGGCACAACCUCUUCGCUCACCAGCUAGGGAGCCUUGGAGAAGGCAUGACUCGGCAUUAGGUGGUCUUCAUCCACACUCCCACGGUAGUAGAGGGAGCAGACCAGAAGCACUGCCACCGCCUCCAACUCAGAACAGCGCAAAUAGUGAAAGGGCAGUGCACAUGAUCGACCAAAACCAGGACUAUGGACGGUAUACCUCCUUAAAGAUGCCCCUGGACGAGGUGUACGAGGCUAUAAAGGACUGGGGACUACUGUACCUCCCUGCCCCAAUAACAAAACUACCCAGCAUGAGGGAUAGAGGACGCUAUUGUAAGUUCCAUGGCACUCAUGGCCAUACCACUGCAGAAUGCAGAGAUCUCAAAACCCAGGUUGAAGAUUUGGUGAGAAAUCAGUACCUGGAUGAGUUCAUAGAUGGGACUUUCCCGAUGGUUGCCUCGACAUGUGAAGGCGAGCAAAAUCCCCAAGUAUCGAAAUAUUCACUAAGGCAUGCAAAGGCUCACCAAGUCUCAAAGCCUGUUUUACAGCGAGACAGAAGCCAAGCGUGCCAAGAUUUGCUGGACCGAACGAAGGCGAGCAGAAUCCCCAAGCAUCGAAAUAUUUACUAAGGCAUGCAAAGGCUCACCAAGUCUCAAAGCCUAUUUUAUGGCGAGACAGAAGCCAAGCGUGCCACGAUCUGCUCGACCGAACGAAGGCGAGCAGAAUCCCCAAGCAUCGAAAUAUUCACUAAGGCAUGCAAAGGCUCACCAAGUCUCAAAGCCUGUUUUAUGGCGAGACAGAAGCCAAGCGUGCCAGGAUCUGCUUGACCACGCGAAGGCAAGCAAAAUCCCCAAGCAUCGAAAUAUUUACUAAGGCAUACAAAGGCUCACCAAGUCUCAAAGCCUGUUUAUGGUGAGAUCAGAAGCCAAGCGUGCCAGGAUCUGCUCGACCGAACGAAGGCAAGCAGAAUCCCUAGACAUGCAAAAAACUAAGUCUAAAAGCCAGUCAUGUGGCAAAACCAUAUGCCAAGCCUAAGCCCGCUCGACCGAGUGAAGGCGAGCAGACUCUCAAAUGGAAAAAUAGCUCGUAAUUACAAACAUAAGAAAGUAAUCAAAAACAUUUUUCAUUAAUUUGUUAAUAACUAACAAAGCCGAUAAUCAAUACACAUAUUGUUCAUUACAAUACAAGAAACAUAUUUAAGAAGACGGUAGGUCAGUAAGCCGAGCAGCCUCAGUUGGCUGGUCCACCUCAGGUGCUGGGGGAGUAUCACCAGUUGCGUCCGGGGGGGUGCUCGCCUCACCCACAUCAAUAAGAACGGCACGAGGGGGAGAGUUUUCCUCCUCAACUACGAUUGGUUCCACCCAUUCGGCAUCUUCCUUUGGCUCCUUGUCCAUAUGUUGAGCAACACCAACUGCAAGAUCAUCCAUCUUCAGAUCAGGAUGCUGCUUUCCGAGGACGGCCAUGAUGCAGCGAUAGAAAUGCCGGAGUCCCUGGUCGUACUGGUUGUCGGCUUCCCUCUCCAAGUUCUCGACCUGAACUCGGUGAGAAUCGCGGAGAGAUUCGAGCUGAGCCUCGUACAUAGCCUUCUGCCUUUGAAGAUCCUCAUUGACCUUGAUCAGCUCUUCCUCGAGGGUAAUGGCUUUUGCUUGAGCAAGAGAUUCCUGCUCUAUCAGCUUCAGAUUCUCGACAUUCAGCUCCCCUACUUUCUUCUCGGCAGCGUCAGCUCUGGUCAUCGCCGACUGAAUGUCCUCCUUCAUCUUUCUGUCAUAACGGCCAACCUUGGCCUUAUAGUAGGUGGUUAUGCAGCUGAAAUGGAAAGCGCUAUACUACAUGGCCCCCACCAACUCGCCUAGGGUGCAGCCAUCAAAGUCCUCCAGGUCCUUUUUGCUCACAAGUUUAGAAAGCUCGUUUAGAUAGGGGACCAAGUGUUCUGCUCGAUUGUCAGGCAAACGAGAUCUGGGCCCGAUAGGGGGAGAAGAGGAAACAGGAUCAGUGGCUGCUCCACUAGUUUCCCCGACUUUGGCAGAAGGAGGAGGUAAAGUGUUCAAGAGAGAGACCUACUGCACGAUGUUGGCCCGCUUUGCAGUAGGGGCGUCUUUGUUCUGGUCCCUCUUCGCGGUUUGAGCUAGAGAACGUUUCUGGUUCAGAGCCCCGAUCACAGCAUCCUCCAUCUUAUGGUCGGGAAGCACCAAGUCAGAUUCGAUCAGGUUGUAAGUGGUUAGUAGCUCUCGUUGCGAGCAGGAAUUGGCCAGUACAGCCUUGACCCGUUUGAGCUGGUCAGGUUUGAGUGGGAGGUGAACACCCUAAGAACCUGUAAACGAGCAGACAUUUGGUUAAAGACAAAACAACAAAGUAAGAACAAUUAUGAAGACAAGACAUCUAAAACGAGCAGGCAACCUAGGACCACGAAACGGAGUGGGACACGACAAUCUUUCCCGUCAAUUUGUGCAACUUGACCCCAAGAACCCCCAGCGAAAAAUAUUUUUUUCUUCCAAGUCCCACCACCACCAGUUGGAAGAUCAGUUAUGGGUUUUUUGCUCUUGGUACUAGAUUGGAAGUAGUACCAGCUGGCAUCUUUGGGGCUGCUCUUUAGCUGGUACAGGUGCUUCACCUCAUCAAUUGUGGGCUCGCUUUGGCAACAUCUGUCCCACAAUAUGAACAGACCAGAGAGCAAUCUCCACCCGUUGGAGUUCAGCUGACCAGGAGCUAGAUUUAGCCCGUUGAGUAUCCGGGCAAAAUAGGGUUGCAAGGGGCACCUCAGCCCAUACUUAAAACUCUCCAGAAACAGGGUAACAUAUCCCCUAGGAGGUUUGCUAGGAGUAUCCUUUUUUCUUGGGAUCCUAAGGGGUAUUUCACUAGGAAUAUGGUACCUAAGCCAGAGGUCAUCGAGCUCAUUGAAUGUGGUCGUGCACGUUAUGUAAUCAAUAGCAUAAUCCCGUGACAGGGCUCUACCUCCUACUGUAUCCCGCCCUUCUGGUCGCGAUGUUCCCGGUGAGGAUCCCUCACCAGAGUCACCUCCUUGAUCUUCACUUUGAAAUACUAACUAGGCAACCCAAGAGGGGGGUGAAUUGGGAUUUUAAAAAUUAUCUUAGGCAAACCACACAACAAUUUAAUCUAAUGCCUUAAUAAAUUCGAAAACAAUAAAUUCAAUAAAAGCACAAUAAUAAAUUAGUAGGGGAAGAGAAAGCAAACUCAAGGAUUUUUACGUGGUUCGACAAUCCCCGCCUACGUCCACGCCUCCAAGCACCCCGGGCUUGAGGAUUCCACUAAGCAAGCCUCCAAGGCUUCAAACGCUUACAAUUGACUUCCAAGGUGUCAAUGGACCUUUACAACAAGAGAUUAUCCCCAAUCUCUUAACCCAAGUGUAUCCCAACACUUACAAUCUUUUAACUUGAUUUUACAAAAAAGAUUACAAAUGAAUCUCUCUCACACAAUGUGUUUGAUCACAAGUGAAAGCUCAAUGUGUGAAUGAAUAAGAUGAAUACAAAGAUUUAAAGCUCAAUGAAAGUUGUAUUCUCAAUAUUUUGCUCAAUGAUGAUUGUUGGAAUUCUACUUGUUUGAAUUGGAUUGAGCUUAUUUAUAGUUGGAGCUGAAAAACUAGCCGUUAUAGACUGUCGGACAGAAAAUGGUUCGCCGUUAACCCUAAACGGUUAACCGUUUCGGUCGGUCAAAGUUACCGUUGGGCUAAUUUUCAAAUAAACGGUUAGCCGUUUAGGCUUACCCUUUCGCCGUUAAUUUCCAGAGACCUGCAAAACAAAUUUGGUUUAACCGUUCUUACUAAACGGUUCAAGGUUAGCAAACUGGAAAUAAUCGGUUAACCGUUUUCAAUAAACGGUUCACCGUUAGUUUCCAGAAUCAUCAUAUUAACAAUACUUUAAAGAACAUGCUUUCUGGAAAUUAUCGGUUAGCCUUUUUAAAUAAACGGUUAGCCGUUUUUAAAUAAACGGUUAGCCGUUUGCUACAGUGAUUGCUACAGUAACCUGCACAGUGCACUAUUUUUUAAAAUUACCGUUUGACCCCAAAACUUUACAAAACUAUACCAUAGCCCAACACGUCAUGAAACUUUGCAAAUAGGUCCAAUUUCAAAAUUUCUAAAUAAUGCUUUGUUAAUCCCAAAACUUUCUGAAAUUAUGUUAUAGCCCAAAAUGCUAUGACACUUUUCAAAUAAGUCCUUCACCAAAAUUUCAAGCAAUACUUGUUUGUUUCAAAGUUUUCAAAAUGCUUUCAAUUAAACCAUAAACUUUGAAAAACAACAAAUUUCAUAAAAUCAUUUUUCCAUUAAAUAUGAAACAUUUAUAAUGUGAAAAUAAUGAUUUAUUAUUUAAAAAGAAUAAAAACAAUCAAUUUCAUAAAAUCAUUUUUCCAUUAAAUACAAAACAUUUAUAAUGUGAAAAUAAUGAUUUAUUUAAAAAGAAUAUUAAAUAAUUUGAGCUUAAAAGAUUAAUCAUUCUUAACUUUGUUUGUUAUCAUCAAAAUCAAUAUUAUGGAAACAUAUAUGUUAACAAUCUCCCCCUUUUUGAUGAUGACAAACAUUUCAUGUAUUUAAAGAAUGAUUCCACAAAUUGCUCCCCCUAAAUAUAAUCUUCUUUUACAACUUGCCAAUUAGCUAAAUUAAUGAUUUAAAUACAUGGAUUUUUCUCCCCCUCAUCAUCAAAAAGAAAAACUUAAUUGGCAAAGACAAAAGUAGCAAAUUUUUAUAGAUUUGAAAACAUGUAUUCUUCUCCCCUUUCAUCAUAAAAAAGAAAACGUAAAGGAAAAGAAUAAAAGUAGCAAAUUUGUUACCCAUGUUGUUUGAGUAGAAAUUUUGAAAGAAUCUCCCCCUAACAACAAGCAUUACCUCAAAUACAAGAUUAGUAAUAUUACUCCCAAAUUAUUAUAGAUCAUGAUAAAAGCCAACUCCAUACACAAAUCAUCACACCAAAAUAUCAUGAACCAUUAUUCCAUUAAUCACCAAAUCAACAACUCAUAACAUGAAAUUUAUCAUAUAAAACACCCAUGAAAUCAAAUCGUCAUUAUAUCUCAAAAUCAUCACCAUAAUCAAAUAUCAUCAAAAUGAUCACCAUAAUCAAAUAUCAAUUAUCAAAAGAAUACUCAAAGUGCAUAUUAUUCUCCUCCCUUUUGAUAACAUUGAAAUGAUAUAUUAGUUUAUCUCCCCCUUUGGACAACAAAAAAAUUCAAAAUGCAUAUUAUCCAAAAUCAUAUUAUAUGCUCCCCCUAAAUAUAUGGCCAAUUUUAAAUUUUAACCACAAUGAUUUUAUCCAAAAACAUAUCAUAUUUAUCUCCCCUUAAAGAUGAGCAAAUUCUCAAAUACUCAACGUGAUUAAAAAAUAUUUCCAUAUAAGCUUCAACAAUUAUAACAAACCAAUAACUCCUUCAAUUCAUCAAGCAACGCACAUCUAAUCAUCAAUUACCAAAAUCAUCAAGAAAUCAAAUCAUUCCAAGUUUAUGCCGAAUUUUUGAAAAUUCUUCUUCGCAAAGAGGUUUUGAUUUCUUUACCAAAUUGGCAUGCAUAUUAUCAAAUAUUCAAGCUCCAUAAUUAUCAAUCACAUUUUAUAAAUAAAGACAACUAAACUCAUCAAAUAUCUAAUGUGACAUUCAAUAUAACAAAAAAAUCUCAUAUACUUAAAACUCUCGAAGUAUAUGUAUUUCUCCCUUUUUCGAUAUCAUUUAAAAUAAGUAAGACAUAUUCAACAAUACAUCGAUAAAGUACAAAAAAUGCAUUCAUUCACUGAUCAUAGAUUGCAUAAGAUCAAAGCUUCAUCAAAUACAAUGUAAUCAUCAAUGCACAAACUUUAUCAUCAAAACUUAAGCAAAGCAUAAGUACAUAAUGACAAUGUAUAAAUCAUCAAAAUCAACAUAUGCCAAUAUAUGGAUCAUCAAAAUUAACAUAACUAUUAAGAAAAGCCAUAAUUAUGAGUUAAAUAACAAGUGAUCAAAUCCAUACUUACAUAUAUUUUUAAAUGAUGAUCUAGUAAUUACAUCUUGUGAUGGAUCUUUCAAAAUUAAGUCAUUAGGGUGAGAAGAAACAUACCUCCACUCUUUAGGGAGUGUUUGAGAAGUACUUUCAUUUUACUCCGCGUGUUGCUCCUCUUGAUUUUCAAGUGGUGUGUUCUUUUGGCUAUCAUUUGAUAAUCUUCUUGUAGCUUUUCAUCUACAUUAUCAUCAACAACAACUUUCUCCAUAGAGGAAGAAUUAGACUCAUCAAAUAUAACAUGUAUAAAUUCUUCCACAAUCAAAGUUCUUUUGUCAUACACUCUAUAAAUUUUGCUUGUGAUUGAAUAACCAAGAAAAAUACCAACAUCAAAUUUUGGAUCAAAUUUGCCAAGAUUAUCUUUUGUGCUCAAAAUAAAACAUUUGCAUCCAAAAAACUUUGCAAUAACUAAUGUUGGGUUUUCUAUAAUUCCAAAGCUCAUAGAGAGUAUUACUGAGAUGAAGUCUAAUCAAUGUGGUCCUAGCCAUUUUUAUUUUUUUUAAUAGACCUAUUCUUUCUCUCUACAACUCCAUUUUGUUGUGGAGUCCUAAGUGAUGAAAAUUUAUGCUUAAUGGAAAAUCAUUAAAAAAAAUCUCAAAUGCAUGAUUUUCAAAUUCUCCACCAUGAUCAUUUAUAAUACAAGAAAUAACAUAUAACUCAUCUAUCAUGCAUAUACCUCACACAAUCAUGAAAUAUGUAAGUAUUCAAAGAUUGAGAAUUAAAGCAUAUCACUUAUUUUUCAUGCUUAGGCAUUAAAUAAUCAUUAAAAUCAAAACAAAUUCAUCAUGAUGAGUUGACAAGCUAUCAUCUUAUAUAUAACCAUGCAUCAUGAUAAAGCACUAAAUGUUAAACACAAUGAUAAUUCCAUCAUGUAAACAUACAAGCAUACUUUCGUAAAUUCAUUUGUCAUGAUUCACUCAAUAUAGUAAAUAGGCAAGAUAAACUUAUCCACUUCAUGUUAAUGCACUCAAUGUUAUGAUACCAAAUGAAAUGUUAAAUAUUUACUAAGAUUAAAAGACCAUAACUUAUAAUCAAUAAGGCAAUAAUAGUUACCAAAACAAUUAAAUCAUUUUGCCUCAUUAUUUUUGCUUAGACCAUGAUCAAGUGAUUAUCCUCAUAAGCUUCAUCAAGGAACUCUCCACCAUUCCUUGAUUGUGGUUCCUACAAAGAGAACAUUCACGUUGUGCCCUUUGGUACCCAAAUACUCUUGGGUCCUUGAGUGUUAGAUUUAGUUCCUUUCGGAACCCAAAUACAUUUAACUCCAUAAUACACAUUUCUUUUAAUUUGACAUCUAUUCUUCAUAUGACCAUUUUGAUUGCAAUAAUGACAUACAAUUUGAUCAUUUGUGGAGGUAGCCUUAACAAAAUAAUUCUUAUAAUAUUUUGUUUCAAGUAAGGCUUAUACCCAAGUCCUCCUUUAUCAAACACACAUUUUUGUGAAUUAAGCAUGUUAUCCAACAUCUUUUGCCCAUUUGUGAAUUUCAAAACAAUCUCAUUCAACUCAUUGCUCCUUUUCUUAAGCGUUUCAUUUUCAUUUAUUAAUUCAUCAACAUGUGAUUUCUCAUGCUCAUACAAAGUACUUUGUUUACAUGUGAAUGAUGCAAUUCUAUCAUGUAACAUUUCAUUAUCUAAUUCCAAUUCUUUGAUCUUUUCAUUUAAUGAAACAUUGGAUUUUUGCAAGGCAUCUUUUUCAUUUUUCAAGUCAUUUACAUGUGAUUCUAGAUGCUUGUGUGAAAUGUUAGGUUUCUCAUUUGAUAAUGCAACUCUAUCAUACAAUGUUUUAUUCUCUAAUUCUAGGCAUGUAAUCUUUGCACAUAGAGAUUCAUUUUCAUUUUUGAGCUCUACCAUUUUCUUUUUAAGACAUGCAUUCUUUUUACCAAUUUUCAUCCACUCAUCAUACAAUUCUUUAAACGCAUCAUGUAAUUCAUCAUAAGUAAGAAGAUCAUUUACCUCAUCAAGUCCAUCAUCCGAGUCAUCUCCAAUUGCCAUAAGUGCCAAAUUCGACACUUCAUGAAAUUCCUCCUCCUUUGUAGUCUCCUCAUACACAAUUUCAAGUUUUCUCCAAAUUUCAUAAGCAUUAGAACAAUUUGAAACUUUAUGAAAUUCCUUUUUAUCUAAGGCACAAAAUAAAGCAUUCAUAGCCUUGGAAUUUAAUGACAUCUUUUUCUUAUCCAAUUCACUUAAAACAUUCUUCCUAGGAAUGAAUGAAUCAUCACAAACUAUUUCCCAUAGUUCAUAAUCUAAGGCUUGUAAAAACACUCUCAUCCUAGUUUUCCAAUAAGGAUAGUCAUUACCAUCAAAGAACGGUGGUCUAAUUGUGGAUUGUCCUUCCCUAAAAAUUGAGUCAUUAUGGGUUGCCAUGGAUCUUUAACUCUAGACGGUUAAGUCUACACAAGAGCACCUCUCUCUGAUACCAAAUGAAAUACUAACUAGGCAACCCAAGAGGGGGGUGAAUUGGGAUUUUAAAAAUUAUCUUAGGCAAACCACACAACAAUUUAAUCUAAUGCCUUAAUAAAUUCGAAAACAAUAAAUUCAAUAAAAGCACAAUAAUAAAUGAGUAGGGGAAGAGAAAGCAAACUCAAGGAUUUUUACGUGGUUCAGCAAUCCCCGCCUACGUCCACGCCUCCAAGCACACCGGGCUUGAGGAUUCCACUAAGCAAGCCUCCAAGGCUUCAAACGCUUACAAUUGACUUCCAAGGUGUCAAUGGACCUUUACAACAAGAGAUUAUCCCCAAUCUCUUAACCCAAGUGUAUCCCAACACUUACAAUCUUUUAACUUGAUUUUACAAAAAAGAUUACAAAUGAAUCUCUCUCACACAAUGUGUUUGAUCACAAGUGAAAGCUCAAUGUGUGAAUGAAUAAGAUGAAUACAAAGAUUUAAAGCUCAAUGAAAGUUGUAUUCUCAAUAUUUUGCUCAAUGAUGAUCGUUGGAAUUCUACUUGUUUGAAUUGGAUUGAGCUUAUUUAUAGUUGGAGCUGAAAAACUAGCCGUUAUAGACUGUCGGACAGAAAAUGGUUCGCCGUUAACCCUAAACGGUUAACCGUUUCGGUCGGUCAAAGUUACCGUUGGGCUAAUUUUCAAAUAAACGGUUAGCCGUUUAGGCUUACCCUUUCGCCGUUAAUUUUCAGAGACCUGCAAAACAAAUUUGGUUUAACCGUUCUUACUAAACGGUUCAAGGUUAGCAAACUGGAAAUAAUCGGUUAACCGUUUUCAAUAAACGGUUCACCGUUAGUUUCCAGAAUCAUCAUAUUAACAAUACUUUAAAGAAUAUGCUUUCUGAAAAUUAUCGGUUAGCCUUUUUAAAUAAACGGUUAGCCGUUUUUAAAUAAACGGUUAGCCGUUUGCUACAGUGAUUGCUACAGUAACCUGCACAGUGCACUAUUUUCUAAAAUUACAGUUUGACCCCAAAACUUUACAAAACUGUACCAUAGCCCAACACGUCAUGAAACUUUGCAAAUAGGUCCAAUUUCAGAAUUUCUAAGUAAUGCUUUGUUAAUCCCAAAACUUUCUGAAAUUAUGUUAUAGCCCAAAAUGCUAUGACACUUUUCAAAUAAGUCCUUCACCAAAAUUUCAAGCAAUACUUGUUUGUUUCAAAGUUUUCAAAAUGCUUUCAAUUAAACCAUAAACUUUGAAAAACAACCAAUUUCAUAAAAUCAUUUUUCCAUUAAAUAUGAAACAUUUAUAAUGUGAAAAUAAUGAUUUAUUAUUUAAAAAGAAUAAAAACAAUCAAUUUCAUAAAAUCAUUUUUCCAUUAAAUACAAAACAUUUAUAAUGUGAAAAUAAUGAUUUAUUUAAAAAGAAUAUUAAAUAAUUUGAGCUUAAAAGAUUAAUCAUUCUUAACUUUGUUUGUUAUCAUCAAAAUCAAUAUUAUGGAAACAUAUAUGUUAACACACUUAGGGUGUUUUCCGAGCCAGAAGAUCCCUCCUCACCGCUACUUCCGCUCGUGGAGGUUGUUUGGGGAGACAUCCUCCUAGCACUAGUCCCGACACUAGACCUAAUGGGUUCUAAGGGGAUCCCGGGGUCAAAAGCAGGAUCGAUGAGCAGACUAGGCAAGAAACCUAGUUCGUCGUCAUCAAUCUCAACGACUUUCUCUUUGCCUUUCGACAUUCCCUAAAUUAUAACCAGAGCACCACCACCAACCACUACCCAAACAAAGCACAGAGAAAAGAAAUUAUCUACAACUAACCAAGACCGAGAAAAUAGAAGAAAUACCUGAAGUAGGGACUCGGUCAAAGAGAGACAGGGAUGAAAGCUUUAAUGCCGAGGUUCAUUCGCCGGAGAGACAAGAAGGGAGAAAAUGCAUAUUUUGGGUUAUCCUAAUUGUUGAGUGUUAGAAAAUGCAUAUUUAUAAAGGAGAAAACCGUCAUUUUACCUUUCAAGCCUUACUAACAACCCUUACUUUUAUAUAUUUAACCUUCUUGUAAUUUAAUUACGUGUCUGUUAUUUUAAUUAAGUAUUUUAUGUAUUUUAGGGGCAUUAUAGUCAUUUCACAAUAAAGGAGAGAUCAGACGGCAAAACGGACAUCACUUUUGAACUUAGGACAGUCGAAAACCUUAAGAGGAGCAUAAAAGGAAAAAUGACACUAUUCACAUGUACGGUACUAUUCACGUAUACGGUACUGUAUACGUUACUGUUCACGGCAUUGUUUACCCUCGUCAACUAACGGUCAAACCGUAUGUAUACUAACGGUAGGGGAGGUAAGUGAGAAUACAAUCAAACUCGCCAUCUAAGUGAAAUUAUAUCAAACCUCAGGGGAGGUUUCUGAAAAUUGCCCUUUGUAUGAAUUGACGACCUGUCCGGUGUCCCCUGGCCUACUUAUCAUAAAAAUAAAAAUUGAAGCCCAAUAACAAAUACAUCCGCAAAAUAUUCAUCAAAGAUAUUUCAACAAGCCAGUCAAGUACUGGGACAGGGAAUGGCUCUGUUCCUCAUAAUGAAUUGACGUCCGGUCCAGUACCCCAGUGUCCCUCCUUGGCUUCUCAUCACAGAGAUGAAAAUUGAAAUUAGGCCAAUUAGAUUAAAGGCAAGACGGAAUGGAAAUAUGGAACCGUUAAUUAUUAUACCCAUGACCCCUCUAAUUAAUGGCUCUUUGCCUUUCAAUAUUAUUGUAGGUAUUUGCAAGGAAACCUCCUCUAUCUUUCUUCCAAUUAAGACUUCUUGUGUCCAAUUACUGUCGAUUCUUUUUGAACGUGUAAAGGAUAGCAACUUGAAGACUUGAGAGGGCCGGCGUUUAUUCAAAGUCAAGUACAGGGACUGGGAAUGGCCCUGUUCCUGAAGUAUGAACUGACGUCCCGUCCGGUGUCCCCUUGCCUACUCAUUAUACAAACAAAAAUUGAAAUUAGGCCAUUUAGAUUAAAGAUAAGACGGAGUGGAAAUAUGGGAUCGUUAAUUAUUAUAGCUCUGACCCAUCUAAUUUGCAAAUGGUUCUUUCCCUUUCAAUAUUAUCGUACGUAUUUGCAAGGAACCCUCCUCUCUCUCUUCUUGCAAUCAAGACUUUUGCGUAUCCAAUUACUGUCAACUGUUUUUGAACGUGUAGAAGAAAACAACUUGAAGACUUGAGAGAGGGCCGCGUUAAUUCAAAGUCAAGACAAGCUUAUUCUUGCAGGAUUCUUGAUGAUGAGGGUAAAAAAGGGUUGACAGAUGCUGGUAUAACGUCUAUAAAACUUUAAUUAUUUCAUAAAAUUGUUUUAUUUUUUAUUCGCCAUCACGUUUGAGAUUCCCCCCCCCAUGGCCCAUUUUAUUUUCAUUUUUUUUUUUAUGUAGGUCAGUACUCAGUAGUGUUACUGGAGUCUGGAAAUCAACCAUUGCCUCUUUUUUCUUAUGGAGAAUUAAACAAAACUCACCAAUGACCUAAAAUAGGACAUGGCUACGGUACAGAGGCUGCAAGUAACAGCUUCGAACUUUCCCAUUUCCAUCACCUUGCAUUGGGACCUCUUUCUCUCUUCUCUAGCACCCGUGGAAGUUCUCCAUUGGCUGCUGUUACUUACAGAAGCCGUAACAUAGACUUGUCCCCUAAAAUAAAUAUAUAAUGAAUAUUUAUUAACAGAUUCUAGACAAAAUUAAUUUUUCAACCGAUUGAAGCUUCCAAAAACUCAAAUUUCGAAUUUUUAUAUAAAUAUAAUCUAUUUUAAGUAUCAUUAUUAAAUCCUCCUCUAUAGCACAUUAGCAAAUAUGCAACUUUUCUAGCUUAAAAUCUAGGUUCAAAUCUUGCCAGCAGAGUUGAUUUUCGUUAUUUUUUAAGUCAUAGUUAAUUUUGUUAUAUAAUUUCGAUCACAUAUAAUUUUGAAAAUAUUACGAGUAAUUGUGUAAUUCACUCAAACCUUAGAGACUAAAGGAACAUUUACUAAAGAUUAAAAAAAAAAAAUUUUUAAAGCUACAUUUUGUUUCAUCCAAAUGAAGCUACUCAAUCCAUAUUUUAUUCCGAUAAAACUAUGGCUUCGUUUCAUAUCUUAAUUAAAUUAUAUAAUGAUGAAAUAUUAUAUUCUGAACUUAACUGAAUCCAAUAUCGUUUCACCAAUUGGUCAUAUGAGAUGAAGGAAAAAAAUCUGUUGAAAUUAAUUUUAAAUUAAAGUUGAAGAAUGGCGAUAUGAUACAUACACAUACAUGACUCUAAUUUUAUUAAAUUGAAGACGUACUCAUCGUCUUGACGAUGUGACCAAAUACUGGAACGUGAGAAGGGUCUUUGGACUUUGGAGAAGACUUGAGAGGGCCCGGAGUAAUUAAAAGUCAAGAUUGGCAUGCCGAAAUUAAUCUCUGGCUUUAACUUGCAGCACUUUCGUGUCGGUGAGAGUUUUAUGAGGAGCUAAUAUAUGCACUUUCUGAACUAAAGAAAACUGAUUUUAAGCGGCGAAUGGCUGUGCAUCUUUGUCUGGUGUUGUUGCAGAUUAUUGUUUUGCACCUAAGGCCGAUCAAAGCAUCAAAAAGACUCCCCUGUCCAACUGAAUGUGGAAAUGUCAGCAUCAGCUACCCCUUCGGAAUCGGAAAAGGGUGCCACUUUGACAAGGGUUACGAAGUUAUCUGCGAUCACUCUUCUGGCUCUCCCAAAGCUUUUCUUCCUGGCGUCAACAGGCUAGAAUUAUUGGAUAUUCUCCCUUAUCCAAAUCCCGCGGCGGUUAGAGUCAACGUUCCUACAAUUUCUUUAAACAGCAGUAGUAAGCGAACAAGCAAUAUUGCUAAAGGCGUCAACUUAUCAGGUACCCCUUUCGCCUUUUCGACUGACAAUAAAUUCGCUGCGGUAGGCUGCAGCAUGAGAUAUCACCAAGGGAACGGUUCAUCUGUGUUUGUUGGGUGUCUGUCGAUUUGUACUUGUGAUCCCACUCUCUACCCUGCUUGCUAUGAUUUCCUAUGCCCCCUUGGUCCAAAUAUUACUCAUCUGUUCAAUGUAAAUACAUCAUACUUGUUUUCUCCAAGUAUUCCUCAGAAAUGUCAGUCUGUUUUCCUGGUUGAUGAAGAUUGGGUCAACAGCAAGUACCUUGGAGAUCCUCAUGAUUUGAAAGAUCAACAAGAAUUUCCUGCAGCGUUGAAGUGGGGAGAAAAGAUAGGCAGUUGUUUUGAAGAGAAUAACUCAUAUUCUAUUUCUUGUAAUUCGGAUAACACAAGUUGUUUAAAACAAUUAAGCCCAGGCCAUUUAUGUCUUUGCUCUUCCACCUACUACCUACUGAAAGGAUACUGCGCAGGUACAUAUUGGAUUAUGAGUUAAAGAGUAAUUUUAUUUUUUUCAAAGAAAAUAUCCGAACGAGAAGAAGAAAAGGGAAAAUUCUUGGUGCUCCACGAGCGUUAUGAAAUUAUUGAUUUCAUAAGUGUGAAUGAGAAACAGAAAAUGCUAUUGGAGCACCCUAGACUUUACUAGCAAGAGUUAAAUGUCAAAUGAUGUAACAUUCCUCUAUUGGAUGGUAAGAUGAUCAGAAAAGAGUUGUAAAAUUUAUCAUCAAAUAGAUGAUUGAAAUUAUUGAUUUUUAAAAUAUCCACCGGAUUACUUGUAAAUGAGUAAAGUUUUCCAAUUACUGUAACUAUCUAUGUAAACAGAGAAUCAGAGACUAAAAAUGGUGGAGUUUUAUUUAGUUGUAGCCAUGAUUUAGUUUGAUCUUCUCUUUGAUUUAUUUUUUUAUUUAUUAUUUCCUGGGCAGGCGACUUGAUCUGUAAUAUCUCAAGCGGCUACAAUUGCUCCAACUGUCCUGACGGUUAUAAUCGUCUCUCAUAUGGUUGCGAUAAAGUUUCAACAAAUCUCGGGUUAAAUUCAUUAUUAUAGGUAUGCAUGUCGAUCCGUUAAUUUACAUCAUAACAAAUUAAUAAUGUUUUUUAACAUAUAUUUCAAAUGAAAAUACUAAGUGUUCAUACGUUCAUUUGAUGAUAUCUUUCAUUAUUGUCCUCGAGAGCCGCAGGCUGCGGUGGUGGGCUUGCGUUAUUCUUUCUGCUCAUUGGAAUAUGGUGGUUGUACAAGUUUGUAAAAAGAAGAAGGGAAAUCAAGCUCAAGCAUAAGUUCUUUAAAAAAAAUGGUGGUUUAUUAUUGCAACAAGAAUUGUCUUCCAAUGAAGGUAAUAUUGAGAAAAUGAAGUUAUUUACUUCAAAAGAUUUGGAGACGGCCACCGACAACUACAACGCCAAUCGGAUCCUUGGUCAAGGAGGCCAAGGUAUUGUAUACAAAGGAAUGUUAGCAGAUGGAGAAAUUGUGGCUAUUAAAAAAUCCAAAAUAUUGGAUGAGAAUAAUCUCGAGCAAUUCAUCAAUGAGGUAGUAAUUUUGUCUCAAAUAAACCACAGAAAUGUUGUUAAGUUGUUGGGAUGUUGCUUGGAGACAGAAGUUCCUCUUUUGGUGUAUGAAUUUAUUCUAAAUGGAAGCCUCGAUCAAUACAUACACUACGAAUCAGAAGAGUUUCCAAUCACAUGGGAAAUGCGUUUACGCAUUGCUGUUGAAGUUUCAGGUGCUCUAUCUUAUCUGCAUUCAGCUGCAUCUAUUCCUAUUUAUCAUCGAGACAUCAAAUCUGCAAACAUACUUUUGGACGAUAAAUAUCGAGCUAAAGUUUCAGAUUUUGGGGCUUCUAGAUCUAUCACAGUUGAUCAAACUCACUUGACCACUCAAGUACAAGGAAGUUUUGGAUAUCUAGAUCCAGAAUACUUUCGAUCAAGUCAUUUUACUGACAAAAGUGAUGUUUACAGUUUCGGAGUAGUUCUUGUUGAGCUUCUAACUGGACAAAAACCUAUCCGUUCAACUGUAGCUGAAGAAGAUAAAAGUUUAGCAAGAUAUUUUAUCCUAGCAAUGAAAGAGAACCGUCUGUUUGAAGUCCUUGAUGAUCGAGUUCUUAAGGAAGCUGAGAAAGAAGAAAUUAUUACUGUUGCUACACUCACCAAAAGAUGCUUGAACUUGAAUGGGAAGAAAAGACCUACGAUGAAAGAAGUGGCAUUUGAAUUACGGGGUAUAAGAGAAUCAGUUGGAGCUUCUAUUUUGCAGCAAAAUUGUGAAGAGACUGAUUUUGUGGAUGGUGACAUUACCGGACAUGAUUUCGAAAGGGAUUCAUCUUCCAGUGGUUCAACUUUAAAUAGUGUCUCAGUUUCUGUGGAUGCCGACCCUUUAAUUUCAAACGAAUGGUGACAAACAGAAGAAUGGCCUUGAAACUGUUUCGUAUUUCAUAAAUAAGAUUUUUAGGCUUUUCCGAUACUAUCAUUCUUGUAUCCUUACAGUUUCUUUGGGCACCAUCAUUUGUAAUUAAACACUUCCAAGUCAUUUCAAACAAAAUUUCCACUAUUUCAUUGCAUGCGCUGCAUCUUUCUCUUUUUUUUUGGGGGGGGGGGGGGAUGGAGGAGAUGAAGGAAAAAUCUGUUGAAAUUAAUUUCGUAGUUGAAGUUUAUAAAUGCACGAUGAUAUGAUCUCAGUCUAUUAAAUACUGAUGUGCAAGAACUUUAGCACUAUGUGACCUUCUCAGAGUCUAUUAAAUACUGAUGUGCAAGAACUUUAGCACUAUGUGACCUAAUAUCUCUAGUAAACAGGAGAGAACAACUUGAGCACUUAAAGAGGGCCAACGUUAAAUAAACUCCAGAGUGGCAUGUCGGAAUUGUUGGCUUAUUGUGAUGCAGGACUUUCCCGGUAGCGAAAUAAAGUCGAAAGGAAGAUGGGAGGAAAUAAAGAUCAAUGCGCCUUCUUGUAUUUCAUGGGUUAAAAAUCUUUUUAUCUGAUUACAAACUGAUAGAUAAAAUACCCUUGUAUCAUUUGUGAGUGAAUCUCUUAGGUCAAAAAUAUAAAGUUAGAACAAUCCUCAACUCUUUAGUUAGAUUUUGAGUAUGGCUUAAACCCAUGAACUUUUAUAUUUUAUUAGAGAUAAACUCACCCACGAUUAUGCCCGCACUACCUCCCACAGUACCUUACCACUAGACGCCCUUCACAUGGAGGCUUGGGUACCACUCGAAAAGUCAUUUGAAAGAAAAGUCUGUUUAAAAUUACGUUCCAAUUCUGUACUCUCAACUCUCCCAAGUUAUAAAUUGAUAUUCACUCAUGUUAUAAAAGAGUAAUGCUAGAGGAUCCCAUAUUGGGUACCAAUGGAUGUGGCAUUCAUUCAGUGGAUAGUAAAAUAUUUAUGUUAUCAGUUAUUAUUCAUAGAUAAACGAUAUAUAAUAGUUGGGACUCAAAUCGGGACUUAAUUGGUGGGUCACAAUCAUUAUUGGUUAAAAAAAAUAUACAGAGAUAACUAGCGUAAGAGGUAAAUCAAAAACUCUUUCUCUCUCUCUGCUAAGACCCUUUCUGCCACCAGCUAAAAUUCACUAGUUUUGAUCAAUCAACGUGCCUGAAUUACACGGCCACCACAUUUUCGAACCUCUAAACUUUCAAAUCUAUUUUUCAACUCUGUUUUUCCAACCACUGCAGCCUCGAACCAACCGAAACUCCCUGCUGCUACCUCUAGUUACCACGUCGCCAAUUGCCCAUCACACAGCAAAAAAUUAUACUAAAGGAGUUUCAGUCGGGGGAGAGAACCAGUAGGUCUAUCCUUUUUUCUUAUUUUCUAUUUUUCUUCUAUAUUUCUUUUAUUUUUAUUUUUGUCUCUGCUUCUGUUAUUGUGCUUGUUUUUAUGUUUUUAUGUUUUCUAAGAUUUUAUACUGCUCCUAAGGUGGUUCUGGUGGUCUCUACAUAGAUGGUGUUGUUUCAAUGUCCAAAUCGAGAUUGUGUCAGUGUUCGGAUUGGAACGGUAUGCCUAUAUCGAAGCUGUUGAGGACUUUAAUAGUGGUACAUCAAGGUUCUAAUAACCUAAGGGGAGGUUCUGAUGGCCUAGGUCAAGGGCUCAUUGAGAGGCUUUCUAGUGAACCGUAAGGUUGGUUUUUUUUUGGUUGCAUUUUGUGGUUUUUUUUAUUGUUAUUUGUUUGCAUUCUGUUGUUACAAUUGUAUUUUCUUGUGCUCUGUUGUAUUAUCAAACACGAGGGGGAUUUCAGCUAUAGUAGCUAAGAUUGGUUCCUCUAGUUUUUCUUUGGAUUUUAAUUUGAGCUUAUUGUUAUCUUAUGUAUUGUACUUAAGCCUGUUAUUAUUAUUACAGGUCCGUCAUACUUCCUUUAAAAUAAAAAGAAAAAAAGAAUAUAUACGGAGGAGAACAACUUGUAGACUUGAGAGGGCCAUGGUUAAUUAAAAGUCAAGUUGACUUGCACGACUUUCUUGGUAUUGGGAUAAAAGCUAAAAGGAAGCUAGAAGGAAUUUAAUUAAAGAUCAACGCAUGCAAUUGCUCUGUUAAAUCUUCAUUUUUCCGAGUAAAAAUAUUGAGAAUGGUUGUUCAUCAUUAUCUGGCGUUGUUGCAAUUGAUGUUUUUGCUAUUAUGGCCAAACAAAGCUUCGAAAGAUUUAUGUCAAUAUGAUUGUGGGAAUGUCACUAUCGAUUACCCCUUCGGAAUCGGAGACGGUUGCUACUUUGAUAAGAGUUUUGAAGUAUUCUGCGAUUACUCCUCUGGCUCCCCAAAAGCUUUUCUUGCGGGCAUCAACAACCUGCAAGUAUUGGACGGUUAUGUUUAUGAUUCAUAUACUUCUUUUGAUGUAUACAUGAUGAGGGUAUACAUUCCUGUAAUUUCUUUGAACAGCAGUAACCUGACAAGCAAUGAUAAAGGGGUCAGUCUAUCAGGUAGCCCUUUUACAUUUUCCCGGUCGCGCAAUAGAUUCACUGCCAUAGGUUGCAACAACUAUUCAACGAUUAUUAAGCGACAGAAUGAUUCAUCCGUUUUUGGUGGGUGCCUUUCGAUUAGCACUUGUGAUCCUGCUCUUAACCCCAGUUGCUACGAUUUCCUAUGCACCCUUCCUCAAAACAUUACUCAGGUUUUCAAUGCAGAAAUAUCUAAUUUUUAUUCUAAAAGUAUUCCUCAGAAAUGCCACUCUGUUUCCAUGGUUGAAGAAGAUUGGAUCAACUCAAAGUACCUGAAGAAUCCUCACGAUUUGAAAGAUCACGGACAAGUUCCUGCAGUGUUGGAGUGGGCUGAGUAUAGAGGAGAUUGUUAUGAAGAAUAUAAUUCGAAAACUACUUGUAACAAGGACAAUAGAUGUUUAAUACAAUUAAGCUCAGGCUACCUUUGCCUUUGCUUUAGGGAAACAAGGUUUGACCGACACCACCAUGGAUAUUGCUCAGGUACAAUUUCGAAUACUAAUUAAAUUAAUUUCAUAUAUGAAGUGUGUACUGCAUUUCCUUGAACCAACUACGUAUCUAACACAAAAUUAGUGAAAGUAAUUGCAGAAUUCGCAUAUGUAAAAAGGGCAAGAUAUAUAUAUAUAUAUAGCCGUAAUUUAUUUUGAUAUUCUAUUUCAUCUUUUGGGUUUGUUCAGGUUACUUGCUCUGUAAUAUCACAAGCCCCUACAAUUGCUCAUCAGGAUGUCCCAAAGGUUACAACUCUUCAAAUCCCCCCUUCAGUGACUGCCGAAAUGAACUUCUUCCAAUUUUGCACAAAAAUUCUCAUGUCAAAUUCAUUAUUAUAGGUAUGUUUUGGAAUUGCAGAUUUCGUCGACAGAAUUAACUGUUCUUUUUUUUUGUUAAUUUCAGUAUAUAUAGGCUAACAAACGCAAAAACUUCUGCACCUGAAAUUUGCAAUAGCUUAUACAUUUAUGAUCUCCUAUUCUAAACAGUUCCUUGCCAUAAAUCCCCUCGAACGCGUAUUAAAUAUUCUUGUCCUGGAGCGUUGCAGGUUGCACUAGUGGGCUUGGAAUGUUGUUCCUACUAAUCGGAACAUGGUGGUUGUACAAGUUCAUUAAAAGAAGAAGAGAAAUCAAGCUUAAGCAGAAGUUCUUUAAAAGAAACGGUGGUUUAUUGUUGCAACAACAAUCGUCAUCAAAUGAAGGUAAUACCGAGAAAAAAAAAUUGUUUACUUCAAUGGAAUUGGAAAUGGCUACUGACAACUUCAAUACCAAUCGAAUCCUUGGUCAAGGAGGCCAAGGCACAGUGUACAAAGGAAUGUUGACAGAUGGAAGAAUUGCGGCUGUGAAAAAGUCGAAAUUAGUGGAUGAGAGUAAUAUUGAGCAAUUCAUCAAUGAGGUGGUAAUUUUAACUCAAAUUAACCACAGAAAUGUUGUUAAAUUGCUCGGAUGUUGCUUGGAGACAGAGGUUCCUCUUUUGGUGUAUGAAUUUAUUCCAAAUGGAACUCUCUAUCAAUAUAUACAUGAAAUUGAGGAGUUCUCAAUCACAUGGGAAAUGCGUUUACUCAUUGCCAUAGAAGUUUCAAGUGCUCUAUCCUAUUUGCAUUCAACUACUUCUAUUCCAAUUUAUCAUCGAGACAUCAAGUCUGCAAAUAUACUAUUGGAUGAUAAAUUUCGAGCAAAAGUUUCAGAUUUUGGGACUUCUAGAUCUGUCACGAUUGAUCAAACUCACUUGACCACACGAGUACUAGGAACUUUUGGAUAUCUAGAUCCAGAGUACUUUCGGUCAAGUCAAUUUACAGAGAAAAGUGAUGUUUAUAGUUUUGGAGUUGUCCUUGUUGAGCUUUUAACUGGACAAAAACCUAUUCGUUCAACCGACGCUGAAGAAGAUAAAAGUUUAGCAGGGUAUUUUCUCCUAGCAAUGAAAGAGAACCGUUUGUUUGAUGUGCUUGAUGCUCAAGUUCUGAGGGAAGCCAAGGAAGAAGAGAUUAUUACCGUUGGCAUGCUUGCAAAAAGAUGCUUGAAUUUGAAUGGGAGGAAGAGACCUACUAUGAAAGAAGUCGCAUUUGAAUUAGGGGCGAUUAGAGCUCAAAAGUGUGAAGACAUUGAUCUUGUGGGUGGAAAUUUUGAAACUGGUUCAUCUUCAACUGGAGCAAUUUUAAAUGCUGUUGCUUUUUCUGUAGAUGCUAGCCCUUUGCUUUCAAACAAGUGGUGAUUAAAGGGAAGAAUUUUCCCUUGAAAUCUAAAGAAUUUUCUUUUGAAAUCCAAGUAUUUCAUUUCAUAUAUAAAUAAAUUAAGUUGUGGAUUUUUGCAUUAUGCUUCUCUUAUGGCUAAAAUUUUUCAUCUCUAGAAUAAAAUAUACAGAGUUUGAUGUUCAGUUUGUAAGCGGAGAAAUAAAUUUAUAAGGUAGAUUCCAACAAAGCAUCUGUGGCAAACAUAUUUAAAUAUCUAAGAAGCAAGCUUCUAAUGCUACCAAUAUUUAGUGCACUAGAACUUUGAAGCUGACAGAGUGAGGCAUCUCGGCAUCUGAAUCUGCAUACAAGUGGAACAGGAGAUGCUGACAUGAUAUCCUACGUGGAGCUUAUGUGACACAUAUAAUGAGUCCAGUUCGUUCCUAAUUCACACGCUUACAUUGUAGCCCCGUUCUUUGUGUUUCGAGUACCAUUGGUGAACCAUCACUUGGUGCCAUUGUAUUGCUAAUAGCACCUUUGCCUUGAUUGAUUUUGCUGACAAUAUAUAGGGUGUGUUUGGGAGUAAAGUCCUACAACUUUUAUGUUGCGUUUACUUUCCGGACUUGGGAAUCAAAAUUAUUAACAGUGUUUUUUUCCCAAAAUAAAUUCAAGAAUAAGAAUCGGAAUCAUGGAGCACACCACAAUUUUAGAAUGAGGAAUGGGAGACUCAUUCCUAAGAGGGACGUGGGAAUGAGUCUCCCAUUUUCAGGAUUGACUAUUUUACCUUCCUCAAAUUUUUGUCCUCAGUUAUAAUUAAUUAAUGUAUUAUUAUUAAUUAAUUAAUAUACUACUAUAAUAAUUAUUAUAAUUAGUUCAAAUAUUAUUAAUUAAUUAAUUAUAAUUGUUACUAUUAAUUAAUAUAUUAAUAUAUUAUAAACCAUAAUUAUUAAUAAUUUUAAUUUUUGAUAAAUAAUCACAAUAAUUAAUAUACUUUUAUUAUAACUAAUUAAUUAGUAUACUAUGAUAAUAAUUACUAAUAUACUUAUUAUAAUUAAUUCAUAUAUAUUAUUAAUUAAUUUAUAUAAUUAUUACUAUUAAUUAAUAUAUUAGUAUAUUAUUAACAAUGAUAUAUUAAUAAUUAUAGUUUUGGAUAAAUAAUCACAACAAUUAAUAUAUUUUUAUAAUAAUAAUAAUAAUUAUUAGUUAAAAAUUUGUACAAUUAAUUAAUAUAUUAAUAUAUUCUUGUCAAUACUAAUUAAUAAUAAUACUUUUUGAAUAAAUAAUCACUAUAAUUAAAAUAUAAAAUAAUAAUUGUGACAAUAAUUCAUUAAGUGCUUUUUAGUAAUUUUUUACAAUAUAACUCAUUCUGAUUCUGAUUACAAGAUAAAAUAAAUACAUCAAUAAGAUUCUAACCCAUUUCUAUUCUGAUUCAUGUAGAUCAAGUAAACAACUUAUUCUGAUUCCUAUUCCUCAUUCUCAUUCCAGCUCAUAAUGAUUUCAACUCAUUCUGAUUACAGUCCAUUUCGAUUACUAACAAGUAAACACAACAUUAAGAUGCAGCUGUUGUGGAGCAAAAAUCAUAGUUGUGGGAUAGAAGCUGCUGGGGUUUAGCAAAUUUUAAUAGUUGUAGAGUCAAAAUUGAUGGUAUUUGGUAAAUUUUAAUUGUUGUAUAGUGAAAGUUGAUGAAUAUUUGUAAUAAUUAAUUUUAAAUAACAUUAUUUUUAAUUAGUAAUUAGUCAAAUUAUUUUUCAUAUUUUGAAUUAUCAUAUUAACAUAUGAUUAUUGUUUAUUACUUUGACAAAUCAAAUUAAUAUUUAAUUAAUCGAAGUUAUUUUUCUUCACAAGUUGUAAUAAAUAUUUUUUAAAACAAAAUAAUUUAAAAUUGAAAGUACAUAAAUUCUAAUUUUACUCAUUGAUUGAAGAAAUAAAUUAUACCAAAUAUGUCUAAUAAAGAUUGUACAACAUAACAUUAUAAAAUUAAAAUGUAACUAAUUACAAAAUUCUUAUAAAUAUUUACAUUGUCAUGCCUCCAUUAAACUUGCAGCAAUGCCAUCUCCCAAGAUUAUCAUAUUUUGAGCUAUGUUAUUAGUUGUAUCAUAACUUUCUUUAGGAGACGCAAUCCUGCUUAUAUGUUCGCUAUUACUAUGACUUGGUUCAUCCAUUGUUUCAUCAAAAUGAUCAUGAUUUUAUGAAUGUCUUCUUAUGUAAUUAUGUAAGGCCAUGGUAGUAAUAACUCUCUCCACCUGCUUCUUGAAUGUGUAGCUUGGCAUAUUUCGUAAAAUCUUCCAUGUGUUCUUUCAAACCCUAAAAGUACUCAUUAGAGUUAGCAUUACUCUCAACACUAAGAUAUUCAAAUGCUUCAUUACUCUCUAAAGGAAAACCAGAUGAGGGAAGCCAAACAUGCUCACUCAUAGCCACUGUGUUUGAACAUUAAAUUUAGGUUUUUUUUCUAACUCUAGAUCAAUACCAUUUUUUUUCGAAAUCUACUCAUUUGCAAAUUUUCCUUUAUUUUCUUUUUCCACCAAUCUUCACUUGCAUCAACUAUCCAUAACCUAUGAUUCCACCUUAGACCAAUUUCCAAGCUAAUCAAAUUCUUUCACAAUUUCCAAUCAGUUCUAAGAGAAUCCCAUUUGUUUUUCUUUUGAGUUCUAUUGUAAUCCGAUCCAGUUUCUUUAGUGGAUUCCUUAAUUAAAUUUUCAUAUGCUUCGGAAGUCACAUGAGUCCUAGGACGAUGUUCGGAUCCACCACCUUAAUACAUAACUCACAAAAUACAUAUGAAGUCUGAGGGUUCCAAAUAGCCUUACUAGUUGAGUUACUAGACAUAAUUGCGUACACUUAAACCUAGAAAAUAGAGUAAUAUUUCUUCAUCAAACAGCAAUAUAGGAAAGAGAUUAAUUAAGAGCAAUACCCAAUUUUCUUUUUAAAACAAAUAACAUUAAUUAAGGAUGAAUUAUGUCUAGCAGCAAGGAUGAAUUAUGUCUAACAUUACAUAACUUGUUUCAAAAUGAGUUGUUAGUUUAAUAAACUUGCGGGUUCCUCUAAUUACAUAACCUGUUUCGAAGAAAUUAAAAUAAUUUUUCUCAAUAGUUUAAAUUUUCUUUAGUUACCUUUAAGUGAAUCCUUUCAAAUUUGUGUGAAGCUGAAAUGAUUUGUUCAAAAACAUGUAUUGUUGGAAUCUAUAGGAAUUGAUUACUUGUUUGUUCACUACUAGAAAAAUGGGCUUUACUGACACUAAAUUAGUGUCAGUAAUUACUUUUCCUGACACUUGUUAAUUGUGUCAGUAAUGCUCCAGCCAGAACACACUGACACUAAUUUUUAGUGUCAGCGAUUUUUGUGUCAGUAAUUCAUGUCAUUAUGGUAUCACUAAAAUAAUGACACGAUAGCAUUAGUAUUUAAUGAUACUAUUUAGAUGUCAGUAAUUUAUGAGACUACAGUAUCAAGAGCACACUGACUCAAUAACAUCAAAAAUUAUUACUGUCAUUUUAAACAUUUAGUGUCAGUAUUUAGUGAUGUUAUGAUUCUUUUGGUUAAUAGUAUACUUUGAUUUUAAUUAUAUUUUCCUAUUUGUUUUACAACUGAAAGAAAACUCAAAAUAUAUUAAAUAUACAAAAUCUCGCAACACAAUUGCAUAAGAAACAUCUCAAAUACAUCACUUAAAUUCAUAUAAUUCAACUACAUCAUUGUUUGGAAAAGAAAAAUAUAAGUACUAAAUUAAGUCUUGGACAAGCUCUUAACAACCAAGUACUAAGUUAAGAUUCAACAAAUAUUAACCAACAGAAAGAAGCACAUAAUGUCAUUGAACAUCCACAAGCAGCUUCAUUGUUCUUUUCCCACCUACAAGUACAUAAAAUCAAUUAGUAUACCACAAAAAAUAAUUCUUGGAUUUUUGGGAGAAAAAACAAUCAGGCCAAUUUCAGUGUUCAAAGAGACUAACAAAGAAUGGGGCAAAAACAAUACAUAGCUCUCUUAGUGCAAGCUAAUUGUAAUAGGUAGUAUUGUGAAGAAUAUUUAUCUGCUAAGAAUUGAAUUUGAGUGGAUUUUCCUACAGAUCUAUACACAACUCAACUUAAGUAGAAUACAAAAAUAAAAAAUAAAAAAUCCUAAGGAUUAAGAAAGAUAAAUGGAGAUUUAUUAGUAUACAUCCAAAAUUAAAAACUCAUUAAACAAUCCAGGGGUAAAAAUUGAGGAAUAAGAAUAUAGCGUAUCUCAGGAUAAGACCAAAGACAUAAUAACAGAAACAUUUGAGGCAAACCACUACAAAGUUUUUACAUAAUAACCCAAAGCAAAGCAAACCAUUAUAAAAUUUUUACAUAAUAACCUAGAAACAAAACAGACGAAAAUUGGGCAAGUCCAUAUCCCAAACCUCUGUUAGGAAAAAUGUGUUCAGCAGACUCAUGGCUCCAACAAUAGAAAUUAACCCGCACACAAUGAAACAAAUUAAUUGAUAUAAAAAACAGUCAAAGACAAAGCCAACUAAGAAGAUUAACUAAUUUGGAGAUUGAAUUACAUAGUUAUUUUUACAAAAAUAUAGCAUAAGCCCAUUGUAUUUCAUAGUAAGCAACUGCAAAAAUGCCUAGAGGUAAAUUCAUAAAGAAACAGUAGAUAGAAGAAAAAAAAGACGAGGAAAUAAACAGCAUGAAACAAACAAAUCACCUAACACAUCAUGGGAAUUGACUUGUUAACGUUAAAGAGCAAAAUAAAACUUGGCACCUUCAUCCAAACAAGAACAGACGCUUACCCCUUACAGAGAAUGGCUUAGGUUUUUCGUUGGAGUUUGAGGCUGAUUUAUAAGAAUAUGAAGAAGAAAUGAUUGUUGAAGUUUGAUAGUGAUCAAGGAUUGAGUAUUGGGCUUAAAAUACAAAUUGGCAGUGAGGGCUAGUUUUCGAUCAUAAUGUUGAGAGACCACUAAUCCCCAAUACUUGUACCGUCUCACAUAAAAAUCCACAUUUAAUAAACAUGAACUAAAUCCAGUGUAUUGAGUGUUAUUAUUUAAUGGAACAUAAAAUCUCUGGGUCAAAUAAUUCUAAAGUUAAACCAACAAUAAUCCCAAAAGCUAAAGUUGAUAAGAAAGGCCCAACAGUAUACUUCUAUCACACAAAAUUUGAAGAUAGAAAAAAGAAGGGCCUUUUUUUUUUUAACUGAAACUGAAAAAAGAUUCAGUAUUAACAAUUCAAUAAUUUUAACAUUGAAAACUUGGUGUUUAUAUAUCCGAAUAUAAUUAAGCCAAAAAUUUUAAUUUAUCACUAAAUAGGAAAACAACUAAAUAAGCUGCAUAGUUUUAUUUUCCAAUAAAUGCUUAUAAUAUUUAUACCUAUCCUUCAUUAUUUAUUUAUUUUUUAUAGGAAACAGAGAAAUUAGUAUUAAUAUGAACAAUAAUUACAAAAUGUCAAAAAGGAGUCCACAAAAAAAGGCUAUUGAAGUAUCACACACCAAGAGAAGAAUAAAUAGAAAAAUAGAAAACACUGAGGCAUUCAAACCCUCAACAAUAAACUCAACAUAUCAACUUUAAACAAAUAGAUUCUUGGCUGUUCUUAGUGACAUUAAGAAACAAAUCAAAAGAAGGAAACUCCCCAGAAGAAUUAUAAUAAGUGAGAAGACAUAUUGUAAUUCUAUCAUCAAAGAAAGAUAAGCUUAAUCAUUUUUAAUUUUUUCUCAAAUAUCCAGUAGUACCUUAAGGUAAUAGGACAAGAUCGCUGAAGUUGUCAUGAAGAGUGUAAAGCACUAAAUAACAAAAAUUAUGCUAAUAAAUAAAACUCAAUUUAUUUUCUCCCUCAAUCAAUUGCUUUGAGCUUACUAUGAAUUCAACUAUGAAUUUGAGGAAAAAAUAUAGACCGCAGUUUGCCAACUUCUUGUUCAUGAGAUUCAGCCGCAGUAAAUGCAAACCUCCAUUUCUCGUCAAGCAUUGUUAACCUCUACGACAAAUUGAAGGUAAGAAGAUGAACAAAAUAAGUGUAAUGUGCAGGAAAAAAAUGAAGUCUAUGGGUACAACAACACUUCAAGAUUUUUCAAGUUCUAGUUCAUUUAAAUAGACAUUCCUUGAACUUCAGCAGCAAAGAAAGUACAUUAUAGCAACAAUUUCAAUUCAUUCCAAUCUUUAGAAUUUUUUAUUUUAAAAAAAUAAAUUCCUUCAAACUAGUGAAAGGAAAAUAAAAGUGUGUUUACAGAAGAAAAAUUAUGGAAUGAAUUAAUGACCAUGCAAGUGAGGAAACACAUAAAUUUCUGAAUAAGAGCGAAACUAACCGUGCAAAUGAACAAAGAAAAUGUAAGUCUUCAAGUGCUACAACAAGCAAAACUACCUAAAAACAAGCAUUUUCUUCUUGAAUUAAAGACAAAUCAUGAACUUUGUGCAAUCUCAAAACAUUCAGACAAGCAUGAACUUAGUUAAUUCAUAUCAUAGUCAUUGUCUCUAUUAAAAAUCUUCCAACUGAAAAAAAUAAAAAAAUAAACAUGUUGGUUUCUAUAACAUAAUUUCCUAUCUUUACAUGAAACAGAGCAAUAAAUAACACGUAAUAAUUAUGAAAUACACAGCCAUUCAAUCUAUAUAAUAUAGAAAUAUAGGAAAAAAAGAAAAAAAAAUUCAAAUUACAAUUAAAUAAACAAAAAAUAGAUAUGGAAAAGAAAUCCCACCAAGACUGCACUACUGGGAGAAUUUCUCAACAUCUGCAACAACCCAAAAAAUUAAAUUAACAAAAAACCCCAAUAAUCAUAAGCUAAAAUAAAACAAAUCUAUUAAUUAAUUUGACAAAGAAAAUAAAAUAUUAAGCCAUUACUAGCAGUUAAGCCUUAAUCAAGGCAACAUGUUUGCCCUUAAAGUCAUUGAAAAUCUCCUUCACAGGUCUACGUAUAAGGUGUGGUAUCCCUUCCAUAGCAAGAAAAUUAACUAAUUUCUCAAUAAUUUUAUUCAAAUUCAAGAAAAUGGGUUUUGAAUAUUGAACAAAAAAAAGAGAAAUUUGACCAUAAAAAGAAAAAAAAUUGAUGAAAGAAGCCUCGAUUACGGUUUUGGUCCGUUUUUCAAUUUGGGAAAAAAAAAGGAAAAAGGGAAUAAAAGCCUCACUUAGGGUUUUAGCUUUAUAUUAUCUAUUUGAGUUAAAUGAACGAAUUUGUGAAUGGACAGAAAAAAAAGGAAAGAGAUCGAGAAGAGAAAAAGGAAAGAGAAAGAGAAAGAGAAAGGCAAGAGACAGUUUUGGGUUUGAGUUUGGGUUAGAGAUUUGUGUGUAUAAAAGACAACGAGACGGGGACAAUUGCUAAGUUUGGGAUAUGUUUUACUUUCGUUUUACAUGUUUUAAAUUCUUAAUUUAGUACCUGCAGUGUCGAACCACUUGAACGGAAGUGACAGUGGCAACGGCGUGGGGGUGGGUGCAGCCGUGGGGGUUGGGCGCGGCCGUGGACGUGGGCGUUUGGGCCUUGUCAUUCGGCAUCUUUCACGAUAGAGAAGAAGAAGUCAAGAAAGGCAAGGAUAUUAUGCAGCAGCUGCAGCAUGGGCUCUAUUGCACAAUGGAAAAGGGGAAUUAGGGUUUGGUUUUUUAUAUGUUAAUAUUUUAUAUAACAUUGUAAUUCUAACUCAAUUUUAUGGGGUCCAGUGGUUUGCAAUCUAAACGUAAAAGUUUUGAGUUUUAGAAGUCGCAGGUUCGAGUUAAAAUCAAAACACAUUUUAAUGAUUUUUUUUAGAUCUCUGAUGCUGAAGUAUCAGUAAUCUCUAAUAUUUAAUUUACUGAUACAUUAGUAUUAAUAAUUUGUGACAUUUAUUUGUUAAAAGCAGAAAAUGGUGCAUAGUUAGGUAAUUACUGACAUUUUUUUCAAAGUGUCAGAAACAAAGUGUCAGUAAAAGUCAUUUUUGUAGUAGUGUCGUUGCUGCCUUUAAUGAUUUUUAUUAGGGAAAUUUCAUCAGAUAGGGAUUGUGCAUGUCUAUAAAACCAACUAAAAAAAUUAAAAAUGCAAUAAAGAUAGUGACUUCAAAGCAAAUAAAUCACACGUGACCAAUCACCUAUUAAUUUAUUCCAAGCAAAAGGCCCAGCACAUUCUGAACAAAAGGGAAGAAAAUGAAAAAUUACAUGUAACAAAGUAAAGGAAAACGCACCUUUCUUAGAUAUUUUGAAAACAAAGAUAGAAGAACAGAGGUGUAUGAAUAUGAUUGGUGUCAAAAUCGCGUCGAUGAGAAUAGCCGCUUUUGGAAUUGCAUCGAUGAGAACUGUCGAUGUUGGAAUCAUGCUAAUAAGAUCGGUGUUUAGAGUUUGUUUUAUGGAAAAAUCGAUUUGAGAUUAAGUUUAAAAAUGAGGUGGGUAAAAUUGAAAUUAAAUAAUAUGUAAGGAUAAUUUAGUAAUUUAAUACACAACUGAGAAAAAUUUCUGUUGAACUGCCAAAGCCCAACUACAAAGUGUUACUACUAAAAAUGAGGGGAUGAUAUAUGGAAAAAAAGAAGCUUCAUUUUAAAUUAAUGAACAAAAACAAUUUAAAGAUUUAAGAGAUCUGAUUUGUCGUUUCAUUUCACUAAAAUGUGGAUAGAUAAAAUUAGUUAUUGGGUGUGUCUUAUCCUAAAAUUAAUCUUUCACGAAGUCCUUAGAAACAAGAAAAUACUAUUACAUAGCUCGGAAAGUGUUAAUAGUUAUAGAAUUAGGCGUCUCUUACACAUAUGUCUUCCCAUGUAUAAAAGCGUUCGUAUGAAGUUAUGAAAUGGUGGAUUAUUAUACUAAACAAACGGCUCUUUCCCUUUCAAAAUUAUUGUACGUAUUUUGCAAGGAAACCUCCUCUACUUUGUUUCUUCCAAUUAAUGUCCGGUUAAGACUUCCGUGUGUCCAAUUAAUGCCAAUCGUUUUCGAAUGUGUACAGGAUAACAACUUGAAGACUUGAGAGGGCCAGCGUUAAUUCAAAGUCAAGACUCAAGACUAGGUUGUUACCCUGCAGGAUUCUUGAUAGUGAGGUGAAAAAACAAAAAGUUGAAGGAGAUUAGGAUUUAAUGCUGAGUUUAGUUUUUAUUGACCACUAAGUUAAUGAUUAUAAUUUAUUUUGUACUUUUUCUUUUAUUUAUCUUAGUUAAUAAUUAUUUAUUGAGAUUCUUGUCCAAUUGAAAGAUACUAGAGAAAAGGGUUUUAAAACUUUAGUUAUUUUUAUGUAUAAAACAAAAAAUUUAAAUUAUUAAAAGAAAAAAAAAUGUAAUUUUAAGAGACAUCUUUUAAGGUUUGACAUAUUAAUAUUUAGAUAAAAAAUAUGCCUCUAAUUACAGAGAUCUUCCCGCCGUCUAUACUCAGUUUCGUAUAUUGUCAGCUAGGAGGGUAAAUUAGUAAAAGCGCAUUUAAAAUUGAAAUAAGUAAAAAGCUAAUUUGAAGAUAAGCCCACUGAAACACUCAAAAAAUCCCGAUGAAAAUCAGUUACCACUAACUAGAGGAUGGAUGAAUGCUUGCUCUCUUUCAUCAACCUAACUCAUCACAAAACCAUUUUCUCUUUCAAUCAACCGAGGCCCACAUGCACUCCUCAUCUCUAAAUGCUUUGAAGAUGAAAAAAAUCAGAUUUUUAUUGCCAAGUUCCGCAACUUUAGCUUAGAUUUAUUAACAAGAAAAGCAUCGAUGGUGGCCUAAGGGUGGUGUCAGGUGAAAAUAGCUGACUAUUCGGCGUCGGACAUGACUGUUAUUGACUUGAAUUCAAAGAAGGUUAGUCUUUGAAACAAUUUUGGAUUUAAUUUUUUUUUUGUUUUAAUAUGUUUUAUAUUUUAAAAUAAAAUUGAAAUUUUAUUUCAUUUUAAUCAUAGAUUGUUUUUUUUUUGUUUGAAAAUGAAAAUGGGCUGAAGUGUUGGAGAACAGUUGGCAUUGUGUUGUUCAUAAAAAAAAAAGAUAUCAAAUUGUUGAUGUAUUAGAGAAGAUGCAUGUUGUUUGUUACUUUCAGACCGUAGCUAUUUGGAUUUUUCAAGUUAAGAGCUAAUCAUAACAUAUGUGUUGGAAAUUAGUGAUUUUUAUGUGACUUCUUUGUCAAAUGAAAAUGGGUUAGCACUGUUAUGAAGAAUAUGGAUGCUAUUUGGAGGAAUUAACUUCUUAACAUGUGCUUGAACUAAAAAUACCAAUGCAUAUUAGAAAUUAGUGAAGUUAUAUGCAUUAAUAAUAUUGGAAAUAAGGGUUUGUUUGUGAUGCUUUAAAGAAGCUGAAAAGGGUAUUGCUUGUGCUCCUUAAUAUGGAGAAUUUUUAGUUGCUUGAUAAAAAAAGCAUUAGUGACAAAUAAAAUGAAGAAAUUUUGGAUGAUGUUUGUGUAAAAGAUUUAAAUUAUUUAUUUUAUUGAAGCUGUACUGUGUUUUUAUUUGUGAUUUAACCAUUAAAACGGCUCUGUAACAUUGAUUAGAGGCUGCAUGUGCUCUUUUUAUAAAAAAAGUAGUGGCAUUCCUAAGUGGAGUAAUGAGAUGCUAAGAUGGGAAUGUAUGAAUAUUUAAUUUUGUUCUUGCUUUAAACUAUGACUAUAAAUCCUAAGUCUUCUAAAAUGAAACUCAAUUAUGCUUUUAAGAUGUAAAAAGGCAUCAUUGCCAUUUUUAAGUGACUUUGAUAAUGCUUCAAAUGGAAGUUCGCAUUGGUUUGUCAAAAUCUUUUGUUAAGCAGGGUGAAAUGAUUCAAUUUGCAUUGAAUAUGCGAAAGUUUCUAAGCGAAUAACUUGUGGUCUCAUGUUAUUUUUUUUCAGAUGAUGCUCUAGUGGAGGUCGAAAAGGAAAAGAGAGUCUUUGUUAAAAAAAAAAAAAGCAGGGAACAAAUAUGCCUUUCUAUAAUUGUCUUCCUUUUAACAUGUAUGUCAGGAUUGGUGUGCAUAAAUGGCCUUUAUUGACUAAAUAAUAUAAUCAUGAACAAGUAAAAAUAUAAUUUUUUUUAGUACUUUUCCUACUGAUCAUAUGUGAAUUGAAUCAAUUGUGUUGAAAAUGUUGAUCAAGGCAAAAAAGCUCUCAGCCUUUGCUACAUUCGAAAAUAGCAAGAAGGAAUUUUGUAAGCCCAAUUGAAAAAGAUUGAGGUAACCUGUCUCUUCUUAUUCUAGAUUCUUUUUUUUUUCUUUGUUUUACUUCCCAUUUCAUCUUCAACAAAUCUAGUAAUUGGCAGGAAAUAAUUGGAAGGAAAGAAGGCUGAAUAUGCUGAAAAUCUAAAAAAUAAGGCAGCUAUACGUCACAAAGAAAUAGAAGAGAAAAGGGCAACGGUUGAAGUUAGUGGUGGAGAUUGAAUUCUUAAGUUAAAGGAGAUGGUUGAAAAAAUCGGUGUAACUAAGAGCAUUUUAAUGAUCAAUGGAAUUAAACAAAUGUUAACAAUAGGUUGUUGUCUAUUAGAUAUACCAAAUUUGACUUUGAACUGUUGUAUUAUGUUAAAUUUCUAAAUUUUAUUUCACUGUAUAGUAUCGCUAGCCCUAGUUUCCCUACGAUAUUUUUUUUUUACAAUUGAUGAAUAUUUGAUGUCAAAUUUUUAUUUCCCAAGAGUGGUAAAGUGUAAUGAUUAAUUUGAUAUUUAGUACUACUAAAUUUUUAAAUUUUAGUUCACUGUAUACUAUCGCUAGCCCUAGUUUCCUAGUAAUUUUUUUUACUUUUAACAAUUGAUGAAUAUUUGAUGUCAAAUCUUUGUUUCCCAAGUGUGUUAAAGUGUGAUGAUUAAUUUGAUAGUUAGCAAUAAGGCUGUUUAGGUCUUUUCUCAAAUCAAGGGUAAUUUUUACAUAUCACUAGUCAACUAACAUUCAAGGAAACUGAGUACAGACAGUAGGGGAGGUCUCUGUAAUUAUGAUUAUACUUUCUAUUUAAGUGUCAAUAUGUCAAAUCUCCGAGGAGGUCCCUAAAAAUUAUCCAAAAGAAAUCGAGACUUUGAGCUGGUUUGGAACAAAUUAUAUUUUCAAUUGAAAUUGAAAAGAAGAAAAAAAAAUAUAUAAGAGAGGUUUUAUAAGAUUAAUGAAGGGGUUCCAAUAAUCCAAUAUUUUCACAAUUUUUUCUUUUAAGUUUUAUUCAUCACCCCAUAGGCCCAAUUUAUUUUCGUUAUUAUGUAGGUGUGGUGUUACUAGAAAUCAAAUGUUGCCUUUUUUUCUUUUUCUUUUUUUCCUCUCCUCUCCUCACUUAUGGUGGAAUGUGGAGAAUUAAACAAAACCAAUAUCCUAAUAUAUAAUUAAUAUUUUGAAAUGACCCGCCCCGAAUCCCCCUAAGCAAGUCUAUCUAGUCUCAUCAAAACAGACUUGAUAAAAAUUCUAUUAGUAAAGAUUCUGCCAAAAAUUCGGCAGAAUCUCCUUUAUAUAUAUAACACUCCCAAUCUAUAAAUAUGAAUAUAACACUCCCAAUACAAUUCAAUAUACAACAAACUCCAGUGAUUAACAUCCUCAACUAAAAUGCUGAGUUUUAUAUCUCCAGAGUCUCAAAAGAUAAUAUUAUAACUAAUAUUAAUAUAUCAGUUUAUUCUUAAUCCCAAAAGAAUAGUAUAACAAAAUUAUACAAUCCCAACAGAACGAGAUAACCAAGAUGUCCUAACAAAAACAUUUAUAUCUUCUAACACCAUCACGUGGCCAAGACUCAAAAUAUAUUUACAGUCGCUGGGUCGGUCUGGUGUACCUGCAACCUCCUGGUGAGGGAGGGAAAAUAUAAUAAAAACGAGGUGAGUUUAAAACUUAGUGAGAUCAGUGAGUGGAUAGUAGUUUUGAAAAUUAAUUCUUACUUUAAAAGAAAUAAUCAUAUCAUUUCCAAACACGAUUUCAUUAAACCAUAAGCGAGAAACCAGUAAUAAAUCAUUAAACAUUUAAAUCAGAUUACUAACCAUGGAAAUCAUAUCACAAUAUCAUAUAGAAUUCACAAAUCUGAAAAUCAUCGCCAAACAAGUACCCAGGGAAAUAAUCUCGUCAUAUCCGAAUCUCAACGGAUGGGCAAUGAUGUACUAUCUGGGUAACGUCACGCCCCGGAGCUACACGGAUAGAUAGGGAAAUCUCAUAUCUCAUCAUAUCUGUGCAUGCAUAAUCUAGUCCCCAAGGGACAAAAGCGCCCAAGCACACGGCCCAAAACCUCUGUGUGUACUCAGACGGGCCCCAAAGGCCUAUAUCUCAUUUGUAUCAUAUGUAUUAUUUGUAUCAUAUGUAUUAUUUGUAUCUCAAUAUCUGUCUGUAUCUCAUAUCAGUAUAUCUGUAAUCAUCAUACCGCAUGCAUAUGGCCCCAAAAGGCAAAAGCACCCAAACACACGGCCUAAAGCCUCUAUGUGUCAAAGGCCUCUCAUCUCAUCUCAUCUGUAUCACUGUAUCUGGAGGGAAGGGUACUGUCUAAUGAUUUCAAAAACAAUCAUUAUACUCAUUCACAUACCUCUUAACCAUAUUUUAAAUCAUACCACAUUUGAAUCCACUUUUCUUAUCUUUAAAAUACUAUCAUGCUUAUUCAAAGUCGAUACGCAAAAUCAUUAACCAAACAUUUUAAUAAAAUAUCAAUGCGUGAAUAAAAUCCAUUUCGAGAAAUCAUUAAAUCAGAACAUUUAAAAUACUUAUUUCGCAAACAUGCUUUACUAUCAUCGCUAACUAUGAAAAUAAGUUUUGUAUAUUCCACUCACAGUGACGGUGUUCACGGUCGGUUAUCGUCCACGUCCGCGGACCGGUUCUCGCUCGCAAAUCCUCCUAAAUUAAGGAAACGACAUAAUUAUUUUCCGUAAAUCGGAAUUAUGACUAAAUUUUAUGCAAUAAACUCGAAACGAACAUCUAUCCAUAAUUUACAACUCCUGUGUCCAUAAAAUUUCUAAAAUGCCCUUGAGUCCGUAGAUCAUUAACAUGCUCUGAAAUCGUAAAUCACCGAAUUACCCUCGGAAUCGUAAUUACACCCAAUCCUCAAUUCUAGGAAUUACUAAAAUAUCCACAGGCUCAGAAAUUACAAAAUUGCCCUCAUAGUGUGAAAUUACCAAAAUGCCCUUGCCGAUCAACGGUCACCGGAAUUUGGUCAACACUGGCUAGGAAGCUCAAAUCUUAAAGUUCCAAUCACGCUGAGUUCAAUGGUACCGACGGUGAGCUCCAACGCGCGGCAACGACGCCGGAAUCUAGCUCGGCAGCCGUGAAUUCCAAGAAUCGACCGGCGGCAAAACAGUGACUCUCGGUGCCUAUGAAUGGUCGGAAAUGGAAGAGGGAAUCGUGGGGAACAAAAUCCAACUGGUGGUGUCACCCAAAACCGGCGAAAAUCCCGGCGGAGUAAAGUGAAACAGUCGCGGGUUUCAAGCUUCGAUCUCCGGUGUUCCGGUUGGUUUUCGGCGGAGAGGAUGGCAUGGGAACGACGGUCGGCUUCUAAGCUUCAGAUUGGUACCAAGCUCGGCCAAAACGGUGGCCGGAAAUGGGAGAUAUGGCCGGGUCACGUUCGCAGGUCAGGUCGGGUUUUUUCGGGUCUGUAGUUGGGUUGGUUUGGUAGCUUCUCUCUCACUCUCUGUUACACGUGCAUAUGUUUCCUUUGUUUCUAGCUUAUUCUUUUACUUAUAAAAUCCUUAACCGCCUCAUUUUCAUUUUAAAUUCACAUAUGUUACAUAUUUAUUAACAGAUUUCAGAAAAAAUUAAUAUUUUAAAAUAUUGCAAACUGCCAAAAAGUCAAACUUUUAUUUGCUACAUAAAUAUAAUCUAUUUUAGAUAUCAAUAUCAAAUUUGUUAGGUUAAAUUCUAGGUUCAAAUCUUAGCAGGCAGAAGUUUGAGUUAAAUUGGUAAAUGAAUUAUUUUUUAAUUAAUUUCUUCUUUUUGAUUUUGAAAAAAACAUUCGAGAGAAAGAGAGGAAGUUGAAACUGAAGCCGAAUCAACUGGAGCAGCAUCAAGCAUCUUUUGAAAUUCUUCUACAUGCUGCUUUUUUUCAGCUUUUGUUUUCAAAUGUUAUUGAGGGCAAAUAAAGUCUGUAUGCUUGAUAUUGAACAUAAUUUUUAACAAAUAAAAACUAACACUGACGUUGUGCCAAAGAAUUUGUUUCUAGCUUAACUGGGCCCAUUUAGGAUAGCUAAGAUAGCUGCGCUGCCAAACAGGGCUUUGAUUUCAUUGCUAUAAGUAUUUAUCAAGUAUUUUUAAUAGAUUUUUUUGGGUGGGCUGAAUGGUUAAGUAAAUUAAUUAAAUGGUUUAAAUAAGGAUAUUUUUUUAUAUUUUAAAAAAUGUACGUAUUAAAAUUUUAUAUAUUAAAUAUACAAAAUAAUAGAAUGUUUAGAAUAAUUUUUAGACAGCAAGCAGCCCUACUCAUUUUAUUAAUCAAGACUUAAGUGUCACUAAACUAAACCUCCAUAUUCCAAAUCUAUAGAAAAAAACGAGAAAAGGUACCGAAUGCAAGCGAUCUGCUGUUCAUCAAUAUUAUCUGGUGCUGUUGCAGAUCAUUUUGUUAUUCUGGUCCAUCAAAGCAUCAAAACAAUUUGUCUGUGAAAACGAUUGUGGAAACGUGUAGAUGAUAUUCCCCUUUGGAAUUGGAGAAGGGUGCCACUUUGGUAAGAGUUAUCACGUAAUAUUCACUCUUCUGGCUCUCCCAAAGGUUUUCAUCCUAGUAUCAAGACGGAAUAUCGUACCGUUACUCCGUAACUAAAACUGGAGCAACAUUCCUAUAGUUUCUAUACACAGUGCUAUUGCCACAAGCAAUAAUAUUGCUAGAGCAGUCAAUAUAUAUGGUAGUCCUUUUACCUUUCCCUGGGGGCUCAAUAAAUUUACAGCCAUAGGCUGUGACAAUUAUGCAAUUAACCUGGACAAUGAUAAUGAUUCAGCUGUGCCUGUAUGUCUGCACUUGCGAUCCUUCUCAGAAAAGUGGUUGCUUUAUUUGUUCAGAGUAAAAUUUGGAAUGUAAAAAAUUCCAUCCAAAACUUUAUCAUCGAACAAUUUGUAUGAAUUCCUGUAAGGAAUACGUUGGCAUAUCACAGAAGCCCAAUUACAAAUACAUCCGCAAAAUAUCUACCAAAGAUAUUUCAGCAAGCUUGUCAAGUAGUGGGACAGGGAAUGGCUCUCUGUUCCUGAGGCAUGAAUUGACGUCCUGCCCAUCGUCCCCCUUUGCCUCCCCACCAUACAAAUAACAAAUGAAAAUUAGGCCAAUUAAAUUAAAGGCAAGACGGGAUGGAAAUAUGGAAUCGUUGAUUAUUAUACCCAUGACCCCUCUAAUUAAUGGUUCUUUCCCUUCGAUAUUAUUGUACGUGUUUGGAAGGAAACCUCCUCUAUCUUUUUUUCCAAUUAAGACUAUUGAAUGUCCAAUUAAUGUAAAUUGUUUUUGAACGUGUAGAGGAUAACAUGACAAUGCGGAGACAUUUAAAGUUGAUUGACAGAAUGAACAAAAUAUCCUAAAUAAUGAGGCUAAUUGAAAAAUUUUUAAAUUAACAAAACUAGAGUUUUAGAUCUUUUUAUAUAAUAACUUUAAAUAUAAUAAAAUUCUCUUAAUCUGAAUAAAAAAUCCAAAACAAAUAGUGCUCAAAUCUAUUAUUUAGGGAAAAAAAGAAAUUAGAAAAAAUAGAAGAAUAUCUUAAAAAUCGAAAAAUGAUAAGGAAAGAAAUAAUUUUUCAGGCUCAAGCAAGGCCCAAAAUGGCAUAAGCUUUGUAGGCUUGAUUUGUCUUCUCGCAAACUUUAAAACGAUAUAUUAUACACUCAAAACAGACACAUGUAGCCUAAGUUAUACCCUUUGGAAAGUACCCUUCUCAUCCCACACACCCAUCAUACAGUAGUCCCUCUCACUUGGAAAAGAACUUGCCCUCGAGUUUGACUUGUACAAUGCCUCAUCAUCUAGAUGAUAUUUAAAUAGAUUAGCCAUAUUGAAUGUGUAAGAGAUCUUCUAGUUGUCCGGCAGUUAGAGCACAUAAGCAUUAUUAUUAAUCUUCCUUGCCACACGAAACGGUCCAUACUUGAUGUGGACAUGCAUCACUUUCCCGUGUCGAUGCAUGUUCACAUCGACCUUGUACAUAGCGUUUGCAGCCUCCAAAUGAGCUCGUUCCUUGACAUGAAUCUGUAGAGCUCUUUUUACCACAUUAUUCACUAUUUUACUCCCUCCAGUUGCUAUGGGCAUGAUAGCUAAAUCAUAAACAUGGGGUAGGGAACAAGUGUAGACAAUCUCAAAAAGGGUCUUACCACCAUGUUAUUGAAAGCAAACUUGACUUGAGGCAAGAUAGUUUCCCAAUUCCGUUGCUUGUCACCACAAACAUAGUGCAACAUGUUAACCAGAGUGCGAUUAACCACAUCCAUUUGACCAUUUGUUUGCUAAUGAAAAGCACUACUAAAUUGUACUGAACUUAUCCUAGAGAUGAUGCCAAAACUUACUGAUAAACUUCACAUUCAUGUCAGAAGUAAUAGUCUUUAGCAUACCAUACAAACUUACCACUUCUUCAGAGAACAAAUGCGCAGCUAAAGCAGCAUCUUUAGUAUUCUUGCAAGCAAUAAAAUGCAUGAUCUUUGAAAACCUGUUGAUCACAACCUAUCAAUUUGUUCCCUUAGAAUUUCGAGGCAUAUAUAACUAAUUAGAAUUGAACAGAUACCCAUCUUGAAUAAGGAAAUCUUUUACAUUUUGAUGAUUAAUGCAUCGAUCUUAAAUAUGCGCAAAGUCUUCAUCCUUAGCGUACAACUCCUUCAAGCAUUCAAAACCAGUACCUUUAAUGACGAGAGUAGUAAAGUUGCUCGCCUACUGAGUGCAUCUGCUAUCUUAUUAUGUUGCCCAAAUUUAUACUUAACAAUAAAAGUGAACUUUUACGUAUAGCGCACCCAUCUUGCAUGCAUCUUGCUCAGAUAUUGCUGGUUAUUAAAGUACUUGAAUGCUUGAUGAUCACUAUAAAGUACGAACUCUUUAUGAAUCAAGUAAUGCUCCUAUGACUUCAACACCCUAAGGAUUUGAUAAAAUUCUUAGUCGUAAGUAGACCAUUUCUGUUAUAUUUUAUUUAACUUCUCACUCAUAUACCUAAGUAGUCGUCCCUCUUGAGAAAUAACAGCCCAAUACUAUUACCAUAAGCAUCACAUUCAACCUCAAACAACUUGAUGAAGUUUAGUAAGGCUAACACAGGAGUAGUAAAAAAAUUCUCUUUUAAUAAAACAAAACUGCACUCUGUAAUAAGUGGGGCUAUGUUACUAAAACUAUAAAUAAAUCUCUUAUAAAACAUCGUCAACCCAUGAAAACUCCUAACUUCACCCACUAUCUUCGGCAUAGGCCAUUCAUUAAUGGCUUGUAUCCUCGACUCAAUAACUCGAAUCCUAUCUACAUCAGUUAUAAAACUAUAAAUUCCACAUUACUCUACAGAAAGCUACACUUCUUUAGAUUAAUAUAAAGUUUAUUUUUUUUUUGCAACAUCUUUAUAAUCAUUCUCAAAUGUUCUAGGUGUGCCACUGCAUUAACAAAAUAAACUAAGAUAUUGUCAAAAUUCACCACAAUAAAUUUGCAGGAAAAAGACUUAAGAACUUGAUUCAUUAAGUGCAUAAAAGUGCUUAACACAUUAGACAACCGGAAUGGCAUAAAAUACCACUCAUACAGCCCUUUUUUUAAUUUUAAAUGUUGUCUUCCACUCACCAUCAGGCCUAAUUAUGAUAUUAUGAUAUUAUGAUAUCCAUUACACAAAUCUAUCUUUGAGAAAACCCGAGCAUCAUUUAGUUGAUCUAAUAACUCUUAAAACGUGGAAUAAGAAAUCGAUUCUUCACUAUAAUAUGGUUAAUUAGCAUACUAUCUGUAUAUAUAUGCCAACUCUCAUCCUUUUUCGAUACCAACAAAGCUAGUAUAGUACAUUAACUCAUGCUCUCAUGAAUGAAACCUUUCCCUAACAAUUCAUCAACCUACCCUUGUAAGAUCACAUGCUCGUGAGGGCUCAUACGAUAAUGAAGCAAGUUAGGUAAACUCGCACCAUAUCUCAUAAAGGUGGCAGCCCAUCCAACAACUUUAAUGGUCUAAUAUCAACAAACUCAAUUAAUAAUGGCUAUACUUUUUUCAAGAACAAUCUUCACCUUUAAUUCUUCUUUUUUCUCUAGCUUCUAGCAAUCAUCGCAAUCAUCCUCUUGAUGAUUUUUAACAACCUUAGUAUUCUUCUUGUUGUUCGUUAAAGGCAUCAACGAACCUUCUUGUUAUUUCACUAAAACUCAUACACAUUAUCCUCUCUUCUAUACUGUAUCAACAUCAAAUUACUAAAGUCUACCAAAUAAUAGAUGGCACACAUCCAUAUUCUUUACAUCGCUCAACACAUCACUCUUAUAAAUCUUCCCAAUGGAGAAAAGAACACGACGGUCCUUUAUUACUUGCAUUUUUGUCUCUCUAUUUAUCAAUCAUAUUCUGUUAGAUACUGGAUUUUUUUGGUUGAAAGUCCUAUCAUGUCAAAUAGCACCUUUGAAAAUAUGUUCUCGCUAUUGCCACUAUUAAUUAUAAUGUUGUACACCUUAUCGUUGAUAGUGCCACAUGUUUUAAAAAUCUUAUUGCGCUGAUUAUCCUCUUUAAAUUUUCAAUGAUAAUAAAAUCUUCUAUAUAAUACAAUUUAGUUUCUCCUUCAUUUGCUUUCAACUCUAAAGCUUCUUUGGCAUCCCCAUUCUCAACGUCGUUCAGCUCUGUCUUGCUGACUUUACCCUCUACUAAAUUCAAAAUUUUAAAAUGAUAGUUACUCGAUCGAUGGCCUAGCUCCCUACACUUCAAACACUUGUCCAGCAUAGGCUUCACUAUAAGUGAUUGUAUCUACUAUCUCAUCUUAUAUCUCUUGUUUUAAUCUGCCAAUAUAUUUCGUAACUAUUCAAAAUUCUGGCUCAUCCAUAUUAUUUUGAGUGUGUAGACAAUAAAAUUCGUUUAUAUAUUCAUUGACACUAUGAUUUCCUUACCUGCAGUUCUGAUAUUUAAAACUGCUGCCAGUAUUCUACUGGCAGGAAAUACUCUCUCAUCAUCCUUUGCAUUCCAGGCCACUAUUUGAUAAUUUUUUUUGCAACUUUUCUUUAAUUAUGUAUGUAUUGCCAUUAUGCAGAAGCUGGACAAGCUUAAUUCACUUCUCUUGAGGAAUCUCCAUAUACUCGAGAAAAUUAUCCACUUGUGAUAUCCAGUCUAAAAAUUUUUCAACAUGCAUCCCACCAAAAAAAUUCAGAAUAUUAACAUUAAUCUUGUAAUCUAAACUCUUUUUGGGCCCCUAUCAUCCUCCAUAUAUUUUUCUUCUUCUAAAUCGUUUCUUAGCUCCUUACGCACGUGUACUGGUAUUCAUCACGUAGGACCUAAAUUUUGAGGUACUACUUCAUGAUUGAUGCCUUGAGGUUUUAUUUCAUGACCGACCCCUUGAGGUAUCUCCAUGUAGUUGUAAUCUUCAGGUUGUACACCACGAUUGACUCUUUGAAGUUCUUCCUCGUGAUUAACUUUUUGUUGUUGACCUCUCUUUCUGUUUUUGUUCAAGGAAAACUUAAGACUCAUAAUUGUCUUGCUCUAUCACCACUAAUCCCGAGUUAUAAGCUUCCUCAAUUGCUUCCAAGGUUGCUUCUCGAGCCGCCCGUUUCACAGCCUCCACAGUCUUUGGCUACAUCCCUUUGUUAACAUGUAUGUGUCUAUAAUAAUGAUUUUGAUGAUAACAAACAAGAUUAAGAAUGAUUAAGUUUUUAAAAGCUCAAGUUAUUUUUCAUACAUUUUAAAUAAAUCAUUAUUUUCAUAUAAUAAAGGUUUUUUUUUCAAAGAAAACGUGAUUUCAUGAAAUUGGUUGUUUUUCAAGCUCAUGGUCUAAUUGAAAAAAUUUUGAGAACUUUGAAAUCAACAAGUAUUGCUUAAAAUUCUAAAAAUGGACUUGUUUGAAAAGUAUCAUAAAGUUUUGGGCCAUAGUACAAGUAUAUAAAAUUUUGGGGCAAAAAUAUAAUUUUAGAAAAUAGUUUCAUUGUAGCAGUCGCUGUAGCAAAUAGCUAGCUGUUUGGAAGAUAACAGCUAACUUACAUUGAACAGAAUUGAAGAUUAGUGUUUGUAUACUAACGGCAAACCGACUUCUUGAAAAUGGUAAAUCGACAUCUUCUUUGCAAGUUACUGGACGAUAAUGGCGAUCCGACAUUUCAAUAACGGUGAUCUGACAAUUUGAAAUUCUGUCUAAUGGUAACUUGCUCAAGUCAAAACGGCAAUCCAACUUCUAUUUAACGUUGAUCCAACUUCGAGUAAAUUAUCUCUAACGACUAUUCUUCAGCUCAAACUAUAAAAAGGCUCAUUUAAACACAAAUAAUAGUGAUUGCAACUACUAUCAAUGAGCCAUGUAGAUGCUGUGGUUCAAAACGAAAAUAGAAGAGUGUGGAGAUGUACCAGUAUUUAUGGCCAUCCAAAAUUGACCUAAAAGCACCAUACUUGAACUCUCUUGAAAAGGUUAGCAGCUCUCUCUUUUCACCCCUGGUGUUGCUUUGGAGACUUCAAUGAGAUUUUGUAUUUGCAUGAGAAAAAAAGAGGGAAUGAUAGAAACCGAAAUGUGAUAGCUGAUUUUAGAGAAGCUGUCCAAGCUUAGAAUUUGGUUGAUAUUGGGUAUCACGAGUAUCCUUAUACAUGGUUGAAUAGGAGAUUUGGCCCUCACCACAUAGAAGAGAGGCUAGAUAGAUUCCUGUGCAACAAGGAUUGGUGUGAUAAUUUUCAAGCGUCAACAACAAUUAAUCUGGUGAAUUGGGUUUCAGAUCACUACGCAGUUGUUUUUUAUUGUAAUGAGAGAGGUAGAAACAAAAGCUAGAGGAAACAACAUCCCACUCGAGAGCAUUACGAAGACACGUGGAGUCCCUAUAAAGACUGUAAGAGAAUAGUUAGUGAAGAAUGGGCUCACUAUGGAGAGAAAUCUUGGGAGAAUCUGGCGCAACAAUUCCAAAGGGUAGCUAAAAAUUCUUUAGCUCAGCUCAAGUUGUGGAGUAAAGAUGAGUUUGAAGGCAACCAAAAAAAAACAAGAAAAGCUUAUCAAACAGCUGGAGAACCUCAGACAGAGCAACGAUCAAAUGAGGGAAGGGCUGAAAUUAGAAGAAUUGAGAAUCAAAUUAAUAACAUGCUGAUUGAUAAAGAAGUCUAUUGGAAGUAAAGAUCAAGGGCUGAUUUGCUUAGAUAGGGAGAUAAAAACACCAAGUUCUUCCACUCCAAUGCUUCAGAUCGGGGGGUAGAAAACAAUCAAGGCCAAUGGACAGCGAAGCAGGAUGAAGUCGAGAGGGAGUUCUGCAAUUAGUUCCAAAGCUUAUUGACAUCAUCCAGCCCAACCUACAACCAAAUUUAAGCUGCCUUAGAGAAACUUCCAGCAAAGGUCACCCCAGAGAUAAACGCCUAUCUGGAAGAGCCUUUCAGUCUUGAGGAGAUUGUCAAAUCUCUAUCUCAGAUGCCGCCCACAAAAGCUCCAGGCCCUGAUGGACUUCCUGCUGCUUUUUUCCAAAAGCACUGGAAAUCAGUUCAUAAAGGAGUGGAAGAGACUUGUUUAUACAUCCUUAAUGAGCAAGGUAACCUCGCUCCUCUAAAUCAUACUUUCAUUGCUCUUAUUCCUAAGACAAACAAGCCAAGGAAAGUCUCUGAGUUUAGGCUAAUCAAUCUCUGCAAUGUAGUGUACAGAAUAGUUGCCAAAGUUAUUGCAAAUAGACUGAAACCAAUACUCUCCCAAAUUAUCUUCCCCACCCAGAAUGCCUUUAUUCCAAAUCGGAUAAUUACGGACAAUGUGAUAAUUGGCUAUGAAUGCAUGCAUAAGAUCAGAAGCAGUAGAGGGAAAAGAAAGGGUUUGGUAGCUCUAAAGUUGGAUAUGAGUAAGGCAUACGAUAGGAUUGAGUGGCCUUUUCUGAAGCUCACAAUGGCUAAGCUCGGCUUCUCUCAAAAGUGGGCAAAGUUGAUAAUGAACUACAUACAACAACAGCCACCUUCUCAGUCUUAAUCAACGGCAGUCCCAAAGGUUUUAUCCAACCUGAGAGAGGUCUGAGAUAGGGCUGUCCCCUUUCCUAUUAUUUAUUUAUUUUGUGUGCUGAGGUUUUCUCAAAUUUAUUGCUCCAAGCAGAGAAAAAUCAGCUGAUCAGGGGCUUGAGGUUUGCCAAAGAAGUCACAAUUUCUCACAUACUGUUUGCAUAUGAUAGCCUUAUCUUCUCAAGGGCUACAAAAUCCGAUUGCAGGCACUUGAAGAGAAUAUUUGACUGUUAUGCUAAAGCCUCUGGGCAGAUCUUUAAUUUUGAAAAGUCAUCUAUGGUGUUUAGUGGCAAAGUGCCGAACAACCAGAUUACAGCAAUCAAAGAUAUCCUCAACUUAAAGGUAGUCUUCAGCCAUGAAAAAUAUCUCGGCCUCCUAUCCAUGAUAGGCAGAAAGAAAACCAAUUUUUUCAAGGACAUCAAGCUGAAAAUCCUGAGUAAAAUUUCAAGCUGGUAUCACAAGAUGUUCUCAAGUGGUGGGAAUGAAACUCUUAUUAAAGCGGUAGCCCAAGCAGUCCCAGCCUAUGCCAUGAGCACAUUUAAGCUUCCAAAGAGCUUAUGUGAAGACAUACAAAGAGCCAUUGCAAAGUUCUGGUGGGGAUCUAAGGAGGAAAAACAAGGCAUCCAUUAGGCAAAAUAGAGCAGACUCAGCCGUGCAAAGAGUAGAGGGGGUAUGGGAUUUAGAGAUCUCUUCAGCUUUAAUCAAGCUUUGGUGGCCAAACAAGGCUAGAGGUUGAUGCAGUAUCCUAACUCUCUGGUUUCCAAAGUGCUGCAGGCACGAUAUUACAAAAACUCCACCUUCUUAAAUGCAAGCAUAUGAUCCAACCCAUCUUAUAUAUGGAGGAGUAUCAUAUGGGGGCGGCAAAUCAUCAAGGAAUGAGCUAGAUGGAGAAUAGGUAAUGGUAAAAAUAUUCGGAUUUACAAGAUUGCUGGAUUCCAAGACCAACCUCUUUCAAGCCGAUAUCUCUACCAAGCUUGUCUACAGAUGCUAUCGUGGCAGACUUGAUAAACGCAGAAAACCAAUGGGAUGUGGAAACAUUAAACCAGCACUUCAUGCCAUCAGAUGCCGAUUUGAUCUUGAAGAUCCAUUUGCCACAUAGGCAAUCCGAAGAUGAAUUAAUGUGGCAUUUUGAUAAGAAAUGAGAUUAUUCAGUGAAAAACGGCUACCAAAUAGCUUUAAAAAUAAAUCUUCCAGAAGAGCCUGGCUGCUCAGGAAGCAAUUCAAACCAAUGGAAAGGAAUAUGGUCUCUUGCUUUGUCCGAAAAGAUUAAAAUUUUCUUAUGGAGAGCUUCAAUAACCUGCUGCCAACAGCUGAGAAUUUGUGGAGGAGAAAAAUCAUUCAAGAUCCAAUUUUUCAAAGGUGCAGAAGGUCCAUUGAAUCAAUAAGUCAUGCGCUCCUAAUCUGUAAAUCAGCAAAGAAAAUCUGGAACCAUGCCCCUUUUCCAGUGAACAAACAUGAAUUUUAUUCCCAGGACAUCUUCACUAUCAUCCAGGACAUGAGCAUCAGAUUUAGGAAGGCUGAUAUAGAGCUAAUGGCAGCAUACUUGUGGGUUUCAUGGUAUGCAAGAAACAAGUUCUUGUUCGAUGGGAAGAACCUGAAGCCAAGCAUCUUAACAGCUAAGGCAUAAUCAACAGUGGAAGCAUACCAGAGGGUAAGGAAGAUAGGGCUUUCUCAUAUUAGCAAUACCAUCAACAAGAAGCAGGAAAGAUAGAUCCCCAUCCAGACAACUCUUUCAAAGUCAACGUUGAUGCAGCCAUAAACAGCAAGAACCAAACAGUGGGCAUAGGUGCAGUUAUCAGGGAUUCAAAAGGCAUUGUGAUAGUAGCAGGCAUCCAGUAGACCACGCUAAAAGGAGAAGUCAGCUUUGCCAAAGCAGAGGCUAUGAGGUGGGGUUUGCAGAUUGCAAAGGAAGCAGCCUUAUCGAAUCUAAUAGUUGAGACAGAUUGUCAAGAGGUGGCUGAGUUGGUUAACAACACAAAGGGCAGCAAAACUGAAAUUUUCUGGAUUGUGUCUGAUAUCCAAGACCAGAGAAAGUAUUUCCAGAAGACUACAGUGCAAUAUGUUCCUAGAUAUUGUAAUGCUUAUGCCCAUUCCUUAGCAAAAUUUGCGUUAGGAAGAAAAACAUCUGCGAUCUAGUUUUAUCCAUUACCAGCAGAGAUAAUGAAUGUAUUUGACAGUGUUGUUUGAAGUAAUGAAAGUCUUUACUUUCUUUUAAAAAAAAAAACUACUAUCAUUGAGCAAACUAUUGAGCAUACAACUUUCAUUGAGUUUUAAAUUCUUAUAUUCAUCUCAUUUACUAACAUUUUAAGAUUUCAUUUGUAAUCGAACACAAUGUGUGAGAGGGAUUUAUUUGUAAUCCCUUUUGUAAAAUUAAGUUGAGAGGUUAUAAGUAUUGGGAUACACUUGGGUUAAGAAAUUGGGGAUAAUCUCUUGUUGUAAAGGUCUAUUGGUAUCUUGGAAGUCAAUUGUAAAAAGUUAUUGAAGCCUUGGAGGCUUACUUAGUGAAAUCUUCAAGUCCGAUGAGCUUAGAGGCAUGGACAUAGGCACGGGUGGCCAAACCAAGUAAAAAUCACGUGUUUGCUCUCUCUUACCCUAUUUCCUUAUUUUUUAUUACACAUUAAUUUGUUUAUUUCAAAUUUGAUUGCCUUGUUUAAAUUGCAUUAAGUUUCUUAGUUGCUUAAAUUUUUUAGAAACUCAAUUCACCAUCCCUUUUGGGUUGUCUAGUUAGUAUUUCACCAUUGAUUAUCGUCUUCCGGGCAAUUGCUCCUAUGAUCGUGUGGUUGCACCAUAAUGAUAAGCGAACUUGCUUUGAUACUAAUUAAAGAUGCGGAAAUGUUUAAAUUUGAUUGAUAGAAGAAACAAAAGUUUCUAAAUGAUAAAAUUUAAAUGUCUGAAAUUAAUAAAAUUAGGGUUUUGGGCCCCUUUAUAUAAUAAUCCAAAAAAUUUUGAAUUUACCAAAUAGGUAAAUCUAAAAAAUUAUUUUAUAAUAAAAUUCUCCUAAUCUGAAUAAAAAAAUCUAAAACAAAUGGUGCCCAAAUCUAAGAUCUUAAAAAAAGAUAAAAAUCAUAAAAGAAAUAGAAAAAAAAAUAAGAAAAUAUCUUAAAACUAAAAAAACGACAAGGAAAGAAAUGGAUUUUUAGGCUCGAACACUGCCCAUGCAACAAUUCUAGUUUUGAUUCGUCUCGUCACAAGCUUCAAAAUAAUAUAUAAUAGGCCUAAUAUCUCAUUCGUCCUAUGCAUCCAUCCUACAUCAUAACAGCUUGAAGACUUGGGAGGGCCAACUUAAUUCAAAGUCAACACUAGCUUAUUACCUUGCGGGAUUUUUAAUUGUGAGGGGAAAAAACUGUUGAAAGAUGUUGGGUUUAAAGUUUAUAAAACUUUAAUUAUUUCAUAAAAUUGUUUUAUUUUUUAUUCGUCAUCACGUUGGGAUUAUCCCCAAUGGCCAAUUUUAUUUUCAUUUUUUUAUAGGUCAAUAAAUGCUACUAGAAAUUGAUUAUUACCUCUCUUUUUCUCAUUUAUUGAUGACUAUGAAGAAUUAGAUAAAACUCAUAAAUGACCUAAUAUAUAUAAUGAAUAUUUAGAUUUUGUUUCAUAUCCAUACGAUAUCUGGGAGUAUGACAUAGUCUCCAAAAAUAGCCAAAUAUUUCACAUCUAUCACAAGUGCUUUCUUGAAUAUUAUCUUGUGGCAGGUGUUUCAUCCUCAAUUUUUUUCCUUUUCUAUGGUUCUUAUAACCACCGUGAGGUCGACAAUAAUUUUUUUUUUCAUGACCUCAAUCUUAAUAAUAGCCAUGACCACAACCAUGACUACAUCUACGGGCAUAGUUAUGCCCACGACCAUGCCCAUUUUCAUCAUGAUCACAUAGACAACAUUUGCUCCAAGAACUUGUUUUGUAUCAAUAGGAUGGGCUUAAUAAUUGAAUAUUCUUUUCUACCAAAAGAAAGCAUGCAAUCAAAUCAGAAUAUUUUGUAUACCGACGAGCUCUAUAUUGUUGUUAUAGAACUGUAUUGGAAGGAUGAAAUUUUAUAAUUUUUUUUCAACAUAUCCCCAUCAGUAAUAUUUUCCCCACAUAGUUUUAAUUAUUUAGUAAUUUUGUACAAUGUAGAAUUAUAUGUGUUGGAGAAAAAUCAGUUUUUUAAAUUUUUAUAAAACAUUUUAAGAUCGCUCUCAUACAAUAUAUAAGAAUUUGUAAUCUAGAAAUCGUACCUUGAAAAUCCGAUUUGGCUUUUUCCACUGAAUUGAUUUAGGCUCCCAGAUCACGAUCCGUCACCACCACUCCUGUUAGAUCACGAUCCGUCACCACCACGCUUGUUAGAUCACGAACUGUUACCAAUGAUCUUCCAGGUUAUGAUUCAGGUUUGAUCUGCACUUGACGUGUGGGUGCCUUUAUCACUACCAAAGCAGCUAGCACGAGAAAAUUUUUCUCUCAACAAUAGAGAGAAAAAUCUUUUUCUCUGAUCUGUAUAAAGUAGCUGCUCCCCUUUUCUUUAGAGAAAAUAAACCUUUUUAUAUCUCCCUUUAGUGAAAACCCUAGACUCCAAAUAAUGAAAAUCAAAACUCACGUUACUUGCUUUUUCUAUAGGGGAUCCACCUUGUAAAAUAACAUAAGGCCCCUUACACACAAGCUAAUAAAAUAGAGCCUCCCACUAAAUGAUAUAUUUAGGUUUUUGACCCAAAUAACCAGUUAUCUUUUUUAUUAAUCCAGUAGUGGUGCAGUCAAUUAAAUGAGCUAACCAGGGGAUCAUUUGGGAACAUACAAUAGUGGCUAUAACAAUUAAGCAUGUAAUUAAAAUAGCCUAAUUUUUUAAUUCCAAAUCUACUCCACUAAAAGAUUGGAAUUGACCUCCAUAAUUGUAUACUCGAAUAAUAAUUCGUCCCAAGCCACAUUGAUUUCUUUACUGCACAAUCCUUUGUACCACAUCAUUAAUUAAAUCGAUAUCUCAACUGUCCAAUCAAUUUAAUUACAUCUUGUUCCUUAAUACUUACUGGUUUUCUCUAAUGAUCAUUUUCAACAUACUAAAUAUGUUGACACACUCUGGCUAGAGAAUUCUAUGAUCAAGUACCGAAAACCCAUCAAGAGAUAUGUUGUACAAAUUAUUGUUAAUUCAUAACUCCAAUCCUCAUAAUUGCUCCCACCAAGAUACCGGGUAAUCUUGACCACAAGUAUUUGUCGUGCCCAUUGGUAACUCAAAUGGAAUAACAAUUACAAUCAUGAAAUCGUAAUUAACUCAAGAUUAAGAUUACAGUAAAAUCAAUGCCUAUGAGAUUUAAUAAGUAUGACAGUUAUUACAAAGUUAAUUAAAUCUCAUAUGUGAUCAUGUUCAAUGUAGGCGUACUACAUCAAUAAAUUCAUACAUGAUUAAGACAAAUCAUUCAAUGAAUUCAUUACAGUCUAUACCUAAAUAAAGUGCCCAACUUUAUUUAUCAACUGCGAACUAAAUUUAUUUAAUCAUAAGAUAACUUGUAUUUAUGUCUUCUGUGAAUCCACAUAGUGAUCACAUAAAUACAUAUACUAUGAUUAAAUAGAUUUUAAUCAAAAUAUUAAUUUAAUUAAGAUAUUUGAAUAAAAUACCUCAUUUAUUUUAUUAAUUAGAAAAAUUAUUUAUUACAAUUAAAUAAACACAUAUGUUUUUAAAGAGCACAUUUUCCCAACAAUCUCCUAAUAGCUCUCAAAGCAUAUUUGGCAUCUCACGCAUGCCCAUGGAUUCUAAGUGCAAGUUAAAAGGUUUCCCAGGUAUGGCCUUAGUAAAAGGAUUUGCCAAGUUUUGCUCUGACGCAAUCUGAGUAACCUCCACAUCACCUCUCUGCACUAUAUCCCUUAUAAGAUGAUACUUCCUCUCAAUAUGUUUUGUUUCUUGUGGUUCCUUGGUUCCUUAGAUUGAGCUACUGUACCACUAUUAUCGCAAAGUAGUUUAAGGGGUGCAGUUAUAACAGGUACCACCUCAAGAUCUUGUAGGAACUUGCGGAGCCAUACAACUUCUUUUGCAGCUUCGGAUGCAGCCAUAUAUUCAGCUUCAGUUGUGGGGUCUGCGAUACAAGAUUGUUUCACACUCCUCCAACUAAUAGCUCCACUUCCCAAUGUAAACACAUAGCCGGAAGUUGAUUUUCUGGAAUCCUUAUCUGACAUAAAGUCAGAAUCAGUAUAACCCAUUGGAAUGAGUUCAUCACCAGAAUACACAAGCAUAUAAUUUUUAAUUCUUUUCAGAUACUUCAUUAUAUGCUUGACCGCAGACCAGUGUUUAGGUCCAGGAUUAGAUUGAUAUCUACUAACCAUCCUUAUUGCAAAACAAAUGUCUGGCCUAGUGCAAAGCAUGGCAUACAUGAGACUUCCCACAGCUUCUGCAUAGGGAGCUUGUCUCAUUUUCUCUAUCUCUUCAGAUGUUUUAGGUGAUUAAUCCUUAGAGAAUGUAAUUCCAUGUCUGAAUGGUAAUAAACCAGUCUUGGAAUUUUCCAUGCUAAAUCUAGCUAAUAUCUUAUCGAUAUAGACCGCUUGAGACAAGGCUAAAGUUUUAUUCUUCCGGUCUCGUACUAACUUGAUAUCAAGAAUAUAACUUGCCUCUCCUAGGUCUUUCAUAUCAAAUUGUUUUGCUAACCAACUCUUUGUUGUAGUCAAUACUCCUAUAUCAUUUCCAAUUAGGAGAAUAUCGUCUAUAUAAAGAAUUAGGAAGGCUACAUAUUUUUCUUGAAUCUUCUUGUACACACAUGGUUCAUCAAUGUUCUGAAUGAAUCCAAACGAUUUAAUCGCUUGAUCAAAUAUGAUGUUCCAUGACCGGGAUGCUUGCUUCAAUCUAUAAAUGGAUCUCUGCAACUUACAUACCAUGUGUUCUUGGCCUUUUUGUAUAAAUCCAUCUGGUUGCUGCAUAUAGAUGUUUUUUUCAAGAUGCCCGUUAAGAAAGGCAGUCUUGACAUCCAUUUGCCAAAUUUCAUAAUCUAGCACUGCAGCAAUAGAGAGCAGAAUCCUGAUGGAUUUAAGCAUAGCAACCGGAGAAAAAGUUUCCUCAUAAUCGAUUCCCUCUUUCUGAGUAAACCUUUUGGCUACCAAUCUUACUUUAAAUGUUUCCACCCUUCUGUCUACUUCUCUUUUUCUCUUGUAGAUCCACUUGCACCCUAUAGGUUUUACCCCAUUUGGUGCCUCAACAAGUUCCCAGACUUUAUUGGAAUACAUAGAUUCCAUUUCUUGAUUCAUGGCCUUUUUCCAAAAUUCAACAUCUCUAUCUAUUAGAGCUUCAUUGUAACUAGUGAGAUCUUGUACAUGUUCAUAUGAGAUAGCUGUAUAGGUUUCUCCCAAAAGUAUGUAUCUCAUAGGUAACCUAGUUACCCUCCCACUACGACGAGGUUCUAAAAGUGAUGGUUGUUCAGGGAUAAUCCUGUAUUGAUCAUCUGGUUGUUGAUGUUCUUCCUGUUCUGUAACAGGCGUUGAAAGCUGACCAUCAACUUGAUCACCUGACAGUUCUUCAAGUAUUACCUUACUCUUAGGUUUAAAGUUAUUCAUAUAGUCUUCCUCGAGGGAAGUGAAAUGUGUGCUCACGAUCACUUUCCUAUCUUGAUGACUAUAAAAUAAACCUCUCCUUGUUCCUUUGGGAUACCCCACAAACAUACAAAUCUCAGAACGUGAAUCCAUUUUGUCUGCCUUUGGUUUCAGUACAUGUGCUGGUGAUCCCUAAAUACGAACAUGUCGUAAACUUAGUUUGCGACCUGACCAUAAUUCUAUUAGGGUUUUAGGCACUAACUUAGAUGGAACUAAGUUCAAGAGGUAAACUGCAGUUUCUAGUGCUAGUCCCCAAAAAGAGAUUGGUAAUAACGAAUAACUAAGCAUAGAUCUCACCAUAUCCAAAAGAGUUCUAUUUCUUCUUUCAACUACCCCAUUUUGUUGUGGUGUUCCCGGGGCAAUCAACUGAGAUAUAAUCUCAUUUUCAACCAGAUACUCUUUGAAAUCUCCUGAGAGAAAUUCACCACCUCGAUCAAAUCGAAGUUUCUUUAUGUUCUUAUCUAAUUGCUUUUCUGUCUCAGCCUUAUACUCUUUGAAUUUCUCAAGAGCUUCAGACUUAUGAUGCAUCAGAUAAACAUAAUCGUAUCUCGAGUAAUCAUCAGUGAAAGUGAUGAAAUACUCAUAACCUCCUCGAACUUGUACAUUGAUUGGUCCAUAUACAUCUGUAUGAACUAAGUCAAGUGGUACUGUUGCACGUACUCCUUUGGCCGAGAAUGGCCUUUUGGUCAUUUUCCCUUCUAAAUAGGAUUCACAGAGUGGAAAUGAUUCAUUUUCUAAUGGACCCAAAAUCCCAUCUUUGAUCAUUCUCUGUAUCCUAUUUUGGUUUAUAUGACCCAAACGUAAAUGCCAGAGGUAACAUUGGUUGGAAGAAAUAUUUAUUUUCUUAGAUAAAUGUGUAUGCUCAUCAUUAUUUAUCACUGUGUCGUGCAUAGAAUGGAUCAUUGGACUUAAAUGAUAUAAAUUAUCUUCCAAUGUACCAGAACAAAUAAGUCUUUUAUUAUAAAAAAUAAAAACAGAGGAUCCAAAAUUUACAGUGUACCAUUGCUUUGACAAACAAGCUACUGAAAUUAAAUUCUUCUUUAUGUCUGGAACAUAAAGAAAAUUAUUCAAAAUUAAAGUCUCAUUAUUAAAAGAUAAUAAAACAGAUCCGGUCUUCACUGCUGACACGAACUAUCUUGUCCCUAACUGCAGCUUGACGCUUCCUUCACUUAUUUUCCUGGUUUCCUGAAACCAAUAAAGUGAAUUACAAAUAUGAUUAGUUGCUCCUGAAUCCAACACCCAAGUGUCAAUAGGAUUCUGAACUAAACAUGCCUCAAUUACAAAAAGAUUUCCCAUACCUGAUUUCACAAUCGUAGGGCAAUCCUUUUUCCAGUGACCUUUCUGUCCACACUUGAAGCAUUUGCCUUUUGGAAUUGACCUCCAUAAUUGUAUGCUCGAAUAAUAAUUCGUCCCAAGCCAUAUUGAUUUCUUUACUGCACAAUCAUUUGUACCACAUCAUUAAUUAAAUCGCUAUCUCAACUGUCCAAUCAAUUUAAUUACAUUUUGUUCCUUAAUACUUACUGGUUUUCUCUAAUGAUCAUUUUCAACAUACUAAAUAUGUUGCACACUCUGGCCAGAGAAUUCUAUGGUCAAGUGCCGAAAGUCCAUCAAUAGAUGUGUUGUACAAAUUCUAUAUUGUUAAUCCAUAACUCCAAUACUCAUAAUUGCUCCCACCAAGAUACCGGGUAAUCUUGACCACAAGUAUGUGUCGUGCCCAUUGGUAACUCAAAUGGAAUAACAAUUACAAUCAUGAAAUCAUAAUUAACUCAAGAUUAAGAUUACAGUAAAAUUAAUGCCUAUGAGAUUUAAUAAGUCUGACAGUUAUUACAAAGUUAAUUAAAUCUCAUAUGUGAUCCUAUUCAAUGUAGUCGUACUACAUCAAUAAAUUCAUACAUGAUUAAGACAAAUCAUUCACUGAAUUCAUUACAGUCUAUACCUAAAUAAAGUGCCCAACUUGAUUUAUCAACUGCGAGCUAAAUUUAUUUAAUCAUAAGAUAACUUGUAUUUAUGUCUUCUGUGAAUCCACAUGGUGAUCACAUAAAUACAUAUAAUAUGAUUAAAUGGAUUUUAGUCAAAAUAUUAAUUCAAUUAAGAUAUUUGAAUAAAAUACCUCAUUUAUUUUAUUAAUUAGAAAAAUUAUUUAUUACAAUUAAAUAAACACAUAUGCUUUUAAAGAGCACAUUUUCCCAACAAUAUGUUGGAUCAUAAACUUGAUCCAUACAACUUUGAAACGCAAAUGACUCUUGAUCUAGUUCAUGCAAGCUUCUUUGGGUAGUUAAGAUUUGGGGUGUUAAAUGUGGUAAUAUGGGAAGUAGAAUUUGUGGUGUUGAGUAUGUUGUUAGGUUUGGUUUGUGGUUAUGAUUUAUGUGGUAGUUAAGUCAACGUAUGGUUGUGAUUAAAUUGUAACAAGUAUAAAUAUCUACUCUCUCAGUUGGUUUAAGUAACAAGAAGUAGUAAAGCUUAUUAAUUGCAAAAGAGUCGUAAUUAAGGAGUUAUAUUGAGUUAAUAAGAAAAGAGUGUUUUGAGUGUUUGAUUAUUCAAAUUCUCUACUAUUAUGUUCAUGAACUGACUUAAAAUCCUACAACUUAAGGGCAUUCCAUUCAUUACAAGUAUUUGGAAGAAUUACUAACCUUAAAUUACUAUAUCUCUCAUCAAGCUAUUUCAUAUGACAUAUAUGUCCUUUAUAGGAAGAUAUCUUGUUUUGAGUGCUAGAUGGAGAUGGUGACAUUGAUAAAUCGUGGUCUUCUCUUGAUCUUGAAGAGAUGAGUCAUUAUUAUUUUUCAUUGUAUCACUAAGCAUCAAGAUAAAUUUCAGCAACAUCAAGUAUUUUUGGAAAUCCUUCUUGUUCUUGUUUUUUUAUUUCUUUUUUUUGUCAAGAUGACCAUUUUUUCCCCGAAUGUUAUCGAGGGCAAAUAAAGCAUAUAUGCUUAACAUUGAAUAUAUUUUUAUAAAUAAAAGCUAACACGAACGUUAUGCCAAAGAAUCUGUUUAUAGGUAAACUAGGCCCAUUUAGGAUAGUAGCGUUGCCGAACAAGGCUUUGAUUUGAUUACUGUAAGUAUAUACUAAAUAUUUUUAAUAGAAUUUUUGGUUGGGCUGAAUGGUUGAGUAAAAUAAUUCAAAUGGUUUAAGUAACGAUUUUUUUAAUAUUUUAAAGAGUGCACAUGUUUUUUUUUUUGAAAAGAAACUUCCAUUAAAUCGAAGAAGAGAAUAAAUACAUCAAUUGUGAAGGGUAAGAACCCAUCCAAACAACAUUUUCACAUUUCUCUAAUGCUAACUUAGAUAGAGAAUGGGCAAUGGCAUUACAAGAUCUAUGAGUAUAUUUAAUGCUAACUAGCUCAAAAUUCCUCAUUAAGUUUUGAAUCUUCAAAAUUAUCCAAAAGAUCUCAGAAUUGCCGCCUUGCUUGUUGUUAACUAACUUGACUACGCUUUGAGCGUCUGAUUCAACAAUUAAAGCCUUUGCACUUGCAUUCCUAGCAAUCUGUAAUCCCUAUUCCAAGGCUUCUGCUUCAGCAAAGGAAACAUCUCCAUGAAAUUUCCAAAUCUUGAUUGCAGCUGCUAUGACAUUCCCCCGAUCAUCUCGGAUUAUAGCUCCGAGCCCUGCAAGGUGCUUUUCUGAGUUUGUAGCAGCAUCCACAUUGACUUUAACAAAUCCACUUCGGGGGGGAUUCCAAAUUCACUAAGCCUGAACCUACUGAAUUUCAUUUUGAGCUUGCUCUGGUUUUUGAACUCUUUUGUAAGCCUCCAUUACUGCUUCAGCUUUAGCAACCAGAGCCUGGGGGUAAAGAGUGCACAUGUUAAAAUUUAAUAGAUUAGUGUACAAAAUAAUAGAAAAUGGAACUAUCGUACUCUUACUCCGAAACUGCAAUUAGAGUCAACAUUCCAGUAAUUUCUUUACACAGUACUAUAUUACAACAAGCAAUAAUAGAGCAAUAAUAGAGUAAUAAUAUAGUUACAAAUUCUUGUAUAAAUAUUUUUGUAUACAAAUUGAUGUAGCAUGAUUUAAUUGGUUGGAUUAAAUAUCUAUUAGUUUGAAUGAUUUGUUUUUAUUAUUUUCUAUUUUCACUUAACCAAUGAGUUAAUGUCAAAUUAAUUUAUGCAAAAUAAGUUUGUGUAAGAGUUUAUAACUAUAUCAACGCUCACAAUAAUAUUGCUAGAGGAGUUGACUAUUACUUUUCCCUGGAGGCAUAAUAAGUUUACAGCCAUAGGUUGUGACAAUUACGCAAUUAACCUGGAGAAUGUUAAUGAUUCAACUGUGCCUAUGUUUGCACUUGGGAUCCCACUCAGAAAAGUGGUUGCUACGAUUUCCUGUGCUCUAUUCCUCCAAGUAUUAGUAAAUUUUUCAAUGCAAAAUAUGAAUUUCUAUGAAGAAUCCGUUGGCAUUUCACAGAAGCCCAAUAACAAAUACAUCCUCAAAAUAUCCAUCAAAGAUAUUUCAACAAGCUAGUCAAGUAAUGGGACAGGGAAUGGCUCUGUUCCUCAGAAUGAAUUGACGUCCUGUCCAGUGUCCCCCGUUGGCUUCUCAUCACAGAGAUGAAAAUUGAAAUUAGGCCAAUUAGAUUAAAGGCAAGACGGAAUGGAAAUAUUGAACCGUUAAUUAUUAUAGCCAUGACCCCUCUAAUUAAUGGCCCUUUGCCUUUCAAUAUUAUUGUAGGUAUUUGCAAGGAAACCUCCUCUAUCUUUCUUCCAAUUAAGACUUCUUGUGUCCAAUUACUGUCGAUUCUUUUUGAACGUGUAAAGGAUAGCAUCUUGAAGACUUGAGAGGGCCAGCGUUUAUUCAAAGUCAAGUACAGGGACAGGAAAUGGCCCUGUUCCUGAAGUAUGAACUGACGUCCCGUCCGGUGUCCCCUUGCCUACUCAUCAUACAAACAAAAAUUGAAAUUAGGCCAUUUAGAAUAAAGAUAAGACGGAAUGGAAAUAUGGGAUCGUUAAUUAUUAUAGCUAUGACCCAUCUAAUUUGCAAAUGGUUCUUUCCCUUUCAAUAUUAUCGUACGUAUUUGCAAGGAAACCUCCUCUCCCUUUCUUCCAAUUAAGACUUCUUCUGUCCAAUUACUGUCAAUUCUUUUUGAACGUGUAGAGAGGAUAAUAACUUGAAGACUUGAGGGCGCCGGCGUUUAUUCAAAGUCAAGACUUAAUUAGCCUGCAGGACUCUUGAUGGUGAGGGGAAGAGAAAAAGAUGAAAGGCGCUGGGUAUAAGACAUAUAAAACUUCAAUUACUUCAUAAAAUUGUUUUAUUUUUCAUUCGUCGUCACGUUGGGGAUUACCGCAAAUGACCCAUUUUAUUUUCAUCUCUAUGUAGGUCAGUAGGGUCACUGGAAAUCAACUGUUGUCUCUUUUUUCUCACUUACUGAGGAAUUUGGACAAUUAAACAAAACACAUCAAUUACCUCAAAUAUAUGAUGAAUAUCUAGAUUUUUUCGAAUCCACAUGAAGUGUGGAAAUACGACAUUCUCUCCAAAAAUAACCAGAUAUUUCACAUCUAUUACAAAUAUUUUCUUGAAUAUUAUGUUGGCCAGAUAUUUUCUCCUCAUUUUUCUCUUUUCCAUCGAUAAUAAUUUUUUUCAUAACCUCAACCUUGAUAAAAGCCACGACCAUGGUUACAACUAUGUCCACAGUCAAUAAUAAUCUUGCUGAGAAAUUAUUUCUAAUUAAUUUUUUUGUGGUGCUUUUAAUGACACAACAUAAUAACCUUUUUUUAUCUUUAUUUUGUUCCCAAUAAAUCUCAAAACUCACAAAUUUGCACCAUUAUACAUAUGAUAUCUUUUUUCUUCCGUUUAUUAGCUUUAUAGAAUUUUGAUAUAAUACGUGCGUCGCACUCAUAACAUGUACGGCCUGGCGCAUUAGAUUAUUUUUCUAACUUUAUAUAAGUAAAGUAUCUCUCUUAGCGUACAAAUAUAAUUUGAUGCGACGUGGCGCACUGGUCGCACUAGAUGAGUGCUCUAACUUUGUUUAAGUAAAAGCGUCUCCCUUAUUGUGCAAGCAUAAUUUGUAGUGGUUCGGCCCCAAAAUGGCAAAAUUUAUCACUCCAUCGCCUCAAAUUUUAAAAUCCGCAACUAUUGGGCUGUGUGGCGGGCUCGCCAAAGUCACAACCCAACCUUUAUCAUGGGCCCUUUCCAAAGCUAACUUGCACUCUCCAUAUUCUUCCUCUAUUAAAUAAAACCGAAUAUGAUGCAUAUUAACAGACUCUCACCAUUCACGUAUUUUAUAAUGAAUCUCGCACCAAUUCUAAGUUUUCAUUUUUUUCCUACAAAGAAGAAACUUUGGAGUCUUAGGCCCCGUUUGGUACUGUUUUGCAAGUUAUGUUUUCGUUUUCAUUUUUAUAAUACACACAUAAAUCAUGUUUGGUGGAUUUAUUUCACAAAAUAAAUUACAAAACACAAAAUCCGGAUUCAAUAUUAUAACUAUACAACUGAAAACAAGUUAAACAUGUUCUCCAAAUUUUACAAACUAAAUCCAAAAAUGAAUUAAAAAACAACAAAAAAAUCGUGACCCUGCAGCCCUCACUUUUCUCUUCACUGCAGCCCUCACUCUCAAUCCAGUUCACUGCAGCUCCCUCUUUCCCCUCAAUUUUCUCAAUCUAGUUGCAGCAAAUCUCUCUCUUGGUCGCUCUUGGUGUGCUAGCCACUGCCGCAGCUCUUUCUCCGCCGUAACCGCUGCUGCUCCGACUCCGUCCAGCUGCUGCUACUUCGUCUUUGCUCUCUCGGAUCUGCACUUGCUCUCUUGGUUCUUUGCUCUCUCGGAUCUUCGUCUACUGCUACUUCGUUGUUGCUCACUCGGAUCUGCACUUGCCCAACCAUUGUUGCUCUCCCGGAUCUGUCACUUGCUGGUGGGCAGUUGAAGCAUGUUAUCGGAAGGCCAAUAUUUAAAACUGAUCAGAAAGAAGAUUGCAUUUCAAUGGCAGUUCUGUAUUCACCUCCAAGCAUCACUAGCAGCAGCAGCAGCAGCAUCACCUACAUUCCUGAGAAGGGAAAAACUAUUUCCCUUGGCCAACAAUUUAUGAUUGCAAUAUUUUUAACUCUUUUGUAUCACUUUUUGGUUUAUGUUUACAAAAAAUUCUGAUUCUGUCAAGAUUUUUAUUUUUUAUUUUUUCCUUUCAAUUGAUGAAAAUCACACACAUUCACGUCCAUCAAUCAUGAUCCACAUUGUCUAUUGCCCUUUUUUUUUUAAAAAAAAAGUAAAGCUUUCAUUAUCAUUUAGAAUAAAUUUGUAAACAUACUUUGCUCAUUAUAAAAUUAUUGUUAUUAAAUAAUUUAUUUUUUCAUUGUUUUAAAAUUAUUUUCAUUUUAUCAAUAGAAUUGAUUAUAUCAAAUAUUAGGAUUAAAAUAUAGUUAGGGUCCAUAAUUAAUAAAGACAUUUUAGUGGGGAUAAUAUAAGGAUCUUAAAGGAGUGUGAAAAGCAUUACUCUAAUUUUUUUAAAAGAAUAUAUACAGUAUAUGAAUAGGCAUAUAAAAUUAAAGCCAACACCAAAUACACAAUUAAAGCCCAAAUUAAAAAAAAAUGAAAAGACUCAAAUUCUCCACCAAUCCGCCUAAAAAGAUAAGAAAAUAAGGUCUUAAUCAAAAACACUACACUAGCAUACCAAAUAUCUGGGUGGGUAUUUCCGUGGUAAAUGAUUCCCAAAUCUUCAAGUUGUAAGCUGUCCGCAUUGAGUAACAAAUAACCAAGUUCAAAAAGCAAGUUCAGGCUUUUAGUUAUCAAUAUUAAUGCAAAAAGUCAUAGCAAUGCAACCUUUAUGCUGAUUACAUUACUGAAAUUGAGUGGGGGAUUAAUAGCAUGUACUGAAAAUUGUAUGUUAUAAUAUUGAAUCCGGAUUUUGUGUUUAUUAGCUAAAUAAUUAAUGUUAAUUCUUAAAAUUUAUUAUCGUGUAAUUUUUUUAUAUUAAAUUUGGUUAAAUUAUUUUGUUGUAUUUGUGUGUAUUAGGUAAAUAAUUAUUUUAUGACUAUAAAUAUAAUGUAAAUGAUUAGUAAAAACUGUUUUUAAAAAAAGCAUUACCAAACGCAUAUUCUCUGUUUUAAUCAUUUUCAACUGUGUCUACCAAACGCAUAUUACUGUUUUCAGUUUUAAAAUAUAGGAUACAGAAAAUGAUACCAGACGCAUAUUUAAAUUCGAAAUACAGUAACUGCAAAACACCAUUUUCAUUUUCGUUUUUAUUCUCAGAAAAUACAAAUUCAAAAACAAUACCAAACAGACCCUUAGUGACUGCCUAUUUUUUUUUCUUAUCUCGAGGAAAAGAAAAAUGCUAUAAUAACCUAUCAAAUUAUCCAUUAAACCUAUUUAUUAAAUAAAUCACCGAUUAAAAUUUAAAAAUUCAAAUUUUUAUCUAAACUUACGUAUUUCAUUUCAUCAAUAAAUAAAAUUGUGGACUUUUGCCUCUAGUGUCUUAUUUGGUAACAAUUUUUGACUCUAGAACCAAACAUGCAGAGUUUGAUGUUCAUUUUAUAAGGUAUAAAGUACUCAAUGGAGAAAUGGAAGUGGUAGAUAUAUACCAACAAAGCAUAAUAAGAUGGGAAACAUGUUGUGCGCAAAAUGCGGAAUCAAACGCACCGAAUAAUCACAGAAAGGACACAAGAAUUAUGUGGUUCAACAAUAUGCCUACGUCCACGGGAGUAAGAGAAAAAAUAAUUGUAUUAUUAACAAUUAUUUGAAUACAAAUUUGAGUAAAGAAACCUCACUUUCCCAGAACCCAAAUACACCCAAUACUCUCACACACACUCUACAAUUGCUCACACUCUCAGAACUCUCAAAAGCUUAGAAACUUAUAAGCUUAACAAAUUUUUAGGAUGCAAAAACCUCUAUGAAUGAAGCUCUAUUUAUAGUUAAGCUUCAUUGCAAAAAGUCUUAAAGUAGUUGGCAAAAGUCCUAUAAUUUGGUGCCGACUUGAAAAACAAAAGAAAUGCAUGUGGGUCACCUUUUCUUUUUCAACCAAUUUGAAUAAACUCACCAAAAAUCUUUGACUUUUUAACAAUUCUCCACCUCGUCAAAGAUUUGUCCAAAUAUGAGUCGACUACCAAUAAACCAUCAUUCUCAAAGUGAUCAUUCAAUAAGGAUCCAGAAUGGCUGUGUCGCUUUGACUGCCUACGUACCCAAAAUUUGGGAUCAAGCCAACCGUAGUUCAAAAUUCCCGAAUGACAUAACUUAAUACAAUCGAAGGAUUUGAAUUAGUUUUAAGCAAUGUUGAAACUUAACUCUAGAAACUACCUUCGUCAACAUAUCUGAUGGAUUAUCUUUGGUAUCGAUCUUUCUCAACAACACAACACCGCUCUCGAUAAUCUCCCUCACAUAAUGAUAUUUCACAUCUAUGUGCUUUGACCGAGCGUGAUAUGUUUGAUUAUUCGCAAGGAAUAUCGCACUUUGAUUAUCGCAGAAGACCGCAAUGUUCUCUUGGAUUAUUCCUAAUUCACCUAACAAGCUUUUCAACCAGAUAGCUUCUUUUACAGCUUCAGUUGCUACCAUAUACUCUGCUUCCGUAGUGGACAGAGCAAUUGUCGAUUGUAAAAUCGACCUCCAGCUAACCGGACCUCCAUCCAAUGUGAAUAAGUAGCCCGUUGUUGAUCUUCGCUUAUCUAGGUCUUCGGCGAAAUCAGAAUCACAAUACCCAACACAUUGUUGACCACAAUCCUUCUUGAACAAUAACCCAACAUCAACUGUCCCAUACAGAUAUCAGAGAAUCCACUUUACCACAAGCCAGUAAUUUUUACCCGAAUUGUGCAUGUAUCUACUAACUAUGCUCACUAAUUGAGAUAUAUCGGGCCUUGUGCAUACCAUAGCAUACAUAAGACUACUCACAACACUAGCAUAUGGAACACGAGCCAUGUAAUCACGCUCUUUUUGAGAUCUAGGAUAUGAAGAAGAGCUUAAUUUGAAAUGAGGAGCUAGAGGUGUACAUACUGGUUUAGUUUUGUCAUCCAUACCGAAUCUUUCUAGCACUUUUUUCAAAUAAGACUUUUAAGUCAACCAUACGCUCCCAUUCUUCUUGUCUCUACGAAUCUCCAUCCCAAGUAUUCUCUGUGCAUCACCCAAGUCUUUCAUCUCGAACUCAAAAGCCAGCUGCUUCUUUAAUCUUUCGAUCUCAUCUCUAUUCUUCGAAGCUAUAAGUAUAUUGUCGACAUAGAGUAACAAAUAGAUGAAAGCUCCAUCUAGUAGUUUUCUGAAGUAAACACAAUGAUCGUGUUCACUUCUGGUGAAUUUCUGCCCUUGUAUAAAUUGAUCAAAUCUUUUGUACCACUGCCUUGGCAAUUGCUUCAGUCCGUACAAAAAUUUAAUCAACUUACACAAAUGAUUCUCCUUUCCAGCAACUCUAAAACCACAAAGCUGAGUCAUAUAGAUUUCCUCCUCCAAAUCUCCAUGUAAGAACGUUGUCUUAACAUCUAAUUGAGCCAACUCUAACUCAUAUUCUGCAAUUAAGGCAAGUAGGAUACGAAUGCACGUAUGUUUUAUAAUUGGAGAGAAAACUUCAUUGUAGUCAAUACAUUCCUUUUGAGCAAAACCUUUUGCAAGGAGCCUUGCCUUGUAUUGAAGAGUUGAUUGAUUUAGAGAUCCUUGCUUCUUGGUGUAGACCCAUUUAUUGCCAAUACCCUUUUUCCCCUUUGGUAACUCCACAAGUUCCCAAGUCUGGUUUUGAUGGAGAGAUUUCAUCUCUUCUUCCACGGCUAACUUCCAUUGAUCACUUUCACUGCUGCAUAAUGCUUCACCGAAAGUGUUGGGGAUGUCAUCAUUAAUAACUGGAAGUGCAUAGGCUACUACCAUAUCUUUAAUAAGCCAUCCAGAUUUUUUUAUCUCUCUUUUUAGCCUCCUUGUUGCUAUAAAAUCAUCGUUUUCUACAUCAUCAAUUGUUUCUUCAUUUUGGGGGACAUCAGAAGAAAUAACCUCUUCUUCAACUCUAAGUGUCACCUCCAUAGUUGAACCAUUCUUUGAUGUAGAACUAACUGGUACAUAUGAAGUUACAUCAAACUCUACCUGCUGCAAUACCUCUUUGGUCUUGUUCUCCACUUGCUGAGAACUUGAAGCUUCAUCAAACGUGACAUCUCUACUACACACAAACUUUUUAUCUUCGAGAUCCCAAAGCUUGAAGCCCUUUACUCCAUCUUUGAAUCCCACAAAGAUAACUUUUCUAGCACGAGGAUCGAAUUUACCAUUUUUGACAUGAUAAUAAGUUGGACACUCGAAUAUACGAAGGGAAUCAUAGUUUUGUGCAUGUUUUCCAGACCACAUUUCCAUAGGAUUUUUACCUCCAAUUACAGCAGAAGGAAACCGGUUUAUUAAGUGACUUGCGUAGCUCACAGCUUCAGCCCAAAACUUUUUAUCUAAACCAGCAUUAGAUAACAUACACUGUACUUUCUCCAGCAAAGUACGAUUCAUACACUCAACCACACCGUUCUGUUGCGGAGUAUGUCUCACCGUGAAAUGUCUUUUAAUACCCUUAUUCUGGCAUACUUGCAAGAAUAGAUCAGAAGUAUAUUCACCCCCAUUAUCAGAUCGUAAUACUUUGAUCUUUCUAUCAGUUUGAGUCUCCACCAAUUUCUUCCAUUUCACAAAAAUCUCUAGAACCUCAUCCUUUGCUCGCAUGGUAUACACCCACACACGUCUAGAGAAAUCAUCAACAAAUGUAACAAAAUAAUAGUUUCCACCAAUUGAUGCAGUCUUGGUUGGUCCCCAUACAUCACUGUGAACAUAUUCAAAGAUCUCACGAGUAUCGUGAUUAGCCGUACCAAACUUGACCCUUAUUUUCUUGCCUACUACACCAUGCUCACAGAAAUUUAAUUUACAGGUUUUGGUACCUUUUAGAAGUUCAUACCUCAUCAGAGUUUUCAAAGACUUCUCUCAAGCAUGUCCUAGUAGAACAUGCCAUAACUUGGUGGUGUCACUGUGGGCCUCAGCAACAUUUGCUUCAUCAGUUGUACCUCCCUUCAAAUAGUACAAAUUGUGACGCCAAACUCCCUGCAGAAUGACUAUAGCCCUAUGUGCAAACUUCAUUGUGCCAUCUUCAAUAGUAACCUUGUAGCCUUUAGCUUCCAACGCACCCACAUAAAUUAGAUUUUUCUUUAAAGCUGGAACAAAUCUAAUCUCUUUAAGUUCUCUAAUCGUUCCAUCAAACAUUUUGAGCCGAAUUGUUCCUAUCCCCAUUGUACGACAAUGUUGAUCAUUCCUCAUCACAACAGCACCGGAUUCCAGAUUACGAAAAUCCGUAAACUAUUCUUUAAUAGGACACAAAUGAUAGGUUGCCCCAGUAUCAAGUAUCCACUCGCUCGAACUAGCCACGUAUGCUGCAGGAGUAAUAAUUAGUGAAUAAUCAAAGUCCUCAUCUUUUCGUGCCAUGUUUGUUGAUGCGGGUUUCUUCCCAUCUCUCUUUUGAGCUUUUGGACAAUUUUUCCUCCAAUGGCUUUUUUCAUGACAAAAGCCACACUCGUCUCGAGCUAUAUUUCUACUUCUCGAUUUAGAUCGAAAAUUCUUUCCACCAUGCUUAUUCUUUUUCUCCAUCGCCUAAUCUCUGCUCACCAAAGCUUCAGACGAUGCAUGUUCAUAAUUUUUAUCAUUAUUUCAAAUCUCUAAGUUAGUCAAUGCUGUGCAAACAUCUUUGAAGAUGAUCACACUUUUCCCAUAUAUCAAGGUAGUCACAAAAUGGCUAUAUUCCUCUGGUAGUGAGUGUAACAAAAUCAUAACCUUGACUUCAUCCUUAAUAUCUUCAUCAAGAUUCUUCAAAUCAGCAAGUAACUCUGGUAGUGUGUGAUGGUGCUAAGUCUUCACUUAGCCAGUCACUCAACAAUAUCUAGCGGAAGCAAAUAAAGUAACAAGCAUGCAAAGAUCCACAAUGGAGGUUUACGUAAGAGACUAAUUGAUGGUAUUCGAAGUCAGCAAAAAUAAAUACAUACUCUAAAUAAAUUGUGUAUAGUGAUUGAGUAGGGUCGUGUCCACAGAGAUUGGUAAUUAUUUAAAUCUUUUUAAAAUGAAAAAUGCAAAAUGGGGGAAUUGUUGACAAUAAUAAAAAUCAAAUUAAAAUAACAAGAAUGCAAAUUAAAAUUGUAAUUCAAAUUGGGAAAAGCUUUGGUUGAAGGAAUUAACUCAGCUUGAUUCGACUACUGAUCAUUGAUUCAAAUAUAAAUCAUUACUAUUAUGAAUAGACCAGUUAUAGCUACUGAGACCCUCUAAUAGCCAAUCUCUCCUUAACUAGUCGAUAACCAAGGUACGACCAUUGGUUAUUUCCCUAAUCAAUAGACAACCCUAGAUACGAUCAUAGGGUUUAAUCAAUUGACAGCCUGAAAAACCAGAGAGACCCAAAUCCUAAUCAACAAACGCAUACGAUGGUUCAUUUAAAUUAGAUUGUUUAUUCUCAUAACACAACGCACUGCUAUGCUAUUUUGUCACAAACAUUAAAAUCUUCAUACGAUGAAUCUUUUAAUUGACAAUAGAUUAAGUUGAUAAUUAAAUAGUGGCCAAUUAUCUAAUUAACAAACAUAAUCAUGACAAUAAUUUAGAGAAUGAACAAAUAUCCAAAAAGUAAUAAAACAAUUAAAGCAUAAGAAAGAUCUCACAGUAAUGAUGAAUCAAAGCUUUAUUAACCUUCAACCAGAAUAAUAGAUUUAGUUCUUCAUAGAGAGAAGAGAAAAAUUUAGAUCUAGAGUUUCUUUUUCUUCCCUCCUCUUGAAAAAUUCUCCUCCCCUUUGUUUUUCAUGUCUCCUUUCUCUUAUAGAGUUUUUCCAAAAAUAAAAUACUAAUAUCUAAAAUAUUAUCUAAAUAUUAAAUUCAAAAUUACAAAAAUAACCAAAAAGGUAAAACACGUUAAAAUAAAAACUGCAGGUCCUUAGUCGACAGCACGCGCCCAUGCCUUAUCAACAAAGUUCUUCUGAAGCUCAUAAUUUCUCUAGGAAAACAAUCAUCUUCAAACAUCAUCUUGUAGCUCAAUUUUAGCACCAAUCAAUAGAAUUGUACCUACAAAAAUAAAACAGAAGUAAAUCACUAUUAUUAAGUGCAAAACAUCGAUAUUAAAGGAAGUAAACAAUGCAAAAUUAGUGCAUAGAUUGCACUCUAACAAAUUCCCCCACACCAAGAUAAUGCUUGUCCUCAAGCAUAUAACUCAAGACUAAUCUCAAAUCUCCACUCAAUUCUCAUCUCAACUCAUCCAAAAACAAUCUUAAGCAAAUAUAUCUUAAGAAUUUAAGUCAAUCAACAUUCGAGAGACAAGGAUUUUAAAGCAUAGGAUCUCAUAAGCUAGUAUAAAAACAUUCAACCACCCAGAAAAUCCAUUCAAAAUUCAAGUGCAACAAGUUUUAAUAGCCCUCUCAUUGACUUCACUCCAUCUCAAAGUGUUUAGGGUAUCAUUUAUGCACUCCAAUCAAAUCAAAGAAUGCUAUUACCGUAAGCUUGCUCAUAUAUCACAUCUCAAUCCACAAAACAAGAAUUAAAUGCAAAAAUUUAAGGGUCUUAAAAAGGUUGUAACGGGGUUAAAUGGGUUGAAUGAAAAAUAAAGGUCUAUGAAAGAAAAAGAGGUCAAAAUGAGAAGAAUGAACUCAUUGAAUGAACCUUAUGAUAUCAAAAUGCUUAUUUCUACUCAAGUCGCCAAGAAUGUAAACACUUUUUUUUUCAUUCAUUUUUUUUUCAGUAAUGGUGAACCAAACAAAAGAAAUGAACCUUGCAUAAUUUAAUUCAAGCAUAAUGCUUGUUGAUCUAAUUGAGAAACUUUAAUUCAAGGUAGCAAGAGCAACAAAAUAUAUACAAAAUAUAUCCAAACAAUGAGUCCAAAAAUCUCCUUAAAUUGAGGCUCAAAAAGAAGGAAAAUGGGUAAGUAGUUGGAGAGAAUUAGAUGGGUAAAAAUAAUAAUAAUAAUAAAACAAGUGAAGAGAAUGCUUAAGGCUCAAACAAAGAUAACAAAUAAAGGUCUUCGGGUGGAGAAAAAGAAGAAAAAUGCGAAAAUAGAAAAAUGGAAAUUGGUUUGCCCUUAUCAUUUUAGUGCAUAAAAUCCCGUAAUGCAGCUUCAACAUGCAUAACAAAGCAAGUUCUAGCAUAAACAAACUAAGAUUGAUAUUCACAUAACAAAAAUAAUUAGAGCAAAGUGGUUGCUCAUAGGCUCAAAUCCUCACAAAGUUGGUAAAUUUGCCAUCAAAUCAUGUACACUCUUCAAAUGAAUCAACCAUCAAUAGUGGUGUAGAAUGAAAAGAAGAUAUGAGUGAUAUAUAAAAGGAAAGGUAAAAAGGAUAAGAAGCGAGAAAGAUAUAUGUAGUAAUAUAAAAAAUAAAAAUAGAUGUAAAUAAUUUGAAAUAGAUGGGAAAAGAGUAGUGAGAAAGAAAAGAAAAUUAAAAAUAAUAUAUGAAGCAUACUAACUCCAAAAUCAUUUAAGGAUGAACAGAGUGAAAAUAAUACUUUCAGACAUCAAUAUUGCAAAAAUCCCUCCCCCACACCAUGAACUCACAUUGUCCUCAAUGUAUGAUAAUCAAAGCUCACAUAAAGAAAUAAAGCGUAAGGAUACAAGAUUAAAGGCAAAACGUCCCUGAAUUGUGAGCUUUGAUCCACAUAACGUAUAUGGGCUUGGCGGAAAUGGUGGGAUAAAUCCCACACUCUCGAAGUAUGCGGCCAAAUUCUGCUCCAUCUUGUUCAGCUUGUGCUCCAUUUUCUCUAACUAAAUGCUCAAAGGUGGUGCAGAUGUAGAAGGAAUAGUUGGUGGGGCAGCAGUUUCGUCGUCAAACUUGUCAUCAGAGGUAGCACCACUCCUAGCAUAAAGCUUCUUUAGAAGUUGAGUGGGUCCUGGUUCAGUAAACUGAAAUCUCCCCUCCUUGAAUUCGACCACACCUGUUUUUUCAAACAAAGACAUAUCCAAAAAUUCCUUUUUGCAAGCAGGAUGUAAAUCAUUAUUGUUAGGAUCAAGCACACAUAAGUUUAUAGCUAACAGAGUAAUGUAUGGACCAAGAAAUAAAGUCCUAUACCUUUUAAGCACACUCUGAAAUUGAUCUGCUAACCAAAAACCUAGAUUAGGCCUCACAUAAUUUAACAUGCACCAGAUAAAAUAAAACUCAGUUUGAGAGAAAACUUCAGAGUAAUCUUUCUUUCAUAAAAAGUUAUAUGCUAAGAACCGAUGCACACAUUUCAAAAUAUGAUCACGUAAGAAAGAGCUCUUUGAUUUACUCGGGUCAUAGGCAUUGUGAUCAAAAGAUAAAUUACGCCAAAGACCAUAAGGCUCAAAAUUUUCUCUAAAAUCACAAGUUGUCCCUAAAGAUGCAUCAUUAGAAGAAUAAUCAUCAUCAAUGAAUCCUAAAGCUAGGUUAAAAUCUGUGAUAGAUUAUGAAAAAUUUCGUCCCAUUAACCUAAACUUUAUAACAUUCGGAGUAUGCAAAGUAAAAUUAUUUGGUAUAUUAAAUUGAAAAGUAGCAUAGAACUCCCUAAUCAACUCAACAUAACCGAAACAAUCAACAUCAACAAAAUUACGCAAACCAAUCUUAUCUAUCAAAGAAUUAAAAUUAUCUUUAACAUUCAAUUAUUCAAGAGUCGGGUAAUGAAUAUACUUAGCUGGAAGUAUUUUUCGCUUGGAAAUAUCUUUGUACUUUUCUUUCUUUUGUUGAGCCGUGAAUGUGAGGCACCCUCCGAGGUUGGAUUUAGCAAGUGGCAAAACACUCAUGCCUUUUCCAUGUUUCGAUCUUUGUCUCACGGCUCGGCGUGAAUUUGAAACUGUGUUCCAUGGGACCGUAGUGGGAGCAGCAGUCUUGGAUUUCUUUGCGACGGGUUUUGUUUUAGACGUUGAUGACUUGGAAGUUGAUGCUUUCCUCUUCGGCAUUGUUACAGUAAUUUCACUCACGGGUUUUGUUUGAAUGCGAAAAGCGGCGGUUCUUUGAACAGAGGAGAGUGAGGCUGUGCGAGUUGCUGGACGCGGCAAGGAUGUGCUGGAAACCGAUUGCAACGCGCUGGAAACACUGGUACAGUUGGUUGCUGGACUGGUUGUGCUGCUGGAGUGAGGAGAUGCGGCUGGUGCUGCGCUGCUGGUUGCUGGAGAUGCGGCUGCUGGAGUGAGGAGACGCGGCUGGGGACGCGAGACGUGGCUACUGACGGGAUGUUGGAUGCGGCUGCUGCUGGGAUGCCAGUCAUACGUUAGGGAUUAAAACCCUGAAAAAAAAACCUUUUUUCCGAUUAAUUUUUCAAAUAAAAUAAAAAAAAACCUUUUUUUUUCGAUUUUUUUGUAUCAAAUAAAAUAAAAAAAUAAAAUAUAUAAAAAAAACCUUUUUUAUUUUUUUAUUAUUGAAACUAAAAACUAAAAGAGACUUGAGACAUAAAAAAAAAUUCCAGAAGUACUUUUUUAAUAAGCAUAUGGGCAGCCCUUAAAACUAUUUUACUUUAAAAUCACAAAACUACUUAUUAGUAAAAACAUGGGCACGCCUAACCAAAAAUUUUCUUCUGGCCAAAAUAAGAAAAAACAUUAUUUAAACAAUCUGAAUCAAAAUUAAAACAAAUGAUAUAACAAAAAUCAAAAUAAAUAAAUCAUUUGGGUUGCCUUCCAAAAAGCGCAUUUGUUUUAUGUCUUUGGCUAGACACAUUCAUGCAUCAAUCUUCAUAAAUUGGACUCUCGAGAGCCACUUCCUCCACAAUAUACACCAAAAAACCUUUAUAAAAAGGUUUUAAGCGAUGUCCAUUAACCUUAAAAACUUUGUCAGAGGUUGGACUCCGAAUCUCAACUGCACCAUGAGGAAAAAUAUUAGUAACAAUAAAAGGUCCUACCCAACAAGAGCGUAAUUUACCAGGAAAAAGUUUAAGCUUAGAAUGAAAAAGAAGAACUUUUUGACCAACAAAGAACUCCUUUCUCAAAAUCAUUCUGUCAUGAAAUGUCUUCGUCUUUUCCUUGUAAAAUCGCGAACUCUCAUACGAUUUGUUUCGAAUCUCCUCCAACUCUUGCAGCUGCAACUUUCUCUGCUUUCCCGCUUCAUCCAUCCGCAUAUUGCAUUGUUUAACCGCCCAGUAUGCUCUGUGCUCAAGCUCUACAGGUAAAUGACAAGGAUUACCAAAUACUAAACGAUAAGGAGACAUACCUAUGAGAGUUUUGUACGUGGUGCGAUACACCCACAAUGCAUCAUCUAAUCGUAAGCUCCAAUCCUUUCGAUUUAGACCAACCGUCUUUUCAAGAAUAGACUUGAUUUCUUUGUUUGAUAUCUCAGCUUGUCCACUUGUUUGUGGAUGAUAGGCGGUAGUCACUCGGUGGGUAACAUGAUAUCUCUUAAACAAAGCCUCCACCACCCGAUUACAGAAAUGAGUGUCUCUAUCACUUAUCACUGCUCUCGGUACACCAAACCUGAGAAAAAUAUUAGACUCGACAAAAUCUACAACUUCAUCAUUGUUAGUCCGGGUGGCCUUAGCCUCUACCCACUUAGAAACGUAAUCCACUGCUAAAAGAAUGUAAGCAUUGCCAAAAGAUGAGAGAAAAGGUCCCAUAAAAUCAAUGCCCCACACAUCGAAUAUUUCACACACAAGAAUAAGGGUAAGUGGCAUUUGAUUCUUAUGACUUAAAUUGCCAGCCUUUUAACAAUUCUCACACGACUUACAAAACAUGUAUGAAUCAUAAAAUAAAGUAGGCCAAAAUAUACCACAUUCUAACACCUUAGAUGCUGUCCUUUUGGGACCAAAAUGACCACCACAUGCAUAUGAGUGACAAAACUGAAGAAUAAAAGUUAUUUCAAACUCAGAUACGCACCUUCUGAUGACUUGGUCAGAGCAAUGUUUCCACAAGUAAGGGUCAUCCCAAACAUAGUACUUAGCAUCGCUUUUAAUCUUAUCUUUUUGAGCCCUCGUCAGAUCACUAGGUAGAGUUCUUGUAACUAAGUAAUUGACAAUGUCAGCGUACCAAGGAACCAUACCUUGAGUUACAAAGAGAUGCUCAUUUGGAAAAUCAUCCUUCAAAGGUGUUACUUCUUCACUCGUGGUCAAUCUACUAAGGUGGUCUGCAACCAAGUUUUCUGCUCCUUUCUUGUCACGGAUCUCCAAGUUGAACUCUUGAAGUAGUAGGAUCUAGCGGACGAGUCUCGGUUUCGCUUCCUUCUUGGCGAGCAAAUAUUUGAGAGCUGCAUGGUCAGAAAAAAUAAUCACUUUAGUGCCCAAUAAAUAUGAACGGAAAUUUUCUAAAGCAAAAACCAUAGCCAAAAUUUCUUUUUCCGUUGUUGCGUAAUAUAUCACAUGAGCAGCUCUUCCAACCAUUUGUCGGAGAACAACACCAACAGCAUAGUUACUGGCGUCGCACAUUAUCUCACAAGGGAGGCUCCAGUCGGGUGGCUGUAUAAUUGGAGCUGAAGUCAAUAACUCCUUGAGCUUAUCAAAUACUACCUUGCAUGCUUCAUUAAAAUCAAACGUCACAUCUUUCUGAAGCAGCUUGCAUAGAGGCUGAGCUAUCUUCGAAAAAUCCUUGAUAAAACGUCGAUAGAAACUUGCGUGACCAAGGAAAAAACGAACUUCCCGCACACAUGUGGGAUAGGGUAAAGAUUUAAUAACAUUUAUCUUACCUUUAUCUAUCUCAAUUCUUCUAGCAGAGACUACAUGACUUAAAAUAAUGCCUUGAUCUACCAUAAAAUGACAUUUUUCAUAAUUCAAGAUAAGGUUUGUUUCAAUGCAUCUUUCAAGCACUUUCUUCAGAUUAUAGAGACAAUCAUCAAAAGAAUCAGCAUAGACAGUAAAAUCAUCCAUAAAUACCUCUAUAAUGUUCUCUACAUAGUCUAAAAAAAUACUGACCAUGCACCUCUGAAAAGUGGCGGGAGCGUUACAAAGACCCAAUGGCAUACGUCAGUAUGCAAAGGUUCCGAAAGGACAUGUAAAGGUAGUCUUCUUCUGAUCCUCAAGGGCAACUGGUAUCUGAUGAAAACCUGAAUAGCCAUCAAGACAACAAAAGUGAGAUUUUCUGCCAACCUUUCAAGCAUCUGAUGAAUAAAAGAAAUAGGAAAAUGAUCAUUCCUUGUGAGUGAAUUAAGCUUUCUAAAAUCAAUACAAACCCUCCACCCAUUCUGAACUCGGGUGGGUACUAACUCACCAUAAGAAUUCUCAACAAUUGUUAUAUCAGUUUUCUUCGGUACCACUUGUACCGAACUUACCCAUUUGCUAUCCGAAAUUGGAUAGAUUAUACCUGCAUUAAGAACUUUCAGAAUUUCUUUCUUCACUACUUCCAUCAUGAGUGGAUUCAAACGGCGUUGAGCUUGAAUCGAAGGUUUGGCAUCUUCCUCCAGCAGUAUUCUAUGCAUGCACGUGGAUGGACUUAUCCCUUUAAUAUCAGCAAUUGUCCACCCAAUAGCCUUUUUGUAAUCCUUCAACACUCUAAUAAGCUUUUCUUCCUCUAAAGUAUUAAGCUUUGAAGAGAUGAUCACCAGAAGUGUCUCACUAUCUCCUAGAAACAUGUACUUUAGAUGACUCGGCAGUGGUUUAAGCUCUAUUUUCGGUGCCUGCAAAAUAGAUGGAAGAAGUUUUACAUGAGAUAAAAGUAAUUCAAUAUAAGACAUAUGAUGAGUUAAAGUUCUCAAAGAAUUUAAUUCAUAAAUUGUCUCUUGCAAUACAGAAUUUAAAACAAACUCAUUUUCAUCAUUUUGCAAUCCUUUGAGGCCUAAACUGUUAUUUAAAGCAGCUAUCAAUGAAUCUUCAACAUCCAAAUAAAAAACUUCCUGCACUAUAGGGUUAAUAACAUCCACAGAAAAUACCGAAUGUUCCUCACGAGGAUAUUUCAUGGCAUAAUUCAUAUUGAACUCUAUAACCUCUCUAUCAAACUCCAUAGUGAGAGUGCCUUUAUGUACAUCCAUUUUAGUCCUAGCAGUCUUAAGAAAAGGUCUUCCUAGCAAAAUUAGGACAUAAUUAGAAGAGUUAUCCUCUUCCAUAUCAAGUACAUAAAAAUCAGUAGGAAAAACCAACUCAUUAACUUGUACUAAGACAUCUUCUAAUACCCCAUCAUGAUAUGCAUUAGACUUAUUAGCUAGUUGAAUUAUCACGCCAGUUUCUUUUAAUGGACCAACAUUCAAAGAUGAAUAAAUAGAAUGAGACAUGACAUUAAUAGAAGCUCCUAGAUCUAACAUAGCCUUUUCAACUCUAACACUACCAAUUUUGCAAGGGAUAGUAAACAUACCUAGAUCCUUGCACUUAGGAGGUAGUUUCUUUUGGAGAACUGCUGAAACAUUCUCCCCCAUGUGAACUCUUUCAUCUCCUCUUAAUUUUCUCUUGGAGGUGCACAGCUCCUUAAGGAAUUUAGCAUAUCGAGGUAUUUUUUUAUAGCAUCUAAUAAAGGAAUAUUUACCUCAACCUUGCGAAAUGUCUCAAGAAUGUCUUUCUCUUGUUCCUCCUUCUUGGAUUUUGCAAACUGGCUUGGAAAAAGAAGAGGUAUCACCACAAGUAGGGGUUUUGCUCUGGUGGGUUGAGCAUCUUGAGAUUUAGGCAUCAAUUCAUUCUUCUCAAGCUCAUCUUCUACAUGCUUUGUCACUUUCUUACUAGGCUCUUGCAACUCCUUCCCACUUUUAAGGAUGACAGCACUAGCGUUUUGCUUUGGAUUCACCUAAGAUUGUGAAGGCAAUCUCCCUGAUGCUUGAGACUCCAGGCGGCUUAUUGUAGUCGCCAAUUGACUAAUUUGGUUCUCCAAAUUCUAAAUGCUUGUUGUAGUUGCCUGAUAAAAUUGUUGAGUAUUAGUCCAAGUGAUUUAAUAAUUUCUUCAAGAGAUAUACCUGACUUGGAGUUUGACUGUGGAGGGGCUGGUUGUCUUGGUGAGUAUUGUUGUGGGAAUCCUGAUGGUCUAACUCCAUAGCUGAAGUUGGGAUGAUCCUUCCAUCCCGGAUUGUAUGUUUGUGCAUAAGGAUCAUACCUCCUCUGAGGCAUGCCUGGAAAUCCUCCAACUACAUUGGCUUGUUCAACGAGUUCUUCUUGAAGUGUCGGACACAUAUCAGUUGAAUGACCAUAUUAGAACAAAUGCCACAAGUCUUCACCUGUUGCACAUUACCUACAAUAAACUUUUUCACAAGAGAAGUAAGUUUAUCUAAACGUUGUUCAAUAGAAGAAAUAUUUACCUCAUUCACCUUCCUUAAAGUGGGAUCUUGCAUGCUGCCAAACUGUUGUGCAUUGGCAGCCAUAUUUAAGAUCAACUCCCUUACUUGAGUAGGGGUCUUGUUCACCAAUACACCUCCACUAGCAGCAUCUAUCAUACUCCUAUCCAUCAAUGACAGUCCUUCGUAAAAGUAUUGAAUAAGAAGUUGAUAAAAAAUCUGAUGCUGAGGACAACUAGCACACAAUUGUUUGAAUCGCUCCCAAUACUCAUACAAAGUCUCCCUAGGAAGUUGUCUGAUCCUAAAAAUAUCUUUUCUGAUGUUAGCAGCUCUUGAAGCAGAAAAGUACUUCUUAAGGAACUGCUUCUUCAAACCAUUCCACAUUGUAAUCGAUCCAGGAGGCAAGUAGUACAACCAGUCUUUAGCUAGCCCAUCUAAAAAGAAAGGAAAAUCACGCAGCUUAAUCUGCUCUUCAGUCACGCCUUGUGGCCUCAUACUUGAAUAGACAACAUGAAACUCCUUGAGAUGUUUAUGAGAAUCUUCACCGGCAAAACCAUGAAACUUGGGUAACAAAUGAAUAAGACCAGACUUUAAUUCAAAAUUUACCUCCAAGUCUACAUAUUGAAUGCAGAGUGGUUGCUGAUUCAAGUUUGGUUCAGCUAACUCUCUAAGAGUUCUUUCUACAAGUGUAACUCUAUCCAUCACUUGUUCUUCUGAAUCGCUAGAUGAUUCAACCAAAUCAGGCACCGUAUCUGUUUCAUAAAGCAAAGGCGACGAGGAUUGUUACUUAGCUCACUUCGUCUGCUGUCUCAGCUGGUGAGCUGUCUUCUUAAUUUCAGGAUCAAACGAAAGUGUACCUGUACGAGAAGUACGAACCAUACACCAAGUAAAACGUAAAAAGGAUUAAAUAAACGACACCAAUCCCCGGCAACGGCGCCAAAAUUUGAUGGUUGUCGAAGCCUGCAAAAAUAAAUAACUACUCUAAAUAAAUUGUGUAUAGUGAUUGAGCAGGGUCGUGUCCACAGAGAUUGAUAAUUAUUUAAAUCCUUUUAAAAUGAAAAAUGCAAAAUGGGGGAAUUGUUGACAAUAAUAAAAAUCAAAUUAAAAUAACAAGAAUGCAAAUUAAAAUUGUAAUUCAAAUUGGGAAAAGCUCUAGUUGAAGGAAUUAACUCAGCUUGAUUCGACUACUGAUCAUUGAUUCAAAUAUAAAUCAUUACUACUUAUGAAUAGACCGGUUAUAGCUACUGAGACCCUCUAAUAGCCAAUCUCUCCUUAACUAGUUGAUAGCCAAGGUACGACCAUUGGUUAUUUCCCUAAUCAAUAGACAACCCUAGAUACGAUCAUAGGGUUUAAUCAAUUGACAGUCUGAAAAACCAGAGAGACCCAAAUCUUAAUCAACAAACGCAUACGAUGAUUCAUUUAAAUUAGAUUAUUUAUUCUCAUAACACAACGCACUGCUAUGCUAUUUGUCACAAACAUUAAAAUCUUCAUACGAUGAAUCUUUUAAUUGACAAUAGAUUAAGCUGAUAAUUAAAUAGUGGCCAAUUAUCUAAUUAACAAACAUAAUCAUGACAAUAAUUUAGAGAAUAAACAAAUACCCAAAAAGUAAUAAAACAAUUAAAGCAUAAGAAAGAUCUCACAGUAAUGAUGAAUCAAAGCUUUAUUAACCUUCAACCAGAAUAAUAAGUUUAGUUCUUCAUAGAGAGAAGAGAAAAAUUUAGAUCUAGGGUUUCUUUUUCUUUCCUCCUCUAGAAAAAUUCUCAUCCCCUUUGUGUUUCAUGUCUCCUUUCUCUUAUAGAGUUUUUCCAAAAAUAAAAUACUAAUAUCUAAAAUAUUAUCUAAAUAUUAAAUUCAAAAUUACAAAAAUAACCAAAAAGGUAAAACACGUUAAAAUAAAAACUGCAGGUCCUUAGUCGACAGCACGCGUCCAUGCCUUAUCAACAAAGUUCUUCUGAAGCUCAUAAUUUCUCCAGGAAAACAAUCAUCCUCAAACAUCAUCUUAUAGCUUAAUUUUAGCACCAAUCAAUAGAAUUGCACCUACAAAAAUAAAAUACAAGUAAAUCACUAUUAUUAAGUGCAAAACAUUGAUAUUAAAGGAAGUAAACAAUGCAAAAGUAGUGCAUAGAUUGCACUCUAACACUAAUUCCACCAACAACAAAGAACUAAAACCACAAGGAUUAAAAUACACAAAAAUACACACAUUUGCUUUUUACGGAGGUCCCAACAGUGAAUUUUCUAUUUCUGUAAAUUUGAAAAGAUAACAAAUAACUCAGGGUUUUGCAUGCUCAAGGACACCACUCUAUUUACCAAAACUCAGGAUCCCCAAAACAUACUUUCCCAUCACUAUAUAUAAGGCGAGGAGGCACACUGCCCUCGUUCCAUCUCAAUUAUUUCUUCUAAUGUUUAGGCACUACUAAGCAUGUUGUGAGGAAGCACAUCUCCACUCCCCCUUGAGUAAAACAACCGCUACCCACUUAGCCUAGAAGUAAGGAUGUCAUGGAGUGUAACCGUCGCUGCCCACCUUUCUUGAUGAGUAACCGUCACAGCCUACUUCCUUUGCCCCCAUUUUCUAGGCAUGUUAUCCAAGGUCAUGCUCUCUCAUUAGUUACACCCACAACUACCUACUUCAUGCUUAAUUUUAGGUCUCAUUUUUAUUUAUAGCCAAUAAGCUCCACAUUCAACUGCCAUUGUUUGCACACAGAGUGCGUGCAAACGCCUCUUAUCUUUGCAUAGUUUGGCCCCUGUGCAUUCCCUAUUGUGAUACGCUACCUCUACAUACGUUUGCGCUACUGCCACGCGUCAUCCCGUGCGUCCUUUGGGCCCUAUGCGUCCUGCGGUCCUGCACCAUAUGCGUCCUACGUUCACGACCUACACGUCCACACACUUAUGAGAUGUUGCGUGCGUUGUCGAUGGCUUCAAACCCGACAUAAAUUUGAAGAGCUUGUCCUCAUCUAACUCGUUCUUAAUGUACAACAUUAGUGAACUGAAUUCCUUAAUGUAAUACCUCAUUAAUUCAUUAUGCCUUAGCUUUUUCUUCAAGCUUUCUCUCGCGAGCCAGCUAGUAUAUCCUGGUAGGAACUGACCCUUUAGUUUUCAUUUGAGUUUGUCCUAUAUUUCUAUUGCUGAUCACUGCACUUCAACAUCUUCUUAAAGUCUGCUCCAUAUCCCACAUAAAACUCUUCAACUCUUUGGCAUUCCGAGUCCCAUUAUAAGUCUUAGGUUUGGGCACCUUAACUUUCAAAAGUCCAUCCUUCGAACGAGAAGUGUUGUUUGCUGCCCGCUUCAACAACCCAACUUCCGUUUCGAGAUCCCCAAUGUCAACUUUCAGCACCUUCGCUAAUGCAGCAACAUCCUUAUCAUCUUAUUUAGCUUGUCCAAAAACUCAUUCACAAACUCUGUGCAAGUUAGUCUCACACUUGGUAUCUUGAUGGAGUUGAUUUCUUUGUUCUCAGCCAAACUCUCCAAGUCAGGUUGUAAAAUACCUACAAUUGCCUCCAAGUGCACUGACUUGUCCUUUGUUGAUGGCCUCAUCAUUUUGGUUUCUGUCAUUGUUAAUUUCUCCGAAAUUAUACAACUUUACUAUUGCACCGUAGCUUCCCUAAAACCACACAAUCAGCUGUUUGCAAACUAAUUUUAAUUGAAGCUUGCAAUCAAUUGCCACCUACAACAAGUUAUAAUCGUGCUUUGUAACUGAAUUCUGCAAACCCAACUAUGCCUUCUAAUAUUAGUUUCUUCUCAAAAUGAAGCAACCUUUUCUUUGAUACUAGUUGUCACCGAGACUUAUCUUAAGGAUGUGGCAACCCCACGUGAUGGUGUUAAGUCUCUGUUUAGCCAGCCACUCAACAAUGCUAACGAAAGCAAAUAAAGCAACAAGCAUGCAAAGACUCAUAAUGGAGGUCUUACAUGAAAGAUUGAUUCCACCAACAAAAGGAAACUAAAAUAGCGAGUAUUAAAGUUCACAAAAAUGCAUACUAUUUGCUUUUUACGAAGGUCCCAACCCCUAAAUUUUCUAUUUCUGCAAAUAAGAAAAGAUUACAAAUAGCUCAAGGGUUUUGUAUGCUCAACAACACUACUCUCUCUACCAAGACCUGGGAUCGCCAAGACAUACAUUCCCAUCACUAUAUAUACUAGUUUGCAAAUGACGCCCCCGUUUGCUAAGGCAAGGUGGAGCACAACCCUCGCACUACCUCAAUUCUUCUCCUAAAGUUUAGGCAUCAUUAAACAUGUUGUGAGGAAGCACAUCUCUACUCCCUCUCGAAUAAAGCAACCACUACUCGCUUAGCCUAGUUGUAAGGAUAUUAUAGAGUGUAACCAGCAGUGCCCACCUCUCUUGAUAAGUAACCACCACUGCCUACUUCUUUUACCCCUAUUUUCUACGCAUGUGAUCCAAGGCCAUGUUCUCCCAUUAGUUGCACCCACAACUACCCACUUCAUGUUUGAUUUUAGGUCCUACUUUCGAAGAAUUUGUAGCUAACAUGCUCUGCAUUCAACCACCACUGUCCCCACACAGUGAGUGCGCGAACGCCUCUUAUCUUCGCAUAGUUUGGCCCCCGUAUAUGUCCCACUGUGCUGCAAGUUUGUACGCAACCCCCGCAUGCAUUUGCGCUACUGCCUCGCGCCAUCCUGCAUUCUACCCACAUGGCCUGUGCGUGUCCUAUACGUCCCGCACGCCCCAUGCAUCCCCUGCCCGCAUGCCCCAUGCUUCCAGUGCUCGCACACCUGCAUUUCCAUGCGCUUAUGAGAUAUUGUGUGCAUUGCCACUGCAUGCCCUUGCGCACGCUUUCUCACUCUCUCUGUGCUUUUCCUUUAGCUUACGCUUGUUACCGUGCCCCAAUCUACGCAUUAGCCUUGCCUUACUUUCGUGUUUGCCUAGGAGCAUGCUCAUGUUGCUUCCACGCUUGGCAUAAGGCGACAAGCCAAGCCUAGGCAUUUGGUCAUCAUGACUCACGACAACGACACUCACCUACUAUACAAUGCAAAACCAAACAAACAAGUUACACCUCUCUAGUCACUAGUCUUGACGUACAAGUCUUUCAAUUCAUGUCUCAACUCUCCCUCAAACACUCCAUUCCAUACGUCAGUGUGUUUGAAAAAUAUGAGUUAUUUAAUGUUGUAUGAUAUUAAUUGGUUUUAUUAUUAAUUAUCAACUUAUUAUUUUUGCAAUUUGUUAUGACACAUAAAAGAUCAUAUUAUUCAAUAUCUCAAUUGAAUAUAUGAAGUGAGUAAGUAUAAUAUUACUCUUUCCAUAAUUGAUAAGUAAGGAUGGCAAAAAGACCAGACCCCGUCCUUGUCUGAUUAACCUAAUUUAAUUUUUAGGAUCUUUAAUUGAAUUUAAAGGGUCAAGGAUUAGGUUUCGGCCCGAUUACAUUCAAGUCUAGGUUAGGACUUUACUAAAAAUUCCUAACUCAACCUUUGACCCUUCAAUUAAUUUUCAAAAUUAAAAAAUAUAAUACUUAAAAAUUAAAGCACAUACACUACAAAUAUGGUCAGAACUCACUCCUCAAAUUAAUAGUAUUUUGUAUUCGAUUUAUUUACUUGUUAAUUUGGUUAGAUUUUUACAUGUUGUAUUUUCGUUAAAGCUAAAUAAAAAGUUAAUUUAUUAAAUUCCUUACAACCAAAUUUAUCAUAAAAUGGAACAAUAAUAGUACAAUAUAAUUAAUAAAGAAUGAAGAGUUGGAGUCUUACUCUAAAAAAGUAUCUAAAAAUUAAAAAGGUUAUUGCAAGGUGCGGAUAAAGCCCAAGGCUGAACCUGACCUGAAAAAGGUUGACCCUGGCCCAACCCUCAGUUUUGAGGAUCAAACUUUUGAAAACUAAGACCCUUUAUUUUUAAUCAUAGGGGCAAGGCUAGGGGUUGGCCAAGCUUGAGCUCAACUAGAUCGAUUGCCAAACUUAUUGAUAAGAAAAUAAUUAAUAGAGUUGUGAUAUUUGACCCUUCGUUGUAUCUCACCAGCCCCCACUAAUUACUUUUAUAUAAUAUUAUUUUAUCUUUGUAUGAAAUAAUUUAAAAGGGUAAAUGACUUUUAAGUGCACCCACAUGAUAAUUUUCAUUAAUAUAUAAUUUAAGUAAUCUAUUUUCUUAAACCUUAAUUUCUUUAAAUUUUUUAAAUUAUUAUUUCUUCUUAAAUAUUGUAUACUUUACUUUUGGAAGAAAUUAAUUUAUAGCACUCAAUAGAAGAUGAUGAAGAAAUAUUUUUUUUUAUGGUUAUGGUAAUGAUGGAUAAAUCUUUAAAGAGAGAGAGAGAGAAAGAGAAAGAGAUUAUAGUGAUUUUGAGAUUUUGAGAUUUUUUUUUCUUUUUGAAGUAGAUUUUAUAAAUUUCAUUCGGUGGGUGCUUGGAAAAAAAGAUAAAAAAAUCAUAAUAAAGAUAAAUUUGCGAUUCAAUGGAGUAAUAGACAAAAAUUAGUUUAAAAUUUUUAAUAACGUUAACUGAAAAGGGAUUGGUAAAAGGGUCAGGCUACAGUGCAACGGGUGGUACCGUGCCACAGUUUCACCAGCCGUUGGGUUCACUCAAAUGCGUGGGGUCUACUUGAAUAAGUGGGAAUCCAACGGUUGGGUGCAACUGUGGCACGGUACCACAGUUGCACCACAAUUUUAUCCUUGGUAAAAUAUAAUAAGAGGGUCAAAUCUACCACUCUAAUUAGUAUCGUUUUACUCAAAAGUUUUGCUUAAAAGUUUUACUUAUAAAUUUUGGAUUUUGACCAGCUUUAAAUAUAAAAAAAAAAUUGAGAAAAAGUUACUUUAAAAUAUCCAUACAUCAUCCCAAAAAGUUGUACCCAAAAAAAAAAAAAGGCCCAUUCUGGUUAAAUUCAAAAUUAAAAACCCGGCCCGUUUCCCCACUUAAGACCCUCCUAGCAGUUUUAAAAUUUUUUCCCAGCGAAGAAUAGAAGUGAUGGCAGCUGCUCUAGCUUCCGACGCAUCGCAAUGGGAAUUUAGCUGGUUUUAAUUCUCUCUCUUAGCUAUUUCUGUUUCUUUAUUUAACAUUGUGAUAUAUAUUUAUUAUGCUAGAGGUUCUACUAAGUCUCCCUUUACUGGGACUUUUCUCAUCUUGGGAAAUGUUAAUUUUGCCUUAUUUAUUCAAUAUUGUUAUCUUCCACUGUCAAUAAAUUUUAUGCUUUGGUUGGUUAUUCAAUGUGGGUUUGUUCCAUUUUGUUCUUACGCUGUUUGUAUAAAUAUUGAAGGUUUGUUUUUGAAGAUGGCUUUCAGUUAAUUGCCUUCAAAGCUUUAUUUCCUAAAAGAGGAAAGAAAAAUAUACCAAAAUGUUUAAUUUCUACUGCUAUAUGUUUGCGUUUUUAGCUUCUGCUAUGCUUUGUAUUGUGUUGUUUGUGUUGGUAUUAAUGCUAGAAAGAUGUUUUCUUUUCUAAUCUGAUUGCCUAGAAUGAAUAUGAGGUGGUUAUUGAGUUGCAAUAUAUCAAAUCAAUUGAAGUCAUCUGCUUCGUAGGUUUUGAUUCUAUAAAUUGUUUUCAUUUCAGUUACGACACAAUUGCAUGGGUGUUCGAGGAAAUCUAGUACUUCAAAAUAGUAUUGAUUAUUUGAGAAACCAAUAAACUCCCAAAAUACAAUUUACAAGUUGCGAAAAUAAUAGUACUCAAGACACUCUUUUAUUGAAGGAAAAUUAUCAGUCAUAUAUUUUUAAAUGACACCUGUAUCAAAUAUGUGUGAACAUUUUUCAAGUGUAUAACUCGUAUAUCCUAAGUUGAUAAAACACUUCUGCCGUCCACUAAUCCAUUAACUUCUGUUAGAAAAUGAAUAGAAUUAUGGUAAAUUGACUAUUUCGCCCUUGAAACUCAAAAUGAGGUAAAAAAAAAAUUUACCCCAAAAAUUAACAUAAAUUUUUAAUACACAUUUUUUUUUAUUUUGUUAUUAACAAUACAUUUUUUUGAUUAAAAAAAUGAAUUAUUAAUGGUACAUAUUAUUAACAAUUAUCCGUCAAAAUAUCUAUAUUAUACCAUAAAAAUUAUUAACAACAUAUAAUUUACAAUUAUACAUAUUAUACCAUAAAAAAUUCCAGUUGGAGCUUGGAGGAGUAGAUCUUCAAAAAUUUAGAUUAAAUUUUGGAGUAGAUUCGGUUGUAAAGUAAUAUUUUUUUAGCAAUUAUUAACAAUUAUCCAAUAAAGGGAAUGACAUGUCAUUUUUAUCAAUAUAUAUCAUAUGACAUGUCAUUUUUUACUAGGUAAAUGGGAUGACAUGUCUUUUUUUAAUCAAAGUUUCGUCCAUCUUAAAAGACUAGAUUACCCUUAUGAUGUCAGCGUUUACAAACGGCAGUUAACGGAUUGGUGGACGACAGAGGUAUUUUGUCAACUUAGGGUAUACGAGUGAUAUACCUUAAAAGUGUUCACACACGUUUGAUACAUGUGUCAUUUAAGAGUAUAUGACUGAUAAUUUCCCUUUAUUGAAUAACAUCAAACUUUAAAUAGAACUUUAGUUCAAAGUUACAAGCAUAAAAAUAGCAAGCAUUAAGCAUGUUCUCCAUCAUUCUUUAUGAAUCCACAAAAUAAGGGACCAACUAACAACUUAAUUUUGACUUAUUAAAAAACAGCUACACUUAAAAUAUAAAGUAAAUAAUUAAAACCAAUAUUAAAAUAGAAAGAUUGUAACAGCUUUUCUAUUUUUCUGUUAUUGUGUUUACUUUAAUCAAUGGGCCGUGGCACAUAUUGUUAAAUUGUGGAUCGGGUAGUUUACUGGACACGUGAACUAAUUUGUAAUUUAGUUAUAAGUUGUGUGAACCAUAAAAAAAUAAAGUCAGUGGUACUAUUAUUGGAAUAUUGGAUAGUUCUGAAAGGUUUUUGAAUAAGCUGGCAUUGAGGAUAAUAUACUAUUGGAAGUUGAGGGGGUGAACUGUUCUCAGUUCUGUUUGUUGAGGAACAGGACAGAGCAUCUGUGUAGAAAAUAUAAAUUGAACAAAGAAUUGCUGUUUGGCAGCUAGGAAAAUGAAAGGAAAAUUUCUUAUUUCAUUUGAUGAACUGAUAUUUUGCACAUACUGAAAAAUCCAGAAUAUGUAGCUAUUUAUAUAUGCAUUACACACGCUAACUAAUUGAGAACUAACUAACUAUUAGUAAAACUAACUUUCACUCAGCUCACACUCAACACAUAUACAGAGGCUGUAUAAUAGAGUUAGUUAGGCUGUUAGCUGCUGCUGAUUUGGAUUCUCUGACGUGGCACUAAUGACAGCUGGCAACUUGACAUUCUUGAUACGAGACUUGAAAACAGACUGAUUCUUCUUCUUCACUUCUGCAUAAUGAGCUAUCUUCACAAUCUGUAAUUCCUCUGUUGUUUACGAGUUAUCUAUUUUUUUCCCAUGACAGUGUAGUGCUCUUUGUCCACCUUUCAGAAAGUUUUUAGAGGAACUGUACCUGAAAUGUUUUGUUGUUUCUUAGAAAAUGGUUUUUCCCAUGCAGUGACUUUGAAGUGGAUUACGAGUCCAAUGAGAAUGCAUCAAUUGUGCAUGCAGCAUUAGCUAUUGAUAAGGAGGUGAUCCACCACGAUCAUAUUCCUAAGAUCAUACUUUGCUCCUUUAACUUUAUUGCUUGUUCAAUAAAUUCUUACUUGAUAAGGAGGUGAUCCACCACGAUCCUAUUCCUAAGAUCAUACUUUGCUCCUUUAACUUUAUUGCUUGUUCAAUAAAUUCUUACUUGAAUUCAAUUUCCAAGUGCAGUUGCAACCAGACAAAGUGAAAAGGCAGAUAUCUGUGAUUAAUGGGAAACUUUUAGUGUAAAUUUCUAUUCUUUGGUCAUUCUUAUAACUGAUUUUUCAUUCUUGUCCAAUAUUUAUUCAAUUUGCAUCUAUCAGUUUAUCCUAUGAGACAAUAUUCAUUUGGAACUUUUGUGUGGCCCGUUCAACAAUCAUUUUUCCCCUUUUCCUGAAAAAUUUUCAAAUAUGUUACUUCAGAAGAGUUCUUCCUCUAAGAUACCAUUGUUCUUUAGUAUCUCAACUUUGCUUGGACUUUGCAGUUUACAAGUUUCUACAUUUUGUUUAUUUUCUCAUCUGAUUCAGGCACUUUGAGGCAGUUGAGGCCAGGAUUCUUCGUGCAUCAUUUUCUGCUUUUGUAGAUGUGCUUACACUUGCGACAAAAACUAUCGUACAGUUUGGUCAUGGAACGGAAUUGUAACAUCAUACUAUCUUUGGCAGUUGGAGAAUCAUUCUUAGUAGGAACUGUAUUACUUUAAUUCGCCUUCUUGUUUCGGAUUAGUUGACGUUUUUGUAACAAGAGAAUCUAUAGUGUUCGUUUUAUAAUGUAAAUCUUCAAAUUAUCGGAAACCUGUAACAAAUUCUUCAAAGCUGUGAAUUAUAAGUUUUUUUUUUUUUUUUUUUUUAAUCAUUGGGUUUUAUCAAGAGGUUGCAGCUGUAAAUGUUAUAAUCCUCCCUUAGACCUUUUCAAUAAAGUUAUUGACAAGCUAUCUCCAACUCUUUCAGUUUGGGCCAAGCUAGAUCGCCAGACCUCACUUCUAGGGCUUUUCUGUUUACCCCUCAAACAGUUCAAUCUGAUAUUGAUUUCGUAGAGUGAGUAGAAUGAAGAAUUCAUUUGUGCUAAUAUUCUUCCAGCCGUUGAUGCAAUUCUUUACCAUUGUGUGACACAGGAGGUACCUACUUGGCUACCAAGUGGCCCUCAGCUUAACGCACCUCGAUAGCCUUCAUGCUUUUAGAAUUCAUCUAGCUGGUGGAAUCCUAUCUGGAGUCUCUCUAUAAGUUCGAAAAUCAAGAUUUUUCUAUAGCAAGCGUCAAGGUCAAGGGAUUUCUUGUCACCCAAAAGGAACCCAGAAAAGAUAAAAUCGUAGACAGCACUGUUUCACAUGCUGGAAUUCUGGGGAGGGUGCUUAUCAUGUGCUUGUGGCUAUAAAUAUGCUCGAAAAAAUUGGAAAUUGAUGCUGCAAUCCCUCUGCCUGGAGCCUCAAAGAAAAAAAAAAAAAAAAAGCCCUUUUAUAGCUUUGCUAAGAUGAAAGAUUACAGACUUAGCAAGGCUGACACUCAGCAACAAUUUUCUGCAUACACUUUAUCUUGGGCAGAAUCACCAAAAGUCGAUGCAUCUUUAAAUUUAGAAUAAAAGCAGAUUCGACUUGUAUUAUAAGAAAUUCAAAUGGGGUGUCACGGCUGCUUCCAUCUCUAGGAAAACUUGCUUAGAAAAUAUGCUGAAUGCUUUGGCAAUUCUUGAUGGCGUCAAAAUGGCAGUUGAUUCUGGACUGCAACCACCACUAACUGUUGAAUCUGACUAUUUUAAUGCAGCGAAAUCAAUCUUAAAGAAGAGACUUCGGAUGGAUGAUCAAAGGAAUGCUCGGUUAUGUAAGAAAAGGAAAACAAUUUAUAGUUGCAAUACACUCAUCAAUAAUCUCAGGAACCUCUGAUGAUUGAAUUACAAUUUUUUUAAAUCCAUUCCAGAAUACAAGCAUACCUGCUCAUGCAAGAUAUUCGAUGCUCUGUUGGAAAAUUUUCAAAAUAAAUGGUGUCUUAUGGUAAAGAUAUGUCCUAUUAAUUGUGCCUUAUAGAAAAUGUAUCUUCACUAAAGACAUGUCUAAUUAAAUGAUGUCUUAUUGUAAGAACAUGUCAAUUUAAUUGUGUCUUAUAGAAAAUGUAUCUUUUUACUAAAUAAUCUAACUUUUCAUGGUAACAUUUCACUUAGAGAUGCAUCAUUUCAUGGUGACAUUUCAUUUGAAAUGGUGAUGGUUCAAUUUGGACCAUUGAUUAAAAUUAAAUCUAGAUCCAAUGGCCAUGAAUGAAAGGAUAUCAUGAAAGAUGACAACCCGAAUGAAGGGGCACAAGUAUAUCUAUAAAUAGGGGUCAUGUUUAAGCCAUUUAGACAUGAAAUUAAUGAUCCUACACCACUCUUUUCUUGGCAUUCCUUUCUAGUACGAAUUUCAACACAAAACACCCAUUUCUUUUGUGCAUUAAAAAUCCAAUAUAUUGUUUUCUGCAGGAACAAUAUAUUGUUUCUUGGCAGACUUGCAACAUUCAAGAGUAUUCUGGUUUGCUUUCGUCGAUGCAUAACGCAAGCAAACAAACAAGUGCUUCAUUGUAUCCUGAAGGCGUAUUUGCUUAACCCAUGUGCAUCACUCAAUUGGUGGGGGCAAAUAACGUCUUAAGGAAAGCGACAUUUGUAACGUGCCUUGAAACACACAAAUUUUCUGCAGUUUACUUAUUAAUAUUAUUUUUCUUCCUACAUACAGAGUUAGUUGUAAACACAUUACUUUACGUAAUAAAGUUCCACCAUUAUUGUUGCAUUUCUCUACAUUUGCCAUUCCCCACAAUUUCAACCACCAACAAUCUUAAGACGUUAUUUAUGCAACAAUGGCACCAAGUUCAUCUUUUCGACAAUUCGCAAUAGAUUUUGUUAAAUUGGAGCGAUUCGAUGGUGGCAACUUUAUUCGUUGGCAGAAAAAGUUGCAUUUCUUGUUGACAAGCCUCAAUGUGGUCUAUGUUCUCACAACACCAAAGCCUCAAGAACGUGAGGGUGAGACAUUAGCAUAAACCAGAGUGCGGUAGAAGUGGGAGCAAGAUGACUAUGUGUGCAAGGGACACAUUUGCAAUGCAAUGUCUGAUACUUUGUUUGAUCAAUAUCACAACAAAACUACAGCAAAAGAAAUAUGGGACUCAUUAGAGACUAAGUACAUGAUGGAAGAAGCCACAAGUAAGAAAUUCUUGGUUUCUAAAUUUUUUAAUUAUAGAAUGGUUGAUAAUAGACUUGUGGUUGAACAAUAUAAUGAGAUUUUGCAUAUUCUUGAUCAAUUCAACCAACAUAACAUGAAAAUGGAUGAGUCUAUUAUUGUCUCUUCAAUUAUUGAUAAACUUCCUCCCUCUUGGAAAGACUAUAAGAAAAGUCUUAAACAUAGCAAAGAGGAAAUUAGUCUGGAUGGCUUAGGCCAAAGUCUUCGUAUUGAAGAGGAACUCAAACUUAAUAGUCUUGAGGACCAGGCUACUAUGUCCUCUAAAAUUAAUGUUGUGGAGGAGAGGAAGGAGUUUAAGCAUUUUAAUCACCCUAAGAAUAAGCAAAAGAGAAAGUUUGAUUCCAACGAGAAUCAAAACAAUAAGAGGAAAAAGAAGGGUACAUGCCACCACUGCGGAAAACUUGGCCACUUCAAAAGAGAUUAUUGACUUCUGAAGAAACAAAAGGAAGUUUCGAACACAAAUUUUGUGGCCAUGAUAUUUGAGAUUAAUGUUUUCGAAGAUGAUAAUGCAUGGUGGAUAGAUUCUGGUGCAACUAAGCGUGUAUGCAAAGAUCGUAGCCUUUUCAAAUCUUAUAAAGCAAUGGAUGAUGGAAGUGUUCUUUACAUGGGAAAUUCCUCCAUUGCAAUAGUUAAAGGAAAAGGCAAUGUGCAACUACAGUUUACUUCUGGAAAAACUUUAACUCUUACUGAUGUUUAUCAUGUUCCUGAAGUUAGGAAAAACCUUGUAUCUAGUGGGCUUCUUGAUAAGUUUGGCUUCAAACUUAUUUUUGAGUCAAACAAAUUUAUAUUGUCUAAGGGUGGUACCUUUGUUGGGAAAGGAUACAUGUAUGAAGGAAUAUUUAAACUCAAUAUCAAUAAUAUGAAUGUUUCUUUUGCUUAUAUGGUUGAUUCAUUAUCUUUGUGGCAUAAUCGUCUAGGACAUGUGAAUGUUAGAAGAUUGCAUGAUAUGGCUAAUUUGGAGUUAUUUCCUAAGCAUGAAAAUGAUAUGCAUGAAAAAUGUAAAGUAUGUGCACAGACUAAAUCACAAGAUCUCCUUUUUCCAAAAAUUGAAAAAACAUCUUCUUUAUUGCAUUUAAUUCAUAGUGAUGUGUGUGAUAUGCAUAGUAAUCCUACUAAAGGUGGUAAAAAAUAUUUUGUAACAUUUAUUGAUGAUUUUUUAAAAUAUUGCUAUGUAUAUUUAUUACAUUCUAAAGAUCAAGUGUUAGAGAAAUUUAAAACUUAUAAAAUGAAGUUGAGAAUUUUUGUGACACUAAAAUUAAAUGCCUUAGAAGUGAUAAAGGAGGUGAAUAUGCUUUUUUUGAAUUUUGUGAAUCUGUUGGCAUUGUACAUGAAACUAGCACUGCAUAUACUCCACAACAAAAUGGCGUAGCUGAAAGGAAAAAUAGAACAUUAAUAGAAAUGGUUAAUGCUAUGCUUUUUACUGCUGGGCUUGGUAAAGGUUUUUGGGGUGAAGCUAUUUUAACUGCAUGUCAUAUCUUAAAUAGAGUGCCUAAUAACAAGACAAAGGUGACCCCAUAUGAAUUAUGGAAAAAGAGAAAGCCUAAUAUUUCUUAUCUAAGAGUUUGGGGUUGCCGAGCCAUUGUAAGACUACCUGAACCUAAGAUAAAGAAAUUAGGAGAAAGGGGCAUUGAAUGCAUAUUCUUGGGAUAUGCUAAGCAUAGUAAAGCUUAUAGGUUUCUUGUAAAAGAACCUAAUAACUUUGUUGAGAUCAAUACUAUAGUGGAAUCUAGAGAUGCAAUAUUCUAUGAAAAUAGAUUUUUCACUAUACCAAAAAGUAUUGAUUCUCAAGAGAAUGAUAAACAAAUAGAAAUUAGUCAAAAGUGUGAUGCUAAUAAUGAGCAAAAUCAUUUGAGAAGAAGUAAAAGAAUAAGGACUAUAAAAUCUUUUGGACCAGAUUUUAUAGUCUAUUUAGUGUAAGGGACAAGAGACUUACAAUCAAAACAGACCAUGAUCACACCUACUGUAAAGUCUGAUCCCCUCACCUAUGAAGAGGCAAUGAAGUCUCAAGAUGCUGCUUUUUGGAAAAAGGCCAUUAAUGAUGAAAUGGACUCUAUUAUGGGUAAUAAGACUUUGAAAUUAGUUGAUUUACCACCUGACUCUAAUCCUAUAGGUUGUAAAUGGAUUUUCAAAAAGAAGAAGAAAGUUGAUGGAACAAUUGAAGGAUUUAAAGCAAGACUAGUAGCAAAAGACUUUACACAAAAAGAAGGCCUUGAUUAUUUUGAUACUUAUGCACUUGUUGCAAGAAUUGCUACUAUUAGAGUCUUGAUUGCUUUGGCUUCAAUUUAUCAUUUUGAAAUCCAGCAAAUGGAUGUAAAAACAGCUUUCUUAAAUAGAGAAUUAGAUGAGGAAAUUUACAUGAAACAACUAGAAGGGUUUGUUAUGCCAGGACAAGAACAUAAAGUUUGUAAACUAGUCAAGUCUUUAUAUGGUCUUAAACAAGCUCCAAAGCAGUGGCACGAAAAGUUUGACAAAGUGAUUGUCUCAAAUGAAUUUAAUAUUUAUGAAUCUGAUAAAUGUGUCUAUAGCAGAUUCAAUGGAAAUAAAGGUGUGAUUAUUUGUUUAUAUGUAGAUGACAUGUUAAUUUUUAGUAUUGAUAGUGAGAGCAUUGAACUCACUAAAUCAUUAUUGUCAUCUAAUUUUGAUAUGAAAGACAUGGGACUUGCUGAUAUGAUUUUAGGGAUUAAAAUUAUAAAAAAUAAGAAUGGCCUAGUAUUGACCCAAUCACAUUAUAUUGAGAAAAUUUUAAAGAAAUUUAAUUAUUAUGAUUGUAAGCCUGUGUCAACACCUUUUGAUUCAAACAUAAGAUUGUAUCCUAACACUGGCAGAUCAGUAUCCCAAUUAGAAUAUGCACGUGUUAUUGGGUGUCUUAUGUAUGCGAUGACUUGUACUAGGCCUGAUAUUGCUUUCGCUGUUGGAAAACUGAGUAGAUAUACUAGUAAUCCAAGCCAAGCACACUGGCAAGCAGUGUACAAAAUUCUAAAAUAUUUAAAACAUGCAAUGGAUUAUGGUAUAUACUACAUUGGAUAUCCUUCUGUUUUGGAAGGAUUUUCGGAUGCUAGUUGGAUUACUGAUCGAGAUGAUCAUACAUCCACAAGUGGUUGGAUUUUUAAUCUUGUUGGAGGAUCUAUUUCAUGGGGCUCAAAGAAGCAAACUUGUAUAGCAGACUCCACCAUGGCUGCAGAAUUUGUAGCUUUGGCUUCAUGUUGCACGGAAGCUGAAUGGUUAAGGAAUUUGCUUAUAGAAAUUCCUAUUUGGCCUAAACCAAUGCCUCCUAUGUCCAUUCAUUGUGAUAGUGAGGCAACUUUGUCAAGGCCAUAUAGUAAAAAAGAAUUGUGUAUUUUUGAAAAAGUUAAAAAAAACAGGUGGACGGUGGAUAUUUUCCCAUGGAGUUAUCAUAAUUGACUUUGUGAAAUCAUGCCAAAAUUUGGUGGACCCCUUAACUAAAGGCCUUAUAAGGGAUAUUGUAUUUAAACCUUCUAAGGGGAUGGGACUGAAGCCAGCAUCAUCUUAUUACCAAUGAUGGAAACUCAACCAAACACUUGAAAUAUCAAGAUCUUGGGUUCAAUGAGCAAAAGUACAUCAUAUGUUGUGAUAGCAAAUACUAUAAUAUUUUUAGAUGUAUCCCAAAGGUUAGUGCUUGAUACCUGUAACAUAUGGGAAAGGUUAAGCUACUUAACUUUUAAUAGACUUAUAAAUGUUUUAGUUACAGGGACAUUUUAGAUAAGUCUACCUAUAUGAGUGUAGGAGAUGGUGCCACUUCCUAUGUAACUUGGCUGGUUACUAAAGCGCUCAUGAAAACAGGAUAUAGACACAGGGCCAAUCCACGUGUCGGCUAAAGAAUAGUUGAGAAUUUGAAAACUUAUGUGUGAGAUAUAUCCGGUUAGUCGAUUAAGGUCGCUGGUUCAAAGCUUUUCUACCAUGCCACCUUGAUUAACCUUGAUGUAUUGUCACUAAGUGAAGGUUCAAGUCCAAAAGACACCUUUAUCUAUGCAUAAGUUUUCCAAGCCUGUGCAAGAUAAUUUUUUAAAAUUCAUUUAUUUUGAAAAUGGUGGGGGAUUGUUGGAAAAUUUUCAAAAUAAAUGGUGUCUUAUGGUAAAGAUAUGUCCUAUUAAUUGUGCCUUAUAGAAAAGAUACCUUUCACUAAAGACAUGUCUAAUUAAAUGAUGUUUUGUUGUAAGGACAUGUCAAUUUAAUUGUGUCUUAUAGAAAAAAGGUAUCUUUUUACUAAAUGAUAUAACUUUUCAUGGUAACAUUUCACUUAGAGAUGCAUCAUUUCAUGGUGACAUUUCAUUUGAAAUGGUGAUGGUUCAAUUUGGACCAUUGAUUAAAAUUAAAUCUAGAUCCAAUGGCCAUGAAGAAAGGGGUAUCAUGAAAGAUGACAACCCAAAUGAAGGGGCACAAGUAUAUCUAUAAAUAGGGGUCAUGUUUAAGCCAUUUAGACAUGAAAUUAAUGAUCCUACACCACUCUUUUCUUAGCAUUCCUUUCUAGUACGAAUUUCAACACAAAACACCCAUUUCUUUUGUGCAUUAAAAAUCCAAUAUAUUGUUUUCUGCAAGAACAAUAUAUUGUUUCUUGGCAGGCUUGCAACAUUCAAGAGUAUUCUGGUUUGCUUUCGUCGAUGCACAACGCAAGCAAACAAACAAGUGCUUCAUUGUAUCCUGGAGGCGUAUUUGCUUAACCCAUGUGCAUCACUCAAUUGGUGGGGGCAAAUAACGUCUUAAGGAAAGCGACAUUUGUAAUGUGCCUUGAAGCACACAAAUUUUAUGCAGUUUACUUAUUACUAUUAUUUUUCUUCCUACAUAUAGAGUUAGUUGUAAACACAUUACUUUACGUAAUAAAGUUCCACCAUUAUUGUUGCAUUUCUCUACAUUUGCCAUUCCCCACAAUUUCAACCACCAACAUGCUCUGCAUCCGAAACUUCGUCGACCUUUGCAUCUAAGAGAUCAUUAACCUUACAGAACUCAAAUGGUCCACAGUAUUCACAAUGAUCUUUCAAUGUUUCCACCACUCUGCGUAAAUAUGAAGAUGGUUUGUUUUCUCAAUAGAAAAUUGAAAUUAUCAGCUGUAAUUAGAGCAACUCACAUUUGCUUUUGGUCAUCACUGGUGUACCAUAGUUCAAGAUAUUCGGUCGCUGAGUAUAACUGUGUUCUCAGGUUUUUCAAAUCUUGAAAGUAAAGUCGCUUGAGUUAAAAAAAAGACCACAGUAAAUAUUUCCAUAAGAACUUAAAUGUUUUACAAAUUGGUGCUUUUGUAUUUCCAUAACUGUGCUUUUGUAAGGCUAGUCGAAAAAUGAGUAAAAUUUGGAAAUUGACACACGAUCCACCGUUUAAAUCAUAUAAACAAGUAUCGCGCGAUGAAACAAGAGUUACCCUUGAAGACAUAUGCCCCUAUUUGCCACAAUCCUUUUUUUUUUUACUUUUUCUUUUCUUAAAAGUGAAUGUUGAGGUGGGUGCAACUUUUAGUAAUAGCUAUUAGUAGCAUAAAACAAAGAUUGCACGCUCUAAAACAAUUGUAAUAGGGAAACGGGUAUAGACAUACAAUCCAACAGAUUAAAACAAAAUAGAGAAACAGUAGUACCUUGAGACUAUCAGAGAAUAGCAAGCUCCGCUACCCUUUUCUUAAAAGUGAUUGAUUAUGAUGAAACAUUCAGCCUUGUAAUUAAGCUUGCUCCGGUUUGCUUUGUGUUUGGCAUUACUACAAGGAUGGUAUUUGCGACAACUUCGGUGUGAGCAAUGCUUUUUUACAUGGGCACCUAUCAAAGGAGGUAUUUAUGCCUCAGCUACCUCGUUUUAUUGAUCCCACGUAUCCUACUUAUGUUUGCUAACUUAAAAAGGCACUCUCUGGCCUUAAGCAAGCUCACGUUCUUGGAACAACACUGAGCUUCGAAACUUUUUUUCUAUCGACGGGAUUUUUCACUUUACUAUCAGAUUCUUCUUUAUGUAUCUAAUCUCAUGCUAGUGUGCAUGAGAUUAUCUUUGUGGGUAAAUAAACUUUCAUCUGUCGCCAUAAUGUAGCUAGGCACCAAUUAUCCUGUAUAUUACUGUCGCAUGAAACACAUAGCCAUUGACUUUCACUUUGUUCAUCACAAAAUUCAAAAUGGUGUUCUCCGGGUGUCUCAUUUAUCAUCUCAAGACCAAUUAGCAGAUGCCGUCACCAAAACUCCAUCUCAUCAACGAAUAAGUCUUCUUUGUUCCAAGCUCGGUGUCGCAAAUGGUAGCGCCAUCUUACAGGGGCAUAUUAGAGAUACUCUCAAAGGCACGGUGUAAUUGUACAACCUUUUUAUCAUUUGUAUAUACGACUUUCAUAACUUUAAACUGCAAUUGUGUACUUACUAUAAUUAACUAGCUUUAGUUGUGUAUAUAUUGAAAUCAUAUCAAUAGAAACAGUAAGCUGCGUUGUUAUUUCCUUUCUCUAUAUUAUUUAUUGUAUAAACCUAACUUUUUUCAGCCCUUUUUUUCCCCCAAAUCUGACACUUUUUUUUUAAUAAAUUUAUUUACCCACACCUGUGUCGUUUGUCUCACCUUUUUUUUUUUUUUUUCACUUAUUUCGUUACCCAGGCCACACUUUUAUAAACUUUGUCCUGGCCCCGCACUCUACUUUUGUUAGUUUUAUCAAAUGAGCAGCACUAGCAGCACCGUAUGAUUAUCUUUUCAGACCCCUUCUGGUAUAUCAAAGAAGCCCUAUAACAAAUACAUCCGUAAAAUAUCUACCAAAGAUACCUCAACAAGCUAGUGAAGCAGGGAAUGACUCCAUUCCUUAAGCCCAUGUUUGGUUGGGAGAAAUGAUAGAAGAGGAGAGGAAUAGAAAGGAAAGAAUGAGGGAAAAAUGAGUGUAAAUGAUGGUCAAAUUCAUUUGCAUUGUUUGGUUGGAUAUGGAAUUCAUCUUUUUUUCCUAUUUCUUUCCUCUCUCUUUUCCUCUCCUCUUCUCUCCUCAUAUUUCUUAAAACCAAACAUGCCAAUUGACGACCUGUCUGGUGUCCCCUUGCCUACAAUAAAAAUUGAAAUUAGGCCAUUUAGAUUAAAGAUAAGACGGAAUGGAAAUAUGGAAUCGUUAACAAUUAUAGCUAUGACCCAUCUAAUUUGCAAAUGGUUCUUUCCCUUUCAAUAUUAUUGUACGUAUUUGCAAGGAAACCUCUUCUAUCUUUCUUGCAAUUAAGACUUUUGCGUAUCCAAUUACUGUCAACUGUUUUUGAACGUGUAGAAGAUAACAACUUGAAGACUUGAGAGAGAGCCAGCGUUAAUUCAACGUCAAGAGUAGCUUAUUAGUUUGCAGGAUUCAAGAGUAGCUUACUGUCAACUGUUUUUGAACGUGUAGAAGAUAACAACUUGAAGACUUGAGUGAGAGCCAGAUGCUGGGUAUAAGGUCUAUAAAACUUUACUAUUAUUUCAUAAAAUUGUUUUAUUUUUUAUUCCUCAUCACAUUGGGGAUUACGCCCCCAAUGACCCAUUUGAUUUUCAUUUUUAUGUAGGUUAGUAGUGUUACUGAAAAUCAAAUAUUGUCUCUUUUUUUCCACUUAUUGAGGACUAUGGAAUUAAACAAAACUCACCAAUGGCAUAAAAUAUACACACUACUAGAAAAAUAAGCUACUAUGACAGAAUUUUUGUGAUAGAUAUUCAAAAAUUAGUCAUUUAUCACAAAAAUAUGAUAGAUUCGUGAUAGAAUUUUUAUAUAUCAUAAAGGCAUGAUAAAUUUGUGAUAGUUUAUUUAUUUAUCACAUACACAUGAUAGCAUAUUAAUAUUUAAUGAAACGAUGAGUUUUGAAUGGGUUAAUUUAGACAUAGAACGACACCGUAUCUUAAAAAAAAAAAUCAUAAGUGGUAGACUCUCCUUUCACUUCAAUUGGCAAACCCUAAUUUCCAAAUCAUACACAAAAACAAAAUCACGCUGCCGACAAAAAAUUUGGUCCUCUGCUGCGCUGCUUGCCGACAACAAAUUUCUACUCUUCGUCUUCGUCCUUACUCUUUAAUCUGCUGCUGCUACUACUUGCCGAUGAACAACACGCUCAAGUUCAGCUAGGUCUUUACUUCCUCUUUUUCUUAUAUUAUAUUCUUUUGAUUUGAUUUGAUUUUUCUGUGAUCUAAACGCCGUUCUUGCUGAUAUUGGUGAUGAACAGUCCUUGUCACAAUUUUGACCGAUCUGAUUGCUAUUCAUAUAAGUGAUUAUUCUACUAUUAUAUAACCUGCACUGGGUUACUCAAUAUGCAAGCCUUUACGUUUUAUCUUCAGAAUAUGCAAAGGUUCCUUGGUUUGAUUCAGUUCUUGCUGAUAUUGGUGAUGAACAGUCCUUGUCACAAUCUUUAUCUACCUUCUCUAGCCACUUGAAACAAAUAGGUGUAAGGAUAUUCACCUUUCAGAAGCAGUUAAUCAAGUUUGUUUGGAACAAAUGCCCCUUUUUCAACGCUAUUCUUUCUCAUUUUUGUAUUAUGUCAACAAUCUUUAUAAACUGCUUUGAUUCUUUGCAGAUAAUUUUGUUUUCUUAUAAAUUAUUAAGACAUUUAACAAGAAAAGGCACAAGCUCUUGUUGGGAUGUACUUAAUACGAUUUGCAACUUGUGUCAGUGAUGGAUCUCAUGAACUCCUAAGCUUAGUUACUAUAUUGUCAGUCCUGAAUCACUUAUGAUAAUGCUGGUUUUAUUUAUUUAUUUAGUUAUUUUUGGGAUAUUACUAGUUUGUAUUAUAAUACAUUCAUAGUACUGUUGUAGUUUUAUGAUUCCAAUUUAAGUUGACUGAAGCCAAAUUGCUCCUUUGGCAGUAACUACUUCUUCGAGAAUGCUUGUAUGGAGUUCGAUAAAGUUAAAUUAAAGCCAACUUACAAGGUCCUUUGGGGGUACCAGGUUACAUAAUUAUAACUUCUAUUUAUUUGAUGUCUGAAGUGUUAAUGAGUUUAUUAAUUUGGUUUUUUCAAGCCUUAGUGAUUAGAGCUGUAACUAUAAGUUGGCUUCUCCUAUAAAUUACUUCUUGUAGAUAUUAUAUGAAUUGCUAAGAACUUACUUAUGCAAUCUCUAGGUACGUAGAUAUUUGUUUACUUUUCUCCAGAUAAAUGCCAACUGAAACAACUAUUAAAUGCCCAGACUGAAUAUUAAAUGUUACUUAAACAAUUGAAAAUUUUUAUUCUCUUGUAAAUUUCGCUUUAGAAGUAUUGUAUAUUCCCUCUUUGAGCUAAUAAUACUAGUUGGUAGUCGUGCUCUGAACUUUUGGAAACUAAUAUUUUUCCCCGAGGAACUAGUGAUAGCCGGCUUUCUUUGAUGGUAUCAAAAUGAUUUAUUUUUUGUUUAUUUAUUUAUUUAUUCUUUUGUUUGGGCAGCAGCUUCAUGUAAAAUGACUUAAGAGUGUGGUACUGAUUGCAGGUUGUUCAAAAUGCAACUCUACGGUGCUGCUAGUGCUGAGAUUAAUAAGGUAAUAUGCCUUAGAGGUAAUGCAUGUGUAAAAACUUAGCAUCUUUUUUAGCUAAUAAAAAGUUUACAUGUUAUUUUUUCCUUUUGUAAACAGAAGCAAAAUUUUAGUUUUAAGUCUCACAUGUUGUGACUUAAGCAACAGACAACCAGUUUACCUGGUAGGCUAAUUAAUUACCUUUGGGAAUUAUAUGGUCAAAAGAAAAUUCAUACAUAAAACAAAUGUGAUCAGGUAAUAGUCAGUACAUGAUGAGCUUACAUGAUGGAAUUAUGGUCAAAAGAAAAUUCAUACAUAAAACAAAUGUGAUCAGGUAAUAGUCAGUACAUGAUGAGCUUACAUGAUGGAAUUAUGGGAAUCUAAUUUUUUGCCAGUAUAGCAAAGGCCACAGAUAACUUCUCAAGUUGCAAUAAACUGGGAGAAAUUAGAUUUGGGCCAAUGUCCAAGGUAAUAUUGUGGCAUUCUACUGAAAUUAGAUCAUAUUUUCUUUUUAUACUAACUAAUAGGCAGAUCUAUGGUACAUAAAUAGAAAGGCAAGAAAUUACAGUUAAAAGGCUGUCAAAAGGUUCCAGACAAGGAAUGGAAGAGUUCAAAAAUGAAGUUACAUUGAUUUUUGUUAGUAAUUAUAGGUUUUUGUUACACGUGUGAAAUUCUUCAUUAUUCUUGAUUAUUGAACUGUGUGAUGACACCUUAUGAAUUUGAUUAACUAUAAGUGGCCGAUAUGUUAAUUUGCAUUUUUUUGGUACUCAUCUUAAUGUCAUCUGCUUUUCAGGUGAUGUUGGUGGCUUUUGGGAAUUUACCAUCAAUGUUUUUUUUAUGGAUUAAUUAUUUUUCUAGGAUGGGUUGGUGAUUGGAUAUUUUAGGUGAUUAGAUAUUGUAAAUGAUUUAUGAGAUAUUAUUGUGGAUUUGAUUCACCAUGUAUUUUGAUGAUGCUAUUUGAUGGAAGUUUCCAGUGAUUAAAUAUAUGAUGCCCAAAAAGCUAAGUGGUAGUGAAUUUUUUGUAUGCUGGUAUUGUUCUAGAUGAUAGUGAAUCUUGAUAAAGUCUAAGUGGUAGUGAAAUUUGUAUGCUGAUAUUGUUUGAUAAAGUCUUAAGUAGUAGUGAAUCUUGAUCAGCCUGGUAGUGUUUCAGAUGAUAUAUAGUGUUGUGAUGUUUUUGUAUGCUGGUAAUGAUCCAGAUGGUAGUGUUGGGAUGUAGAUUUGUGAUAAUUGAAUAGAUGAUGUUUUGACAAUGUUAUGGUUAUUUCAAGUGAUGAUUUAGUGAUGUUUUGAUAAUAUCGUUGAGAUAAUUUGGAUGUAUUGAUUUUAUACAUAUUUUGAUUUUUAAAUUUCAAUGGAAUUUAUAAAAUAAUAAAAUAAUAAUAUUAUUAUUUAAAAUAUUAAAAAUUAUUUUCUAAUUUAACAAUAUUAAAAAUGAUUUAAAAUAUUAUUAUUAUUUAAAAUAUUAAAAAAUUUUGAUUUUAAAAAAAUUAAAAAGUCUUUUAAUAAUAUUAUUAUUUAAAAAAAAUUCUCAUCAUGACACCAUAUUAGCAUCAUAAAGCUGCGACACAUAAUUACACGCCAUAAUUUAAAAUUGAAUUCAUAAUACCCGCCAAAUGUUUUUUCACAAUAAAACAAAUUUACCACUAAAAUAUUAAAACGAUGUUGCUUUUGUUGUGACACAUUUGUGAUAGCUAUAAGCUGUCACAUACACCUGUGAUAAAUAAAUUAUUGUCACGGAUUUAUGAGAGGGGCUACAAUGAUAGAUAAAAACUCUGUCAUAAACAGGGUCGGAUGAUAGAUAUUCUCUGUCAUGGUAGCCCAUUUUUCUAGUAGUGACAAUGAAUAUUUAUUAACAGAUUUGACAUAAAAUUAAUUUUUGAACCGAUUGAAACUUCCAAAAACUAAAAUUUCGAAUUUGUUAUAAGAAUAUAAUCUAUUUUAAUUAUCAUUGUCAAGUCCUCCUCUAUGGAACAUUAGCAAAUUUGCAACCUUUCUAGCUUAAAUUCUAGGUUCAAAACCUCGCGGCGGAGUUAAAUUUUGUUAUAUUUAAAAGCUAAAUCUUGAAGAUGAAUUAUUUUCUAAUUAAUUUUUUUGUGGUUCUUUUAUAACGAUGGCAAAAUUCUCUACAGGUUUCGGACCCCACCCCAAAUGGCGUGAAUUUUGAAUAUUUUUUAGAAAUGGGGUGAGAAAUGGAUAAAAAUUAAUCCCUAAGUUUUUAAUGGGGUGAACUUUUAAUUAGAUAGAAACCUAUCCGUUCAAUUGAUGCUGAAAAAAUAAAAGUUUUGCAGGAUGUUUUCUCCUAGUAAUGAAAGAGAACCGUUUGUUUGAUGUACUUGAUGCUCCAGCAAUGAAAGAACCUUAGAAGAGAAUGAAAUGACAACAACAUCAGAGAAUCAAGGCAGAGAACAGCCUAUUGAUAAUAAAUAAUUUAAAAAAUAUAAUGACUAAUUGUGUAAUUCAAUCAAACCUUAUAGACCAAAGGAACAUUUGCCAAAGAUUAAAAUAUGUAUAUAUAUAUAUAUAUAUAUAUAUAUUAAGGCUACAUUUUGUUUAAUCCAAAUGAAGCUAAUCAAUCUAUAUUUUAUUCCAAUAAAACUAUGGCUUCGUUUCAUAUCUUAAUUAAAUUAUAUAAUGAUGAAAUAUUAUAUUCUGAACUUAACUGAAUCCAAUAUCAUUUCACCAAUCGGUCAUAUGAGAUGAAAGAAAAAAAUCUGUUGAAAUUAAUUUUAAAUUAAAGUUGAAGAAUGGUGAUAUGAUACAUACAUAUACAUGACUCUGAAUUUAUUAAAUUGAAGAUGUACUGAUCGUCUUGACGAUGUGACAAAAUACUGGAAUGUGAGAAUGGUCUUUGGACUUUGGUGAAGACUUGAGAGGGCCCAGAGUAAUUAAAAGUCAAGAUUGGCAAUCUGAAAUUAAUCUCUGGCUUUAACAUGCAGGACUUUCUAGUCGGUGAGAAAAGUUUCUGAAUUAAUAUAGGAGCUAAUACAUGCACUUUCUGAACUAAAGAAAACUGAGUUUAAGCGGCGAAUGGCUGUGCAUCUUUGUCUGGUGUUGCUGCAGAUUAUUGUUUUGCGCCUCAGGCCGAUCAUAGCAUCAGAAAGAUUUCCCUGUCCAACUGAAUGUGGAAAUGUCAGCAUCAGCUACCCCUUCGGAAUCGGAGAAGGGUGCUACUUUGACAAGGGUUACGAAGUUAUCUGCGAUCACCCUUCUGGCAUUCCCAAAGCUUUUCUUCCUGGCGUCAACAGGCUAGAAUUAGUGGAUAUUCUCUCUAAUGAUUCAAGAGCCGCGGUUAGAGUCAACGUUCCUGCGAUUUUUUUAAACAGCAGUAGUAAGCGAACAAGCAAUAUUGCUAAAGGCGUCAACUUAUCAGGUACCCCUUUCUCCUUUUCGACUGACAAUAAAUUCGCUGCCAUAGGCUGCAAAAUGAGAUAUCACCAAGGGAACGGUUCAUCUGUGUUUGAUGGGUGUCUGUCGAUUUGUACUUGUGAUCCUACUGUCUACCCUGCUUGCUAUGAUUUCCUAUGCCCCCUUCGUCCAAAUAUUACUCAUCUUUUCAAUCUAAAUAAAUCAUACUUGUUUUCUCAAAGUAUUCCUCAGAAAUGUCAGUCUGUUUUCCUGGUUGAUGAAGAUUGGGUCAACAGCAAGUACCUUGAAGAUCCUCAUGAUUUGGAAGAUCAACGAGAAGUUCCUGCAGUGUUGAAGUGGGGAGAAAAGAUAGGCAGUUGUUUUGAAGAAUAUAACUCAUAUUCUAUUUUUUGUAAUUCGGAUAAAACAGGUUGCUUAACACAAUUAAGCUCAGGCCAUUUAUGUCUUUGCUCUGCUGGCUACAACCUAGAGAAAGCAUACUGCUCAGGUACUUGUUGGAUUAUGUGUUAAAGAGAAUUUUUUUUUUUUUUCAAAGAAAAUAUCCGAACGACAAGACUUGGUGCUCCAGGAGCAUUUAGAUGCUAUUUCCGUAUGAACAUUAGCAAUAAGUGUGAUGAGAAACGGAAAAUGCUAUUGGAGAACCCUAGAGUUUACUAGAGUUAAAUGUCAAAUGAUGUAACAGUCCUCCGUUGGAUGGUAAGAUGAUCAGAAAAGAGUUGUAAAAUUUAUCAUCCAAUAGAUGAUUGAAAUUAUUGAUUUUUAAAAUAUCUAUCGAAUUACCUGUAAAUGAGUAAAGUUUUCCCAUUACUGUAACUAUCUUUGUAAACAGAGAAUUAGAGACUAAAAAUGGUGGAGUUUUAUUUAGUUGUAGCCAUGAUUUAGUUUGAUCUUCCCUUUGAUUUAUUUUUAUUUGUUAUUUUCCGGGCAUGUGACUUGAUCUGUAAUAUCUCAAGCGGCUACAGUUGCUCCAAUUGUCCCGAGGGUUGUAAUCGUCUCUCAUAUCGUUGCAUUAAAAUUUUCAACAAAUCUAACAGAUCUAACAAAUCUCGGGUUAAAUUCAUUAUUAUAGGUAUGCAUGGCGAUCGUUUAUUUUACAUCAUAAUAAAUUAAUAAUAUUUUUCAACAUAUAUUUCAAAUGAAAAUACUAAGUGUUCAUACGUUCAUUUAGAUUGAUGAUAUCUUUCCUAUCAUGAUAUCUUUCAUUAUUGUCCUCGAGAGCCGCAGGUUGCGGUGGUGGGCUUGCGUUAUUCUUUCUACUCAUUGGAAUAUGGUGGUUGUACAAGUUUACAAAAAGAAGAAGGGAAAUCAAGCUCAAGCAUAAGUUCUUUAAAAAAAAUGGUGGUUUAUUAUUACAACAAGAAUUGUCUUCCAAUGAAGGUAAUAUUGAGAAAAUGAAGUUAUUUACUUCAAAAGACUUGGAGAAAGCCACCGACAACUACAAUGCCAAUCGAAUCCUUGGUCAAGGAGGUCAAGGUAUUGUAUACAAAGGAAUGUUAGUAGAUGGACGAAUUGUGGCGGUUAAAAAAGCUAAAAUAUUGGAUGAGAGAAAUCUCGAGCAAUUCAUCAAUGAGGUAGUAAUUUUAUCUCAAAUUGACCCCAGAAAUGUUGUUAAGUUGUUGGGAUGUUGCUUGGAGACAGAAGUUCCUCUUUUGGUGUAUGAAUUUAUUCCAAAUGGAAGUCUCAAUCAAUACAUACACUAUCGAUCCGAGGAGUUUCCAAUCACAUGGGAAAUGUAUUUAUCCAUUGCUUUUGAAGUUUCAGGUGCUCUAUCUUAUCUGCAUUCAGCUGCAUCUAUUCCUAUUUAUCAUCGAGGCAUCAAGUCUGCAAACAUACUUUUGGACGAUAAAUAUCAAGCCAAAGUUUCAAAUUUUGGGGCUUCUAGAUCUAUAACAAUUGAUCAAACUCACUUGACCACUCAAGUACAAGGAACUUUUGGAUAUGUAGAUCCAGAAUACUUUCGGUCAAGUUAUUUUACAGAAAAAAGUGAUGUUUAUAGUUUUGGUGUAGUUCUUGUUGAGCUUUUAACUGGACAGAAACCUAUCCGUUCAACUGACGCUGAAGAAGAUAAGAGUUUAGCAAGAUAUUUUAUCCAAGCAAUGAAAGAGAACCGUCUGUUUGAAGUCCUUGAUGAUCGAGUUCUUAAGGAAGCUGAGAAAGAAGAGAUUAUUACCGUUGCUAUGCUUGCCAAAAGAUGCUUGAACUUGAAUGGGAGAAAGAGACCUACGAUGAAAGAAGUGGCAUUUGAAUUACGGGGUAUAAGAGAAUCAAUUGGAGCUUCCAUUUUGCAGCAAAAUUGUGAAGAGACUGAUUUUGUGGAUGGUGACAUUAUUGGACAUGAUUUCGGAAGAAAUUCAUCUUCUAGUGGGUCAAGUUUAAAUAGUGUCUCAGUUUCUGUAGAUGCCGACCCUUUAAUUUCAAACAAAUGGUGAUAAAGAGAAGAAUUGCCUUGAAACUGUUUGUCUUUCAUAAAUAAGAUUGUGAGACUUUUCCAAUAUUAUCAUUCUUGUAUCGCUAGAGUUUCUUUGGGUACCAUCAUUUGUAAUUAAAAACUUCCAAGUCAUUUCAAUCAAAUUUUCCACUAUUUCAUUGCAUGCGCUGCAUUUUCCUUUUUUUCUUUUUUAGGCAAAUAGAGGAGAUCAAGGAAAAAUCUUUUGAAAUUAAUUUCUUAGUUGAAGUUUACAAAUGCAAGAUGAUAUGAUCUCUCGGUCUAAAGUGCAAGCACUUUAGCACUAUGCCACCUAAUAUCUCUGAGUAAAUAGGAGAGAACAACUUGAGCACUUAAGAGGGCCAACGUUAAAUAAACUCCAGAGUAGCAUGUUGGAAUUUUUGGCUUAUUGUUAUGCAGGACUUUCUUGGUAGUGAAAUAAAGUCAAAAGGAAGAUGGGAGGAAAUAAAGAUCAAUGCAAAUUGAUAGAUAAAAUACCCUACAUCAUUUGUGAGUGCAUCUUAGGUCAAAUAUGUAAAGUUUGAACGAUCCUCAAUUUUUUAGUUAGAUUUUGAGUAUGGCUUAAACCCAUGAAUUUUCUAAUAUUUUAUUAGAGUUAAAUUUAUCUAGAUUAGGCCCAUGCUACUUCCCACAGUACCUUAUCACUUUACGCCCUUCACAUGGAGGCAUUAUAAAAGAGUAAUGCUAAGGGGAUCCCAACUUGAGUUCUAAUGGAUGUGAUAUUUAUCUAGUAGAUAGUAAAAUAUUUAUUUUAUCAAUUAUAAAAUUUAUUAUCCAAUACAUGAACUACAUAUAAAAUUUGAGAUUCAAAACUUAAUUGGUGGGUCACAAUCAUUAUUGGUUAAAAAUGAUAUCCAGAGAUAACUAGAGGUAAAUCAAAAACUCUCUCUCUCUCUCUGUGCUAAGACCCUUUCUGCCACAGGCUAAAAUUCACCAGCUUUGAUCAAUCAACCUGCCUGAAUUACACAGCCAUCACAUUUUCAAACCUCCAAUCUUUCAAAUCUAUUUUUCAACUCUUUGUUUCCAGCCACCGUAGCCGCGAACCAACGACACCUCUCCACUGCUACCUCUCGCCACCAUGUCGCCAAUUGCCCAUCACUAUAGCAAAAAAUUAUGCUAAAGGAGUUUAGGCCGGGGAGGGAACCAGUAGGUCUUUUCUUUUUUCUUAUUUUCUAUUUCUCUUCUAUAUUUCUUUUGUUUUAUUUUUGUAUUUGCUUCUGUUAUUGUACGUUUUUAUGUUUUGUUGUUUUGUAAGAUUUUAUACUGCUCGUACGGUGGUCUACAUAGGCGGUGUUGUUUCAAUGUCCAGAUCGGGAUUGUGUCAGUAUUUGGAUUGGAAUAGUAUGACUACAUUGAAGCUGUUGAGGGCUUUAAUAGUGGUACAUUGAGGUUCCGAUGACCUCAGGCGAAGUUCUGAUGGCCUAGGUCAAGGGCUUAUUGAGAGAUUUUCUAGUGAAUCGUAAGGUUGGUUUUUUUUGUUGCAUUUUGUGGAUUUUUUUUUUUGGUUGUUUGUUUGCAUUUUAUUGUUAGAAUUGUGUUUUCUUGUGUUUUGUUGUAUUAUCGGACACUAGGGGGUAUUUGAACUAUAGUAGCUAAGGUUUGUUCCUCUAGUGUUUCUUUAGAUUUUAAUUUGAGAAAAAGGACACCUACACCUUAAAGUUUGAGGAAAUGAUCGCAAAACUCCUAAGUUUUUAAAAAGGACACUAAAAUUCUUUUUUUACCAUAUUAUCCUUUGAAUUUAGUAAUUAGAAAAUUGACUUUAAAGUUUUUGUAAUUAAUACAAAUUUAAUAUAAAUAAUAUAAUCUAUCUAGUAGAUUAAUAAUAUUAAAUUAUUUUUAAAAUUUAAAAUAAUAUUAAAAUUUUAAAUUAUUAUAUUUAUUUUAAUAAUAUAUUUGUAUUUACUAUAAAGAUUUUAAAUAAAUCUUUGGGUUAAAUAAAUUUUUCAAUUAACAAAUAAUAUCCCUAUUAAUAAGAUCAAAAUUAUUUUUUACAUAAUAUUCAAAAUAAUUUUAAUUUUUAAUUUAUUUUUUUAAUAUUAUGUUUCUAUUUAUUAUUAAAAAUUACUUUAAUAUAAUAAAAUAAGUCUAAUAGAUUGUAAAAUAUUAAAAUAUUUUUUAAAUAUUAAAAUUAUUUUAAAAUGCAUAUAUUAUUACAUUUAUUUUGAUGCCAUAUUUCUAUUUAUUAUAAAAUUUUGGCGUCAAAAGUCAAAGGAUAUCACUGUCAAAAAGGAAUCUUGGCGUCAAUUAUUGAAAAUUUGGGGUUUUUUGUGACUAUUUCCUCGAACUUUGAGAACGUAGGUGUUCUUUUUCCCUUAAUUUGAGAAACAAAUUGGUCUCCUUUGAUUUUAAAAUUUGUUUUAUGUACUGUACUUAAACUUGAUAUAACUCUUAUUUAUAUUAUUAUUAUUAUUGGUCCUUAAUGAAAGUCACGUUUUCUUAAAGAAAGAAAAGAAAAGAAAAGAAAAGUUGGAAGAUAUACGGAGGAGAACUUGUNNNNNNNNNNNNNNNNNNNNNNNNNNNNNNNNNNNNNNNNNNNNNNNNNNNNNNNNNNNNNNNNNNNNNNNNNNNNNNNNNNNNNNNNNNNNNNNNNNNNNNNNNNNNNNNNNNNNNNNNNNNNNNNNNNNNNNNNNNNNNNNNNNNNNNNNNNNNNNNNNNNNNNNAUCAUUAUCUGGUGUUGUUGCAAUCGAUGUUUUUGCCAUUAUGGCCAAUCAAAGCAUCAAAAGAUUUAUGCCAAUAUGAUUGUGGGAAUGCCACUAUCAGGUACCCCUUCGGAAUCGGAGAGGGUUGCUAUUUUGAUAAGAGUUUUGAAGUAAUCUGCGAUUACUCUUCUGGCUCCCCAAAAGCUUUUCUUGCGAGCAUCAACAACCUGCAAGUAUUGGACAAUCAUGUUUAUGGUGUAUCCAACAUUAGGGUAAACAUUCCUGUAAUUUCUUUGAAGAGCAGCAACAUGACAAGCAAUGCUAAAGGGGUCAGUCUUUCAGUUAGCCCUUUUACAUUUUCUCCGUGGGACAAUAGAUUCACAGCCAUAGGUUGCAACAACUAUACUACGAUUAUUAAGCGACAGAAUGAUUCAUCCGUUUUUGGUGGGUGCCUUUCGAUUAGCACUUGUGAUCCUGCUCUCAACCCUGGUUGCUACGAUUUCCUGUGCGCCCUUCCUCAAAAUAUUACUCAGGUUUCCAAUGCAGAAAUAUCUAGUUUUUAUCCGAAAAGUAUUCCUCAGGAAUGUCACUCUGUUUCCCAUUGUUGAAGAAGAUUGGGUCAACUCAAAGUACAUGAAGAAUCCUCACGUUUUGAAAGAUCUCGGACAAGUUCCUGCACUGUUGAAGUGGGCUGAGUCUAGAGGAUAUUUGAUACACCUCUUUGCAACCAAGGAUGUAUCGAUAAGAUUUGCACUCUUCGAGUGAGGGCUGACUCCAAAAGAAAUUCGCGAAGAUGAGCAAGAAUGGAGAGAGAGAUUGAGAGUGAGAGAAGAGUAGAGAAAAGUUAAAAAGAAAUGAUUCAUUCUUGAUUUCCCUUACACGAAUUAGUUAUGCUAUACAUAUACUCCUCUGUCUUUUGGCGUUUAAAAGAAUACAGCUCAGCAUAACUUUGUAACAGAAAAUAUGACAGCAAUAUAUACCAGCAAAAUAUAAAGCCCUAUCAAUUUCACUAUACGACAUAAUCUUUAAACCACCCAGGGGGCCUUCUCACUCUUGUGCCUGUGUACCCUUCCUUACGAGCUACUUCUACUUCAACUUGUGAUGAGGCUUCCUUCAUGGGCUGCGCACAAUUAGACUCAUCGAUGGGCUGCCCUUCUCGUAAACAAUCCGGUUGAUCCAGCUGAAUGUGGGGGGUUGUAUCAUCCCCUCCAGCUUCAAAACUCACCUUGUCCUCAAGGUGAAAAUUAGGAUAAAGCUCACAGAAGGUUUCAAACUCUUCCCAAGUAGAAUCUUCAGGCGAAUUGUUCUGCCAUUGAACCAGAAUUUGGCGACAUCGCGUGCCUUAUUUAAGCACGGUUCUAAUAGCGCAAACUGCAGCAGGGAGAUAUAAUGGCUGAUUGUCCACACUAGUUGAUGGCAAGGAAUGGUGAUCAGGGGUAUGAGAACCAAGAAAGGGUUUGAGAAGUGAAAUGUGAAACACUGGAUGGAUCUUGGAACUGCUGGGCAAGGCAAGCUUAUAAGCUACAGGGCCAACUCGAGCUAGUACAGGAAAGGGGCCAUAAUACCGUUUAGCUAGCUUUUGACAAGAACGAGAUGCCACUGUCUUUUGGCGGUAUGGCUGAAGCUUCACUAGAACUUGGUCCCCAACAGCAAACUGAGCUUUGCGUCUAUGUGCAUUAGCCUUUUGAAUCAUGCGAUGUUGAGCUUGACGCAAAUUCUCUUUCAAGGAACGAAGUAAUGCAUCCUGUUCACUUAAAGCUUCAUCAAGAGCUUAGAUUGAAGUAGAGCCCUUUGAGUAAGGAGGAAUUGCUGGAGGUGGUCGCCUAAAAAGAGCUUGAAAAGGAGACAUUUUGAUGCUGCUGUGAUAAGUAGAAUUGUAGGAAAACUCAGCCCACCCAAGUAGAGAUACCCAUGAGUGUGGUUUGUCUUGGGUGAAAGUGCGAAGAUAUUGCUCCAAGCCGCGAUUGACAACCUCCGAUUGCCCAUCUGUUUGUGGGUGAUAGGCUGUACUGUGUCGAAGGGUAGUGCCACUUAACUCCAAAAAUUGCUUAAGAACACAAGGUCGCGAUCGGAAAUAAUAGAGGUCGGAAACCCAUGAAGCUUUAUUACCAUAUCCACGAACAAUUUGGCGGUCUUUAUGCUGUAAAUUGAGUGGGAAGGGAUCCAAAGUGUGCCGAUUUCGUAAGGCGAUCAACCACUACCAAUAUCACCGUGAAACCUCGCGAAACUGGAAGGCCAGUAAUGAAAUCCAUAGUGAGUUCGUCCCAAACUAAAGUGAGGAUAUGAAGAGGCUGCAGUGGACCUGCUGGUGCUUGAGUAGAAUAUUUAGUCUGUUGGCACACAAGGCAUUUGACCACAAAUCGCUCAACGUCCAUACGCAUUUUAGGUAAAAAAAAAUUAGAUGCCAAGCAGACCAGCGUGCGUUUGAUGCCUACAUGCUCUGCAAGUGGAGUAGAGUGGAAUUCAGCCAAUAGAACCGCUUUAAAGGAUGAUGAUGGACUGAUAUAGUAACGAUUGUGAUAAAAAAGGACCCCAUUAUGCCGCGAAUAAUCCCGUGAAAGAGAUCUCGUAGCAAACUGACGAUGAAGAUCAAUCAUUUCCGGAAGUGUGGAAUUCUCUAGUUUUAGAGUUGCUAACAACUCAAACGACGGGUGACUAAGGAGAGGCAAACAAGAAGCAGUCACUGUUGGUGUUUCCUCACUAGCCUCGUCAUGCAUUCGUGAUAAGGCGUCGGCUGCAAGAUUGGUACAGCCCGGUUUAUACUCAAUGCGGAAGUGAUAGCCUAGUAAUUUUCUGAUGUAGACUUGCCGAUCCGGAGUUUGAACUACCUGCUGGAGAAGUUCCUUAAUGCUCUUAUGGUCAGUUCAGAUUACAAAAAAUCUGCCUAAUAAGUAUUGUCGCCAUUUGUGCACCGCUUCAACAAUAGCGGUUAAUUCCUUGAUGUAGGUAGAAGAAGCACGAAGUCAAGGACCUAAUUUCUUACUGAAAUAAGAUAUGGGGUGCCCCGAUUGCAUAAGCAUAGCCCCGAUACCCACAUUAGAGGUAUCAGUCUCAAGAAUGAAGUCGGAGUCAAAAUCUGGUAGCUGCAACACAGGGGCUUCCACCAUUGCUCUUUUAAGAGCUUCAAAUGCCUCAGCUGCUGCUGGUGUCCACUGGAAGGCAUCUUUACAAAGAAAAUAAGUAAGUGGGGCUGCGAAAGACGCAUAUCCACGAAUAAACCGCCGGUAAUAACCCGUCAAACCCAAAAAAACCUCGAAGUUGUUUUGUAGUCUGAGGAGUUGGCCAACGAACCAUAGUUGUAAUUUUCUGAGGAUCGGCCCGCACACCAGAGGCCGAAACAAUGUGGCCUAGGUAAUCGAUAGCGUCUUGGCAAAACAAGCAUUUGGAUAGCUUGACAAAGAAGUGGUGAAAAUGAAGGCACCACAAGACUUGCUGAAGGUACCGCAAAUGUUCCUCUGCUGUAGCACUAUAAACCAAAAUGUCAUAAAAAAAAAUCACAAAUUUACGCAAAAAUGAAGCGAAAAUCUGGUUCAUAGUAGCUUGGAAGGUAGAAGGCGCGUUUGUUAACCCAAAUGGCAUGACGAGGAACUCAUAGUGGCCCUGAUGAGUGCGAAAAGCCAUUUUAUAAAUGUCGCGGUGGUGCACGCGAAUCUGAUGGUAACUAGCCUGCAAAUCCAACUUGCUAAAGAUUACUGCCCCACCUAAUUCAUCAAAUAAUUCGUCGAUAGUCGGAAUGGGGAAUUUAUCUUUAAUGGUGGCGGCAUUCAAAGCCCUGUAAUCAACACAGAAACGAUAGGUCCCAUCUUUUUUUUUUACCAACAAGACCGAUGAAGAAAAUGGACUUUGACUCGGUUGAAUGAUGCGUUGUUCUAACAUUUCACGGAUCAGUUUUUCCAUCUCAUUUUUUUGGAAGUGGGGGUAGCGAUAUGGGCGGACAUUUAUGGGAGUGGUGUUGGGGAGGAGAUGGAUUUUAUGAUCAAUUGUGCGAUGUGGCGGUAGGGUAGUAGGUGGAAGAAAUAAGUUGAGGUAGGUGUGUAGAAGGCCAACAAAGGGUGCGGUUAAAUGUGGAGGUAAUUCGAAGGAAGAACUCUUGGGAUUACUUUCUGAUUCCUCCCCGGGUACAGGUACCUGUUGCAGAGCGAACAAACUAUAAAUGUCAGCACUGUGGAUUAGAGAUUGCAACUGAUGAAAGGUGAUUAAGGAGGGAGUAGUGGAUAGUUCGCUGUGAAGAGUCACUGGUGCCCCAUUCCAACAAAAUUCCAUAGAGAGGGCAGAGUAAUCAUGAGAGACACGGCCCAAGAAUUGCAGCCAUUGUAUUCCCAACACCACAUCAGGCCCCUCAAUGGGCAGAACAAAGAGGUCCAAAGUGAAGAUCGUUCCCUGCAUCGUGAGAGCAACUUGAGGGCAAAAAUAUUUGCACACUAGAAAAUCCCCAUUGCCAAUAUAAACACGGAAAUGUGUUGUUGGCUGUAUCGGUAAGCCUAAACGCUCUAUCACUGUUGGUUUGAUAAAGUUGUGGGUACUUCUGCUAUCGAUCAAUACUUGAAAGCUGUGAGAACCAACUUCGCCAACCAAACGAAAUGAGUGGGGAUUUAUUUGACCCGCCAAAGCAUUCAAACUGGAAAUAUCCCCUGUUAUGAUCUCUUCGACAGAAUCCAGUGGCAAUUCUUGUUCACAAGAAACAAGCUCAUUAUCAUCAGUACCCAUAAGAAGCAAAAACUUACUACGACAGCGAUGAUUAGCGCUAUAUUUUUUAUCGCAGUUAUAACACAAUCCCUUCUCACGCUUGUCACGUAGCUCUGCUGGAGUAAGGCGGCGAAUCGGUAAGUUGGGUGUGGGUAGAAGUGGUGGUAACGUGUUUGGUUUCGGGGGUGGGGAAGUAUUGUGGGAAUGAGAUAUUGUUUGGGCCAUACCAGUGGAAUGGUGCGGUUGGGUUGAAGCAAGGGGAUAUGUGGUAGGCUGAAAUUUGUGUGACGGGGAGGUUGUGGUAGGAGUAGGUGACAUGGUGUUCCAUUUUGGCAAAAAAGGUGUCCUUGUUUGGCCUCCUCAGCACAGGCUUCAUACGCACGAGCUAGUGCAAAUGCUUCCAUUAGAGAAGAAGGCCGAUCAAAAAGCAGCUCACGACGAAUAUCGAGUUUCAAUCCCGUGAUAAAAAAACUUAUCAGAAGUGGUUCUAAAAUUCCAGUCACUCGAUUCAUUAAAUCUUCAAAAGAGGUCUGAAAUUCUGCCACUGUUGUGGUUUGGGAUAACUUAGACAAAUUUCCUUGAGGAUCUUCAUAGAGGGAGGCACCAAAACGAUGUUUAAGGUUCUGCAAAAAUUCUUUCCAGGUUGUCAACAAGCUGUUCAUUUUCAUCCAUUGAUACAACGCUGUCGCGCGUCCUUCCAUAUGAAAAGAAACAAUCCGCAAACGAAGAGUUUUCGGUGUACCGUGGAAAUCAAAGAACUCCUCAAUUCGAAAAACCCACCCGUUUGGGUAAGAUCCAUCAAACUUACGCACCUCCAUCCUCAUAGAACGGAGCACUGGGGACAACUCAAUACCACUGGAAUUUACCUCAUUAGAAGAAGAGGAUGGGUGUGGUGGAUUAGAAACCCGACCUAAGUGAUUGGAAGACCCAUGGAUCUAUGAACGCAAAUCAUCAAAGCGAGAAUCUACCGUGGCCAUAUAUUGUUGCAGCGUUUGAUGCAAGGACAAUGUUUGGCUCUCGAACUGUUCUUGGAUCGUCUUUAAAAGUUCAGAAUCCGUCAUUACGAUAGCAAUGAAAGCACCAAUGAUACACCUCUCUGCAACCAAGGAUGUAUGGAUAAGAUUUGCACUCUUCGAGUGAGGGCUGACUCCAAAAGAAACUCAUGAAGAUGAGCAAGAAUGGGGAGAGAGAUUGAGAGUGAGAGAAGAGUAGAGAAAGUUAAAAAGAAAUGAUUCAUUCUCGAUUCCCCUUACACGAAUUAGUUAUGCUAUACAUAUAUUCCUCUGUCUUUUGGCGUUUAAAAGAAUACAGCUCAGCAUAACUUUGUAACAGAAAAUAUGACAGCAACAUAUACCAGCAAAAUAUAAAGCCCUAUCAAUUUCACUAUACGACAUAAUCUUUAAACCACCUAGGGGGCCUUCUCACUCUUGUGCCUGUGUACCCUUUCUUACGAGCUACUUCUACUUCAACUUGUGAUGAGGCUUCCUUCAUGGGCUGCACACAAUUAGACUCAUCGAUGGGCUGCCCUUCUUGUAAACAAUCCGGUUGAUCCAACUGAAUAUGGGGGGUUGUAUCAAUAUUGUUAUGAAGAAUAUAAUUCGAAAACUACUCGUAACAAGGACAAUAUAUGUUUUAACACAAUUAAGCUCAGACCUCUUUUGCCUUUGCAAUAGGGAAACAAGCGUUGGCCCACACCGCCAUGGAUAUUGCUUAGGUACAGUUUCGACUACUAAUUAAAUUAAUUUCAUAUAUGAAGUGUAAUUACUUUAUUUCCUCGAACCAACUACGUAUCUAACACAAAAUUAGGGACGGUAAUUGCAGAAUUCGCAUAUGUAAAGAAGGCAAGAUUUAUGUAUAGCCGUGAUUUAAUUUGAUAUUCUAUUUCAUUUUUUUGGUUUGUUUAGGAGACUUGCUCUGUAAUACCACAAGCCGCGACAAUUGCUCAUUGGAAUGUCCCAAAGGUUACUUUUCAAAUCCGAGCGUUGGAUACUGCAACCAAAAUCUUAGUAUGCACAAAAAUUCUCUCAAAUUCAUUAUUAUAGGUAAGUAUUGGAAUUUGCAGAUUUUAUCGACAGAAUAACUUACCCCAUAUAUAUAGGCUCACAAACUUAACAGACUAAACAGUUCCUUGGCAUAAAUCACCUCGAAUGUGCAUUAAAUAUUCUUAGCCUGAAGUGUUGCAGGUUGCAGUAGUGGGCUUGGAAUGUUGUUCUUACUAAUUGGAACAUGGUGGUUAUACAAGUUCGUUAAAAGAAGAAGAGAAACCCAGCUCAAGCAAAAUUUCUUUAAAAGAAAUGGUGGUUUAUUAUUGCAACAACAGUCCUCAUCAAAUGAAGGUAAUACUGAGAAAACAAAAUUGUUUACUUCAAUGGAAUUAGAAAUAGCUGCUGACAACUUCAAUACCAAUCGAAUCCUUGGUCAAGGAGUCCAGGGCACAGUGUACAAAGGAAUGUUGGCAGAUGGAAGAAUUGCGGCUGUGAAAAAAUCCAAAUUAGUGGAUGAGGGUAAUGUUGAGCAAUUCAUCAAUGAGGUGGUAGUUUUAACUCAAAUUAACCACAUAAAUAUUGUUAAAUUGUUCAGAUGCUGCUUGGAGACAGAGGUUCCUCUUUUGGUGUAUGAAUUUAUUCCAAAUGGAACUCUCUAUCGAUAUAUACACGACCAAACUGAGGAGUUCACAAUCACAUGGGAACGUUUACGCAUUGAUGUAGAAGUUUCAGGUGCUUUGUCCUAUUUGCAUUCAACUACUUCUAUUCCUAUUUAUCAUCGAGACAUCAAGUCUGCAAAUAUACUUUUGGAUGAUAAAUUUCGAGCAAAAAUUUCAGAUUUUGGGGCUUCUAGAUAUGUCACGAUUGAUCAAACUCAUUUGACCACACGAGUACAAGGAACUUUUGGAUAUCUAGAUCUAGUGUACUUUCAGUCAAGUCAAUUUACAAAGAACGGUGAUGUUUAUAGUUUUGGAGUUGUUUUUGUUGGGCUUUUAACUGGACAAAAACCUAUCCGUUCAACUGACAUCGAAGAAGAUAAAAGUUUAGCAGGGUAUUUUCUCCGAGCAAUGAAAGAGAACUGUUUGUUUGAUAUGCUUGAUGCUUAAGUUCUUAAGGAAGCCAAGGAAGAAGAGAUUAUUACCAUUGCUAUGCUUGCAAAAAGAUGCUUGAACUUGAAUGGGAGGAAGAGACCUACAAUGAAAGAAGUAGCAUUUGAAUUAGGGGGCAUUAGAGCUUCAAUCGGACCUCAAAAUUGUGAAGGCAUUGAUUUUGUGGGUGGCAAUUUUAAAACUGGUUCAUCUUCCACAGGGGCAAUUUUAAAUGCUGUUGCUUUUUCUGUAGAUGCUGACCCUUUGUUUUCAAACAAGUGGUGAUUAAAGGGAAAUUCUUCCCUUUGAAAUGUAAUUAUUUCAUUUCAAAAUAAAUUUAGUUGUGGACUUUUGCAUUAUGCUUCUCUUAUGGUUAAAAUUUUUCACUCUAGAUCAAAAUAUACAGAGUUUGAUGUUCACUUUGUAAGUAGUCAGUGGAGAAAUAAAUUUACAAGGUAGAUUCCAAAAAAGCAUCUGGUGGCAGACAUAUUUAAAGAUUUAAGAAGUAAACCUCUAAUGCUACCAUUAUUUAGGGGCCCUGUGCAUCAAGAAACAGAGGACCCUGCACUCGAACUUUGAAGCUGAAGGAGUUGGACAUCUCAGCAUCUGAGUCUGCAUACAAGUGGAACAGGAGAUGCUGACAUGACAUCCUACGUGGAACUUAUGCGACACAUAUAAUGAGUCCAAUUCGUUCCUAGUUCAUACGCUUACAUUGUAACCCCGUUCUGUGUUUCCAGUACCAUUGGUGAAUCAUCACUUCGUGCCAUUGUAUUGCUAAUAGCACCUUUGCCUUGAUUGAUUUUGCUGACAAUAUGUAGGUUGCAUUUGGAACUGAGGUGCUAUAACUUUUAAUCUGCAGUUAUUGUGGAGUAAAAGUCAUAGUUGUGGUGUACAAGCUAAUGGUGUUGGGUAAAUUUUAAUAGUUGUGGAGUGGAAGCUAUAGUGUUUGGUAAAUUUUAAUACAUGUAGAGUGGAAAUUGAUG